AGAUCUGGUGAGAUGCGAGAGAGGCAGUCAUAAAACAGUGUAACACUGGCAAAGCCGGGACCAGGAGUAAACACCGGAGAAUCUUGGAUCCAAUCUUCAUCUGGAAAUGGAGGCGGACAAAUGCCUUUGUUGAUCACCUUCUCACUCAAAAUUCUUAGGAUUUGACGAUCAGGUAGGAUCUCAAGCACGCGAUACCGUACAUCGCGAAUUUUCAUCGUGGUAAUGUCACCGCCACACUCAAGCUCUAAAUCUGGAUGUCCGCAUUCUUUUUCUCGAUCACCUCCAUGGAAAGGAAAUCCAGCAGUGAUAUUCCCACAUUUGAACUUGCUAUCACGGCAGUUCUCGAACUCAGGCUCAAACCAGGCAGUGGUUAGUGAAACAGGGGUCCCAAGCAUGAUAAAUAAUAAACAAAACAGAGGAAGAGGAAGAGGAAGAGGCAGAGGCAGAGGCAGAGAUGAUGAGAAAGAAGGAGAAAUCAUUUUGAGGGCAGAGAGAUGGAGGAAGAAAGGGUUGAUUGCCUGCCUCAGCUCUAAUGAAAUACAAUUAAAACCAAGCUGAAAGAAAGACUUGGAAUAUAGAGUAGGAGAGUUGACUUGCAAAGACUUUGAGCAUCCAUAAGUCGUGUCGUGUCGUGUGGGUGUGGGUGUAGCAGUGAGUAAAUGGAAAUGCAAGAGUUCAAAGAUGGAGACACUUUAACAAGCUUUCGCUCCUUGCCCUCAACUUUCUCAUCACUUGGAAAUUGCUGUGUCGAUACGCCACUCAUAGGCCUUGUUUGUAGUAGGGUUUAAAAGUGAUUUUUUUUUAAAAAUAUAUGCUUUAAUUUUUUGUAUUUUAAAAAAAAAUUACAUUUUGGUCAUUCAGUCACUAUCAUUAACAUUGUAGCAGCAAGCUAAUAUGGCACAUUAUAUUGUCAUUUUAGACAAAAAAAAAUUACACCAAACUAAACAACUAAUCUCUAUACUUUUUUUUAGAGCAAAUUUAAUUAUUUUUAAUUUUAUUUUUUUCAAAUAAAAAAGAAUAGAGAUAAAUUGCAUAAUUUGACCUAAAAUUUUCGUCUGAAAUGAUGAUAUAACAUGUCAUAUAAGUUAUCGUUACACCAUUAACAGUAAUUAAUAACUCAAUAACUAAAAUGUAACAUAUUGAUAACAUUAGUAAUCCUAUCAUAAUUUUUUUUUUCAAAUUUAGUGACCAAAAUGUAUUUUUUUUAAACUAUACAUAGUGACUAAAUUUAUAAUUUUGACUUAUAGUGAAAAAUAAUUGAGCUAUUAUUCUCUAAAAUUUUUUAUAGAUAAAAUUUCAAAAAAUAUAUUAUAAAAAAAUUUCAAUGAAAUAGUUAUAUAUAUAAUUUAAAAUAAUUGAUCUCAAAGUUUAAAAAUCUUGACCUAAAAAAUGUCAAUUAUAAGGAUAGAGAGAUUAUAAAAAAUAUUGUGAAUCUUAAUUAAUAUUAUAAUCUUCAAAAUCUCAAAAGUUUGUUGAAAAUGUAAUUGAACUCAAUUGUUAAAGUAAACUCCUAAAUUCAAGCUUUUAAUUAUUUGUGGUUUGAGUUGAGUGAACAAUAAUAAAACUAAAUUGGAGCAGAAAUAUUUUGUUUAAAGCUGUGAAAUUGUUUUAUUUAGAUAAUAAAAGUUAUCCAUAAAAUGUAUGCUACUCUUAAUAAUAAUAAUAAUAAUAAUAAUAAUAAAAGGAUGAGAGUAUUAGAGUGAUGCUGUUAUCCAAUUCUUAUCUAAAAAAGAUAACAUGAUACAUCAAAUUAACCCAUUCACUUCAACUAUUUUCCAUUAAAAACUUUCCCAAACUCCAUUUCUUCUAUACUUAUAUACAAACUCAUCAUCUUACUCAUUCUUUGUUAGGGUGUGUAGGUUUCAACAAAAGAUUUCUUAAUUUCACUCAACUCCAAACUCACGUGAUUUUCUUUAUUAAAUUUGAAAAUGAUGUUGCUUGAAUACGAUAUUUUUGUUAGAUAUAAUAAAGAUGUUAAAUAGAGAUAUUAAAUUGAUUAAAAAUUUAUACAUGUAUUGUAAAUAUGAUUAUGCUAUUAGAUUUAUCAAUUGAAAUUCUAAAAUAUUAAUAUUUAAAAAAGUAUAAAAAUUACUUUAAUUUUAAAACAACGUAAUAUAUACUUUACUAAUACUAAGAUAAGCACAAGUAUUUGGUCUGAUAUAUAUUAAAUAUUCCAUCAAAAUAAUAGACAUGUCUGCAAUGCAAGUCUACAUCUAUCAAAUGCUUAUUUUGUUUAAAAGUUAUUUUAAAAAACUGAUGUUAGAUUUUAAUUAUGUAUUCAAGUUUAAUCCAAUGGAAAAUUAAUUAUUGAUUUAAUUCACAAGAGUCCUCUGCUACUAUAGCACGUUUUCUAGGGUUUUGUUUUGUUUUUUUUUAUUAUUGGUGGUCUGGGUUUUGGGAGAGUUUUGGGUUCUUAGAUGGUUGAUGUGGAAGGGGACUUUCAAGGGCAAUCGCUGGAAGAUGCUGAAGAAGAGGAAGCUGUUAGAUUGGAAGCAUCUGUUUUUAGUACCAAAGAAUCGUUGGAGACUUGCCUCAUCGGAACAUUUCUAACAUAUAACGUGAUUAAUUUUCCGUCAAUGAGAGCCACUUUGGUGAAUGUUUGGCAUCUUAUAGGAGGGAUCAUGAUUUUUGAUUUAUUUGAUGGGAGAUUUCUGUAUAAACUAUUUCUUAAGGUAGAUGCUGAUCGUAUAGAAGCGGAAGGACCAUGGAAUUUUAAUUCACAUCUUUUGAUUCUACGAAGGCUACAUGAUAGAGAUGAUCCUAAGACUAUUCCAUUAAACACUGUUGAUUUUUAGGUUCUAGUGCAAGAUCUUCCUCAUGGAUUUAGUUCGAAAUUGGUGGCUAGACAAAUGGGGAAUUUCAUUGGGCAGUUUAUCAAUUAUGAUUGUAAAGCUAUUAAUCUUGGCUAUAUCGGGGUUUUGAGGGUAAGGGUUAGGGUGGAUGUAGAGAAAUCGCUAAAACAUAAAAAGAAAAUAGUUUUAUUGAAUGGAACGAUGAGAUAUGUGAAAUUUGUUUAUGAAAAGCUAUCCCCAUUUUGUUUCCUUUGUGGAAAAUUAGGCCACGGAGAGAGCUUUUGUCUGCUACAUGUUUUGCAGGAUGAUCAGGAGCUUUCUUUUGGCUAGGAUGUUUCUUUGAAGGCUCUAUUUAGGCAUGCGACAGCCCUUUCCAGCAGGUGGUUGAGAGAGGAGGGUGCUGGUGCGCCAGGUAUAGAAUGGAGGAAUUUAGGGGGAACACCCUUGUAAUGGGUAAUAUGUAGGAGAGACUGGUGUGACCUAGUAAUGGGCAAUUAAGGCCAAAUCUUGGGGGAGGUAGAUGAGGAAAAUUUGAAUCUAAAUGGUCAGAAUCGGGGUUUAAUUCGGAUGAGUAAAAUAGAUUUGGUUAUAGCGUAAGAUGGGCCAUCAAAUGGGCUUUUAGGUGGUGGUUUUGAUGAUACUAUGGAGGAGGAGAUCCAACAUUUAAUAGGGAAGGCUUGAAGCGGCCUCACCUUUACUUGGCUAAUAGUGAAGGAAAUAACAAUGGAAAUGGUGAUGAAUACUAAAAUAAAAUAUCGACAGGUCUCGCUAAAUGGGCCAGCCGAAAGUAAUAAGGCUCAUUAGAUGGAACGUCUAGGGCUUGGGUAACCCCAGGACGGUUCGUUGUCUUUGGCACAUGCUGAAUGACAUUAACCCCUUUGUAAUUUUUCUGGUAGAAAUGAAAUUACAGAGUAGGUGGAUGGAGGAAGUUUGUAGACCACAUGGUUAUUUGAAUGGUAUUGAUAUGCCUUCGGUGGGGAACAGUGGGGGGCUAUCUCUUGGAUGGAAAUCGAGUAUUUAUAUUACUUUGAGGUCGUUUUCUAAUAGUCAUAUUGAUGUCUUGAUUAAUGAAGAUACUAGUGGGAAGUGUUGGCAAUGCACUGGAUUGUAUGGAGUGCCACAAAAGACUCGUAGAGAAGAAUCAUGGUAACUAUUACGGUAAUUAAAUGAUUGUCCUACUAUUCCGUAGCUUGUAUUCAGGGAUUUCAAUGAAAUAUUAUUUUCAUUCGAAAAGAAAGGUGGCUUGCUACGUAGUGAUAGACAGAUGAGAGCUUUCAGUGCUGCCCCUGAGGAUUGUGAGCUUGAGGAUAUGGGGUAUGAGGGUGUAUGGUAUACAUAGGAACGUGGGUGGUUUGCUAGCAAUAACAUUAUGGAGAGGUUGGAUAGGGCUAUUGCUAAUGGCGUGUGGAGUACAACUUUCCAGCUUUACAAGGUAUCUCAAUUUACACAUUCUUUUUCAGAUCAUUGUCCAAUUAUUGUAGAUACGGAGGAUGAUGGCCAUAGAAAUCAGAUGUAACAUUUCAAAUUUGAGACAGCUUGGCUUCUUGAGGAAACAUGUGAAACUGAGGUGGCACAUCUAAAAGAUUGAGCUAUGUUUGUCUUAGUCUUGAUAAGUGGUUUAAACGGGUUUGUAGAGAAAAAAGAAUUAAGGUGUCCUUUUUGCGCUCUUGUAUUGUUCAUUUGGGUUCAUUAACCUCGUCAGAUACUGUGUUGAAAGAGGUGGUGAAUGCUAAAUUACAGAUAAAUAUGGAGGUUGAUAGAGAAGAAAUCUAUUGGAAACAACGGGCACGAGCAAAUUGGUUAAAAAAAUGAGGACAUGAAUACUAUAUUUUUUCACAAGUUUGCAGGAAGCGGUUAAAUCAAAUUAAUUGCCUUAAAGAUAGUGAUGGCCAGAUUGUUGAAGGGGAUGUGAGAAUGGGAAGGAUUGCACAUGAUUAUUUUGUUAAUUUGUGUUCAAUGCAAUGUGCCAUUGAUGAGGAGGAUAUUCUCUUGGGCGUUGAUAAGUGAAUUACAGACUCUAUGAAUGCCGAUUUAGAUAGACCAUUCACUAAAGAGAAAAUUUUCAGUGCUUUGUUGUCAAUGUCGCCUCUAAAAGCUUCGGGUGAGGAUGGUCUAGGAACGAUUUUCUAUCAGUGUUUUUAGCAUAUUUUGGGAGAUGUUGUGGCUAUUAUUUCAUUGGUCUUUUAAACGGUGAGGUUCCUAUAAACCUUAUUAAUCAUACGCAUAUUGUUUUAAUUCCAAAAGUAAAGAGUCCUCGCAAUAUGAUGAAUUUUCGUCCCAUAAGCCUUUGCAACGUACUUUAUAUGAUUGCUUCAAAGAAUUUAGUGAAUAGGUUUCAAGAAGUUCUUCGAUUUUGCAUUGCUGAGGCACAAAGACAAUUUGUAUCAGGGCAUCUUAUUUCUGAUUAUAAUGUGGUCAUUUAUGAGAUUCUUCAUUCUAUGAAAAAUAAAAAUUUUGGUAAAGAAGGGUCAUUUGCUCUUAAGUUGGAUAUAAGCAAGGUAUAUGAUCGUGUUGAAUGGCGGUUCAUUAAGGAGAUGUUAUUAAAAAUGGCUUUCUCGGUCAAUUGGAUGGAACAGAUUAUGUUGUUCAUCACGUCAGUUACUUACUUAGUUGUGGUUAAUAGAAGGGUGGGGGAUAAGUUUACGCCAUCUCGGGGUCUUAAGCAAGGAGAUCAUUUGAGUCCGUAUCCUUUCUUAGUUUAUGGUAAAGGCUUUCGGCUUUGAAGGGUUGUGAGGAUUUACUUUUUGAAAACUCCAUUUCUUGUUUUGGUUGCUCUAUAUUCAGUAUUGUUAAUGUUUUUGUUGAGCAACUGCCGAUCGGAAUCCCAUGGCUGAGGGUUCUUUUUCGUGUUUUCUUUUUAGUUGUUGGUUUAUUUAUUCGUCUUUUUUCUUUGCUCUAUUCAUCAAUUAAGAGGUCAACUUUUGAGUUCAAAAAAUUUUAAUCCAAUGGGAAAAUAAUAAUAAUAAUAAUAAUAAUAAUAAUAAUAAUAGAAAAUUUUGUUUAGUUGUAAAAAGGGAUAAUACAUAUCUGGUAGAGGAUGAUAUUCUUUGCCUUCUAGCUGUAACACCCCGCACCCAGCCUAAAAGUUUAAGUCGAAUCUGGAGGAGUUACACCAACGUAAUGAAAAUUGAUUCAGUAAAUAUUUAGAAAAUACGAUUUUCGCAACAGUCAAUAGAAAACUAUUUGUUCACUUUCAGAAAACACUUAAGAAAUUACUUAUCUUGCUGUGAAAAACUUUUUCAGAGUUUUAGUGUUGAAAGCCGAAAUCUAUUUUGUUGACUUAAGUGAUUUUGUAGUUUAGUAAAAACCAAGACGAGUUCAGAAACAAAUUACAAACCCAAAAGAUCAAACAUAUUUACAUCAGUGCAAAAAUAAUCUGAGCUCCCACACGUCGUUCGGUCCUAAGUCGGAGGUUUACCUAAACAAAUAAAUAUAAGACAAAGGGGUGAGCUACAAAACACUUUGUAUAACCAACCUCAAGUACAAAUUUACAUGAUACAAUUUAUAUAAAUCAGAGUAACACAGAGAAUUUAAUAGCAAUCAUAUAACCAGAACGGAACAGAUCGGAGUAUCACAAAACCCUUAUAGCAAUCAUACAAUAGAACAAACCAAAACAAAACAGAGGGUAUAUGUUAUGUCAAUGCAGUACUUUCCAAAACAAAUCAGAAUGCAAAUUUAUCAAAAAAUAUCUUACCCAAUUUCGCUACAUACCAAAAUAGAGUUUCUCAGCACUCGUCCAACUAGAUUACACCAGCAGAUAACUAUGGCAGUUUCACUGGAAUUUGCAGUUUAAACUGCCAAAUUAGAUUCAUGUGGUUAAGCCACUAUAUUGUAGCCAAGCUACCAUAAUAGAAUUGUGGAUAAACCACCAGAUAAUACAGAUCAUUAACUACUAGAAACUUCCUCCUUUCACAUCAUCCCAAAUCUCAUGCAAUGCGUCAUGUCAGACAUAUACUGAAUCAGAGUGAUAAACAUGUUGGUCAUGCUAUCGUACAAUAACAGAAUCAAUAGGCAUGGGAGUCCAUGCUUUGUAAAAUUAAGUUAUCAAACCUCAACAAGUCAUAUCAAAUUCGCCAUGAAGACACAUGCAUAGUUACAAAUCAAAAUCAGUACCAAUCAAUUCAACAUAUUCGGAUAUCACAUAUUUUUAAUCAACAGAGUAACACAGAGGCAUACCAUCAAACUUAACAGAAUACAGGUUGUAUCGGGAUAAAUCACAUACCUUAACACAUCCAUCUUUAGUUUAUAUCAAAACAUACAUACGUACAAAUAGCAAAUUAUACACUAAUAGAUUAAUAAUUAGUGAGUUUUAUAGCUUAUUACAGAUCAUACAGACCCUACAAAAAGCCUACGUUCGAUCUGGACAAUGUUCAUGGUCUUAGGGAAAAUUUCAAAAUGUUGACCCACACGCUCGUGUGGAUCCAAACGACCUGGGUGUCUGGCCCAUGUGGCCUGCACGACCUAACAUAUUCCUGUGUGACCCUCUUAAUUUCGUACACGAUACAUCACAUAGUCUAGCACAUGGUCGUGUGGCUCAAAAUAAUGAGUUACAUGGUCUAGCAUACAGCCUUAUACACGCUCGUAUGACCUAAGACCCAAAAUAUCUCUCACAUGGUCUGAACACACGUCCGUUUCCCGAGCUCGUGUGACUUUAAAGUAAAACAGUUUCGAGCACGGCCUGAACACACAUCAUUGUCCCUGACCCAUGUGACCCAAACAGUGCCUUACAUGGUCUACCACACGGCCUGACACACAGUCGUAUAGCAUCAAAAGCGAUGUUUUUUGACAUUCGUAAAUUUUAGAAAUUUGGGUUUUUAUUACCCACAUAAUACAGUUUUGACGUAAAAGUAACCGAAAUGAUCUCGAAACCUAAAAACAACAUUCAAUUGACUAUUUAGACGAAAUAAUUAAACCAAAUUGCUAACUAGCAUACCAACCGAAACUAUGUCAAAGACCUUCAACUCAAAAACUCCAAAUGAGACCACACUUAGCAAUAACCAAACAAUAAUUACGUAGACCUUAAGUUGUCAGGAGAACGUUAAACAUGAGACCUUCAACUAACAAAGAUUUUCACAAGUCAACGUUUACGUUACACAAAACGAAAAAUAACCCCGCCCAACAACAAAACUUAUGCAAGUAUUGGACAGAGAAUACUUACACAAUUGAUUACAGAUUAACCAUGCAAGGAAGUUAGAAGAGCAAAUGCUACAGAGAUUCAACAAAUAAAAAGAAAUGAAAAAAAUGGUAGUAAAAAAUAAAAAGAAACAGAAAGAAACACAACAUGCGAAUGGGAAGUUGAAAGAAUUUUGAUUAAUUUAAAAACAAAAUGAAACUAUCUCACGAGUCAGCAAAAUAAAAACAUUUUUAUAUUGCUUUCACAAAGAUUCAAACACAAGAUCAGAGAGUAUACAGAAGCAUAACCAUUAAACCACUAGGCUCAUCAUUAUCAACAGUUGAGCGAAAAUAAUACUUAUGUCAGAUGUUCAAGAAUAGGGGUUUAGACUAAAAUUGCUAAAAUUCAAAGAAAGGAUUUGAACCUAGAACCUCACACAUACAAACAUAGCACCAAGCCACAACCAAAACAAUCAUUUGUCAUAAAUUUCAAUAUUUUAACUCAACUCAGGACGUAACCAUUCUGGGUUUCACUAAUUCAAUUUCUUCUAACAUGAUUUUUAGGAUGUUACACCGACCAACUCCAAUAUCCAUGUGGGUAGUAGUAAAGGAAUGUUUGAUCUUUAAAACCAUAGGCUUUGCAGGAAGAAAUGCACUCCCCAUAUACUUCUACAUCCUCCUUCCUUCAUUGUUUCCCAGGCUCCUUUCAAAUCCAAUGAUAGAUUGCAAAGUCCUUCCAAGGAAGUUUGAAGAAUUGAAACAUUGACAAUAUAUGAAUUUUCAUGUUGAUGGAUAUUGCUAUCAUUUGCUAUUGCUAGACAUUUAUCAGGUCUAAGUUGCAAUUUUUAUCCAAAGAUCUUAAAUUUGGGAAUUUUUUUUGCAUUUCAACUUUAUUCCACUUUGUGAAUCUUUACAUAUUUCUUUCCUAUAUUAGCUCCGUAGGAAAAACUAAUAAAAAAAAUGUUGUUUUUCCUUUCAAUGUUUAGUGAAAUUGAAAAAUAAGAGAAAUAAUAAGUUUUAAAAAAAUACAUAAUUUUAUAAAAUAGACACUUAACUUUUACCUUAUCGUUUCCUCUCCUAUUUUAUUCUAAGUUAAAGUGAUUAUUUUUUUAGAAAUAAUCAUUUUUUAUUUAAAAUUUAUAUUCCUUUCAUAUUUUAUUAUGCUCUUUUUUAUUUUGUCGUUUUUCUCACUCUAGCAAGCAAAUCAAUGAUUUCUUAAUCUCUCUCAAAUUAAUACAAAAAAAUGAUUCAAAUUCAUCGUUAUUAUUUAUUUAUCAAUAAUCAUUGUUCCAACUGAUAAUCUAUCAUAAUGCUUUAUAUAAUUUUAUAUGAAACAAAAUGUAUUGAUUAAAAUCAAUUUAAUUCAUACGAUAAAAAAAAGAGAGGAUUAUUUCAUCAUCUAAAAUUGUCAGCACAUUUUGAAUUGUUGCAACCUUUUUUACUAAGCCUAAAUUACUGUUGAUGUUCUAAACUUUUAGGAGAUCUUACAGGAGAAGAUACAAAAGGUCUAGGUGGAAUUAUCAAUGAUUGAAGAUUUUCUUGUAACAUUUCUAUCACUUUAGUCAUCGAUGGUCGAUCAGAUGGAUAAGAUUGAAUGCACCAAAGGCUCACAAUAAUCAACUUCCUUGCUAUUUCUUCUUCUUCUUCUUCAAGUAUUACUCCAUUAAGAUUCAAGUUCAUAGACUGAUCAAGAUGCUUAUAAAUCCAAGACGGAAAAUAUACUUCACUAGUUUGAGACACUCCAACAUCAAUAUUUUUUCUUCCUCCCACCAUUUCAAGGACCAUCAUUCCACAACUAUAGACAUCAGAUUUAUAAGAAACUCCACCAAAGUUUCGACAAACCACUUCUGGAGCAAUAUAACCUAUUGUUCCCCUAGCACAAGUCAUGGAAAUGAUACUCUCCUUUCUUUCACAUAAUUUAGACAAACCGAAAUCAGAGAUUUUGGGACAAAAGUUCUCAUCUAAAAGGAUGUUGUGAGGUUUUAUGUCGAAAUGUAAGAUCCUUGUGUUGCAACCUUGAUGCAAGUAUUCGAGUCCUCUAGCGAUGCCAAGUGCAAUGUCAUACAAAGUUCUCCACUCCAAUUGGCAACUUUGAUGAUGCAAUCUUCUAUCAUAAAUAAACCUGUCUAAGGAUCCAUGGGGCAUAAAUUCAUAAACUAAAGCUCUCUUUGAUCUCUCAAAACAAAAGCCAAGUAGACUCACGAUAUUAACAUGAGAAGUUCUACUAAUGCUAGCCACUUCAUUCAUGAAAUCCUCCCCGUUUCCUUUUGAUUCACUUAAAAUUUUGACUGCCACAAAACGAUCUUCAGACAAUUUCCCUUUGUAUACACUGCCAUAUCCUCCUUGACCUAGUUUAUCAUUAAACUUAUUUGUCAUUUUUUUUUAUUUCUGCAUAAGAAUACCGCCUUGGUGUAAGAGAACCAAAGUUUUUGAUGAAUGCCUCAAUCCUACCAUCCUGAUUCUUGUUUCCUUGAUUCGGUAACCAUUUUCUUUUGAGCCACAAGACAACGAAGCAUAUGGCAAUGGUUAUAGCCGCUGCCAAUCCUGCUCAUGGAAUUGGGUCAAAUAAACAAUCAAUUGGAGAUAUAAUAUAUAGAGAAAGUAAGUGAAACAUUUAAGAUAAGAGAAAAAUAAUAGAGCAGUGGAAAACACUGAAAUAAUAACAACAUGCAUAGUUUGUUAGAAAUCUAGAAAAAUGUUAAUAAAUAAUUAGAUAAAUUUUUAUUUAAAAAAAAAAACUAAAACACCAAAGUAGUCUCAUAAAGAUUUAUUAUUUGUUUUAAUGGGUUUUUAUGUAUUAUUUUUUGUUGAACUAAUGUUACUUGAUAAAUAAUACUAAAUUCAAAUAGGGUAAUUUUUUUUAAAGUGUUACAAGUACAAUAUAAAUAUAUGUCUAAGUAAUCAUGAGUAUCAAACUAUUUCAACACAGACUGUCGAGUAACCACAAAAUUAAAUCAAAUAUUUAUAAGUACAAAUGGACUAAGAACUUGUACAAUUUAAACUAAAGCUAACAAACUGAAUUAAAACACACACAUGGCAAUCGCAUGUAAUGAAACUCAGAUACCCGCAUAUACAAUUACACAUGAUGAAUCUCGAACCUUGGUACUCAAAACCACAAUAACGAGUAUUAAUAGAUGCUAAUUGUAACAAAUAAAAAAUCGCUAUUAAUUUAUAAGGAAAAAUAUAAGUUAUUCAAUCAAUGAUACAUAUUUUCAUUAUUACUUUGAAAUCCAGUUAAACUGUAGUAAAAAUGAGUUAAUAUUAUCCGAAGAAAAAGAUUACUUUGGAAUUUUGAAAAAAAAAAGAGAGUAAAAUAAACAAUAAUCCUAUAAUUUUAAUAAUGGCUAACAUAUGAAAUGAUAAUGAAGGGGAGAUUGUGUCAUUAACCUCCGCCCUAUGAUGGCAUGGAUAUUUAAAAACAUCCAGAUUGUUUCAUCCAUUUCUUCUAUUUUGAUUUUUCAAUUUAAUAUCCUAAAAUUAUCUAAUAUUCAAAUGUAAGUAAAGCAUGAGUGUCUAUAAAAAUAUAUGGGGACAGAAUACGUAUUGAUUACAACUGUUGCAUGCACUCAUCCUUUUUUUAACAAAUCUCUUUAUUCAGAGCGCAUCAAUUAAAAUCUUGAAGUUUGUUAUAUGUAAUUAGUAAUAUUUUUGUAAUUUCAAGUUUUGUGUACGUAAGAGAGAGAAAGUAAAAAUCCAGCAAAUUGUUUCAUACCUAUGAAUAGCUUCCACUUGAAUUUGAAUUUGGAUUUGGAGUCUGUAAAUGAAAUAUGCAAUACACUUAUUAUUGGUUGAUGAAUAAACAACAUUUAUGAAAUAUAGCUUGAUGAGUAAGAAGUGAAGGUGGUAUUUUUGGAGUAGGUCAAUGGGUAGGGAAAAACAAAUGGGAAAUGGGUCAACUUUAAUGGCAUCCAAUUCCCAAGUUUCUGGCUUGGGGUUUCCCCAAAACACUGGGUUCUGGGAACCGAAAUCGUACCACUUAAAUCCCACUCCAAGAGAUAUUUGAACAGGUACAGCAAAGAACAAAGAUUGUACCUGGGGAACAAACGUCGCCAUCUGAGCAGUAACAUUCAAAUCCACCUGAGACGAGGUUACGCCCGCACUGCCCACCUUUGUUUACACAAUUAUUACAACGGGUAUCAUCUGCAGACCACCACAGCUGAAACCCAAUUUUAGCCGCUUCUUCCAAAUCAUCUGGAUCCCGGCCUUCCUCCAGUGACGGAACUUGGGAAUUCGGGACUGGAAUAAUCACACUGUUACUGCAAGAUCUCAGGAAAUUGCCGGUGACAGUUCCCGCGAAUUCCCUUGUCACAUAAUAACCUACGAUAUUUGUAUUGUUUAUUGUGCAGUCGAAUUGAUUGGAAAUCCCGAGAAUUGAUGUGAGAUUUUGUGGAGCUGUGAGAGGCUGACAACCAUAAUACAGCCUUAUAUCCUGACUAUCCCCGUUUUGUUGAAAAGGACUGGUUUCACUUUCAAAAGUGGAGUUGAUGAGAUGAGUGGGACAAAGAUUCUCACUGUAAUCCGUUCUAGAGACAUGAAGGGUUUGUGAUUCCUUGUUUAUUGCAAGAACUCGGUAUGUUGCAGAGCUGAUUGUGAUUUCUAGCUCACUUUCACUGCAGCUGAGCUUGAAUCCAGGAUAUCCACAACUUUCCGGCCGAUCCAAUCCCCAGAAAGGGUAACCGAUAUCCGAAAUAUUUCCGCAACUGGACCGAACACUGCAGCUCAAAUAAUUAUUCGAAAACACUGGUUUUGGAGAAAGAAUCAGGACCAAGCUUAUGAUGAUGUUGAUGAAGAACAAAAACUUGGAUGGCAUUUUCGGAGAGGAUGGAGAGCAUUAGUGGAAGAAACUGAGAGUAGUUGAAUAUAAAAUGAGCAUCUGAAAAUGAAUUGGUAUUGAUUGAUCUUCAUGAUCAAAUAGUCGGUAUUUGACUAAUUCAAAGUUGAAAUUUCUCUAUAGGAAACUUCUGUUAUAUGCCACCAUUAAGUGCCAGUCAAAGGAAAUUUAGGUUGCCUACCAUGGCAAUAAUAUAUUAUUAAGCGUGAACUUACAGUGUUGAAACUAUUUUAUUAAAGUAAAUGAGAGUGAUACUUCAAGUCUGGAAAUAUACAGGAAAUUGCAAGCGGAUACAUGGAAUUUCUAGAUUAACAUCUUGGAAACUUGACUUCACAGUGUUGCCAAAGUCUAUGUAUAUAAGCUAUUGGAAGAAGACGAAAAAGUUGAAAUGGAGAAUUAGAUGAAAACUGCAGGGAGAUGAUUGGAGUAUGCUAUAACAUGGAUCAGGUGUAAGCCAGACAUUUAUGCAAAAUAUUUGAAUUCAGGUUGGGCAUUAGUGGAGUCUCAUUCGAGUAUCCCACUAUCAUGGGAACCAAAUUCAUUCUUUAUUAACUAAAGAGUUUAAUUCAACAUAAUCAAGCAGUUUAAUCUUUAUUCCCAACUGAUCUCACGCAUUGAAACUAAGGCAACAUUAAAUAAACUAUUAUUAGUAUUUAAAACAAUUACAAAAUCAUCACUUAAUUACUCAAAAGUUUUUAUUUAAAUCAUUAAGUUGUUAAUUUUUUUUUAAAGUCCGGCUAGUGAGCUUCAAGCUAUAAUUCGAUGACUGGUACGAUAGAUCAAUACCUAUUGACGAGUAAAAGAAUAUAUUUUAAAUCCAAGUCAACCCAUCAAUUGGUGUCAAAGAUCGGAGAAUAAAGUUGUUUGGAUUUUAGCUCGGAGAUUCAUGAUGUUCAAAACUAUUUCAUGAAAAAAAAGACUCGAAUUAUUGUAAAAGAGAAGAAGAAAAAGAGCUCUCAAUUGGUGCGGACAAUUGAACGGAGAAGGUUGUACAACAACGAUUUUUAAUAGUCCAGUAACUUAAAUGAAAACUUUUGAAUAAUUUAAUGGUUAUUUUGUAACUUUUAAAGUUAAAUAAUCAUAAUGUAAGCUGACUAAUAAUUUAGUGAUUGAAUAUAGUUUGCCCUUAAAACUAAAACUCAAUGGAGCUUAAACCGAACCAACUUCCAAACUUUUAAUUUUGUAGGACGAAUCAUUAUAUAGCUUUCCUAAAUGGUAUUUGAUUUAACAAAAUCAAAUUGCCCCCCACACUUGUUAAAAGUGCAGUAUAUAAUGCCUAAAAUUAUCUAUAAUUAAUUCCUAACUCUUAAAUAAGAGGAUAAAUGUGUUUUAACAUGCUCAAACCCCAUCCUUUUUCAUUAGCAACAAUGUCAAUAUCAACUAAGCUAAGACGCAAUCGAAAAUCAGAUUAUUUAAAUUUCUAUUAUUGCUAUUGUUUAUGAAUGUAAUAAUUAAUUUUAAUUAUAAGAUUUCGUAUAAUUAUAACAUGUAAUCUUAAAAUAUAUUUUAUAAUUGGUAAUUUCGUCCUUUUAGUUAUAUAUAUUAAUUAAAAUAUAUUAUAUAUAUUUGUCAAAAAAUGGUUACAAAAACUGUAACCUUUCAAAAAUAUUAUGAUAUUGAGAAAUUAAAAACAUAACAAUAUAAAUAUAUAGUAUGUAGAAUCUUGAUAGUUUUUAAAACAAUAUAAAUGCAUUGUCAAUAUAAAUUAAAAACCAAAAAGAAAUUAAUAACUAAAAUAAUUUUAAAUUAAUACAUAAAACAAUAUUUUAAGUUAGUUUUAAAACAUGAAUUAAUUUUAUAUUUGUAAAUAUAGUUAUUUAACAAUUUUAAAAAGUGCUUAAAAUUAUCAAAUUUUUAAUAAACAUUUACGCAAUUUGAGUCUUUAACUAAUAUUUAUUUAAUUUCAUUUUUUAAUAAAUGUUUAUAAGAUUAUGGCGAGGUUGUGAAUGAAUAAUUAAUAGUUCUAAUAUAAAUUGGAGUUCUAUGAUAAAAGCAAUAAUUAAAAAAAUCAAAAUAUGUUUAAAAGGUAUUGAAUUUUUAAUCAAUGUUUAAUACAUUUUUAAUAAUAUAUUAUUUAAGAAAUAAGUAUAAUUUUUUUAGAUUAUCCAUGUAUGAGAGCAGUGGCGAAUCCACUAAGUUCUAAAAUGGAAAGUUUUCAGUUUAAAAAAUUUUAAAUUAGUAAUGAUAAAAUUAAACUUUAGGCACUCCAAAAAAUGAUAAAAAAUUGAUUUAAUCAUUUAAAUUUUAUAAAUAUAUAAGUUAUUAAAAUGAUAAAAUUGUAUUUCUACUAUCGUAAAAAUAUACAAUUUAGUUGUGUCCCCCAAAAAAUUUUGUUUGGCUUUGCCCCUGUAUGAUAGGGUACUAUUCAUAAAUUUGAAAUUUAGUUUUUUAUAUUUUUAUUUAUAAGAAUUAUAGUUUUUUUUUACUUUUUAGAUUUUAAAAUUCAAGUCCAACCGUUAACACUCUUAAAUUUAUUUGUGGUUAUUUUUUGAAAAUAUUUGUUUUUGAAUUAGAAGUUAUUUUACUAUUUUAUUGAAUAUUAUUUAAGACGAAAAUAAAAAUGUUAAAAUAGAAAGUACUUUUAAAAGAAAUAAUACCAAAAAAUCAAGUAGAGCAUGUGUUGAGUCGAACCCGAAUUAUGCAACAAACACAAACGAAAAUCGAGAAAAUUAGAUAUAAAUAUCUAUUGGAUAAAACAAAUCACGGGUAAAGAAAACUUGACAGCAAAAAUCAAAAUACAAAAAUUUCUCGAAAUUCUCAUAAAUUCUCCCUUAAUUUUGUUGUUGUUAUUCUUAAUAGGCUUAUUUAUAGGUUGAAUUUCGUGUACAAAUAUGACUAAAAUAUCUCUGGAAUAAUCAGAGUUAAAUAGGAAAAAUAUAACAAAGUUUAACUAAGAGAAGAAAUCAGAUUAAGUAUGGAAUAUGUCGUCACGUCGUGACGUGGCAUGCGAGGCGCCCUUCAUCAUGUCGUCGAGACAUGGAAAAUCCUCUUGUCAUGAUGUAGGUGUCGUGUCAUCAAGAUGUUGGCUCUUCUUCGUUCCGACAUCAACCCUAUUUUAUCCAAAAUAUGAAGGAAACUCCACAACAUGUCUCCUUUUGAACAAAUACAAUUUAAAUUAAUAUUUGAAAUUUUCACAUUAUUGAAAAUAUGGUAAAUAAAAUAAUUAUGUUAUUGCAGUAUGCAUUACUGAAAAUGAGAAACAUAAAUUUAGAUGGGAACACAGUUUCUGAUAGAUUGAAGAAUGGCAUUUAUAGUUGAUUUUGUCAUGUGGGAUUAAAUAAAUAAUCAAUAUAAAGGGAAUGAGAUACCAUUAGCAAUUUAAUUGUAUGCUAUAAAAAUCGUUAAUUAUGUUGCAAACUGGUAAAACCUGCCACUUUUGUAGUGCAUGAAGAACCCACAAUUCCAGCGACGUGUGUUUAAAUAAAUUUAUUUGUCAAAUGUAAUAUAACUCUUUUUAGUGCUAUAAUUUUGAUUUCUUGCCAUUUAAUUUGGAAUUUCAUAAACGUUAUAAAUUUUACUUGCUUAAUAUAAAAAUACGUGUUAAAUAUUAUACAAUGCCGUCAAACUUGAGAAGCUGAGAAUUGGGCUAAAACUCAAGAAGUUUCCAUGUUUGAUUAAAACCCACCUAUAGAAUAUAUUCAAUUUCAAUAAAAUCAUUAUUCUCACUGUCCAUCCUAGUGUCUCCUCAAGAGUAAAACUAUCACUAAUGACUGCAGUUUUAACUCCCUCUUUACUAACGCCAUUUGCUUCUUUUGCUCUACGAGUAGAGUUCUGAGUAUAAGAAUUCACCCAAAUCCAACAUAAAAGACAAUUCAAUAUCCAUCGUAAUCAUAAUUAUCCUCAUACUCAUAUUCAGUGUCACCGUAAAAAAUUCCUCCAUAUCCAUCAUCAUCAUUGUCGUUAUAUUCAUCUUCUAAAUCACCUUCUUUGCCAAUUUUAGAAGCCUUCUCCUCCUUUUCAUCUGAAUUUGAUUCUAUUCUUUGUUUCUUGGGUUUCUCUGUAACCUGUUAUACCAAAGAAAUCCUAAGAUAACUUCAUGAAGUUUUUUUGUUUUUUAAAAAACAAAUCCCUCUAAAGCAACCCUAUGUUAGUCCGACUCUGAAGUAUCCAGGUUGAUGCGUUGAGAAUAAUCAUAUCCAACACUUCCAAGUCGGAGUAACAUAGGUAUCAUACCACCCAAAUGAAUAAGUCUUUGUCAAAUACAAUAAGGGAUACAAAAGAAAUUACCAAGUAUUUGUUUGUAAGUUCGUGUCUACGGUCUAACAAUCAAUUUGAAACAUUAAAACAAAUUAGGCAUAAACAUACCGGGUCAUCAAAGAGCUUCUCCAAUGCAUCAUAGUUUAUUUUUGAACUUAAUCUCUGCACAGAACCAAUACAAGUAUAAGCAUUCAAGGCAAAAGUUAAGCAAUUCGGUUAGUAGAAUCCAUAUAAAGUACUAAAAUGACAGUUUUACUAGUAAACAUCCAUACGUGCAUGAAACACUUGAAAAAUUAUAGAACCUAAACAAAUGCAUGAUUAUGACAACAACUGUAGAUUGCAGAAAUGCGUGAAUGCUAGGCCUGUCAAAUGGAUCCAAGCAAAAUCAGCAUUUUAUUUUCAGGAUCACUUUGUUCGACUCCGGGGUGGUUAUCAAGGCAUAGCUAAUCUGUCUACUAACUUUUAAAUCUCAUUGAGAUUGUCUGCAAAAGGAGUAUCAGAUUAAUCUCCUGUUCAAGGUUUCCAUUUCAGUUAGGUAAUUGCCUGAUGGGAUUAAAUAAGAAGCCAACUUUUGACAUUAUUUUAACAAACAAAUUCCAGGCAUCCUAAAAUUUUUGAAUUGCAUAAUGUUUAUACAUGCCAAGAAAGUGAUAUAUUAACAAAUUUUGAUGUCUUCUGGUGAAAAAACAAGAGACAAUAUUGUAGUAUUUAGUUUCUUAACCUGUUCAACCAUAUUCUUCCAACAAAGAUGAAGCUCUUUUCAGUAAAGUCUUGUGUAAAAGGGAUUUCCUUUUUUCUUUUUUAAAAAAAGACCUAAAUCUUUUGAUUGCUUAUUAUUUUAAAAUUACAGAAUAAUGAGGCAAUUUUACAGCCAUCUGGAGAGAUUAUUAUUAGUUUUAGUUUCAUUAACCCAAAAUUACUUUAGAUCUUAAUUACUAUAACACUACAAUGUUCCCAUUUCAAAGUGCAGUUUCAUCAUAAUCACAAAUCUAUUCAGCCACGCGGUACCCCUUAGGCCAAAACAAGAAAGAAAGGCUAUCUAAUACCUUCCUAACCAGCAUUCGCCGGGUUGCCUCGGCAGCAGUCUGAGCAGGACCUGCAUCUUUUUCUUCAGCAGCUCGCUUUUGUUGCCUCUCCUGUUAAUAUAACAAAAGCAAACCAAAAAAAAAGAAGAGAAAAACAAGCUAAAAUAGAGGAAAGAUUUCUGGAAACAAUAUAUCUUAAAAAGAUAAGUACCAUAAUCUAAAGACGAUCAUGGUUGGACAUAAGAAUUACAUCUUGCAACAUGCUAAUUGCUAAGCUUAGAACAAUGCUCAUAAUUAAAAAAGAAAGACAAACUUUGCAUCAAGCCAUAGUGGCAAAAGUCAGCUGAAAUAGAGAUCAAGAAUUAAGUGCAUGCAAUCCAGCUAUUACGUGUGGUACCAUUUAUAGUUUGUUUUGCAUUUUCAUUUUAGCCUUUUAGAUAUUGCCUUCCAUGUCUAUCUUAACAAUAAGUAAUAAAGUACAAGAGGUGGCUUGCAUUUCUCUUGAUAUAAUUUUCAGAAAUCAGGAAACUUCCAAUUUUUCUUGAUAUUCAAGAAUCACCUUUCUAGAUUUUGCCACUAGUUCUGCAACAUCUGCAGCAAGCUUCUGUGCAGCUUGGAGAUCCUCUGGGCAUUUAUCAUAGUUGGCCAUGCAAGCCUCCUUAGCUGCUGCUGCAGCUGCUUCCUUGGCUGCUUGUUCCUGCAAAGAUUGCAGUAUGAUUAAGUUCCUGUAACUAGCUAGGUUUAUUUAUUUAUUCAAUAAAUUCAUGAAAGGAAAGUCGAGUUGCAUUUUCCAUUUACCUUCUAACACACAAAUGCACUGAGACUCAAAUAAAUUAUAUCAAACAAUUUCACAGAUUCAGGGCUCAAUUUGACCAAAAGUAUGAGAAAAACCAUCUAAAAGUCCGUCUUUUCAAUAGUCAAAUAUAUCUGAAUUGUUCUUCAAGGAGAAAUCAUCCUCUUAUGUAUGUUUUUAACUAGAAAGAUACAAAAUGCUUUUCCAAUGCCCUUACUUGAGCACAUGCCAAUGCAUGAAUAUUGCAUUUAAUCUGUGAGAUUAGAGUAGAGGAGGCCAAAAUAAUGUUGUACUUAACAAAGUCAUGGUUCAAAUCACCUCAACAUAUUCCCGGUUCAUUUCUUCCCAAAUGAUCUUUUUGAAAUGCUUCUCCUCCUCAUUGUGAAGGUAACCAUCAACCUGAAAAUGUAAUAAUGAGUAGUUCCCAAGAGUGAUAAGAAAAUGAAAGUAAGAAGAUAAAAUUUAAUGCACAUAUACAUAAAUGCAUGCAUGCAUUAAUAAAGACAUAACAGUUUAAAAGGCAUGAAAAUAUUGUUGAGAAAAGGUGUACACUGAAGGCUAUUUAUAUGACUAGAUCUCAGGAUGGUUGAUUCUGUACCAGACCAACCAAACUCACCUCCUAAGAAAGUUAUGAAGAACCAAACUCUAAAUACUGAAGAGUAGACCUGAACAAUAAACUGAGAGUAGACCUGAACAAUAAACUUAGUUUAGGUAAAUUGUAGUCAGUUCUUGAACAUUUUUCCCUUUCAAAUUGACAAUUUUGUAUUCUGAAGACUCAACUUUACAGAUCAACCAUUAUUUAGACCUAGAGUAGCUCAGAAGAAACUAUAACAAUAGCGGUGCUGAUUGCAUAAGACAGACAACCACCCAAACGUUCAGGAUUACUUUGGUAGCAGUGAUCAAAGCUGAAUUUAAGCCCAGUUGACUUCAAAUCAAGUGUAGAGCAUCUUAGAUGGUUUAUGAAUGCAAGGAAAAAAGAUGAUAUGCAAGUAAAAGAAGCAAAACAGUUAAGCUAGUCAAAGCUCAAGAAACUUGAUGUAAUUUACAUAAUUCUAUAUACAUCUUAAAACAAUAUUCCAUUAGACUAGGAAAUAUAACCAAUGUAGUUAGUUUAGCACUUGGGUAGAGUAUGAAGUACUUUUGUUUGUUGAAGUUCCUAUGGACAAUGCAAUGUCAAAAUACAAGAAAGCAGACUUAUUCUGCACCUCAAUAUCAUCAAUAUCAGAAAAGUUAUCCGAUCCAUCAUCACUAUCAUCAACUCCAGGUAACUUAUCAUUGUCACCCUCACCAAUGGCUGCCUUGUUAGUAGCAUCCUCUAAAAACCCUGAAAAAUACCUUUUCUAAUAAAAGAUCUAGGGCAUUUAGAUAAAAAAGUCCAAUUAUUAAACCAUGUCAUGCAUGAUUACUCAUGAUAAUAAAACUUACCACUAUUUUCAGGUAUUUCAGAUCCACUUGCAAACGUGCUGCUAGAUAUGCUCUGGGUUAUCAAAAACAACCACAACAAUGAAAUAUCGUGCUAAAGAAUGAAAGUUAAAACUAUGCAGAAGAUAACCUCAUAAUAAAUAAUAAAAAGAUUCAAGUGUCCUGUCACAAAAAUUUGAGAGAGGUUAAUCUCUCAUAAUUAAGCAACAGAACAAUUAAUAAAGUCUUCAUUACUAAGUUUUUAAACUAAAAAGAAGACAGCACCAAAUUAUGAGAUCAGUUGGCACAUGAGGAUGGAGGAGAGAAUAAUUCUGCAUGCUCACAUGAAUCUCACAAUCCAGAAGAUAACCUUAUGAUAAAUAAAGGUAAAAAAAAAUCCAAGAGAAGAAAGGACUCAAGCGUCCUGUGACAAGAUUUUGAGAGUUCAGUCUGUCAUAGUUAAUCAACAUAACAAUAAAUAAAUUCUUUACCAUUAAGUGUUUAAACUGAAAAGAAUGACAGCACAUUAAGAGAUCAGUUAGCACAUGAGGGGGGGAGGGGGGCAUUGUGAGAGAAUAACCUUUUUGCAUGCCCAUGAUGUGAAUCUUGCAAUCCAAAAUAUAUGAAGUGUCUACAAUUCAGAUUCUCAACAUUCACUGUCCUUAAGCCUUUAAAAAGGUAUAAUUACAGAACUUACUUUAUUAUUUUCCUCAAUAGAUAAUUUUGCCAUUCUCUCUUUCUCAGCCCGUUGGAAUGCAGGUGGAUCUGACCCUCCAUCAAUCCCUCCUGAAACCUUCAUGAACUGCACGAGCCAGUAACAGCAUGAACUUCAGCUUCAAUGAUAAAACAGUUUCCAGUAGUACAAUUGUAGUGGGUCAAAGAAUAUAAAAAGGUACAAAAAAAACAUGGGUGCCACCUCUUCAUAACAUUCAUUACAAAGUCCAUAGGCAAAAGGUUUUCUCCCCACAUGCCUACAUAGCACUUCAUCUAAGCUGGUUUCUUUUGACCCAAUAUUUGGGUGUUUUUCAGUUAAUGAACUAGUUCGAAGCUCCCUCUCCUUUUCCGUAAAUUCCUCCAUCUGGUCACAAGUUCAAAACAAAGGAGGUAUUUUCAAGAAAUACGAAGGAGGAAAAGUAACAAGAUGUGGAAUACAACAAAUUCAACAUGACACCUGAGGUAAUGAUGAAAAAUUGGCAUCAAUUUUUUCAUAAAAUUAGUUAGAUACUCUGUAGUGUGAAAAAAAGUAACAUCAACAGUAAUAAUAGUAAAGAUUUAACAAUCAAAUUCUAGCAUAAGAAAAAAAUAAUUGUACUGACACAAGUUACAAUUACAACAACAACAAAGCUUUUUUCGCCCAAGAUACUGCAAGCCUUAUAGAUCGGAUUACGCCAUCAUGCUCUACUUAGGACCAUAUGCAGAUAGAAAGUCAUAUCAACAUCAAAAGGGGAAAAAAAAUUCAAACUACUGUAAGCAUCAGUUGAAUAUGGUUCUUCAUUCCAUAGUUUCUAAUUUACAAUCUUAUUCCAUUACCAAUUUCCUAGCACAAUGUAGUUCUAUUUUACCAUGCACAAGUAAAAAAAUGCAUACCGUUAAGGCUCCAGAGUCGGUAUUCUCAAAUUCAAUCAACCGCUUUGACAAUGUUGCUUCACAAAUGUGAACAACCUCUAUCUGAUAAACAGACCUUAAUUAACCGAACAAUUUAAGAGAGAGAGAGUAUAAUAAGCAAAAGGGGGGAAAAAACAAGAAUCAACAUGAAUCUAAGUAAAGAAGAAAUUGGAAAAACAAAAAAUUAAACUGCCCACAAGCAUAAAUAAAUAAAUAUAAUGAAAUAAAUUAAACUGAAAAAACAAAAAUUCAUUAUCUAGCAGAUGCUAAAUGGUAAUAUCAAGCUAUCCAGUAUUGUUAUGGCUUAAGGCUGUCGUGGAUUUAUUUUGCUUUUGCUUUUUCAUUUUUAUCGUAUUAAACUUCAGUUAUUUUAUGCCUCCACCUUUUAGUACCAUGAUGCUAAAGUUUACUUUACGGAAAAAGAAUAAAAAAUAAAUAAUAAUAAUGACAACAUGGACAUGUGCAUAUUACUACAAUGAAAAUUGUAGAGGGGGUCUUAGACAGGGCAGUGAGGCAUCUAAAACUCUCCCUACUCUAGCUUAGGCCAAGACAUGAACCUAAUCCAACACCACCUAAUAUGAGUUAGGACCUUAUUUAGAAUGUGUAUGAGAACAAUCAUGACAUGGUUGGAAGUUAAAACAUCUACUGAAUUUCAAGCCCCUAUCAUAAAAUUAAAAUUGCAAAGCCUGUCAACCAAAUAGUAUAAAUAAAAAGUAAAAACUUAUAGAUUUUCAAGCAAAAGGAACAACAACAUAUGAUUAUUAAAGAAGGCAAAAAACAAAAAGGUAUGAACUAUAACUUACAAUCUUUGACUUAGAAAACUUCAGACCAUGUGAAAGUGCAGAAAUGUACAGUGCUGCACCACAUAAUCCACUGGGUUUCCGCCCUGUCUGUUAAUUUGUGUUACAGUAAGAUUUUAACUCCAAAAAUUACCUAGAUAAUACACAGAAUCAAAAUAAAGUACUUUUGAAUAAAAUCACACCUGCAUCCAGUCCCGUUUCAUGCUAGCUAAAAUGUCCCGUGCAGUUUUAACAACUUCAUCAUUUCCUUCUGGAAUCAAAGCUGCAAAGUAUAUUGGUUAUUAUGCAUGUCUAUUAUGCAUGUCUAAGUUCAACGCACAAACACUGGGAGCAUGCGAUCAACUAAAAAAUCUCAAGGUACAGAAAUUGAUUAAGCAACUUACCAUUUGUAAAUUUAUGAAUAAAAAUUGAAGGAUCAAUUAGUUUCGGAAGAUCCUUUGAGUCAGCAAGGUACAGCACAUAGCAAAGUUGCAGAUAUACAGAGCCAAGCUCAUAACUGAAGAAGAAACAACAGAACAUCUGUCAAAAAAAAACCUCAUCACGCAGAAACACAGAGAUAAAGAAUUAUCGAGCAAGUUAAAUUUGUUUAAAAGGGGUAGAAAGGGGGAAAAUUGCUUACACAUUUACAUGUAAAUAAUGUGAAAAAUCAAUAAGAAGGAAUGGCUUUCCCUUUUGCCUGCCAAAAAUUAUAUGGUUGAGGAGGGAAAUAGUUCAACAGUUCAAAGAACAAAAAGAAACAAAAAAGUGAUAAAAAGGAGGGUAAACAAUUCAACCCUAAAUUGAAGAAGAAACAAAAAGAAUCAUGUCGCUCAUGAUAGCUCUCCCUCUUUCUCUCUUCCUCUCCCUCUACAGUUCCCUAUCCUGACUCUUUCAUUCACUGACUGAUUUGUGUAUCUCUGCAAUGAUCUAAUUUUCAAGAAAGUAUAGAGCUAAUUUGAAUAUUUAAUAUGGCUCUUACGAGCACAGCAUGAACCUUUUGUGUUUUUUUCAACUAGUGGACCACUAGCUGAAAGAGAUCCCAUCCAAUAUUUUCUUUCUCAAUUCCAGACCAGCAAUAUUCUUUCUGCAUUCCAACCCCAGCCACAAACACAUCUGUUUGACCAAUAUCAAACCCUAAAAUACAAGACUCUUACCCUCGUUCUUGAAAAUCCUAGUCAACAAAAUAAUCUUUAACAAUUACAGUAUUACCCACCUUUUCCUAAGCCAAACUCAAGCAAAAUCCAUGACCAAAAAACAUAUACGAGAAGAUGAAGUAAAGAGUCACAGCUUAUUGUGUUUUGCAGAAGAAAAAGUAGCCAAUACUGCACAAAUUUCAAAAAAGAUUUGAAAGGAAAAAAGAUCAGAUACUUCCCAUAAAUAAAAGGAUAGAAGGUAAAGAAUCACGCUUGUUAUUUUACAAAUGAGAACGAGAGGUUUGAAGUAGUAGAAGUUACUACCAUCUGCAUGACCCUAUAUUUUAGUGAAAAUAUGCAUUUGUAAGUUACAUGAGUGAAAUUUUAUUUUAGCAAGUGCUUAUGCACAUAAUCAGUAGACGUCUACAUGUUUGUUUAUUAAACUGAGAUAUAAACAGCUGAAUCAUCACAUUUAAGUUUAAGACAAUAGACCAUGUUCGAAUUCAGGCAAUAGUAUUUCCAUGUAACCACAUUACAAGUUUAAGAAAGAAGAAAUUCCUCACCGACAGGCAAGGUAAAGACAUGCAGCCUGUACUAGCUCUGAUCUGCGUCCCUUAGUGAAAUUCCGUUCAAGGCCAACCUUCACAGUAAAUAUAAAAAUAGCUUAAAAUAUUGAGGGGGGGGGGAGGACAAAAAUAACAAGCAUGAAAUGAAAGUUCCGAAAAAGAAAACAUACUUCAUAAAACCGUAAAGCAACAUUAGCAACAUCAUCACUAUACUCGUCAAUAAGCAAUCCAGUCUUCAAAGAUCUGAUACCAUCAAGAGCUGUAUCACCAUGAAAUUAAAACCAGAAACAAGAUAUUUACAAGUCACAUUGCAAUAAGUGUGUAAUGCUAACACAUAAUUAGCCACGACAACAAACUGAAAUAACACAUAAAAGUAAAGUUGAGCCUGCAAUAAAGAUGUCAAAAGGUUUUGAAAUCAGAGCACCCUGAAAGAGCGAAUUUGAUGAAAUGUAUAAAUAAUCCUUUAUCAAAAGUUGGCAACAUAUAGCUUCUUGCAUAACAUAGAUGCAACUUAAUAAAGCAUACCUUUAGCUAUGGUAUGCUGGCGUGAAUCUGAAAUGCUUUGCGUAGAUUUCACAAAAUUUCCAGAUAGUUUGCUCUGGGAACAAAGUGAAAUUAGCAACAGAAAUCAAAAUAAAUGCAAGUCAAAAACAAGAAAGCAAAGAUCAAGUUAUCAACAAACUAAACAAAGGGAAACAAAACUUGAACUCCACAAUUCAAUGCACUUCACUCAAUUAAAACACGUCUGACAAUGAGAUUAGCUUGCCAAUUUCUUCUUCUGUUUGAUGGCAUAUUCAGCCAGCCAUUCUCGUAGUUAGGAAACUACAAAUAGCUAGUAAGAAGUAAUUGUCUAUGACAAAAACAAUGAACCUCGCACAAAAUUUAAGAGUACAUAUCACCUAGCUUAAACCUAACUCGCAUCUAUUCAACUAAAUUUUACCAUAACAUAGUUCCAAACAUAAAAAUUACGUAUAAAGAAAGAAACAUUACUUGGCCAGAUGAAUCUUUAACGAAUUGAGGUUCGGUUGCAAAAAUGCAAUCUUCCAACACCUUCCCGCAAAAAGUGCAAGACCUACAGAAGAGAUAAAUAAGUAAAAUAAAUAAUGAAACAAGAAACUGAAAUUUUCUCCAAAAAAGACCCACACUGUUUAUGAGCAAGAAAUCCACUUACAAAAGACCGUCGUCGACGCGUUCUCCAGUAACGUUUCUGGAGCAAUUAUUACAGUAAACCAUCCUGCUCAAUUACGAAUUUAAAAUUCUAAAUAAAAGAAUAGCGCCUUCUUCUUUCCCUUGCCUUCUUUUUCUCAGCAAUCAAAUUGAAACUAUGAAUUUUUCAAAUUUAGAGUAUGAAAUCAAAGUUAGUAAUAAAAAGAAUAAUUUAGAUCAAAAUAGAUUUAUAAAAGCAAUCGGAAGAAGAAAUUUAGGAAGGAAAAACGAAAAAAAAAAAAGAACGAAAGAAAUUGGAGGCUGAGAAGGAGAGGGAAGAGUGAGUCACUGAGUUGGGAAUUAGUGGAACGGUUAAGAGAUGACGUUACGUUUGGAUUUAGGGACGAGAUGAAAAAAACCGGGCCGAUAGGUUUCAAACCUAUCAUUUAAUUUUUUUAAUUAAGGUAGAGAGUUUUUUUUUUUAAUUUAAACUUCAUGAUUUAAUGUCUCAAAUAAGAAAAUAAAAUCAUAUUAGAUAACUUCAGAUUAUCAUUUCUUAGCUAAAUUUCUCCUAAUUAAUCUAAAAAAUUGUUGCCUAAAAUCUCUUAAAAAGAUACUAAAAAAUAAAUAUUUAAUUAAAUCAAAAUACAAUAAUAUAAUAACCAAGUCAACCAACUUAAUUGCAAAAUAAAUUACAAUUAACUAUUGCAAUUUAUAGUAGCAUAAUUAUUAGAUACAUAGAAUAAUUGUAACAUAGCAUGUCACUAUUUGAUUAUUCCAUCAACCAUAUUAAUUUUUGACUGCACAAAUAUAUGAAUUUUUUUAACAAAAAGGACAAAUUUUUUUUAAUCUAAUGUGCAAUGACUAGUUUGUCCAUUUUCUGAGUAGCAAGGACAAAAUGCAAUUCAACUAUAAGUAUAGGGACUUCCAUGAUACUUUUACCCUCUAUUAAAUAUACAAAUAUAACACAUUUAAAGAACUCAAAGUUAAUACUGAUAAAUACAAAAAAAUUUAUUUGAUUUUUUAUGCAUUUAAUAAUUUAUGUUUACACAAUAAACAUUUAAAAUAUAUUUAAAAAAUAUCAAUUAAAAAAUUUAUGAAAUCAAAAUAUAUAAUUUAUUAAAUUUACUUAUGAUUGCUUCAAUGUGAACAAGUUACUCAAGUUAACAAAUAUUUGCAACAUCUUAAGUGGGUCGUGGCGGCAGUUCUAAUGAUUGAAGGCUCCCUUGCAACAUUUCUAUUACUUUAGCCAUUGGCAGCCGAUCUAAUGGAUUGGUUUGAAUGCACCAAAGGCUCACUGCAAUCAACUUCUUUGUUAUUUUUUCUUCCUCUUUUGUUCUUUCUUCGUUAAUAUUCAAGUUCAUAGAUUGAUCAAGAUGCUUAUAAAUCCAUGAGGGGAAAUAUGUUUCACUAGUUUGGGACACUUCGACAUUGAUAUUUUUUCUUACUCCGACCAUUUCAAGAACCAUCGUUCCGUAACUAUAGACAUCGAAUUUAUGAGAAACUCCCCCAAGAUUUCAAAAAAACACUUCUGGAGCAAUAUAACCCGUUCCAACUGACGACUUCGAUUAUCUGAUCCUUGACUAUAAAUGAACUUGUCCAAUGAUCCUUUCGGCAUGAAUUCAUAGAUCAAAGCUCUCUUCGAUCUUUCAAAGCAAAAACCAAUUAAAGUCACUAUAUUAACAUGAGAAGUUCUGCUAAUGCUAGCUACUUCAUUUAUAAAAUCCUCUCCAUUUCCCUUCAUUUUUCUUAAGAAUUUAACCGCCACAAGAUGAUUGUUGGAUAAUUUUCCUUUGUAUACACUUCCGAAACCUCCUUGACCUAAUUUAUCAUUGAAUUUAUUUGUCAUUUUCUUGAUUUCUUCGUAAGAGUAUCGCUUUGGAGCAAAAGGACCAAACUUUGUGAUGAAUUCCUCAAUCCUAGCAUUGUCGUUCAUCUUUCCUUGGCGGAGAUAAUUUGAAAAUAAUUUUCCUUUGAAACUUAAGACAAUGAAGCAUAUAGUAGAAAUCGAUACAACUCCCAUUUAUUAAGUGAUCAUUGAUGUUAAUUAAUAUUAUGUUUGUUAAAAUUUGCUCAAUCAAUAUUUUAAUUAAUUAUAUUAUUGUCAUACAUUUUUAUAUUAUGUCAUUAUCAUUAUCCUUAUCCUUAUUAUAAUGUAGUAUUAUUGAUUGAACAUUUUAUUUCAUCAUUCAUGUUGUCGUUUUGUUAAUACCAUCCUUUCGUCAUCAUCAUACAUUGUAAAUAUUGCUACUUAUAUUCAUCCAUUUUUCGGCAUAAACGCAUAAAAAAAUGACUUUGAACCAAGAUGAUAUUAUUUAUUUAGAGAAUUUGACAAAUUGUACCCUUAACUUACGAGGUACAAUUUUUUUCUCUUGAACCGAAAUAAUCAAAUAGCCCUUCCUUUUAAAAAAACAAUAAAUAAUAAAUAAAAAUAUAAGAUUUAAGCAAUAUUUAAAUGGUGAGCAUUCUUAUUUUCAAAAAUUCGAGAUUUUGUGCCCCAACUUACGAAACAUGAUUUUUCGUCUUGAUCAACCCGAAAUGAGAAAAACCUCAUUAAAAAUUCAAUUUAGAUCGGGAUUUUUUUAAUAUCAUCAAAUAACAUCAUGCAAAGAGGGAUCAUAUUUUAAAUUCUCUUCAAAUUUUUAAUUUUCAACAUUGAGACAUUAAGUAAUCAACUAGGUACCAACUUUGGGCUUUAUGAAUGUGUUAACCCUUCCACAUACGUAACCGACUCUCGAACCCAUUUCUUGGAUUUUGUAGACCAAAAACAAUUAUUUUAGUAAAUCUAACAUUUUAUUAAAAUGACCAAAUUUUGAGGUGAUGCAAUCAUAUCUAAAUAAAAAGGAUUUGUGGCAACUCUAUUUUCAUUUUAAAAUAAAAAGUGGAUCUCCAAAGAGGUUUCGACAAUUAUUAUACUAAAAAAAUCAUAAUAUUUGUUUUUAUAGGUUUUUUUGAGGUGACAAAAAAUGGCCGACUAAAUAAGCGGGCAUACUAAAAUAGGAUGGAAGGCGUUUAUAAUUUAUUAACUUUUCAAGGCAUUAGCCUCUCUUGAUUUGUACCAAAAAGAAAACUUAGCAGUAUAAUCAAACUUUCACUUAUUAUUAUUGAAAAUUUUCAAUUCGAGGUUAAGCACAAAUAAUCGACAUGACAAUCAAGCUCAUUUUCUUCUUUAGAUAAAAAAUCAUUAUCUUAAAUCAGAAUUGAGAGAUUGAACUAAAUUUUCAACUUUAAAGAUUAAACUUUAAGUUUGGAGUCAAACUUGGUUGAAGUACACCCUAGUAAUACCACUAUUGAUGUCGUUUUGUACUGACUAUAUAGUCAAAUCAUGGAUAGUAACAAUUUGUUUGGUUUUUCUUAUCAAAACCCAAAUUAUUUGAUUCUAAUACUAUUGUUAUUGUUGAGGAAGUUUUCGAAAUGUCAUUUUCGGGGACAUCGACAAUAGGUCAAGGGGUUCGAAUCUCAUGAAGGGUGAGACACUCACAUCGCCUCUUGAUGGGUGGUUGUACAUCGACAUAUGGUCGAGCGUUUCCCUCUGUGAACUGUAAAUGGCUCUCUGCAUAGCGGGAGAUAAAACCCUCCCCUAGGGGACAAUACUUUCUACUGUUGAGAAACUUGAUUGACAUUUUUAAAGACAAGACUUCGAAAACUUCUCUAAAUAUAUUCAAUCUCAUUUUCACCUAUAUUUUCACUUUCAACAAAAUCAUACACAUUGUCCAUGUGAAUAAACACCAAGCCAUAAGCAUUAGUUAAUUUUCCAAUUUGGCAGGUAGUAUUAAAAAGUAUUGUAAAAAAAAACGUAUCAAAUUUUAUGUUACGUUUCGAACGAUUGUUUGUUUAAUCAAUUUUUGAUUCUAUUAGAAAUCAUCAAAUAGAUCCUCAUAUAUUCUGCAUGCCCUUAUUUGCAUUUUUUCAUAUUUAUAACUCUCUUAAAUUCACGAACACUACAUGUUUAAUAGAUUUAAAAAAAUAGACACGUGUUUAAUGAACAAUUUCCACAAAAAUGUUUAAGUAGGUCGUGGGGGAAGUUCCAAUGAUUGAAUGCUUCCUUGCAACAUUUCUAAUACUCUAGUCAUUGAUGGUCGAUCUAAUGGAUUGGUUUGAAUGCACCAAAGGCUUACUGCAAUCAAUUUCCUUGUUAUUUCUGCUUCCUCUCCUGUUAUUUCUUCAUUAAUAUUCAAGUUUGUAGACUGAUCGAGAUGCUUAUAAAUCCAUGACGGAAAAUAUAUUUCACUAGUUUGGGACGCUUCAACAUUAACACUUUUUCUCCCUCCAACCAUUUCAAGCACCAUCAUUCCAUAACUAUAGACAUCGGAUUUAUGAGAAACUCCUCCUAGAUUUCGAAAAAACACUUCUGGAGCAAUAUAUCCCGCAGUUCCUCUAGCACCUGUCAUUGAUACAAUACUCUUCUUUCUUUCACAUAAUUUCGACAAGCCAAAAUCAGAGAUCUUGGGACAAAAAUUCUCAUCUAAAAGGAUAUUUUGAGGCUUUAUGUCAAAGUGCAAGAUCCUUGUGUUACAACCUUGAUGCAAGUACUCAAGUCCUCUAGCGAUGCCGAGUACAAUGUCAUACAAUGUUACCCAUUCCAAUUGACGACUUUGAUUAUCCGAUCCUUGUCCAUAAAUGAACUUGUCCAAUGAUCCUUUGGGCAUGAAUUCAUAGAUCAAAGCUCUCUUCGAUCUUUCAAAGCAAAAACCAAGUAAAGUCACUAUAUUAACAUGAGAAGUUCUGCUAAUGCUAGCUACUUCAUUCAUAAAAUCCUCUCUAUUUCCCUUCAUUUCACUUAAGAAUUUAACUGCCACAAGAUGACCAUCAGGUAGUUUUCCUUUAUAUACACUUCCAAAACCUCCUUGGCCUAAUUUAUCAUUGAAUUUGUUUGUCAUUUUCUUGAUUUCUUCGUAAGAGUAUCUCUUUGGAGCAAAAGGACCAAACUUUGUGAUGAAUUCCUCAAUCCUAGCAUCGUCGUUCUUCUUUCCUUGGCGGGGAUAAUUUGAUAAUAAUUUUCCUUUGAACCUUAAGACAGUGAAGCAUAUAGUAGAAAUCGAUACAACUCCAACAACAGAUCCUGUUUAUGAACUAUUAAUCAAUUUUUGCUAGCUCAAUAGAUAAGAUUCAAUUAAAGUGAAAACAUUGGUUAAAAUAAAAAGAAAGUAGUGAAUAAAAUCGAACAAGAAACUUAAAAACAAAGGGUAAAUUAUCAAAAUAGUUACUUUUGUUUAUCUCGGGUUACAUUUUAAUCACUUAUGUUUGAAAUAUUACAUUUUCGUUACUUACCUUAAUGUGUUGUAACAUGUUAGUCACUAAGCUGUUAAUUAUCGUUAACAAUGUAACAAUAAGUUGACUUGACAUGUUAAAUCAUCAUUUCGAACAAAAAUUGUAGAUUAAAUUGUACAAUUGGUCCCUAUAUUUUUUCGUUUAGAGCUAAAUUUUAACCUAAAAUUUUCAUUUGAAAUGAUGAUUUAACGUGCCACCUCAGCUUACCGUUACACUGUUGACUACAAUUAACACUCAGUGACUAAAAUGUUACAACACGAUAACGUAAGUGCCUAAAAUGUAAUUUUUCAAACAUAAGUGAUUAAAAUGUAACCUGAAACCAAAAAAAAAGAAGACUAUUUUAAUAGUUUACCCUAAAAAUUAUAAAAGUUAAAAAAAAAGGAUGAUUAUUAAUUUAAAAGAAAAGCAUUAAAAGAUAUAGAAAGAGUAUAUAUAUUUAUUUAAAAUCAACUUAAUUAAAAGCUAUUUCAACACUACAAUUAUAGUAGUUGUGAUGUAUUUAGUGUGUGCUUAGAAUAUAUGCAGUUAAUUCAAACCACAUUAUUACCCAACAAACAGUUUCAUAUCUAUGAUUAUUGGAGUCAGCUUCAACUUGGAUUUGGACCCACCUAUUCAAUUACAAUAUACCACACAAAGCAAUCAAUUAGUUACUGUACGAUUUCAAUUAUUUAAAUAAUUUCAACUCCUUUUUUUUUUCUUCUUGAGUUAAACAUUCACAUCAAAUUAAUAUUACUAUCUUAAAACAGAAAAUAAAUAACAUGUUGAAUUGUAUAAAUGGAAAGUACAUACAUACCUCUGGCAUUGCACUUCCGGCAGGCUUCCGCAUCUUCCUUCCAUUGCACCUCGAAUCCUGUUUCCAAUGCUUCUUCCAAAUCCAGGGAAUCAUUUCGAAGUCUUUCCCAGGAAGAUUGAAGAAUCGGGACUCUAACAUUAGCUGAACAUCCAUCUGGACGAAUGUUAUCUGUAGUUAUGGAAACAUUGUUGUAAUUUGAAGAAUCGCAAGGGAAGAUUCCAAGACUCGAUGAAGAUUGGCAGUCAUAAGACAUAGUAAGAUUGGUAUUUCCAGAACCGAGAACGAAUGGCUCAGAAUUCAGGAUCGAAUCUUGAAUUGGAAUUUGAGGAUGACAAGAGCCAUUCUUGAUGAAGUCCUCCCUCGCAAUCCUUAGAAUUUGAUUUUCAUGACGGAUGUCCAGCACCUCAUACUUUACACCAACAAUUUCAAUCUUAGUAGUAUUAGUAAAAACUUCACAGUGAAGCUCCAAACCAGGAUGUCCACAUUCUGGAUCUCGAUCACCUCCGGAGAAAGGAUAUCCAAUGGAGAUAUCCCCACAUUUAAACACUGCAUCGCGGCACUUCUCGUACAGUUGAUCGGGACUGGGUAGUGAAACAGGAAACCCAAGAAUAAGCAAAACAGAAGUAGAAGCAGAAAGAAAGAGAAUCAUUUUCUUUUCCAAAAAUUUUCAGAGCAGAGAUGGAAGAAAGGGUUGGCAAUUGAUUGCCAUUGCCACCGCGGACCGGUGACAUCAGCAGACACCAUUGCCUUGGGAUCGCCCGUUCUCUAUAUUGAAAUUGGCAUGCAUUUGUUACCUGGUGGAAGGGGUAGGGCAGAAAGUAAUAUCAUAAUCAGCUUCAACACAAUGGAACAUACUGGUUGCAUCAUCAUCAAAGGCGUAGCUAUAAGCUGUAGGACACGCAGUCUUGAAGAAUUGUGAGUAAGAAGUGGGCUGGCACGUAGCUGGAGAAUAAUAUUCUCCAGAGCAGCAAUACUGGGGUUCCCCAAGAGCAGAGCAAGCACUCUUACAUGCAACUGUCUCACUCCCAUUGACAACCUUAAGCUCCGAAGGACAGUCACCAUUCAAAUCCGCAACACAUCCAGUUGAGUUACAGUCACCUCCAGUUCCACCAUGUGGGGAUAUCAUCAAUGGUAGAUUGUAUCCACCAACAAGGCUAACAUCAUAGAAAUCUCCCAGAUCAUUGAAUCCAAACUCUGCAAGGGUGGCCUGGAUGGAACUACUACCAGAACACUCUGGUCUAGAUGUGCCGCAGUCGCCGGUGAGGCAAGAGAAAUUGCCAGAAGAGUCUUGAGUGCAAAGAGUUCGACCCCAUAUCCGACCUGUCCAAGAUCUUGGAAUAGAAAUAGAUGUUGAUUCGCCGGGAUUAAGACUGAAACCUGUAGUAGGAAAACUCUGUGAGCCUCCGGCCAAUGUUAUCAUCCCUGGCCAAACUGUAUAGCUGCAAUUAUUUACAAUAGUAAACAUCGAUAGACGAGCAUCUGUGCACAGGAAAAUGAAUUUAAAUCUACACAAAACAUAUAUACACACACACAAAAAGAGGUAUAUGAACAGGGACAAGACAAGCAAAGGAUCCAAGCCGAGUUUCAAACAGAAGAGUUUAUAAGUUAAACUGAGAGAGGCCUUGAAACAGAACAUACUUGUGUUAACCACCCAACCCAAGAGGAAGUUAUUAAACUGGCAGAUGCACGCAACACUAAUCUUCAUCUUAUUACCAUUACCCAAAAAGAAUAGUUCUAAAAUGGAAAGUACAUGCAUACAUACCUCUGGUAUUAUUCCUUUGUGAAACAGCAACCCCAAGCAUCAUGAAUGAUAAGGAAAGCAAAAGAAGAGCAAGAUCUGAUGAUGCUGAUGCUGGUGCUGAUGAUUUCAUUUUCAAUUUGUUUUUAGAAAAAAUUCAGAGAAGAGAUAGUAGGAUAACCAGUCAAAUGAUGAUAAAAAGAAACCAUUGAUUUUUAUCUCAGCUCAGCUCAAAUGAAUUACGAGGAAAUUGUCAAAACAAAAGGGUUUGACUAUAAAGUCGGCAGUCGGCCUUUAAGACGUAACUGUCCAAAGGAAAUUUCUCUUCUUUUAUCGACUAAACUUCCAAGGGAAAUUGUUGAAAUUGUCGCAUAGAUGGACAUGGCUCAUGUUAUUAGUUUCUGUUUCUGUUGGAUUUUGGAUAAAUUAUUUUGUAUUUUGGGCCGAUCCAGUUUGGCCUUAUUUUUUUUAUGUAUUAAUUAAAAAUAUCGUUUGUUAUUUAAAAUUUAAAGUAUAAAAAUAUAAAAAUUUUAAUAUAUUUCUUUAAUUAUAAAAUUAUUUAAUAAAAUUUAAUGGUGAAUUCAAAUUUAUUUUCAAAAUGUAUGAUUUUUAUAAUUUUAUAAUUAGUUUUAAAUAUAUAUAAAAAAAAUAUAAAAAUUUUAAUAGGAGAAUCAAAAACCGUAUAACUAAACAACCAAAGAUCUAAUUAAAACAUGAAUCAAAUGCCAUUAAGAGAUAGCUGCUCGCAGUUUUCUUUGUCCAUCUCAAAGAAAAAAAAUUAAAUUCAAUUUAGUCAUUCUCGAAUUGAGUUCAAAUUUAAAUAACUUAAACUAUCGAGUAGGUCACAUUUAAAAUUUCCAUAAUUCUACAAUAAACGCCUUCCCUUUCAACAAUUUGUAGAAUCCUCAAUCAAGAAUUCAAAUAUCGGAUCUCAUUGAAAGUCCCCUCUCCAACUGGACUUUCUCUUUUUGCAUUGUCCACUGCGGGUGAAAUAGCAUGACUGGCGGAGCUGCCAUCAUUCAAGACCAUAGAGCCUCUCAGUUUCUGUCCAUUUGAAGCUACAAAAUUGCCAAUAAAAUUCAGGCCAGACAUCUCACUCUUUGUUCUAUCCUUAUUAUACUAAAAAAAUCAUAAUAUUUCUUUUUGUAGGUUUUUUGGAGGUAACAAAAAAUGUCCGGGCAUACUGAAAUAGGAUAGAAGGCGUUUAUAAUUUAUUAACUUUUCAAGGCAUUAACCCCUCUUGAUUUGUACCAGAAAACUUAGUAGUAUAAUCAAACAUUCACUUAUUAUUAUUGAAAAUUUUCAAUUCGAGGUUAAGCACGAAUAAUUUACAUGACAAUCAAGCUCAUUUUCUUCUUUAGAUAAAAAAUCAUUAUCUUAAAUCAGAGUUGAGAGAUUGAACCAAAAUUUUAACUUGUAAAGAUUAAACUUUAAAUUUGGAGUCAAACUUGGUUGAAGUACACCCUACGAAUGCCACUAUUGAUGUCAUUUUAUACUGAAUAUAUAGUCAAAUCAUGGAUGGUAACAAUUUGUUUGAUUUUUCUUAUCAAAACCCAAAUUAUUUGAUUCUAAUACUAUCGUUAUUGUUGAGGAGGGACUUUAAGAGAAGUUUUCGAAAUGUCAUUUUCGGAGACAACGACAAUAGUUCAAGGGUUCGAAUCUCAUGAAGGGUGAGACACUCACGUCGUCUUUUGAUGGGUGGUCGUACGUCCACAUAUGGUUGGACUUUUGCCUUUGUGAACGGUAAAUGGCUCUCUGCAUAGCGGGAGACAAAACCCACUCCUGAGAGACAAAACUUUCCAUUAUUGAGAAACUUGGUUGGCAUUCCUAAAGACAACAUUUCGAAAACUUCUCCUAAUAUUUUCAAUCUCAUUUUCACCGAUAUUUUCGCCUUCAACAAAAUCAUACAUAUUUUCCACGUGAAUAAACACCAAGCCAUAAGCAUUUGUUAAUUUUCCAAUUUGGCAGGUAGUAUUAAAAAGUGUUGUAAAAAAGCCUAUCAAAUUUUAUGUUACCUUUCGAACGAUUGUUUGUUUAAUCAAUUAUUGAUUCUAUUAGAAAUCAUCAAAUAGAUCCUCAUAUCUUUUGUAUGCCUUUAUUUGCAUUUUCCCAUAUUUAUAACUCUCUUAAAUUCACGAACACUACAUGUUUAAUAAAUUAAAAAUAAUAAUAAACACAUGUUUAAUGAACAAUUUCCACAAAAAUGUUUAAGUAGGUCGUGGGGGAAGUUCCAAUGAUUGAAUGCUUCCUUGCAACAUUUCUAAUACUCUAGUCAUUGAUGGUCGAUCUAAUGGAUUGGUUUGAAUGCACCAAAGGCUCACUGCAAUCAAUUUCCUUGUUAUUUCUGCUUCCUCUUCUGUUACUUCUUCAUUAAUAUUCAAGUUUGAAGACUGAUCGAGAUGCUUAUAAAUCCAUGACGGAAAAUAUAUUUCACUAGUUCGGGACGCUUCAACAUUAACAUUUUUUCUACCUCCGACCAUUUCAAGCACCAUCAUUCCAUAACUAUAGACAUCGGAUUUAUUAGAAACUCCUCCUAGAUUUCGAAAAAACACUUCUGGAGCAAUAUAUCCCGCAGUUCCUCUAGCACCUGUCAUUGAUACAAUACUCUUCUUUCCUUCACAUAAUUUCGACAAGCCAAAAUCGGAGAUCUUGGGACAAAAAUUCUCAUCCAAAAGGAUAUUGUGAGGCUUUAUGUCAAAGUGCAAGAUCCUUGUGUUACAACCUUGAUGCAAGUACUCGAGUCCUCUAGCGAUGCCGAGUGCAAUGUCAUACAAAGUUACCCAUUCCAAUUGACGGCUUUGAUUAUCCGAUCCUUGUCCAUAAAUGAACUUGUCCAAUGAUCCUUUGGGCAUGAAUUCAUAGAUCAAAGCUCUCUUCGAUCUUUCAAAGCAAAAACCAAAUAAAGUCACUAUAUUAACAUGGGAAGUUCUGCUAAUGCUAGCUACUUCAUUCAUAAAAUCCUCUCCAUUUCCCUUCAUUUCACUUAAGAAUUUAACUGCCACAAGAUGACCAUCAGGUAGUUUUCCUUUAUAUACACUUCCAAAACCUCCUUGACCUAAUUUAUCAUUGAAUUUAUUUGUCAUUUUCUUGAUUUCUUCGUAAGAGUAUCGCUUUGGAGCAAAAAGACCAAACUUUGUGAUGAAUGCCUCAAUCCUAGCAUCGUCGUUUAUCUUUCCUUGGAGAUAAUUCGAUAAUGAUUUUCCUUUGAACCUUAGGACAAUGAAGCAAACGGGAAAAACCAAUACAAUUCCAGCAACUGUUAAGCCUGUUUAUUAACACAUAUGUAAUAUUUAAUUAAGUAAAAGAACGUAAUGAAUAAAAUUAAAGAAAAAUCUUGAGGGAAACCCUUAAACUUCUGUUGGCUAUAACACAUAAAGUAUCAUUGUUAAUUUAAAAGAAAAGCAUGCGGUGGCUUUGACAUUCCCGCCUUAGCUAAAAGGUAAAAUAUUUAUUUUAACCCGUUUUAUUUGUGAGAUAUUUAAUUUAAGUCUCUUUUAAACUUUUAUUUUGGCACUCAAUAAUGAAUUGCUGGAUUUGCCCUGAUUAUAUUUGUUUAAAACCAAUUAAGUUAUAUUAAUUAAAACCUAGUUAAUCCUAAAAGUUUAAUUGUAGUAUAUCUUAAUUAAUAGUGAGUACGUGAAAAUAUUACUUUGGAUUAGACACGUUGAUUUUGAUUCCAGCUUUAAAAAAUUGAUUAUAGUAGCAAUAAAACCACAUAGUAUUACCCAAUAAGACAUUAUAGUAGAAGGUAUAUAAUUAAUUCAAACCACAAAAAAAUGUUUCAUACCUGUUAAAAUUGGAGCCAGCUUCAACUUGGAUUUGGACCCACCUAUUCAAUACAAUAUACCACACAUUAGUUACUUACAAUUUCAAUCAUUCAAAUAAUUUCAACAAUUUUAUUCUUUGGGUUAAAACAUUCACACCAAAUUAAUAUUACUACCUUUUUCUUUAAGAAAGAAAGAAUAUGAAAAACAGAAAAUAAAUAAAUGCCAUGUUGAAUUUGUCAAAUUAUAAUAAAACCAAAUCAUCUGGUACUCCAAUGGGUUGACAUAGUUGAAAUAGGAAGAAGCUUUUAAUAAUAAUAAUAAUAAUAAUAAUAAUAAUGUCAUAUCCCUCUGUCGAUCAAACACAUGUCAGCACUAAAGGCAUCGUUGACUCCACGUUGGCUUUCUUUAAGAUAACAUUUCGACAAACCUCUCAUCCAUUAUUUCUGAAUGUGAUCACCCAUUCUACCUUAAAGAGUCACUUACACAAACUUAAAUGUGAAUACUAUUCUAAUAAGAAGUCUAUUUAGGCUUAACUAUCUUAUAUCGAUAGAGUCUCAUGAUAUAUGUCUAUUAUGCAUUUAAUGGGAUCAAAUCUAUAUUCUGACACAUCAUACCUGCGAACAAGGGGACCUUUCCUAUAAAUACUCUCUGAAACGACGAAUAAAAGAUCGACCUUUUAGCAUCCUAAGGUUAUUCUCUAUAUUCAUCUAUUUGUUCAACUUGUCCCAUUGUUCUUGUUCCAGCUCUUGACCUUUAUAGGUGAAUCAAUCUCCAUUGCACCACUUGAUCUCCUUCUUAUUCCCUCUCGUCUUCAUCCCUUGUGUACCCAUUGGUGAAGAAGUUUUUUAAUUUUACAAGUAGGAUAAAAAACCCGCCAUGUACAGCUCAUCUAGUUUUAAAUUUUUUUAAAUACUAAUUAAGGACAAAAGACAAUUUCUUAAUUUCGUUUGUGUAGUUAAAAAAAUCACCAUAAAUAUACCAAAUAAUAAUACUAUUAAUAAACUCUUAUUGGUUCCACUCUUCUAAAAAACCCUAUUGAAAAAACAAUUACUUCAAUGCUUUCAACCAUUAUUUAUUAUUAUUGUAAAAUUAUUAAUUAACUCAAUUAAUUUUUUAUAUUAGUAUACAUUGAUUGAAUAAUUGAUUAGUCAAUAAUUUUACAUGGUAAAAUAACUCGAUUCCAUCAAGUUUCAAGUUUCACCCUCACCUAAUAAGGGCAGGUUUGAGAGCAAGUUUUAUCCCGUCCAAAAAAGUUUACUAAAAUAUCUAUAUUUUUUAUUUUACAACUAUUUUUAAUAUAUAUACUACUAUUUAAAUCUCUUAUUAAGUUCGUGUCACUUGGCAUCAACUCAACAUUAAUAACACCAAUAUAAUAAUUAAUAAAUAGUUACAUUAAAUUUAAUAUUGUUAAUUUUAUAUAUUUACGUGUUUAAAUUUUGUUUUACCUACUAUUUAAUAUAAUUUUUUCAUUGUAAUUUCGUACACAUUGUAUGUGCUAUUAUUAUUUAGUUUCAAAUUAUAUGUUUAAUUGUUUAUUAUAUAUUCUUUUAAUUAAAAGUUUUUGUAUUUUUGAGAUUUUAUAACAUUUCGACUAUUAUAUAUAAUAAUUAAUUUUUAUAAGAUUUUAUAAUAAGUAAUUCAUUUAAUUUUGUAAAAAUUAAAAUAAUAUAAAAAUUAUGUAAUAUUUCAUAUUAGAUAACCAAAAUUGUUUAAUUGCAUAAAUGGAAAGUACAUACAUACCUUUGGUAUUAUUGUUGUUUUUGGUAUAUGCUGGAGAUGGUGGGAGAUGGGAUCGAUGGCAUUUGUUAGUAUGCGAUGAACUCUCAAAUCCUGAUGGGCAGUAGCAGACUGUUUGAUUGUUUGAAUCGUUAAAACCACAGCUUCCACCCGAAGCAUUGCACUUCCCGCAGGCUUCCAUAUCCUCCUCCCAUAGCACCUCGAAUCCUGUUUCCAGUGCCUCUUCCAAAUCCAAGGUUUUAUUUCGAAAUCUUUCCCAGGAAGAUUGAAGAACAGGAACUCUAACAUUAGCUGAACAUCCAUCUCCACGGAUAUUAUCUGUAGUUAUGGAAACAUUGUUGUAAUUUGAAGAAUUGCAAGGGAAGAUUCCAAGACUCGAUGAAGAUUGGCAAUCAUAUAACAGAGUAAGAUUGGUAUUCCGAGAACCGGGAACAAACGGCUCAGAAUUCAGGAUCGAAUCUUGAAUUGGAAUUUGAGGACGACAAGAGCCAUUGUUGAUGAAGUCCUCCCUCGCAAUCCUUAGAAUCCGACUUUCAUGAUGAAUGUCCAACACCUUAUACUUAAUACCAACAAUUUCAAUCUUAGUAGUAUUAGUAAAAUCACAGCGAAGCUCCAAAUUAGGAUGUCCGCAUUCUGGUUCUCGAUCACCUCCGGAGAAAGGAUAUCCAAUGGAGAUAUUCCCACAUUUGAACACUGCAUCACGACACUUCUCGUACAGUUGACUAGGACUGGGUGGUGAAACAAGAAACGCAAGAUUAAGCAAAACAGAAGAAGAGGCAGAAAGAAAUAGAAUCCAAUUUCUUUUUCAAAAAUUUUCAGAGAAGAGAUAUAAGGGUUGAUUGCUAAUGUCACCUAUCAUGGUGACAUCAACAAUCACCACUACCUUGAGAUCGUCGGUUCGUAUAGGACUUUAUGUUGAAAUUGACAUGCAUUUAUUACCUACGUUGGGAUCGUCCGCUUGUAUGAGGCCUUUGGUUAUAGCAAUCCAAGUUGCUCCCGUAGCUUACACCUAAUAUGUCACAGUACCUCCGAUAGAAACCAAUCCUAUCUGCCACUCUGUCAUCAGGACCAUGACCGCACUCUAGCUCACCAUUGAUUAUGUUAGUGAUGACUCCAUAGCCAGGGAGCCAACCUGCAUCCCUUUCUGCAGCAGACGGUGUCCAUUGCCCGACAAGUACGUUAUGGCUUGAUGGUUUGUUUCCUUGCGGGGUCAUCCAAAACCAAAUGGCCGUCUUGAAGGAUAUAGUCGGGUUGGUGGCUACGAGGUCUGGAUUAUUUAUUAGGUCUACUCCAAUGUCUCUUCCAGCUGGCCCAUAGUUGAAGUUGCUGAGGAAAUUAAAUUGUGAAAGUUGUGUUGAGUCAGUCAACAACAUCAUGAACUAGUACUUCAUUAGUCGAGCGACUGAGAAACUUACUAAGCCAAUUGGAAGGGUCCUCGUCCAUAAUACAAUCUUCCACGAGGACACGGCCAGACACCAGGAAGACAAUAUGCUUGGUCGUUGUUUUGUUCCCUUAUAAAGCAAUAUCCCCAUGCAUAUGGGCCAUCUGGUGCACUUGGCCAUCCUCCUGUUGUUUCAUGAGAGGUUUGAGCUAAGAAAGCUGCGAGUUCCCUCUUUCUGGUUGUAAGAUCUCCGGUUGUGCCAAAUCCGUUAAAAGAUCGAGCAGCGGUAAUGAAAGCACUAUAAGUGUAGAAACCAUUGCCAGGACAACGUGAAUCAUUUAGAUAUUUAAGCAUAUUAUUAAAGAGGUGUUGAGUGAUAAUGCUGCCAAUAUCAUUGCCACUACACUGGCUCUGGCAGCCAGAUCCGCAGUAGUCAGACGUGCUGCCACACAUCCCAAAUUGACUGCAACACAGUCCAUUUGGACAUAGAGCACCUCCUGCUUGUCUUCCGCACACUUCUGCUGCAAGAAUAUUGCUAGACUACUUAGCGUCAAAGAGCCUACAACUUUUUCGUAUCCAUUGAAACUUGGUGUGGGUUUUCAGUUUUGGAUUGAGCAAUUACUAGAGGGUAUAUAUCCAUUUAAUGUAUAAAUUUUGUAAUUUCAUGAAUUAGACUUUCCGGCUGAAUUAGAAAUUAAAAUGAAGAAAAGGUUCCAGCUCCCGAAUCUAUCCAAUCUGAUCUGUGGACAAAUAUGAUUAUUUUAUUUCAUCAUUCUGUCCAUUAAAAUAAUUUUGUGGUUAGAUUUUCAGAAUAGAUUUGACUAAAUAACACAGAAAACUAAUGCUGAUUGCGGCGAAAUUACUCCUUUAAUUUUUUUUUAUUAAUUUUGUCACUGUUAUAAUAUUCUUUUAAUUCUUUUUAAAAUUACAAAAUUUUAAGUUAAUCUUUUAAGAUUCAGCGUGAAAGAAAAUUGAAGCUUGCAUCAAUGGGUGCCUCUGAACCUGCCCUAUUAGGUUCUUCAUCGGUAUGUUUUUUAAUUUUCUCGAAGUUAAAAAUUUUCAAAAAUCCCAUUGAAGUUCAACAGGUACCCAUUUCAAAUCAGCGAAUUCAACGAAAUGAGAACAAAAGAAAAAACCCAAAAUGGAAAUGGACAUUUUGUUUUCUCGAGAAACAAGCUGAAAUUGAAAUUUGUUAACAAUACAAAUAAUCUAAUUUAUUAAGGUCGGUUGAAGAAAUCCCCCCAAACGACCCAACCUAUCACAAUGGAUAGAGUUUUCCCCGUUGAAGAAAUCCCCGAUCACUACUGAUCUUCAUCCGCCGUCACUUCCGCUGCCGGUGGUGGCGACGAAAAUAGAAAUAAAAACCUCGGUUCUGAAAUGAACCGAAAUGCUUCAGAGUGGGCUUUUCAGCAGUUCCUUAGAGAAGAAUUUAAUAUGAAAGGUGAAAAUAACGAAGAGGAGGAAGCUAAGGAGGAGCUGAAGAAUGGGUGUUUAGAAAAUAAUAACAACAACACCAACAAUAUUCCUGCAGAUGUAGAAGGUUAUCAGGCUUUUCUUAAGAAGAAGCUUAACUUGGCUUGUGUGUGUAGUUGGGUGAUGAGAAAGGUGGAGAGGAUAAAGGAUAAGGAAGGAAAAGUUUAGAUCUUGAAUAGUUUUUCUUUUCUUUUCAAAAAGAUGGGAUUCCUUUUCUGGGUUAUGUUUGGCUUCUAAGAAAACUUGAAGGGAAAUUUGCAUGUCUGGAUUUUGAUUUUUUUUAAUUACAUUCUGGUUUAGCAAUUUGGGUUCUUUAAAAAUCUAGACUGUUUCUCUUUCUUUUUAAAUAUUUUUUUUUAUAUUUAUCAGUUCAAAAGAUCUACGUAAGUUCUAAAAUCUGAAACUGUUCUUUUUCCAUUGAUGCAAGCUUCAAUUUUUUUCACGUUAAUGGGUCAAAACUCAAAAGAUUAACUUGAAGCGUUGGUAAUUGGAUCAAAGAGUGGAUUGAGGAUGGAAAGAAUGAUAGGGAUGGUUGGCAAUGGUUCUACGAGGAAUAUGGAAAACGAGGGAAAAACAGAGAAAUUUCAAGUCAGAAAUCAUAAUGCAGGCCAAAACUUCCAGAAUAACCUCCCGCAGCUAAUGGCGUGGAAAAGGGGCAUCUGAACAGGGACAAGACAUCCAAAGGGUCCAAGCAGACGGUGAAUGGGUAAACUGAGAGAGGCCUUGAAACAGGAAAGGACAUUAUCUUCAUCUUAUUAAACUGUGUUAAGCACCCAAAUUAUUAAACUGGCAGAUGCAUGCAACCAUUAUCUUCAUCUUAUUACCAUUACCCAGAAAGAAAAGCUCUAAAAUGGAAAGUACAUGCAGACAUACCUCUGGUAUUAUUACUUUGUGAAGCAGCAACCCCAAGCAUCAUGAAUGAUAAGGAAAGCAAAAGAAGAGCAAGUUCAGAUGAUGAUGAAGUCAUUUUGUUUUUAGAUUUUCAGAGAACAAGUCAAAUGAUGAAUAAAGAGAAAGGAUUGAUUAUUGUCUGAGCUCAACUCAAAUGAAUUUCGAGGAAAUUAUCAAAACGAAGGCUUUGACCACACACUCUACCUUUUAAGACUUUUAGCUUCCAACAACAGUAAGGCAUUGUCUCAUCUUUGAAUUUCCAAUGAAAAAUGUUGUAUACAGCGACGUAAGUAAAUAGUAGCCGAGCCCCAACGUAGUACCAUGUAAUCUAAUUUUGUAAUUUACAUAUGAAUCGGCUUUGGAAUUAAAUUUACAUGCUAAAUUUGUUAUUCUAAACAUGAAUCUUAAAUCUAAUUAUAUUCAACUCUAAUUUAUUUAUUUAUUUAUUAUUUCUACCUCAUAUUUCUUUUGAAAAAAGAACCAUUUUUUUUGAGAUAACUAUUCGAUAUUAAACAGUACAUUUUUUAUAUAUAUAACCAUUUAUUUAUACUCCACGUCAUCACCUCAAUCCUAUUGAGGACCACCAUUAAGUUACGAUCACGUCGUUUGGAAUGGACGUACCGGCGAAGAAGUGGUUCUGAUGAAUGCAAAGGAGACAAAUAGUCGAGUGUAGUGGAUGCUAAUUUGUUUGGACGGAAAUUGAGUCGCUUGAAUGCCAAUUAACUAAAAUAAUGUAGACGUUAAUUGUCAAAGAGUACCAAGCACGGUUUGAAGAAAUGGUACUCCAUACAAUGAGUCUCUCUGAACCUUUCCUAACUCAAUGCUUCUUAUCUGGGUAGAGAUCAAACAUAAAAAAUGAGGUAUUAGUGCUCGUGCCCACUAUGAUGCAUGAAUCGAUUUCACUAUCCCAUUUGAAGGAGACAAAAAUUAACGAGGCUGGCGUUGGCAGCACUAGAUUUCAGGGUCAAGUUACAAGAAAAGCAGGCAGUAGCUCAACUGCUGGUGCAAUGGAAUAGUGCAAAUGAGAGCCAAGCUACAUGAGAAGAUGAGGACGAAAUUUUGAAGAAUUUUCCAGCUUGGAACCUUGUGGAGAAGGUUUCUUUACCAGGGGAAGGCAAUGUAACAAAUUUUGGGUCCAAUCAGCAGCCCAUGCAACAAUAUAUACCAGUUUAGAUUUGUAAAGGAACACAUGAAAGAAGGAACCCAAAAUAUUGGGAGACUACGUGCGUUUUAGUAGCAACUUAAUCCACUCGAUUGGAGCUAAAUUUUCUUAAACCAAGACAGUCCGAGUACUAAAUUGACAAGUUCAUGAGUUGACUAGGGAAUAGAAUUAUAAAUGAUUUGUUUGUAGACAGUACAGGGAAAAUUUGUUAGAUGACAAAACUAGAGUGAUUGGAUUAAAGGUAAAAUUUUUGGCCUUUAAUAUGCAAUUCACCUAGGACUUGAGAAUAAUUAAAAACUUGAUAGUGGAUUAACCUUUUAUCUACAAUCCACUUCCACUCACUUAAGCUUGGGUGAAUUAUAGCCAUUGAUUUAUUAUUAAAGAUAAAAACAUACUUAAGUGGGAGACAGAUGGAUCAAAUAUACAUUCAUUCUCAUCUUUUUCUUGUCCACAUACUUUUAUAAAAUGAUGAAAGUUAUAUUUGUAGUUUAAAAAGUCUAAUAUACCUCAACCAUCAAAAUAUGUUUUGUCAUGGCACAUGUAUUUUUAUAAAAAUGUCUUAUACUAUGAAAAUAUAUUAUGUAGUACCUAAAUUAUCAAUAUAUGUUUUAUUAGGAAAUAAAGUGUUAACACCGUUAACGAAUUGUUAAACCAACUAAUUAAAAUUUGACACAUAAAUUUUUUUUCCAAACCAUCAGCUCUACAUUAAUAAUAUAACAUUAUGGGAAAAACUAAAUAAAAAAAUUGAAUUGAAUUGAAUUAAAAAACAAAUAACUAUAUAUAUGAUUAAUAAAAAAAAAAGCAGUAAAUACUAAACUUUAUCUAUCAUUAUAUGAUUCAAGAUACACUAAUCAGAAAAGCUUCGUCUUCAUCCUUCAUCUAUCAUUGUUAAUUUCUUAAAGUGUUUUUAGUAUAUUUCUGUUAGGUUAUGUGAUUGAUAAGUUUUCUUUGAACCUGAACUUACAUAUGAUUUAGUGAGCAUCAAGAAUAAUGAUGUAAAGUGGUUUCAGGUAGAUCGAUCAAUGAUAAUAUCUUGAUCGCCUAGGAGGAUUUUUCAUUCUAUGAAAAUUUAUAAAGGUUUUGUGGGUUGGAUGGCAAUUAAGGUGGACUUUAAGAAGGCAUGCGGCCAGAUUAAGUGAGACUUCUUGUAAGAGUCCCUCAUUGAUGCUCGAAUUCCUCAUCAUUUUGUCCGUGUUACUAUUAACUGUGUUUCUACGAUUAUGCAAAUUCUCUGGAAUGGUUCUAUUGUUGAAAGCUUUAAAUCGAUUCGGGGAAUUCGUCAGGGUAAUCCACUUUCUCCGCAUUUGUUUGUAAAGGUAUGGAGCAGCUUGGGCAAAAGAUUAUCUCAGUUGUUCUGUUGAGUAUGUGGAAGCCUAUUAGAUUGUCAAACGAUGUUCCACCAGUAUCUCACCUUUUUUUCGAUGAUAUCUUAUUUUGUUUUGCAAAGCAGAUGAGGAGCAAGCUAAUUUAAUUAGUGAGAUUUUGUCCGAAUUUGCAGCUUAUUCGGGCCAAAAAGUUAAUGCUAGAAAGAAUCAGAUUUGUUUUUCGGGGAAUGUCAAAGGUAUGUGGCAUGGUCGAUUAGCCAAAGUUUGGGUUUUCAAAGGCUCGAUGCUUUAGGAAUGUAUUUGGGGAUGCCCCUCUUUCAUUAAAGAGUCAUGAAGAGUACCUUUCAGUUCCUUCUUGACAAAAUCCGAGAACGGCUUAGCGGAUGGAACUCAAAGCUCCUUUCGAUGGCUGGUCGUAUUACUUUGGUUAAUUCGAUCAUUUUUGCUAUUCCCAAUUAUUGCAUGUAGACAACUCUGAUCCCUAAAGAACUCUGCGACAUUUUGGAGAAAUUGAUCCGAGGACUUUUUUGGGAUUCUUAAGAUGAAAGGCGAAAACCGCAUCUUGUGAAUUGGAGGGAUUGUUGUCAGUCAAUCUCGUCGGGUGGUCUCGGUCUUUGAAAAUUUUCUUAUAAGAAUGAGUCUUUUCUUCUUAAAAUGGGCUUUAACCUUCUUAAUAAUCCUGAAGCAUUUUGGGUUCUGAUCAUCAAGGCAAGUCUAAGGUUGAUGUUUGGUACCCAGAACAUAUUUGUAGAACAAAAAUGUUCGUUUGUACGGAGAAAUUGUUGGCAAAAAUUUGGGAUGUGUUAAAAACGAAUAUUUGUUGGAGAGUGGGAAAUGGAAGGAGAUUUCGUUUUUGGAGAGACAAUUGAAUUCCGGCUCAUGGGCCUCUUGUAAAUCUUACUCAAUCCAACCCUCCAAAUCAUGAAGUUUGUGUUUCCGAUAUGGUUGAUAUUAAUGGAAAUUGGAGUUGGCAUAAAUUCCAGCAUUUGUUGGAAGCCUCGACCAUGUUGCACGUUGCUGCUAUUCCUCCACCAAAUCCUAUGGCGGAAGAGGACAGGUUUGCUUGGUCAAGUUCUGAAAAUGGCUUGUUCUCUUUAUCUGUACUUAUUCUCUUCUGGCCAACGCAGAUUGGAAUGAUAAGGAUGCUAAAUGGGAAGUAAUUUGGAAGUACGGGUGCCACAAAGAGUUCGGAAUUUUUUGUGGUUAGCUUCACGCAAUAGCCUCCUGACAAAUAUGGAACGGGUAAGGAAAGGCCUGUCGACCGGUUCUUCUUAUAGCCUUUGUGGACAUCAUGAGGAAAGUACGUUACAUGUUCUUCGAGAUUUUCUGAUUGCUAAAUCGAUUUGGUCAAGAUUAGUGCGUAGUAACUUGUAGUGCUAGUUUUUUCAGUUCUUCCUUUGUGAGUUGGAUGAUGAGUAAUACACGGAUGAGCUACAGAUUAAUGUUAAUGAGUGCGAAUGGGGGACUCUCUUUGCAAUACUUUGUUGGAGGCUUUGGAAGUAUAGAUGCAAUUUCCUCUUUUCAAAUUCGACUUGGAGUGCUGAAACUAUUGUUAGCCUCAGUCGGGCUUGCGUGAUAACCAUCUUUUGGACCUGGCUGUCGGAGGAAAAAGCUCGAUCUUUGCAGGGAAGCCAUGACAUUUGGCUACCACCAGCGAAAGGUUGGGUCACUGUUAAUUCUAAUGGCGUUGGCUUAUGGGUUACAACCGCGAUAGACUUUCAGAUUUCGAUUUUCACACUUUUGAGCAACCUCCGGUUAGUGCAGGGAGGCUGUUACGUGAUGAUAGUCUCAAUGGUUCUUCUUUGCUGUAAUUUUGUUAGUCUUCUUUCAGUCUUUGACUGAGCUUUUCUUUUACCAAAAAAUGUGGUGAAGUUAAAUUUUUAUAAAUAGACGAACCAUAAGUCGUCCUCUUCUAGUUUAGGAAGGUGUUAGCCAUGUUGGUGGAUUUCCGAUUAACCUUCACCAACCCCUCUUCCUCUAAUUUCUACUCCUACUGACAACAAAGUUGUUUACAAGGAAAACAUGUCCGGAUUACAAUCUCACUUCAACCAUCUUUGCACCGCUAUUAACCCUUUUAUCACUUCAUCCACAUUUUUGAAAGCACUCAUUUGGAUGAGCACUGCACAGAUCAGUUAUCUUCAAUGGAUUUUAGGGGGAACAUUGUUGAUGAAUAUCCUGGAAACCGCCAUUAUUUUAGAACAGACAACUUAUAAUUGAUUAAGUACUAUGUGUUGAAUUGUAUGGAAUCCAAUUCGAAUUAGUCGAAUUAAUGUAUCUUAUUUUAUUAAUUAAAUUAAUUUUUUAUUCUUUUACGAAUUGGAUUCAAUAAAAUCAAAUUCGAAUUGAGUUGAAUAAAUUUAUUUGGUUUAAAUUUAAAAUAAAAAUAAAAAUAAUCAAAUUAAAACCUUGUUCACAAUACUAGAGUAAAUAAAUUUGAGAGUAUAUAAAUUUGAAAAUUUUGAAAUUUUUUAGAAUGUAAAUAUUAUAUGAUUUUUAUUUUUAUAUAUUUAGUACAAUUCUGGAAAAAAAUUAUAAUUCUUUUUGAAUUUUAAAUAACAAGUUUUUAAGAUUUUUUAUUUUUAUAAUUAAGAUUAUUUUUUUAAAAUUAUGAAUUGUUAUUAAUAUUUUUAAAAUAAAUUUUUAUAUACUUUUUUUUAUUUUUUAGAUUUUUAUAUUAUAUAAAUUUUACUUUUUACUUGUUUUUUUUAUAAUUUUUUGAAUUGAUAAGGACUAAAAAGAGUAUUUACAUCAAAGUGAAACAAAACUAGACCUUAAAACAACAUCGUUUUAGAUAUUAGGAUAUUUUCAAAUUCAACUCGAAUAACUCAAAGUAUUAUUUGAAUUGACCCAAUAACUCAAAUGACUUAUUUAACUUGAAUCAACUAAUUUAAAAUUUGAUUUUUUUUUUCAAAUCGAAAUGAAUUUUACUAACCCUUAAACCUAACUUGAUUCUUAUAUGUAUCAUAUUUGGCAAAAAUCCCUGCACAAUCUCUAUGCUUUUAAAAGUGAUCAACAAAUUGAUCUCAUUACUGAAAAUUGUAUUAAUUAAUUUUCAGUUAAAAUAUGUAAUAGAUUUCGGGACAAUUCAUAAAAAUAAAACUUCCAGAAAUUUAUAUCUAUUCCUCCUAACAAUAUAAUCUGUUUAUAUUUAUAAUGUUUAUUUCCACAAACGAUACAUUUAAUAAGCAUGCCAUCAUAUAUAUGUAUAACAUAUUUAUGUAUAAAAUUUUUGACACAUUUAGUAUGUUCUAUUUGUAUAUACACAACUAACACUAAAAAAACAUGAGAUCAAAAUGUACAUUUUGCCAAAUCUACUUAAGAUUGCUUCAACAUGAGCAAAUUACUCCAGUUAACAAGUCUGCAACAUUUUUAGGUGGGUUUUGGCGGAAGUACCAAUGAUUGAAGGCUUCCUUGUAACAUUUCCAACACUUCAGUUAUUGAUGGUCGAUCUAUUGGAUGGGUUUGAGUACACCAAAGGCUCACUGUGAAUAGUUUUUUUGUUAUUUCUUCUUCCCCUUCAGCUAUUACUUCAUUAAGAUUGAAGUUCAUAGGCUUAUCAAGAUGGUUAUUUAUCCACGAGGGAAAGUAUGUUUCACUAGUUUGGGAACCCUCAAUAUCUAUAUUUUUUCUUCCUCCUAUCAUUUCAAGGAGCAUCAUUCCAUAGCUGUAGACAUCAGAUUUAUGAGAAACACCACCAAAAUUUCGACAAAACACUUCAGGAGCUAUAUAUCCAACAGUUCCUCUUGUACCUGUAUUUGCAAUAAUACUUUCUUUUCGUUCGCAUAACUUAGAUAGACCGAAAUCAGAGAUCUUAGGACAGAAGUUUUCAUCUAAAAGGAUAUUGUGAGGUUUUAUGUCGAAGUGCAAGAUCCGGGUGUUGCAACCUUGAUGCAAGUAUUCGAGUCCUCUAGCGAUGCCUAGUGCAAUGUUAUACAAAGUUUUCCCCUCCAAUUGACGACUUUGAUUAUGUGGUCCUUUAUUAUAAAUAAAUCCAUCCAAAGAUCCGUUGGGCAUGAAUUCAUAGACCAAAGCUCUCUUUGAUCUCUCAAAACAGAAACCAAGAAGAGUCACUAUGUUGACGUGAGAAGUUCUACUAAUGCUAGCUACUUCAUUCAUAAAUUCCUCCCCAUUUUCUUUGAAUUCACUCAGGAUUUUGACCGCCACGAGACGUCCGUCGGGUAAUUUUCCUUUAUAUACACUACCAUAUCCUCCUUCACCUAAUUUAUCUUUAAACUUAUUUGUCAUUUUCUUAAUGUCUCCAUAAAAAUAUCGAUUCGGAGCCAAAGAACCAAACUUUGUGAUGAAUUCCUCGAUCCUAGCAUUGUCAUUCUUUUUUCCCUUCCAUAGAUGACUUGACAGUGAUUUCCCUUUCAACCUUAACACGAAGAAGCAUAGAGCAGAAACCAAAACAAUGGUGAUGGUUACAACAACCGUGAAUCCUGUUCAUGGUGCAUUAUUAAUCAAUUUUUACUAAAUCAUUUAUAAAUGAAGAUGAAUAAGGUGAAGUAAGUAAAAACUUUGAUCAGUUAAAACCAAACAAGAAAUCGUAAAGCAAAUAACAGAAGAUUUCAUGAAUAGAUAAUAUUGUCGUAACAACAAAGUGUUUCAUACCUAUGAAUACUAGAUUCAGCCUCGAUUUGGAUUUGGAUUUGGAUUCGGAUUCAGAUUCUGCAAAUAAAAUAUAGCAAUGAAAAUUUUGAAGGAGUAAAAAAUCAAUUUAAAAGACUUAAUAAAAAAUCUAAUCAACUAAUGAUAACAGAUCAUGGACUAAAUGUGCAAAUAAUUUUACCCUAUCCUAAAUGUGUUUUUAAAAAUGGUUUAAGAUAUAAUUUUUGAAACUAUAAAUGAAAUCUUUUAAAAAGCAAGGAAAUUUUAAUUAAAUUUAAAAAUAUGAAUUAUUGUUAAUACUUGUUUCAUUGCAUAACUUUACGAAUCAUACUGAGUUGAGAUAAUAUUGCAAAGUAUGUUGGACUUUUUUUAAUAUUAAUUUCAUUAUAUGUUCUUAUUAUAUUUGUUCUUUUUGAUACAAUGCUUAGAAUUAUCCAUAACCCCUCUCCAAUCCUUAAAUAGGAGGAUAAUGCGUUUCACCGCACUCGAACCCACAUCCUCCUACACUGACAACAAUGCCGAUCCCAAUGGAGUUAAGACUCAAUUGGUAAGUAUGUUGGAUUUAAAUAUGAAACAAUUAACAUUUUAAAUAAUUUAAAAAAUGGGAAUUUAUUGCUAUUAUUUAUGAUUUCAAAUUAGUAUGUAUAUUUUUACAAUAAUUAUGAAUUAUGAAUUAAUUUUUGUCUAUAAACUCAAUGUGUAUAUCAAAGUUUAUCUUAUAUUUUGCAUGUACAUCACCCUUGAAUUUUCAAUAGAAUAAAACAUUGGUUUUGUUGGAAGCCCAAAUUUAUUUCAUUGACACAUUAAAAUACAUCACUAGUAUUUUGUACAAUUAUGAUAUUUUCUUUUAACCAAUUCUGAUUUAGAAAUUUUAAUUAGUAAUCAUGUUGUGAUAAAAUGUUUGGCAUUGUCACAUAUCAAUUACUCAUUUCAUAUAGAAAUCUAAAACCGUGUAAUAUAAUAUAUAUACGUUUGGCUAAAUAGAUGAUACCACAUCAUAAAAAAAAUUAAAUAUAAUAAUAAAUUUAGUGAAAAAUAUUUAUCUCUAACCUGUUUUCUUAUUUACCCUUAAUCUUUAAAUGUUAGUCUUUUUUUUUUUAAAUAAAAAAAUUGAUUAGGCUAAAAUUUUAACAACGUACAUGAUAAUUCACUUAUACUUUAUUAUUAAUAUUUUUUAAAAAAAUAUGGAAUUUUCUUAAUUUUUACGUUUUUCUUAAAUUUUCUUAUGAUAUACAUGGACUGUUAUACAAAUAAUCACAUCAGUUUUAAAAUUUUAAUAGUUCAAUUACUUUUUAGUUAAAAAUAAUAAUUUAACAAAAAUUUAAAAGUUAAGGAUAAAAGUGAUCCAGUAAAAAGAUAUAAAAAAAUGCUAAAAGAAUUAAAUAUUAAAAACAAAUUUUAUUAUCGUACCAAAAAAUAGAAAAUCUAAAUAACAUCCUUGUCAUUAUCUUAUAAAAAGGACGUAUCAUUGAGAUAUAAAAAGAAUCUAAAUGAAUGGAUCAAAAUUAGAUAUAUCCAAUUUUAGGUGUUGAAUUUUCCUCAAAAAUUAAUGCUGAUUAAUACGUUAUUAUUGCUUUAAAUGAUUGACAAUGACGGAAGAAAUAUAAUUUUUUUUGGGUAAAGUUUUGUAUAUUUCAAAGAUGUUAUUAUUAAGCAUAUUUUUCUUCUCUCUCUUUUUUCUACUCUAUUUUAUAAUUUAUGUUUGAAAUUGUUCUUCUCAAUAAUAUUACCUUUAAAAUUUGAAUGUGCCUUCCCUUAAACAUGUAAUGUCUUUUACCAGCACAUUUAUGAUGAGAUCUGAUUUUUAAAAAUAUUUUCUAUUUUUAUUUUCAAAAAAUAAUUUCCAUUUUCUAUUUUUUAAAAAUUAAAAAGCACGUUUGAUAAAUAAAAAAUUAUUUAUAAUAAUUAAAACAUGAAUAUAUAUAUAUCUAGUAACUAUUUUUCUCAAAUAAAAAUAAAAUAAAAAAAAUUACAUUUCAUCUAGAUUUGAACUAGGAUACCAGAUUUAAUAUUAAAAAAAUAAUUGAAAAAAGAGAGAAUAUUUUUUUGCAUUUAUAUGGGUUUGAACCCGGAUCAAUUCAUCUAAACUUAUUUUUAUUGAACAAUCUCAUGAUAGGUUCUGAUCAUAUGUGUUCUUUUUAACACAAUGUUUAAAACUACCUAUAGUUACUCCCCAAUACAUAAAUAGGAGGAUAAUGCGCUUCAGCGCACUCAAACAUCAUGUCCUCCUGCAUUGGGAAUAAUGUCUAUACCAACUGAGUUAAGACUCAAUCUGUCAAUUCAUCUAAAAUUAAAAACACUUGUAUUUAUCAUUUUGUGUGUUUGGUUUCAAGAAACAAGAGUUGUUUUUAUUUAUUCGACCCCUUUUAACUUUUAAAAGAAAUUCAAAAAUUUUGAAAAUAAUGGGUUUUUUAAGUUUAUUUUUUGCAUUAAUUUAUUAUGAUUCGAAAUCUUUUUAAAAGUAAUUAUUUAUAACAAAAUUUUUAUCAUUGAUAAUAUAUUAAAUUUUCUUUAUAAUAAUGAAGAUUUUGUCCGUUGUUUAUAUAUUCAUAACAAUAUAUUGUUAUAUAAAAUUAGUUAUUAUAAAUUUACAACAAAAUUUAUAACAUGAAUUUCUAUUAAAUAAAGUAAAUGUGAAUUGUGUUAAAAAAGAAAAAAAAGGGAGAAUCAAAUGAACAAAACUAAAAGACAUAUAGUAGAUGCAUGCAUUAUUACUUUUAUGUAUAUUUUAUUUUACAUUCUUUCACAUGAUUAAUUUAAACAAGUUCAAUUAAUCAGUAUGAGUUUUCUAAUUAAAUUAAUGAAUUUAUCAUAAUAUAAUUAAUCAAUUUAUAAGUUAUAAAAUAAGUUUAUAAUGAUCCAAAUUCAUAGUAGAAUAUUUAUUAGGGAACUUAAUAGUUUAUUGAAUUGAUAUCUUUAAUUCACUCAUUAAAGAUUAUUUUCAUUUAAUAAAAUAUUAUUAAUAGGUUUUAAAUGUGAAAUUUAAAUAAUUUAUUAAAAUAUUUUAAUUAUUGUAUUUUUAUUUAAUAAAUUAUAAUUAAUAUAAAAUAACUAUAAUCUUUCUAAAAUUUUCAAUAAAUGCUAUUAUAGAAAAUUAAUUUGAUAAAAAAAUGUAUUCUAUAAUUAUUGUUGUUGCUGAUAUUAUAAGUAAAAAGUUGUUGCAAAUGAUUAAAAUAAAACAUAAAAUAUUAAUUUUACUAAAAAUUUAGUUAUUAUAACGAGGGAUUAUUAUAUAAAAAAUUGAAAGUAUAUAAAAUCAUAAGAUAAUACGUUAUUAAAUGAAUUAAAUUAUUUUACAUGAUUCAUAAUAUAAAAAAUAAAAUAAAAUAAAUUCAAGUUUUAUUAUUAUUUGUCGGAUUAUCUAUCAGGCUUUUGAUAAGAUUAUUUUUAAUGUUUUUGAAAUAGUGAAAUCAAACUUCUAAUAAACUUGAAUAAAGAUUUUUUCUUUUUUCUUUUUUUAAAUUCAGGUUGCAAUCCAGUCUGAUCUUACUUAUCAACACCAAUACAGAUAAAAAGUACAUACCUUGGGCAGACGACGUUGGUGAUGAUGAAGAAACAACGCGAUGGCAUUGUCUGUCAUCGGGCGAAUUCUCGAACAUGAAAGGGCAGUAGCAGAACAUUGUUUGAUUCUCCGCCGGCCCAAAGAAACCGCAGGCUCCGCCGGAAUCAUUGCACUUCCCACAAGCUUUGCUGUCCUUCCAAUUCCAUUGUACCUCCACUCCUUUGUUCAAGGCUUCUUUCAACCUCAACGAAGAAUUCAGUGAUCCCUCCAUGGAAGAUCGAAGAACCGGAACAGUAACAUUAGCCGAACAUCCCUUCGGCUGGAUAUUAUUCGGUAUCCCCACGGAAACGUUACUGUAAGUGGAACCGGCGUUAUCGCAAGGGAAGAACCCGAGAUUGCGUGACGAGAUGGAAGCUUGGCAGUCAUAAAACAAAGUAACGUUGGCAUAACCGGGACCAGGUGAAAACAACUCGGGAUCGAGGACCGAAUUCCGAGUUGCGAUUUGAGGGCUACAAAGGCCAUCGUACUUGAUGAGGUCUUCCCUCGCAAUCUUUAGAAUAUGACGAUCCCAGCCGAUGCCCAGAACCCGAUAUUCUAUGUUACUAAUUACGAUCGUUGUUGUGUUGUUGUUGUUGUCGCAGCGAAGCUCGAGACCGUGUCGUCCACACUCCGACACUCGUUGACCGCCAGAGAAAGGAAAUCCGGCGGAGAUAUUCCCGCAUCGGAACACUGUAUCACGACAGUUCUCGUACAGUUCAUGAUUGCUUAGUGAAAGAGGAAACCCAAACAUGAUGAAUAAUAAGGAAUAGUACAGAAGUGGAAGACAAGGUAAUGGUGAUGAUGAUGAUGAGAACCAAAGAUUAUUCAUUUUUUAAAAAAAAUUUCUGAGAAUUGAUGGAAGAUUGAACAAGGUAAAUGAGAAAGUACAGAAAGGAUUGAUUGGCCCUCAAUAAAGGGAAAGUUUAUCAAAAGAAAGUCCUCGUCAAUGAAGUUUACUUAAAAAGACUCGUGUAAUAUGAUUUACGUUUAUGCUGAAUUUUGCACUGUUCUAAUUUAUCACUGGGUAGUAAAAAGUCUAAAGCUUUAUGUAAAAAAAAGAAAAAAGAAAAAGAAAGUAUAACUCCUAAAAAAACAUAAUUUUAAGGCAUUAAAUUUUGAUCUAUAUUUACCAUCUUCUUCAUUUAUUUAAAAUAAUUAAUAUUUAAAAUUAUAAACAAACAUUUUUUUUAUUUUACAAUUUUUAAUCAUUUUGCUUUUCUUUCAAGUUAUUUAGUUUUUCAAUCAAUUUUCUUAAAAAAAAAUUAGUUUCUAGACAAUGGAUUUUUUUUUCAUUUUAAAUUGUUUUCAAGUUAUUUGAUUUUUUUAUUUUAAUUAUUUAUAUACACUUUUUUUAAAAAAACUUUGGAGUUGGAGAACAGGUUGAAUAUGAAUAAGUGUAUAAUAAUAAUUUCAUGUCUUUAAAAUUUGAUAAUGUGAUGAAAUUUUAUUAAUGCCUAAAAACCUUAAAUUUUAAUAUCAUUCUAAUAUAAGUUAUUCCCUAUGUUUAAAUCUUCCAUUCAUACUUAAUGAUAAAUCUUUAAAUAAUUCUUUAAAGAAAUGAAUAGGAGAAAAAAGAAAGUCGAAAAAAGUAUCUAAUAGGGAAUAUAUAAAAAAUAAAAUAAAUACUGAAAUAGGAUAAGGGCCCUAAUAUUUAUAAAUCUAGGCAAAGCGAAUAGUGUAAAAUCGGUACUGCCUAACCAAUCGGCGACACCCCUGUCCCUUGCCACCGAUGACAUCACAUUUUUAAAAAAAUAAUAAUUUUUUUUGGGUGUCACCUAAGCAAUAGGCAGCACCAGUAUUUCAGACCUAAAAAUACACGAUUUUUUAUAUUGGUAAAACGAAGUAUUCGUUUGACAUUACAUAUCAGCUUAGAGGUCAGCCAGUCUCUAUUUGAACCGAUGUGGUUCCAACUCGUACCUUGAACUGUUACAACAUAUUACGUGUUGUUUCACAAACUCUAAACAUAUGGAAAAAAACUGAGACAGAUAGUUACCCAUCUUUAAAACUUGUUUACACCAAUCCGCAUUUUUGAAUUCCUUGUGGAAGUUCGCCGCAAUGUGCCUGAUGCAAUAGACGGAUCUCCACAAAACACUUGAAUGCCUAAUUGCGGCAAUUAUCCCCUUUGAUCUAUCGAGAAUGAUGCAAACGUUGUCUUGAGUGACAACAUACCUCUACAAGUUCUCUAGGAAAAAUUCUCAUGACUUCAUGUUCUCUUCCUCAACAAUGGCAAACGUUAUCGGUUAGCAAGUUCCAAUUCCCAUCUUGUGCAGUCACAAUGAGAAGGAUUUGCGUAUAUUCCCCGUAUAGCCAGGUUCCACCUAUCUGCACAAACGGGUUAUAGUGGGGAAAGGCUCAAAUGCAUGGAUUAAAUGUCAAAAACAUCUAGUGAAAAGUUCUUUUCCCCUCGGAUGUAGUUGGUUGUCCCAAUCGUAUAAGGCAACGUCUGCAACUCAAUGACUAUCCAUGUAACAUACUCUUGCAUUGCGGCUAUCCACCCUUAGAGUCCAUUGUACGACGCAUCCCAAUCUCUGUGCAACUGAUCCAUGGCUAUAUGUUCAGUCAACCAUGUCUUCCGGUAUGAAACUCGGUAUUAGAACCGUUCUUACAUUUUGACAAUCAGCACUGAUAUAGGAAUGGUGGGCAUAUAUUUAAUUGUUGCCAAUAUACAGUUGCAGAUGGUUUUUGAAUCAAGCUUGCGGUGGUCCUGCAUCAUAAGUGCAGAAGUGCAUGUAUAAAACCUAACAUAUUUUUGUAUCUUCCACUACUAGGACUUCUGGAUAAAUGUAGCUUGUACCCGCCACUUGCACCCUUUUGUCAACUUCCAACACUCACCAACAUAGAUCAUUGAUUUAAAGUCAGCCACCUUGUAGUCAACAGACACCUUUGUUAAGUAUGACUCCUAUUUCAGUCAAAUUUGAGAAAUAAUCUUCUAGUUAAAUUCUAUUUAUUUGUUUCAGUUAAACUCUUAUUAGUCUAUAUUAUUUUAUUAUUAUUUGACCUAUGAAUUUAACCUAUAAAUAGGCUCUUUUACAACAUUAGAAAAUACACUUAUUAGAGAUUAAAACUCAUAACACAUUUAGAGAAUUUUGUGUUUAUGUUUUGAGGGUUUUUUGUUUUUAGGUUUUCGGGGUUUAGUUUUUAUCUCCAUCUUUUGUACUCUUCGUUCUUUUGCCAUUAUAGUAAAAUUAUCUUUGCCCGUAGUUUUUUUUAUCCUCUUUGGAGGGGUUUUUCUAUGUUAAAUUUGUGUGUUCAAUUUCUCAAUUUCUUUCGCUAUUGUUACUUGUUCGUUGUAACACCCCUAACUCAUAACUGUCGUCGAAAUAGGUUAAGAGGCAUUACCGGACUUGCAACUCAUUUCAGAACAGUAAUUCAUCUACAUUUAACUAAUAUCAUAUCAUUUCAGUAAUUAUCAAUCAUUCAUAUUCAUAACAUGCCUAAAUCAAGCAUUUCCAAAAUAUAAAACAUCAUACACAUCACAUACUAUAUACCAUACCAAUUUGCCACAUUCAUAAAGCAUUUUCAAAUCACUUAUUCAUCUCAUAAUAGUAUGGGCAUAUGCAUUAAGACUUUUAUUCAUGAGUUUGUCAAAACAUAUCAUUUUGCACCCAUUUAACUAUUAUGUCACUAAGCCAAAUCUCAUGGCUUACACACAUCAAACAUAUAUACAUAUACUUUAUAAACUAAGUGAUCAAAACACCAUCCUUUCAUCUAGCCUAUACAUGCCAUAUUUACACAAUUUUCUUGAGUUCAAAAGUACCGAGAAGUCGCCUGGAUAGCGUGAUGACAAUCUCUAACUUUGUCCGAAUCGAGCUAGCUAACGAACCUCUAUAAAACACGGAAGAUAAACAGAGUAAGCAUUUAAGCUUAGUAAGCCCCGUAUAAUAGAAUUAAACUUACCACAUUGCAUAAUUUGAGCAAUUAAUCAAUAUGUCCAACUCGAAUAUUCAAAUGCCUAUCACACAUACACCUCAAUAGGUUAGAGUCUCAGACAUGCAUAUAACUAACAUUUCAUCUAUGAAUGUUUCAAUUUAGUAUUCAAAUCACAUAGCAUUUCAUUCAUAAAUUUCAUAAUAUCUCAUUUCCAUUUCCAUAUGUCCAUGUAACACAUAUUACAUUUCAUCUAUAUAAUUCACAUAGCUCAAAUUCCAUUUCAUUCUCCAUUCUAUAAUCGGUAAUAGUAUAAUGCCCGUUGAACCUACCGAAACAUCGAAGGAUACUCGGGUAAUAUACUCUAUGUGCAUUAAUCGGUAAUCCGUCAAUUCAUUAUCAUUUCCAUUCUUUUAUGAGCUGAUAUAUCGAUAAGCUUAUACGAGCUGUGGUGAGUCCGCAACAAAUGUAAGAGCUCGACCAAAACGGUAACCCUAGAGACAUGUCACUCAUAUCCUACGAUUUUCUAUAGUUCAAACGGGGUUCGGUAUUACUCAAUACAUUAAUCUCCAUUCUCACAACAUUUUAAAUAUAAAUUUUUCCAACCAAAUACUAUUAUUUCUGAUCAACCAUAAAUUAAUUAUAGAACACAUUUAACGAUUACGAUAAUAACAUAACUCGAAACACUAUUCCAAUCCAAUUUCCUAUUAGUUUAACAAUUAAAAAAACAUAAAAAGUUAAGGGAAACAUUACCUCAAAGACUUACUCGGAUAACUCUAUUUAUAAAUAAUGUAUAAAGUCAUAAAUAUAAAGUAUACAAUAUUAAUAUACAAGUUUUGGACAGCUUAACCAUUAAAAAUAAGUAGCAUGUAUACAUCAAAUGCUUAAUCAAUUUAAAUGUUAGAAAUCAGACAACAUUAAUAUACAAAUUUUGACAAACAUUAAUUCUUGAAUUUGGACAAGCAUUUAAAUAUGGAAAAACAUAGGUAACAUGUCUUGUUUUGGACAGCUUUAAUACUUCAAUUAAACAAGCAAUUAAUUCAAUCGAACAACAUAAAAAAAAAGUCCAACUUUGAUCGAUUAACAUUCAUACAACCAAAAGUGUAAUGUUAAGCAAUUCAAUAUCAUUUAUUUCAACCAUUUAAUUCACAUAUAUAUACUUAUUCAUUUCAUACAAUUGCAAUUAAAUGAAAGUUCGAUUCUAGUUAUACGAACUUACCUCGAGUUGCUCAAAUAGAAAUUAUCGACUAUUCUUCCACUUUUCCUUUUCCCCAUUCUAAUCCUAAUCUCGACUUAUCUUGAUCUAUAUAUUAUCAAAAUUAGCUUAUUUAAUAAACUAUUUAUUCAAUUUAAUCCAAAACACACAUUAGGGCUAUUUUACACAUUUGCCCCUAAACUUUCACAUUUUUACAAUUUAGUCUUUAUCACAUAAAAUUGCAAAUUCAUGCAAUUUAGUACAAACCCAUGCUUAACCGAAUUUAAUACAUGUUACUAGCAGCCCAUAUUUUCAAUUUAUUCACACUUUUAACCACCACAUUUCAUAUUUUAUCAAUUUAAUCCCUUUUUGACAUCUUUGUCAAAAAUCACUUAACAAAACUUGUAUAUCUAACAUUAAGCCUUCAUAAUCUAUCAUUAAACACUUAAACAACCAAUCAUUCAACAAUGGCAUCAUUUGAAAUCUAUAACAGUUUCAAAAACGAAGGUACGGGCUAGCUAGAUUAAGCUAUAACGAUCCCGAAAACGUAAAAAUAAUUAAAAACGAGACAAAAUAUCUUACCAAUCAAGGAAAACAAGAAUGGCCGAAUGCUAAGCUUCCAUGGCUUUCUUUUUUUCUUUUAUUCUCAGUUGAAAAAAUGGUUAAAGAUGAUAACCUAAUUGUUGUUUUAUUUUAUUUUGUUAUUAUUUACCAAAGUACAUUAUUUACCAAAGUACAUAAUUGAACACUUAAGGACCUUUACUUUAAGGUUUUAUAGCUAUUUAAUAUAUUUAACUAAUAGAACACAAGUUUUUUACUUUACGUGAUUUAGUCCUUUUUGAUAAAUUAAGCAAUCAAAUAGUAAAAUUUCUUUACGAAGCUUUCAUAUAAUAAUUCUAUCAUACUAUAAACCUUAUUAAAAUAAUAAAAUAAAUAUUUUAACUCGGUUUUGUGGUCCCAAAAUUACUGUUCUGAUCUGAUUCAAAAAUAGGCUAUUACAUUCGUUACUUAACUAGGUUGGUUCCCAACAAGUGGUAUAAGAGCAGGUUUAAUUUUCAUAGAUCAGCUCGUUCAGAGAUGGCAGCAACAAGGUUUGAAAUUGAGAAGUUCAAUGGUGUCACAAAUUUCAAUUUAUGGCAAGUUCGGAUGAUGACAAUUCUAGUUCAAACCGGCUUGAAAAAGGUUGUUACAGGGAAAAAAACUUGAGAAUCUAAAUCAAACAGAAUGGGAAGAACUUGAUAAAAAAACCUUAUCUGUAAUCCAGUUGUGUCUCACGAAUACGGUAUUGUAGGAGGUAUUGAUGGAAAAGACCUCAUCCGCCUUGUGGAAUAGGUUAGAAACUCUUUAUGCAACAAAGUCUUUAGCUAACCGUUUAGUGUUGAAACAACAUCUAUUUACGUUUCGCAUGAACGAAUGUGUGUUUGUUAAAGAUCACAUUAGUCAAUUUAUUACUCUUUUAAAUUAUUUAAAGAAUGUUGAGGUUCAGAUUAACGAUGAAGAUCAAACUAUACUAAUAUUGUGCUAUUUACCCCUUUUAUACAAGUCUUUCAGAGAGACCUUGAUUUAUGGCAGAGAUAAACUCUCAUUCGAAGAUGUAAAGGGUCAUUUGUUGAGUAGAGGAAAACUCGAUAAUGAGUUUGGUUCGAAUAACAAGGCAGAUAAGUAAGCUUCUAUUUUGGUAGCAUCAAAGAAGCGUGACAAAAGGUGUCGCUAUUGUAAAAAGUUAGGUCACGUCAAAGCAGAUUGUUAUAAACUGCGAAAUAAAAGAGCUGCUGAGAGUAACGAAGAAGAUGUAGCUGGUGCUAAUUUGCCGAUGAAAGUGGUGAUGAUUUCUUACUAGUGUCAACGAGCGAUAACUCUAAGCUUACUUCCGAGUGGGUCUUAGAUUCGAAAUGUUCUUUCCACAUGUGUCCCAAUAGAGAAUGGUUCUCCACAUAUAAUUCGGUUGAAGGUGGAGUUGUGCGUAUGUGAAACGAUUCAUCCAAUAAGGUAAUUGGUAUUGGUAUUGUGAAAAUUAGGAUACACGAUGGGAUGAUUAGGACAUUCUCAGAUAUCAGGUAUGUACCUAAGUUACGAAAAAAUCUCAUAUCCUUGAGUAUUUUAGACUUAAAAGGAUACAGAAUCAACAUUGAGUCGAGCGGCACUAAAGUAUCUCGUGGAGCUCUCAUUUUGUUAAAAGGUAAAAGAAUUUGCAGUUUUUGUAUUUUAGAAGGUUCUACAAUGACCGGUGAAAUUGGACGUCCCUCAUCCGUUAUGGAGUCGAAGUCAACUCGUUUGGAGCAAAGACAACUUAGUCACAAGAGGGAAAAAUGUAUGAUUAUUUUGUUGAAGAGAUGUUCUCUUUUAGAUGCAGGUUUUGAGAAGUUAGGGUAUUGUAUUCGUGAAAACCAGACCUGAGUUAGUUUUGAUUUAGCAGUGUACAAGUCGAAGGCUAGAAGUCUUCCAGUGAAAAGUUAUUUCCCCCCCGAAUGUAGUUGGUUGUCCCAAUUGUAUAAGGCAACGUCUGCAACUCAACGACUAUCCUUGUAACACACUCUUGCAUUGCGGCUAUCCACCCUUAGAGUUCAUUGUACGACACAUCUCAAUCUCAGUACAACUGAUCUAUGGCUAUAUGUUUAGCAAACCAUGUCUUCCGGUAUGAAACUCAGUACUAGAAUCAUUCUUGUAUUUCGGCAAUCAGCACCGAUACAGGAAUGGUGGGCAUGUCUUUAACCAUUGCCAAUAUGCAGCUGCAGAUGGUUUCUGAAUCAAGCUUGCGGUGGUCCUACAUCAUAAGUGUAGAAGUGCAUGUAUAAAACCCAACAUAUUUUCGUAUCUCCCACUAUUAGGACCUCUAGAUAAAUAUAGCUUAUACCAGCCACUUGUACCCUUUUGUCAACUUCCAACACUCACCAACAUAGAUCAUCGAUUUAAAGUCAGUCACCAUGUAGUCAACAGACACCUUCAUGUUGUAGUGCUUGAUGACAUUGACACACUCAUCUUUGCUCGCGAAUGUUUGACCCACGAAUAAAUCUCUCGAUUCAGGAUCUGCUAACAUCAGCUGAGUAGGUAUUAUGUCUAGGUACUCGGGAAACUCAGAAGCAUGCGUUGCAUCAGGAUCGAUGAUCGACAUGUGGGUCUGGGAUCAUUGCGUAUAACGAUGCCACGACUCAAGUUUCCGACCGAAGGGGCGUGAUCAUUUCCAUUAUCCGGUCAUUCGUCGUCAAUAUCAUUUGGGACAUUGUCUAAAUCAGGGUCACCAAAAAUCUUCACCUUCGUGAUCAAAACAACCAUUAUUACCGAAUCAAUCUUCACCAAACGCAUCAGUUUCAAUAACAACUGGAUGUAUCUCUAACCCACCACCGUACUGAUCUAAACAUCCAACAUUAAGAUCGUUGUCAAAACCGCCCACAGACGACCUCCUAUCGAUGGACGCUCUGGAACUGUUGUACACGGGUUCGCAACUCAUAUUGUUGACUUAACUGAGUUACAUUUUCGACGGGCUCCGCAUAUGCUAACUCAGCAAAUAACUGAACCGGUUCAGUGUUCACCCUCCCUGGCGGGCAAUACAAUGCGACUAUUGUCUCGACGUCAUCAUCAUCUAAAAGUUCCAUCCCGGUAAAAUUGAUAGGAUUUGACGAAACUAGAAAUUUAUAGAAUAGUUUUGUCAUCCUCCUUCCACAACGUUUGAAAAUUUUUUCAUUGACAUUCUCUUUCAUAUCAACGACGGACACAUUUCUAUUGAAUCUUAUUACCAUUUUCUAACGAGUUUCAAAAAUACAACCAACAGUUGUUUCUAAAAUACCAUCAUCGGAAUGAAUGGCUGCAACAAAUUGAUUCUCCAUUUUUUUUAUAAAACUAUAAAAAUACAACAAAACAUCUUAAUAAACGAACAAUAAAAAGUAAACAUACACAGUUAUAAUAAAUUUCAUAAUUAACAUACCUUAAUACUAAAUAAAAGAAACUAUUAACACAAAUAAACUACUACUUAAAAACUAAUUAUACUACUAAAAAGAUAACCUUAAUAGUAAUUAACUAACCUUUUCUUCUUGAUUUUGGGUAGGGGACCUUUAGCUAGAUCUAUUUUUUUUUCCUUUCGUGUGGUGACUGAUCUGGGGGGAAUAAUUAGUACUAACCUUUUUUUUAACAAAAUAACAUUUCUUAAUAUUGAACUACUACUAAUAUAACUAAUUAUACUUAAAAAAAAUACAUACCUUCCUUUUGAUUUUUGGGGUGGGGGGGGGACCUUCAGCAGCUCUUGAUUUUUUUCCCUUUCGAUUGAUAUAUGUAGGGGCGAUUGAUAUAUGUAGGGGAGAAGGUUUGGGGGCCAAACCAAUCCCUUCUAUAAUAAUAAAAAUAAUAUAAUAAUAAUUUUUUUUAUUAAAGCUGAAAAAAAUUGGUAUAUUAAACCUGUCGGUCACGGGUCUGGGUUCCAAUACCCGAAAUUUAAUAUACCAGUUUUUUUCCAGCUUUAAAAAAAUUAUUUAAAAAUAUUCGGGUGUCGCUUGGCACGUCGGCGGUACCAAUAAAAAAUAUAAUUUUUUCGUUUUACCAAUAUAAAAAAAUCAUGUAUUUUUGGGUCUAAAGAUAUCGGCGGCACCCAAAAAAUUAUUUUUUAAAAAAUGUGAUGUCAUCGGUGGCAGGAUAGAAGGGUGUCGCCAAUUGGUCAAGCAGCACCGAUUUUACACUGUUCACUUUGCUUAGAUUUGUAAAUAUUAGGGCCUCAUCCUAUUUCAGUAUUUAUUUUAUUUUUUUAUAUUAUCUAGGUAAAAAAUCCAUAUAUAAAUUAGUGAGUCAAACAAACUUCCUCAAUAAUUAUUUUAUUUUUUACGAUUUUGAUUCGAACUCAAAUUAUUUUUUAAAUAUAUAAAUACUCGAUUAUACACAACUUGAGAUUCUAUUUUUUAAUAUUUAAGAGUAGAAUUUUUAAAAUUUAAAGUUGGAAAUUUUGAAGUUUAAAGAAACAUAUGUUAUUUUAUUUUUGUUUUCUUGAAAAUAAAAAAACAUUAAAAAAAGUAUGUUUGGUUGAAAAUUUUAAAAAUGAUUUUUGGAAAAUGAAAAUGAAAAUGAAAAUAUGUGUGAUAUAAGUUAUACAAUAAGAAAUUAUUUUCAUUGAUUUCACUAAAAAUACUUCAUAAAAAUAAAAAUAAUAAAAAUAAGUGUUUUAACUUUAAAUGAAUUGACCUUGAUUUAAAUACAUAAAAAAAUAGAAAUAUUCUUUUAAAAAAGUAAUUUUUCAAUUUUGAAAUUGUAAAUUAUUUUAUUUUAUUUCUAAAGUUCUUAUUAUAGGAAAACAGUAUCAAUAUGUUUUUCAUUAUUUAAUCAAUUUUUUUAUUAAACUGUAUUUUUUUAAUUUUUAAAAAUAAAAAAUAUUUUUUAAAAUGAAAAUAGGAAGCAUUCUCGAAAAUUAAACGGAGUAUUAAAAAUUCUAUUUUCGUGAAAGGAAAGUAAGUACAAAUAUUUUGGUACCAUCAAUAAUUUUCCGGGGUACAAUUUUUAGAUUUUUAGAUUUAUACCGUAUGAAAUUUUUUUGAGGAAUAGCAUAUGAUUUUUUAGAGUUCCAAAUUAAAAAAAAAAAAGAGAAAAGGGUAAAUUACAUUGCAGGUUACAUUAAAAUAGCAUCAUUUUUCUUUUGAUCACAUAAUUUUUUUUUGUUAAUUUAAUCACUUUAAUUAAGAUAAUUAUUCGAAUUAGUAACUAUAGUUAAAAAUUCUGUUAAUCCACUAACUGAUUGCUGACAUGAUAUUUUUUACUUUUGACAAAAGCUAGGGACUUCUAACAUUUGAAUCCUCUUUAAGAAAAGGAAACCCAAUGACAACGACAGCAAACCAUGACCACCCUAUCCAAUAAGCCCACAUGUCAGUGCGUAACUUCAGUGAGGAAAAUAUCGAACACACGAACGAAACACGAACAAGUUGAAUAGAAAAACAAAGCAAUAGGACAAGGCUCCAAGGCGUGUAUCAAGCCAUUGUCUUUAAGGUUCUAUUUGCCCUCACCUAUACUUGGUAUGCAAAUGAGUUUCAAGCAAAUAAACCUCAAGGAUACAAUGAAACCCAAUGAUUAUUUAUGUUUUGCACUGAUGAAAAUAGCUGACUAAGCAAUGAGCAUGGUAUAACAAGAAAAUCAAUUUUUAUGAAGAACUUCUAUAGUAUUUUUUUAUAGAACAAUCUACGAAAUAUGGAAGAAUAAUAGAAAGAACUUUUGAGAAUUUUUUGAUAUAUUUUCCAAAUAAAAUCUCACUCCUAUUUAUAGGAAUUCUCAUGUAUUUUCAUAGAGACAUAAUUUCUAAUAGGUAUCUUUUUUGAAUAAUCACAUAUUUAAAAAAGACAUAAUUAUUCAACUAAUAUUUUUUAAAUAGAUAUAACUAUUAAAGUAAGAGAUACAAUUUUUCAAGUAACAUCUCUUAAAUAAACAAAACUAUUCAAGUAAUAUUGCUUGAAUAAUUGUAGUUUUUUGUCAAAAAAAUCAAGUGAUAUAACUCUUCUUACUUAAGAGACUUAACUUAUUGUUAUGGAUUGUUAUAAUUCUUGAUCAAUAACAAAAAGAUAUAACUUUUGGUUAAUUACACUUUUUCAUUUAUGGCUAUUAGAACACUAUAAAUAUUUGAAAAUGUUCCAACAAUCUCCCCCAUUUUCAAAAUAUUUUAGAUUUUGAUAAUCUAGGAAAUUAAUUUGCAUAAAUGAGUCUUACGAUUGAAACUCUACUUAAUGAAAACAUGUUAAAGUUAAUCAAAAUUGGAUGGUAGAUUAAGCUUUGAACCAGCUAUUCCGUUUGAUUAGCCAAACACAUCUCACUUAAUGAUUUCAACAUCGAUCAAUGCAUAGUAUCUGCGGACACUAUUAUGGUCAUGUAUUUGUGUCAACUUUUCAUGAAUGUUGUUAGAGCCAAGCCCUUGUGCUCCUAAAAGUGGCCACAGUUUAUACUCAUAUAGGUAGAUCUCAUCAAGAGUGUUUUAGUAAUUAUAACACUUUAACAUAUUUAUGUUAUGGGUCCGUUAAAAGUACAUUACAAAUCACUCUAACAUAUUUAUGUUAUGGGCCCGUUAAAAGUACAUUACAAAUCUUUCCCUUAUCAUCACGGGUACCUAGCACUUUAAUCUUAAGAUGAGUUUAUUUAUAGUGCUAGCAGUCACAUACUAAUUAUGUACUUUGUCUCAUUAAACUCAAGACUUGACGUUAUACUAUGCAUUAAGUCAAGUUUCCAUCAUGGGUGACUCUAAUUAAUAAGCUUGAGUCCUAUCCCUUUUGAGGUCUUAUUGACUACAUCUCUAGCAAGACCUUUUGUCAAAGGAUCCACCAAGUUUUCACUUAACGUCACAUAAUUAAUAGUGAUUACUCAAUCAAAGAUUAAUUGUCAGACAUAGCUGUCUUAAUCUAAUGUGUCUAGACUUUUCAUUAUAUACUUGGCUAUAUGCAUUUACUAGAGUAGUCUCACUAUCACAACGAAUAGAAAUAGGUGAAAUUGGUUUAGGCCAUAGAAGUAAAUCAUAAAACAAAUUUUUUAACCAUUCUGAUUCGCUAAAUGUAGCAACUAAUGCAAUAAAUUUAGUUGUCAUGGUGGAAUCAGUAAUACAUGUUUGUUUCUUAGAACCCCAAAAAAUGACACCUCCACCAAGAAUGAAGAUCCAUCCAUUAAUAGAAGCAUGAUCCUCCAAACUUGUAAUCCAACUAGCAUCCGAAUACCUUUCUAAAACUGAAGGAUACCCACUAUAGCACAACCUGUAGUUAAUAGUUUUCAUUAAGUACCUAAGUACUUAAUUUAAAUCUUGCUAAUGAAAACUACUUGGAUUACUCGUGUACUUACUCAAUUUCCUAAAAGUACAUGCAAUAUUUGGUCUUGUACAAUUCGUUAUGUACAUAAGACAAUCAAUUAGACUUGCAUAAUUCAAUUGAUCAACUUUCCUACCAGUAUUAGAUACUAAUUUUAUUUGAGAAUCUAUGGGUGUAGAUGCUAAUAUAUAAUUGAAAAGAUCAAAUUUUUUAAGCACAUUUUCAAUGUAGUGUGAUUGUGAUAAAGUUAUAGUGCUUUCUUCUCGGGUUAUUUUAAUAUCAAGAACAACAUUUGCUACACCUAUAUCCUUCAUAGCAAAGUUGUUUGACAAGAUUUUUUUAAUUAUUAUGUGUAGUAACACUCGAGAUUUGGACUCGGUGAAUCGGGUCAGGUUAAGGGCAUUACACAAUGCAUAGAUUUGAUUAUAUGCAUCAAUUAAAGUAUAUUACAUUUAUUUAUUAAAAAAAGCUGCAAAUUUUGUAACCUUUUGGAAAUAUUAUAAAUGAAAAGGUAAAAAUAAAAUGAUAUAAAAUUUUUACUUUUAGAAUCUUGAUGGUUUGUAUUGUGAUAAAUUUGUAUUGAUUUUAAUUUUUUUAGGGUCAAGAAUAAAUAAAAUAAAAUAAAAUAAAUUUAUUUGUAACACUAUGCAAUUUCACUAUUUAUAGCGUAAAGAAUGUGAAGUUAUUGAAUAUGUUUGAUUUAUUUUUAUUCAAAAUUCUUUUAAUUUAUUUUUUACUUUUAAAUUGUUGAUUAUGUAAAGUUAUAUUUCAUAUUACUGAAUAUGUUUGCAAUUAAUUCAAAAUUUUGAAGAAAUUUAAUUUAGUCGUGUCACUAAGAAAAAAAUUACAAACUAUUAAUUUAACAAAUUUAUAUCAUUUCAUUAAGUUUUUCUCUAUUUUUUAAUAUAUAAAAAUUAAGAAAAUAAUAUGAAAAGUGAUUUUUUUAAUAUAAUUGUUGUUAUAUAAUAUUCAAACAUUUUGACACAAAACUUUUUUUUUUUCAUUUUAACAUAUAACCAUUGCGAAACCCAUAAAAAUUAUUCACACAAUAUUGAAUACAAAUGUGCCCUAUAUAUAAAUAUAAUGCCACUUGUCAAAUACUGAAGCAUGCCACCUAAGCUUGUUUCUUUUUUCCUUCUAAAACAUUAUAAAUAUAUAUUAGUUUUAGAUUUAAGAUUAUAUAUAAUAAUACUCGAAUAAUUUAUUGAUAAUAAAUAAAUUCAAAUAUUUCAACAUAUUUUCAUAUUUAGAUUUCAAUAAUUCAAAAAAUAUAAGUAUUCGACUUGUUGUCAUUCCUAUAAAAGGGGAACAUUGAAGGAGUUUAGGUUUCUAUUAGGAAUCUUCAAUCAAAUCUUAUCUUUGCUUUUUUUUUUUUAAUGGAAUUCAUGUAUAUUUUGUUUUAUGAUUCAUGGUGACAAAACCUCUUAGGAAUUUUUUCCGUUUCUCUCAACGAUGUUAUCUUUUAAUAUUUAUAAAAUUAUUUCUACAAAAAAUACGUUGAAUAAGAAUAACACCAUUUAGGUAUAUCAUAGAUUUAUGUUUAAAAUUUUACACAUUUAAAUUGUUCUAUUUAUAUAUACACAACUAACAAUAAAAAAACAUGAGAUCAAAAUGAACAUUUUCCUAAAUCUAUUAAAGAUUGCCUCAACAUGAACAAAUUACUCAAGUUAACAACAAAUCUGCAACAGUUUUAGGUGGGUUGCGACGGAAGUGCUAAUGAUUGAAGGUUUCCUUGCAACAUUUCUAAUACUUUAGUCAUUGAUGGUCGGUCUACUGGAUUGGUUUGAGUGCACCAAAGACUCACUAUGAUUAGUUUCCUUGUUAUUUCUUCUUCCUCUAUAGAUAGUACUUCAUUAGGAUUGCAGUUCAUAGGUUGAUCAAGAUGGUUAUAUAUCCAUAAGGGAAAAUAUGUUUCACUAGCUUGGGAACCCUCAAUAUUUUUAUUUUUUCUUCCUCCGAUCAUUUCAAGGAGCAUCAUUCCAUAACUGUAGACAUCUGAUUUAUGAGAAACACCACCAAAAUUUCGAUAAAACACUUCAGGAGCUAUAAAUCCAACAGUUCCUCUAGCACCUGUAUUUGCAAUAGUGCUUUCCUGUCGUUCACAUAACUUAGACAAACCGAAAUCAGAGAUCUUGGGACAAAAGUUCUCAUCUAAAAGGAUAUUGUGAGGUUUAAUGUCAAAGUGCAAGAUCCGGGUACUGCAACCUUGAUGCAAGUAUUCGAGUCCUCUAGCGAUGCCCAUUGCAAUGUCGUACAAAGUUUUCCACUCCAAUUGACAACUUUGACUAUGUGAUCCUUUAUUAUAAAUAAACCCAUCCAAAGAUCCAUUGUGCAUGAAUUCAUAAACCAAAGCUCUUUUUGAUCUCUCAAAACAGAAACCCAAAAGAGUCACUAUGUUGACAUGAGAAGUUCUACUGAUGCUGGCUACUUCAUUCAUAAAUUCCUCUCCAUUAUCUUUGAAUUCACUUAGGAUUUUGACCGCCACGAGACGACCGUCUGGCAAUUUUCCUUUGUAUACACUACCAUAUCCUCCUUCACCUAAUUUAUCUUUAAACUUAUUUGUCAUUUUCUUAAUGUCUCCAUAAAAAUAUCGAUUAGGAGCUAGAGAACCGAACUUUGUGAUGAAUUCCUCAAUCCUAGCAUUGUCGUUCUUCUUCCCCUUCCAUAGAUGACUUGAUGGUGAUUUCCCUUUUAACCUUAACACAAAGAAGCAUAUAGCAGAAACCAAUACAACGGUGAUGGUUACAGCAACCGUCAAUCCUGUUCAUGGUGUAUUAAUCAACUUUUACUUAAUCAUUUAUAAAUGAAUAUCAAUAAGAUUAAUUAAGUAAAAAAUUAUUACUUUAAAAAAACAAUGAAUAGAGUUAAACAAGAAAUCUUAAAAUAAAUAACAGAGGCCUUUUAACUAUGCAUUUUGUUUAGGUUAGGUAUUUAAAUUUUUUUUUUGUCAAACAGGGUAUCUAAACUUUACUCAUAACCACAGUUGGCCUUUACUGAUAGACUCCAUUUUAAAAAAAAAAAGCUACAGCGGAUCAAGAAGUGCCACAUCAGCACCUCAUUAAAAUCUAGUUAAAUAAAAAAUUAUAAUAAUAAUAAUAUUAAAUAAAAUAAAAAAUAUCCCUUCCCUCACCCUCUUCCUCACCUAGAUCUAUUCAUAAGCCGAGCUACUCACCUAGGCCCGAAGGUCUGCCCGAAAUUUGAGAUGGUUUGGAUAAAAUGAUUAGGCUCAAAAAAUUAGAUUGGGUAACAAAAUUAGGCCCGUUUAAAAUAUGGAUCAGGCUCGGGCUCCCAACCCGAUCCACUUUUAAGUUUAUAAUAUUUUAUAUUAUGUUUUUUUAUAUAUUAUGUAAUUUAUAACACAUUGAAAAAAUAAACUUAUAUUAAAGAUAUAAUACUACUCUAAUAUAAAUAUUAAAAUAAUAUUAUAAUGACUAUAUAAAAAUUUUCAAUAAAAAUAUUAAAUAUUAAAUAUUAAAUUAAAAUAAUAUAAAUAUCUUAAAAAUAAUAUGGGUGAGUUUAAAAUGGAUUUGGAUUAGUUUUUUUUUUUUACAAAUAUAAGCAAGUUUGAGUAAAAUUGUAAGCCGAUAUUUUGGGCUGAACCAAUCUUAGACAAACGUAAAAUAUAUUUAUAUUAUAGAUAGACUCAACCCGACCCAAUCCAUGAACACAUUUAAUCUCACCCUUCUCCUUCUCUCCCCCAUUAAUUAAUUGAAGGUUACUAGUUCUUUUUUGGUAGAAUUAAAUUCAAAUCCUUAAUUGAUUCAAGGAAUGAGAGGAACCACUUUCAGAUAAUAGUAAAAAAAAAAACCCUAUAAGGAAACCAAGUUUCAAUAAAUAAAUAAAAAGUAAAAUUACUUAAACAAAAAAAAAACAUAAAUUUAAAACCUUUUAUUCAAUUAAAUUUAAAUAACAAAACAUUUGAUGAAACAAAUUGAUUCAUACCUAUAAAUAUUAGAUUCAGCCUCGAUUUCGAUUUAGCUUUGGAUUCUGCAAGUAAAACAUAUGGCAGAUGUAGUAAAUUAGUUUAUUCUGCAGUUUUAAUCAUUUUAAUAAUUCCACCAUUUAAAUUGCUUCUUUUUUUUUUUUUAACAAAAUUCAAAUGAGUUUCUUGAGGAAAAAGCAAAGUAUGGUUUAUAUUUGAUAAAAUAUUCAAAUAAAAAAUAUUAAUGGAAUGGAUAAAAGUUACAUACAGAAUGCUAGGUGUUGACUUGUCCUCUAAAACCAAUGCAGAUGCGUACCUAACAAAUAUUAGUUUCUCAUAUUAACGGUGUUGUAUAUUUGUCUUAAAAAUAUUAUAAAAGUUACUUUUUAUUGAAAUGGUAAAGUAUUCAUUACAUGCAUUUUUUUUUGGAUUUUAUAUAAAAAAUAUAUAAGAAUUUAAACUAAUAUUUAUUUUUUGUUAAAAUAAUGAUAUUUUAGUAAUUUAAUAAUUGAGACAUGAUUCAAUUAGAUUUGAUCAUGAGUCAGGUCAAAUGUCUAAGUUUAAAGACCAAUAUAAAAAGCGGGAGGAUUUAAAAAUAUAUAUAUGCUCGAAAAAUAAGCUUGGACAAAAAAUAAGACCCGUUUUCCAAACGAGUAACGGGUCGGGCCUCAGACAUAAAUUUUUUGUUUUGGGUCUGGUUCAGCCAGAAUCACAUAUACCUUUUUUUUUUGUAUUUUCAAUUUUUAGGAAACAUUUAUUUUAAUAUUUUUAAUGUAUUUGAUGUCUUAUAUUUUUUAAAUUUUUUAUAUAAAAAUAAUAUGGUUGGGUUGGGUCGGUUUGGCUCGAGUUUAGCAUUUUAAUAUGGGUUGAGCUAGGACAAAAUUUUAGACUCACUUUUCAAGCUGAGGCAGGCCUGAACUUAAAUUUUGCAUCGACCCAACUCGGCCCAUGAUGCAGUCUAGGUCCAGUUACGGGCAACACCAACUCAAUCAAAAUAUUUAUGUAUUCUUAAUCUGAUAUAUUACACGUUUAAAUUUAAUUUUACUUAUAAUUUAAUCUAUUUUUAUUUUAAUAUCAUAUAUAUUUUAUUUGUUACUAUUAAAUAAUAUAUUUAAUUAUUUAUUAUUAUAUGCUAUUUUUAAAAGGAAUCUUGAUGUUUUAAAUGAGUAAUUUUCAGAUGAGAAAUUUUAAUUUAAUAUAAAUAGUUUUGAUGCAUUUGAACCAGACACUCACGGUUGCUAAUGUAUCUGCCAUUGACAAUAAUUUUUAUUUUAAUGCUUCAUCUAUAUAAGAGUUGGAUGCUUUUGAUAACAUCAUUUUUAAUCAUUUUGAAAUAGUGAGACUUGAACAAAGAAUUUUUAAAAAUUUGUCAGGUAUAAAAAUUACAUACCUCGGGCAGUCGUUGGGGAUGGUGAGGAAACAAUGCGAAUGCAUUGUCUGUCAUCGUGCGAAUUGUCAAACAUGAAAGGGCAGUGGCAGAACACUGUUUGAUUCUCCGCCGGCCCAAAGAAACCGCAGGCUCCGCCGGAAUCAUUGCACUUCCCGCAAGCUUCACUGUCCUUCCAAUACCAUUGUACUUCCACUCCUCUUUUCAAGGCUUCUUUCAACCCCAACAAAGAAUUCAGUGAUCCCUCCAGGGAAGAUCGAAGAAUCGGAACAGUAACAUUAGCCGAGCAUCUCUUCGGUCGGAUAUUAUUUCGCGUCGCAACGGAAACGUUACUGUAAGUGGAACCGGCGUUGUCGCAAGGGAAGAACCCGAGAGUACUGCGUGAGGAGAUGGAAGAUUGGCAGUCGUAAAACAAAGUAACGUUGGCAUAACCAAGACCAGGUGAAAACAGCUCGGAAUUGAGGACCGAAUUCCGAGUUGGGAUAAUUUGAGGGCUACAAAGGCCAUCGUACUUGAUGAGGUCUUCCCUCGCAAUCCUUAGAAUAUGACGAUCCCGAUGGAUGGCCAGAACCCGAUAUUCUAUAUCACUAAUUACGAUCGUCGUUGUAUUUUUGUUGUCGCAGCGAAGCUCGAGACCGAGUCGUCCACAGUCCAUCGCUCGUUGGCCUCCAAAGAAAGGAAAUCCAGCGGAGAUAUUCCCGCAUUUGUAGACUGCAUCGCGACAGUUCUGGUACAGUUCAUGAUCGCUUAGUGAAAGAGGAAAACCGAAGAUGAUGAAUAAUAAGGAAAAGUACAGAAGAAGUGGAAGAUCAGGUAUUAAUGAUGAUGAGAAGCAAUGAUAAAUCAUUCUCUUUUUUUCUUUUCUUAGGAUUGAUGGAAAAUAGGACAAGGGAAAUUAGGAAAGUAUAGAUAGAAAGGGUUGAUUGGGUCUAAAUAAAGGGAAAGUUUAUCAAAAGAAAGACUUAGACUAUAAAGUUGACUUGAAAAGACUCAUGCAACGUGAUUUACAUUGUGACCUGAAUUUUGCACUGUUCCAAUUUAUCGUUGUAGUAGUAAAAGCUCCAUUCAUACUACUGACACUGAAUCAUUUUAAAAAAUAAUAUAAAGUGUUAGGUUUAAGACGUACAGAUUUUAGAUUUAUAAUUUUAUUUUAUUUUAUUUUUAAGAUUUAAGACGUAGAGAUUAAAUUUUGUUUUAUUUUCAUACCAAAACCAAUGAUAAUAACAUUAUUUUUUACGAGUAAAAAAUUUAAAAUUUAAAUUUCUACAAAGAGUACGUACCUUAUUAUAAAGAUAUGUUAUAAUUGUGUUGAAAAUUUCAACACAUCUCAUAACUGCACGGCGAACACUAAAAGCAAACACUAGACACAAUACGCGGAUUGCCCGAUUACUCGAGACAACUUCAACAUGAAAAGACACGGACAACACAGAAAGACACCAAUACAAACAUCGUAGUAAAUUAUAGCUUAAGACCUAUAAAUUUUAAUUUAGCAUUGGGAUUGUAGUGAAAGUUUUGUUUCAACUUAAAUUGAACGAUGAAAUUUAACAUCCAAAAAAAGCUCUUUCUUUCUCUCAAGUAAAAUGCUUCUGUCAUGGUCCUUGACCAGGAGCACUCACACUUCUCUCCAUCGAGAUAAGGCUUGUCCUUGUUCUUUUUUUGGUUGGCAUAAUAACCAUCUCUUGCCUUUUUGCUUGCCACCCCUAGGCCGAGGCAUACCAUAGUGGUCGAUUUUCUAGGGUCUCCCCUCUUUCCUAUCCAUCCUCCCUCUAGGUAUAUGAUACAUGCAUGUGUCACAGACCGCAGUUCAAAGCCCAUGACUAUCGCACCAAAUGCAUCCAAUGGAAGUUUCUUGUUUAGAUAGGGAUCAUUUGACCCAAAAGAACUGGCCCGAUUCGUAAGCUAUUAGAGAAGCAUGUCAGGUUGAAGCCUGGUGGCCUGAUGAUGAAGAUAUGACAACAUAAGACUAUCUUGGUAAAUUUGGCAGCUAAUCUUAGAAGAUUGCUAGGAAUCAUAUCUUGUAAAGAUUAGAUUAGAUUUGAUAUGACAUAUCUUGUAAAUCCCAUAAUUUAAGGGAUAUGAUUAAUCUCGUCCAACGAUGAAAGUUUUGUUUGAACUUAAAUUGAACUUUGUGUGAUGAAAUUUAACAUCCUAAAAAAGCUCUUUCUUUCUCUCAAGUAAAAUGUUUCUGUCUUGGUCCUCGACCGGGGACGCUCACACUUCUCUCCAUCGAGAUAAGGCUUGUCCUUGUUCUUUUUUGGUUGGCAUAAUAACCAUCUUUUACCUUUUUGCUUGCCACCUCUAGGCAGAGUGUAACAACUCGAUUUUCAGUGGUGUUGGAAACAGUGGUUCGAGACCACCAAAUCCCACGAGUAAGAUUCUAAAUUUUAUUAUUUAGUAUUUACAAGUUAAAUGUGAUUUUAGGAGAAUUUUUGAAUUAGUAACUUGUGUUUUAUAAGGAUUUAUUAGGUUAAAUAGUUUAGAAAAUGAGGUAUCGAGACCUUAAUUUUAUAAACCGAGCCGUAAAUAUUUUUAUAAAUAUUUACGAAGUGUCAUUAAGGUAGUAUUAAAGUUUUGUUAGAAAAUUUUAACGUUUUAGAUAGUUAAUUAAUCAAAAAGGACUAAAUUGAAAAAGGCACAAAACUUGCUAAUUAAAUGAAAUAGUGAUUGAAUGGCUUAAAUAAUGAAUAAAGGAGGACUUAAAGGGUAAAUAGACACAUGGGAAUGGUUGAGGUGGCAUAAGCAGAAAAGAAAUAAUAAAUUAGUGUGAAUUAAGGGUAAAAUUGUAAAUUUUAUAAAAUUAACUUAAAUAAAUUGAAUUUUAAAAUUUUCUAGGUCAUUCUUCUUCAAUUUCUCAGCCAAAAAUGCCAUAGGAGAAGAUUUUAAGCUGGUUUUACUUAUUUUGACUUCAUCUGAGUUCAAUUUUUGCCUUUCUUUUGAAAUUUUUAUGUUUUUGAGACUUUUACAAUUAAGUACAUGUUAGGAAUAAAGAAUCUGUUAGUUGUUAGGCAGUUGUUAUUCUGUUAUUCUGUUAAUAACCACUGCUAGCUGAUAUAUUACUGCUAACGUACUGCCUAUAAAUAUCCUUGUAUAUUUUCUUGUUGAUGAAUGGAAAUGAGUUUACACUCAACAUGGUAUUAAGAGCCAUAGUGUUUCUGGUAUAAAUUUUUUUUUCUUUUCUACGUUGUUUGUAUGCAUGGCUACAGAUGGUAAUCCUGCAGAUGGUACGCCGCAUCAUUCCAGCAACUAUGGUGCAGAAAUUCAUCCGUCAGAUUCUGGAGGUUCAAGUUUAACUUUUGUUCAGUACUUUGCCAAGCAUGACACCAUUAAACUCAGCAGUCAGAACUUCUUGCUAUGGAAACAUCAAUUGUUAUUGAUCCUUGAAGGGUAUGGCCUGGAAGGGUUUGUGCUAGGCACCACGAUCCCUCCAUCUGCGCUAAUUUCGGAUUCUGAUGGUCAGCUUGUUGCAAAUCCAGCGUUCAUUGUUCAUCACAAACAAGAUAAGUUCUUGGCAUCAUGGCUUUUAUCCACAGUUUCUGAUGAUAUUUUGAUACACUUAACCAAAGCUAAAACCAGUUUUGAUAUUUGGGCUACCAUUGAAAGACGAUUUGGUGCUAAGUCCAACAUCAAGUUAUCUAGUAUGAGGCAUGCCUUAUAUUCGAUCAAGAAAGCCAGUCUUUCAGUCAAAGACUAUCUUUCCAAAGUCAAGACUCUAAGUGAUGAUCUAACUAUUGCUGGGAUUCCAGUCUCUGAACAGGAACAGAUCAGUGUUAUCCUGGCCGGCCUUCCCGUUGAGUUUAAGUCUAUUCGGGUUCUUGCUACUGCUACUUCCUUGAAUCUUGAUCUUGUCACUGAAAUGCUACUCGAGUGCGAAGAACGUCAGUUAAGUCAGUUAUCUGAUGCAUCACUACAAGCAAAUCUGGUAUCCAGUAAGCAACAAAGUAAUUCUGAAACUUUGAAACCAAGUUCAGAUUCCAAUCGUGACACUAAUCGUGGACAAAUGGGUCCAGGCCGUGGGAGGUCUCGUGGUCGUGCUCGUGGUUCGGGUCGAGGGUGGUCUCGGUCUAAACCACAAUGCCAGUUGUGUGGUAAAAUAGGACAUUUGGUGCAAACGUGUUACCAUCGGUUUGAUGAGAACUUUGCUGGUUCUGAUUCAAGUUCGGUGAUGGCUGUUAACUAUCACCAAUUUCAUGGUGAUCCUACAAACUGUUGUUCCUCUCAGAGUUGUUGUCAUGCAUGCCCCGUCUCCUCACCAUCUUCAGUACCUGAUCAGAUGUGGUACCCAGAUUCUGGCGCAACCAACCAUAUUACUCCAAAUGUAAAUGGUCUUCAGAAUGCUUCGACUUAUACAGGUACCAACAAAGUGUCCAUGGGCAAUGGUGAGUUAGUAUCCAUUGCUAAUACUGGUUCUUCAACUUUUGUAGCUGGUUCUCGAUUGUUGCAUCUAAAGAACGUACUGCAUGUUCCGUCUGUCUGUAAAAAUUUACUUUCUGUCGGACAAUUUGCAAGAGAUAAUGCAGUCUACUUUGAGUUUCAUCCUUUUCUAUGCUUUGUGAAGGACAUACAGACAUGAAUGAUCUUACUGGAGGGCCACAUGCAUAAUGGCUUGUAUAGAUUUGAUGUUUCUCCUUCCAGUUCACAACGUCUCCUCUCUACCAAAAGAAUCGAGUCUCCUAGUGUCUGCAAUGUUCAGAUGGCCUCAUCUGUUGAAGUCUGGCAUGACAGGCUUGGACAUCCAUGUCCCAGCACUCUUGCACGUGUUCUAAAGUCUUGCGAUGUUCCAUUCAAGCACGACAAGCUACAUUCUGUCUGUACACCUUGUCAGAUGGGCAAGGCUCACAAACUGCCGUUUAGCACCUCUCGAACAGUUUAUUCAGCUCCGUUUGAGUUAGUAGUAUCGGAUGUUUGGGGACCUUCCCAUGUUACUUCGAAUGGUUGUGCUUACUAUGUGUCCUUUAUAGAUAUGUACAGUAGAUUUACUUGGUUGUACUUUCUCAAAUCAAAGAAUGAAGUUUUCCACUGUUUUCUUAAUUUUCAUAAAAUGGUUCAAGUACAGUUUGGGGCAACCAUCAAAAUGUUGCAGACAGAUGGAGGGGGUGAGUAUCGAUCCUUGACCAACACUCUGACUACUCUGGGAAUUCAACAUCGGGUAAUAUGCCCGCACACGACAGAACAGAACGGAGUAGCUGAACGCAGGCACCGUCACAUAGUUGAUAUGGGACUAGCGUUGCUAGCUCGUGCUUCAAUGCCAUUAGAAUAUUGGUUGUCUGCCUUCUCGCAUGCAGUCCAUCUUAUCAACAGGUUACCAACACCUGUCUUGGAGCACAAAACUCCCUAUGAAAGAUUGUUUAAAGCUAGACCAGACUACUCUCAGCUGAAGGUUUUCGGGAGCGCUUGUUUUCCAUACCUCCGACCUUUUCAGCAACAUAAGCUCCAGUUUCGGUCACAACAGUGCGUAUUUCUUGGAUUAAGUUCUAACCAGAAGGGGUACAGAUGUCUGGCUCCAGAUGGCCGAAUUUAUGUCUCAAGACAUGUGGUGUUCAAUGAGACACUAUUUCCGUUUCAGAAUGGGUUUAUCUCGUCAAGGAUUGACACGAGUGCCAGGUUCUGUCGUCACCAAUCUGUUAUCCCGAUAGUUCGCUCGAGUGACCCGUUGGUCUCAAUACCAGUGCAUGCACCUGAAGCUCCCACACAGUCUUUACGGUGUCAUCAGUCCCCCAGUUCUAGGUCUGCCCACAGGGGUUCGGAUAAUGUGGUCGACUCAACCAUGUCUCCAUCUACUGUACAGGUAUUCCCUACUACCAACAGACACCCCAUGUGCACUCGGUCAAAGAAUGGAAUCUUCAAGCCCAAAGUCUUUUCCACUAUUGUUGAAGAGAAGGAACCAAUCACGAUUGAUGAGGCGUUCAAAAGCACUGCUUGGACUGCAGCAGCACAUGCUGAGUAUCAAGCAUUGCUGGCAAACAAAACGUGGGACCUUGUCACGUUACCUGAAGGGCGUCGAGCAGUAGGGUGCAAAUGGAUCUUUAGAGUUAAACGUCAUGCUGAUGGGACAAUCGCUCGCUACAAGGGUCGAUUGGUGGUCAAAGGUUAUUUACAGGAAGCAGGCGUUGAUUUUUUCGAGACCUUCAGUCCAGUGAUCAAGCCAACGACGAUCAGAGUGAUCUUGUCUCUCGCAGUAUCUCGAGGGUGGCAUCUCAGACAAAUCGAUGUGAACAAUGUAUUUCUGAAUGGAGACCUGGAUGAAGAAAUAUAUAUGACUCAACCACCAGGGUUUGAGCAACACUCGGCUGAUGGGAGACCUCUUGUUUGCAGGUUGCGAAAGGCACUCUAUGGGUUAAAACAAGCCCCUCGUGCAUGGUUUCAGAAGCUACGAGACUUCCUGGUAGCUACUAAUUUUAUUGCAUCUAAGGCUGAUAGUUCCCUUUUCAUUCGACAAGAAAGAUCUCAAGUGCUUUAUGUCCUCAUAUAUGUUGAUGAUAUAAUAAUUACAGGCACUAACUCUUCUGUUAUAGACAAGUUUGUAAAAAGUCUUGAUGUUCAAUUUUCCUUGAAAGAUUUGGGUCCUCUAAAUUACUUUCUUGGGAUCGAAGUAACAUACACUUCGAGUGGCGUUUUUCUCAGCCAGAAGAAGUACAUUCUGGAGCUACUUCGACGAGCUUCCAUGGACACAUCCAAUCCCUCUCCUACGCCAAUGGUAACUACAUGUAAAUUGAUGGUUAAUGAAGGGGAUCCAAUAGAAAAAGAGAGUAUGUUCAGGAGUAUUGUGGGAGCCCUACAGUAUGUGGUCAUAACAAGACCAGAUAUUGCGUUUUCAGUCAACAAGGUAUGUCAAUACAUGCACAAGCCUCUCGAUACACACUUCAAAGCUAUAAAACGGAUUCUGAGAUACCUACGAGGGACACUAGAUUAUGGACUACAGUUCACUCGCAACUCCAAAAUUUUCUUGAGGGCUACUCUGAUGCAAGUUGGGGUUCAGACAUUGAUGACAGACGAUCAACAUCGGGGUUUUGUGUUUUCUUCGGUGGGAAUCCAAUAUCUUGGAGCUCCAGGAAGCAAAAAGUAGUAUCGAGAUCCACAGCAGAGGCCGAAUAUCGCAGCUUAGCUCAUGUUACUGCAGAAAUAGCAUGGAUUCGAUCGUUGCUGACAGAACUUGGUAUUGAGGUUCGUAGCAAGACAUUGGUUUGAUGUGACAGUUCUGCUGCCAUUGCUAUAGCAAACAAUCCGGUCAUGCAUUCUAAGUUCAAACACGUAGAGCUAGACUUAUUUUUUGUAAGGGAAAAUGUGGUGAAUGGCUUGCUGCAAGUUGGUCACGUCUCUGGCCAAGAGCAAGUGGCCGAUGUUUUGACCAAACCAUUAUCAGCAGGGCAGUUUGAAAAAUUCAGAAAGAAACUUCGAGUAAUUCCCAUGGAAAGUCGUGAUAUAUAGCAGCAAGAACAAAUCUCAUACAGGAACGAAGGAAGUCAAGAUGCAUGGGCCAUGUUAGGAAUAAAGAAUCUGUUAGUUGUUAGGCAGUUGUUAUUCUGUUAUUCUGUUAAUAACCACUGCUAGCUGAUAUAUUACUGCUAACGUACUGCCUAUAAAUAUCCUUGUAUAUUUUCUUGUUGAUGAAUGGAAAUGAGUUUACACUCAACAAUACAACUACCUAUUACAUUAGUUUUUGAUUUUAUUGGAAAUUUUGAAAGCUACCAUUGAUUAAUUCUGGAUUGUUUUGAUAAAUUAACAUGGAUUUAGAGCUUUAAUUUUGUUAUAUGAUGAUUUUAUCAAGUGAUUUUGAUAGAUAAUGAUUUUAGGACUAAAUUGUAAAAAGGGCUAAAUAUUAAGGUUUAGUAUUAAAUUCUAUUUUUCAAGUGUUGUAUGAUAGCUUAGAAAAUUUAGAUAAAUUUUCAAUUGAGAAAAAUUAGCUCAUUUGAUAGACUAAUUUAUUGAGGGACUAAAUUGCAAAAGUUGUAAAAUUUGGGGAAAAUUGUGUAAUUUUGAAAAUUGAAGGGUUUUAAUUGUGAAGUGAAUUGAAACUGAAAUAUAUGCUAACGAAUGAAUAAUUUUAUAUUUUAGAUCAAGAGCCUGUAGACAAUCGUGAAAAAGAGAAAUUAGCAAAAUAGUUUCUGAACUACUACAAAUCUUACAAUUUAACCCAGGUAAGUUCGUAUGGUUAAACUUUAAUAUUUAUAUAUUAAAUUUAUGAAUGUUAUUAUUUAUUUAUUCAUAUCUAUUGUUAAAAAAUUAUUGUUAAAAUUAUGAAAUUGAACUAAAUGUUCAAAAUGAAUGGAGCGCGGGAUUGAGUAUAAUCGUUAUGUGGAAAAAAAUAGCAAAGAAAGAAUUGACAGCAAAUUACCCAAGUAAACUGAGGUUCAGCAUUUGUUGCGAACUUUCGUGUUUACUUUCCGUUUAGCUCUCACUAGUUUCUGUUUAACUCAUUUGAGUUUCCGUUCAACCCUAAUGGGUUUCCGUUCAUCUCUUUUGAGCUACUGUUUAACCCUUAUGGGAUUCCGUUCAGCUCUUAUGAACUUCCGUUCAACAUUUACGGGUUUUUGUUUAGCACUUAUGUGCUUCUGUUUAGCCUUCGGGCUUCCGAAAAUGAUGUACUCAUAUUCGUAAGCCGUUCUCCGAUUUGGUAAGAUUUGGUAAAUGACUUAUGUGAUUGAAAUUGAAAGAUUUAUCGUUUAUUAUUAAUAUUGAUUUAAAAGAAGUGUGUUCAUCGAUUUAUGUUGUGAUUGACAGGGAGAGUGCAUGAAUAAUUUACUAUUUAAUUUAUUAUAUUAAGUUUGGUAAGAUUUAUGUUUAACCUAUUGAACUUACUAAGCUUCAUUAAGCUUAUUUGUGUUGUUUAAUGAUCUUGUAGAUUAACGUGAGGUUGGGAGAUCGAAUCAACACAUCAAGCCACACUAUCCAACUUAAUCCGGUAGCUUUUGUAACAUAUGCUUUGGUUUAUACAACAUGUAUAGGGUUGGUUUGGAAAUGAAAUACUUAUGUAGAUGUUGAUAAGUCAGUGAAAUGGAUUAAAUAGGUAAGUUUAAGAAAUUGGGUAUUUAUGAUGUUAUGUCAUGAUUAAAACAUGAUUUUAACUUGUAUUGAUUUCUUGUUUGGGAUAUAUUGAUGUAUUGAAAUGUUGUGUAUGGGUUGAUAUCAAAAUGGGUGAGAAAAGAGGCCUUAAAAUUACCUAUUUUUGUCCACACGGGAAGAGACACGGGUGUGUGUCUCAGCCGUGUGUGACACACAGCCUAGCAUGUAACACCCCUAACCCGUAUCCAUCGCCAGAAUAGGGUUUCGAGGCAUUACCAGAUAUUUCAGAACAUUUUCGGAUAAUUCGAGUCAUUUACAAUUCAAUUUAGGUUUCAUUAGAUAACAUCAUAUACUAUCACAUUUAGCCAUUAUUUAUCUCAUGAACAUUUGGUUCAUGCUUUCUAUUCACAUUUUCAUAUUCAAUUCACUAUUUUUUCCUGUCAAUCACAAUUUCAAAUGACAGAUUCAUGUAAAUGAGCUCAAUAUCAUUAGCUGUUUAAUUUCUGUCACUUAAAUUCACAUACACAUAAUUUAUUAACAUAACCUGUCAAACACAAUCUCUGAAUGAUGAGAUUACAUAAUUGAGCUAAAUUUCACUGUUUAAUAUGCUUUAUCACAUAAAAUUUGCUUAACACUUGCCAUAAUUUGUCAAAUUAGAGAACAUCUUACGGGAUUGAGUACUUCAUUUUCACAUUACCAUAGUAUAACUAUGGUCUUGCACAUCGUCACAUAUCACACACCAAAGCCAUAGCCCAUCUAUGGUCUUACACAGAAACACAUAUCACACCGAUGCCAUAUCCCAUAUAUGGUCUUACACUAAUCACAUUUAUCACUUGUCACUUAUCACUGAUCAGAUAAGUGUAGCUAAAGCUACCACUUAUCACUUGUCACUUGUAAUUGAUCAGAUAAGUGUAGCUAAAGCUACCACUUAUCACUUGUCACUGAUCAGAUAAAUGUAGCUAAAGCUACCACUUAUCAAUCGUCACUUGUCAUUGAUUAGAUAAGUGUAGCUAAAGCUACCACUUAUCACUUGUUACUGAUCAGAAGUACUCAAAUCCGACGUUCCGCUUAAUUUAAUCAUUUAUUCGGUUUUCGUACUUUUAUUUUAUUCUCAAUUCAUCAACAAAUAUAUCUCAUCAUACAUUAUAUAAUUCAUGAAAUUAACAUUUAAUCAUUAAAUUUCAGCCAUAUGAACUUACAAUUCGAUUUUUAUAACAUAACGAUAAUCAUAAUUUCAUAAUAACUAUUUGAAAUAAAACAUUAUAUCAUUUCUUGUAAUGGCCCAAAUUCAAGGUUAUCGGAAUAGUGGUUUCGUAACCACAAAUCCGAUUUAAAGAGAAAUUUAUUUUAAUAUUUUUGCAUGAAUAUUGGUAUGAUAGGAAAAUCAUAUGAAAAUAUCGAUACAAAAAUUUUACCGAUUUAGUGAUUAGUUAGAAAAAGAAAUUAUUAAAGAAAUUGGGUAAAAAUAAGGUAUCGAGACCCCAAUCUCGUAAAAUCGAGUCAAAAAUAUUUUUAUAAAUAUUUAUGAAGUGUUAGUAAUAUGGUAUUAAAAUUUCGUUAGAAAAUUUUAAUGUUUGGGUAGUCAAUUAAGUGAAAAGGACUAAACUGAAAAAGGUAAAAAAGUUACUAAAAGGAUUAAAUAGCUCAAUUUUUAAAUGAUGAGGGACAUAAAUUGCAAAUAACCCCAAAAGGAGAUAUUUUGGGCGACAUAAGCUGAGAAAAAUCAGGAGAAUUGAAGAAUUAAGGGUAAAAUUGGAAUAUUGCAAAAUUUACUUUAAAACUUAGGACUAAAGUGGAAUUAUCUAGAUUUCUCUUUAUUUUUUUGCAUUCUCAUGAGCCAAAAACGUCCUAAGGGUUUCUUCAAGCUGGUUUUUCAUAAUUUUUGCACCAAGUGAGUUAAUACUUGCCUUUUUCUUGUAAAUUUUGUGUUUCUAAGACUUUUACAACCAGGUCCUAUUACUAAAUUCAUUAGUUUUUUAUUUUAUGAAUGAAUUUGAAAGUUGCUAUGAAUAUGUGUUGGAAUUUUAUGAUGAAAUUGAAGCUUUAAUCUGUUUAUGAGAUGAUUUUAUUAGGUAAUUUCAAUAGAAAUUGAUUUGUAGGACCUAAUUGUGAAAAAGUUUGGAAUUAAAGUCUAGUACUAAAAUUCUGAUUUCCAAAGCUUAUAAAGUAGUUUAAAGUGAUAGGAUAAAGUGUUAAUUGAGAAAAAUCAGCUCAAUUGAGAGGUUAAUUGAGCAGGGAUGAAAUUAUCAUUUAUUGAAAGUUUAGGGAAAAUGGUAAUUAACUUCAUACACUAAAACAGUUUUGGACAGCAGCAGUAGUCUAACUUUGAAAAAUCACCAAAAAUUGUAGAGAUUGAAUUAGAGGAUGAAUAAAAUAUUAAAUUAAAGCUUAUUGAGUCUAGUUUCUCAUAAAAGAAACAGUUUAAUCAAUGGAAUUGCAAAUCAUGAGAUAUAAUAGAUUUUGUGAGACAAGGUGUAAUGACCCAAAUUCAAAGUUAUCGGAAUAGUGGUUUCGUAACCACAAAUCCGAUUUAAAGAGAAAUUUAUUUUAAUGUUUUUGCAUGAAUAUUGAUAUGAUAAGAAAAAAAAUUGUAUGAAAAUAUCGAUAGAAAAAUUUUACCGAUUUAGUGGUUAGUUAAAAAAAAUUAUUGAAGAAAUUGAGUAAAAAUAAGAUAUCGAGACUUCGAUAUCGUAAAACCGAGUCAAAAAUAUUUUUAUAAAUAUUUAUGAAGUGUUAGUAAUAUGGUAUUAAAAUUUCGUUAGAAAAUUUUAAUGUUUGGGUAGUAAAUUAAGUGAAAAGGACUAAAUUAAAAAUUGUAUAAAAGUUACUAGAAGGAUUAAAUAGCUUAAUUGUUAAAUGAGGAGGGACAUAAAUUGUAAAUAACCCCAAAAGGAGAUAUUUUGGCGGCAUAAGCUGAGAAAAAUCAGGAGAAUUGAAGAAUUAAGGGUAAAAUUGGAAUAUUACAAAUUUUGCUUUAAAAGUUGGGACUUAAGUGGAAUAUCUAGAAUUCUCUUCAUAUUUUCUGCACUCUCAUCAGCCAAAAACGUCCUAAGGGUUUCUUCAAGCUGGUUUUUCAUAAUUUUUGCACCAAGUGAGUUAAUUCUUGCCUUUUUCUUGUAAUUUUUGUGUUUCUAAGGCUUUUACAACUAGGUCCUAUUGCUAAAUUCAUUAGUUUUUGAUUUUAUGAAUGAUAUUGAAAGUUGAUAUGAAUAUGUGCUGGAAGUUUAUGAUGAAAUAGCAUGAAAUUGAAGCUUUAAAUUGUCUAUGAGAUGAUUUUAUUAGGCAAUUUUUAAUAGAAAUUGAUUUAUAGGACCUAAUUGUGAAAAAGUUUGAAAUUAAAGUCUAGUGCUAAAAUUCUGAUUUCCAAAGUUUAUAAGGUAGUUUAAAUUGAUGGAAUAAUGUGUUAAUUGAGAAAAAUCAGCUCAAUUGAGAGGUUAAUUGAGCAAGGAUGAAAUUAUCAUUUAUUGGAAGUUUAGGGAAAAAUGGUAAUUAACCUCAUGCACUAAAACAGUUUGGACAGAAGCAGUAUUCUAACUUUGAAAAAUCACCAAAAAUUGUAGAAGUCGAAUUAGAGGAUGAAUAAAAUAUGAAAUUAAAGCUUAUCGAGUCUAGUUUCUCAUAGAAGAAACGGUUUAAUCAAUGAAAUUGUAAAUCAUUAAAAAUUGUAAAAAAAUGAUUAUGAGUUAUAAUUUAUAUGGUUAGAAGAAUUAAUGAGUCUAUUUUCAGAAGAAAUAAAGUAAAACAUCAUCCGAAUUCUGUACAAAGAGAUAAUUAAUUUUUAGUGAAGAGGGGUUGGAACUGUCAAAUAGUGAAACAGGGGAAACUUUAAAGAAUAAACUGUACUUAUUGGCUGAACCAAAAAUUCUAAAAAUUUUAUGGUAAGAAGAUAUGUGAGUCUAGUUUCAGGAAAAAUUAACAUAUCUUAAUUUGGAGUUUUGUAGCUCAAGAUAUAAAUAAUUUAGUGACAGUGACUCAGUGAGGCAGCUUUGAAUGCACUAUAAAUAAUAAGGAAAUUAUAGAGAAUGUUACACAUGAACAUGAAAUGUAUUAGAUUAAUGAUUAAAUUUAUUUAUUUAGAUCCAGAAAGUUCAAAUACGAAGCUAGAUCAAGGAAAAUAAAAAGUUCCGGAUUAGUAGAUUUUUGUUUACGAACAAUUAUCGAGGUAAGUUCGUGUAACUUGAAUUAUAUUCAUAAAUGCUUGGAAUGUUUGUUAUUGAUGUGAAUAUGAUUUGGAUGUUUAUUGUAUGAUAACUGAUGAAGUAUUGAUAUUCUGGAUGAAAAGAGGAAAUAAAUCCUUGUUGAAUGAAAGGAAAAUUCGAUGGAUAUCUGAAAAAGGAAUUGACGGUAAAAAGGAUCUAGCACGGACGGGUGAUCCUAUCCUGAUAUAGCCCUCCCGAAGAAUAUGUGGAAAAUGGAUUUAGCCCGGACGGGUAAUCCGAAUUAGGGUCUGAAUUUAGCCUGGACUGGUAAUUCAGAUCCAAGCUCAUUAGAGUAAUUGUCGUUGCAGGGGAUUUAGCCUGGACUGGUAAUCCCGACAAUACUCUAUGAGUUUAUAUUAUAGGGGAUUUAGCCUGGACUGGUAAUCUCGCUGUAAGGAUGAGGUUCGCGGGAGUGUGCUAUCUGAAAUGGAAAUGUGCGCACAUGAAUAUGAAUUGACGGACCCGGAUUUGUACACUUAGGUGUACCCCUGAAUAUCCAUCGAAAUUCCAAGUAGUUCAACAGGAUAAAUAUGGAAAAAUAACAAGGAAAUGGAAAUCAUGGAAUUGAUGAGCUCAUCAAUCAUUUAUCUUUGUAAUGAAUUUGUAUGAUGUUGAGUUUGUAUGUGAUAGGUAUAUGUUUAUGUGAAUUGGAUGUGUGCUUGUGUUAUUAAAUGAUAGAUGUAUAAGUAUGGUAAGUAUAAUUCCUGUUGCAUGAACUUACUAAGCACAAAGUGCUUACCCUGUUUCUUUUUCCCCUAUUUUGUAGUGUUAAGAGCUCAGAGGUCGGAUUUGGUCGGAGACGCAUCACACUAUCAACCUUAAGAUCUCGGUAUAUAAAGAAACUUUAUUUUGGAAAUCAAUGGCAUGUAUAAGCUAGUAAAGUAUAUGUUAAUGUGAAAUGAAUGUAUAGUUAGCCAUUGGUAUGGCUAACAAAUUUUAAUUUUGGUAAGUGAUGAGAUUAUCUUAUGAAUACAAUAAAUCUAUCUUGAAAAUAUAUUGAAAUGAAUUGGUUGUGUUGGAUUGGUCUCGGUUUUAAAAAAAAAUUCGGUAAAAUCUGGUAAUGCCUCAUACUCUAUUUCGGCGACGAAUACGGGUAGGGGGUAGUACAUUUGUUGGUAUCAGAGCUACGGUUUAGCCGGUUCUCGGACCGACUAGCAAAUAUGAGAUUAGCUAUACAUGCCAUUUAAAUUAUCAUUGAUAGUGUGAUAUCUCCUGACCAUUUGAAAUGUGAUUUUCUUAUAGUAAAUGUCUGCCGACCGAGCUCAACCCGAAGAAGUCGAGAGUCAUGCUCCGGCUUCAGAACAAAGAGAAGCUGAAGCUACUAGUAGUAGAAGGUCCGAGACAAAGGCUCAAAAUGAAGAAGCUAAAAUGGCUUUCUAUCAAAUGAUGAAUGAAUGGUUUACUCAGUAUAUAAGAACUAACCCUGUAGUGCAGCAAACUCAAGCUCCCCCUCGUCCUCCUCCUCCUCCAUCAGUUCCCGAGAUUCCACAGGGUACAGGUACUAAAUCUAUCAGAAAAGGGAAAGCUCCGGUUGAUAAAAUCAGAAAAUAUGGGGCAGAAGAAUUCAGAGCUGCAAUUGAUGAUGAUUCUGAACGGGCUGAGUUUUGGUUAGAGAAUACUAUUCGGGUUAAAUCUGAUCAGAUAGAGGAAUUAUCUAAUGUGAUUUCGGUUAUGACAGCUCAGAGGUGUGUCAGAAAAGGGUGUGAUGCUUAUUUGGCAUAUGUGUUAGACACUAAGGUAUCCGAGUCAAAGAUACAUGCAGUGCCAGUUGUAUGUGAAUUUUCUGAUGUAUUUCCAGAGGAAUUACCGGGGUUGCCACCAGAAAGAGAAGUGGAAUUUUCUAUAGAUUUGAUUCCGGGAACUACUCCAAUCUCCAUAUCUCCGUAUCGUAUGGCUUCUACAGAAUUAAAGGAGUUAAAGACACAGUUGCAAGAACUUGUUGACAAGGGUUUUGUUCGACCAAGUCAUUCACCUUGGGGUGCUCCGGUUUUAUUUGUGAUAAAGAAGGACGGGUCUUUAAGAUUAUGUAUUGAUUACCGGCAGCUCGACAAAGUCACUAUAAAGAAUAAGUACCCAUUGCCUCGGAUUGAUGAUCUGUUUGACCAGUUGAAGGGUGCCACUAUAUUUUCAAAGAUUGAUAUUCGAUCGGGCUACUAUCAGUUACGGGUAAAGGAGUCAAAUGUACCGAAGACAGCUUUCAGAACCAGGUAUGGGCACUGCGAGUUUUUGGUUAUGCCUUUUGGGCUGACUAAUGCACCUGCAAUAUUUAUGGACCUGAUGAAUCGGAUAUUCAGACCAUACUUAGACAGGUUUGUCGUAGUUUUUAUUGAUGAUAUCUUGAUCUAUUCCCGAGAUGAAAAUGAGCAUGCAGAACAUUUGAGAAUUGUGUUGCAAAUUCUGCGAGAAAAGCAGCUAUAUGAUAAAUUCAGUAAAUGUGAAUUUUGGCUUCGAGAGGUGGGUUUUCUCGGACAUAUUGUAUCCGUAGAAGGCAUCAGGGUAGAUCCGAGUAAAAUCUCAGCUAUUAUUAAUUGGAGUCCACCGAAAAAUUUAUCUGAAGUUAGAAGUUUCUUGGGUUUAGCUGGUUAUUAUCGGAGAUUUGUACAAGGGUUCUCUAUGAUAGCUUCUCCGAUGACCCGUUUAUUACAGAAAGAUGUUAAAUUCGAGUGGACCAAUGAAUGCCAGCAGAGUUUCGACCGAUUGAAAGAUUUGUUGACGAGAGCACCUGUGUUAGUAUAGCCGGAACCGGGUAAAGAAUUUAUUAUUUAUAGUGAUGCAUCAUUAAAUGGUUUAGGUUGUGUCUUGAUGCAAGAAGGUAAAGUUAUAGCCUAUGCUUCGAGACAACUUAAGCCACAUGAAAGAAAUUACCCAGUGCAUGAUCUUGAAUUAGCUGCUAUUGUAUUUGCAUUAAAAAUAUGGCGACAUUGCUUGUAUGGUUAGAAAUGUCAUAUUUAUACUGAUCAUAAAAGUCUAAAAUAUCUGAUGACACAGAAAGAUUUGAAUUUGAGACAGCGUCGGUGGCUUGAAUUGAUAAAAGACUAUGAUUUGGUUAUUGAUUACCAUCCGGGUAAGGCUAAUGUUGUAGCUGAUGCUCUGAGCCGAAAAUCUCUGUUUACUUUGCGAGCUAUGAAUGCCCAAUUGUCUUUGGUUGAUGAUGGUUCAGUCGUAGCUGAGUUGAGAGUUAAACCGACAUUUCUACAACAAAUAUAUGAAGCUCAGGAAAAUGAUGAGAAGCUACAGACUAAACGGGUACAAUGUGAGUCAAGUAAUGAUUCAGAAUUUCAAAUUGGGAUUGAUGGUUGUUUAUUAUUCAGAGGUUGAGUAUGUGUACCGAAGAAUUCAGAGCUUGUACAGAAGAUUUUACACGAGGCACACAAUGGUAUUAUGUCCGUACAUCCGGGAGGUAAUAAAAUGUAUAAUGAUUUGAAGAAGAUGUACUGGUGGCCAGGUAUGAAACGUGAUAUUUCUGAGUUUGUAUCAAGAUGUCUGAUAUGUCAACAGGUCAAAGCUGAACAUCAGGUACCUUCGGGGUUACUUCAGCCAAUCACUAUAUCAGAAUGGAAGUGGGAAAGAAUUACUAUGGAUUUUGUGUCCGGAUUACCAUUGUCUCCGAAGAAGAAAGAUAUCAUUUGGGUAAUCGUUGAUCGAUUAACAAAAUCAGCACAUUUUAUCCCGGUACGUAUGGAUUAUUCUUUAGAUAAAUUGGCUGAACUGUAUAUAUCUGAAAUUAUCAGGCUACAUGGAGUGCCAAUCUCCAUUAUAUCAGAUAGAGAUCCCUGAUUUACAUCUCGUUUCUGGGACAAAUUGCAAGAAGCCUUGGGUACUCAAUUGCAUUUCAGCACUGCAUUUCAUCCUCAAACAGAUGGCCAAUUGAGCGUGUAAUUCAGGUACUGGAAGAUAUGCUCCGAUGUUGUAUAUUAGAGUUUGAAGGUAAUUGGGAGAAGUAUAUACCUUUGAUUGAAUUUUCUUAUAAUAAUAGUUAUCAGUCCAGUAUUAAAAUUGCUCCGUAUGAAGCUUUGUAUGGUAGAAAAUGUAGAACACUGUUAUAUUGGACAGAGCUCAGUGAAAAGAAAAUCCACGGGGUUGAUUUGAUUCGGGAAACCGAAGAAAAAGUAAAGGUGAUUCGAGAUAGUCUAAAAGCAGCUUCCAAUCGUCAGAAAUCAUAUGCUGAUCUUAAACGAAAAGAGAUUGAAUUUCAGGUGGGUGAUAAGGUAUUCUUAAAAGUUUCUCCUUGGAAGAAAGUUCUCAGGUUCGGUCGAAAGGGUAAAUGGAGUCCAAGAUUCAUCGGGCCAUAUGAAAUCAUAGAAAGAAUUGGACCAGUCGCUUAUCGAUUGGCGUUACCACCGGAACUCGAUAGAAUUCAUAAUGUUUUCCAUGUGUCUAUGCUACGACGGUAUCGAUCAGAUCCUUUACAUGUUAUUUCUCCGACAGAAGUGGAGAUUCAACCGGAUAUGACUUACAACAAAGAACCGGUCAAGAUAUUGGCACGGGAAACAAAGGAGCUCAGAAAUAAAAAGAUAAAUUUGGUGAAAGUAUUAUGGCAAAAACACGGGAUUGAGGAAACGACAUGGAAACUGGAGGAGGCAAUGAGGAAACAAUACCUGAACCUCUUUACUGGUAAGAUUUUCGAGGACGAAAAUCCUUAAAGGGGGAGAGAGUUGUAAUGACCCAAAUUCAAAGUUAUCGGAAUAGUGGUUUCGUAACCACAAAUCCGAUUUAAAGAGAAAUUUAUUUUAAUGUUUUUGCAUGAAUAUUGAUAUGAUAGGAAAAAAAAUCGUAUGAAAAUAUCGAUAGAAAAAUUUUACCGAUUUAGUGGUUAGUUAAAAAAAAUUAUUGAAGAAAUUGAGUAAAAAUAAGAUAUCGAGACUUCGAUAUCGUAAAACCGAGUCAAAAAUAUUUUUAAAAAUAUUUAUGAAGUGUUAGUAAUAUGGUAUUAAAAUUUCGCUAGAAAAUUUUAAUGUUUGGGUAGUAAAUUAAGUGAAAAGGACUAAAUUGAAAAAUGUGUAAAAGUUACUAGAAGGAUUAAAUAGCUUAAUUGUUAAAUGAGGAGGGACAUAAAUUGUAAAUAACCCCAAAAUGAGAUAUUUUGGCGGCAUAAGCUGAGAAAAAUCAGGAGAAUUGAAGAAUUAAGGGUAAAAUUGGAAUAUUACAAAUUUUACUUUAAAAGUUGGGACUUAAGUGGAAUAUCUAGAAUUCUCUUCAUAUUUUCUGCACUCUCAUCAGCCAAAAACGUCCUAAGGGUUUCUUCAAGCUGGUUUUUCAUAAUUUUUGCACCAAGUGAGUUAAUUCUUGCCUUUUUCUUGUAAUUUUUGUGUUUCUAAGGCUUUUACAACUAGGUCCUAUUGCUAAAUUCAUUAGUUUUUGAUUUUAUGAAUGAUAUUGAAAGUUGAUAUGAAUAUGUGCUGGAAUUUUAUGAUGAAAUAGCAUGAAAUUGAAGCUUUAAAUUGUCUAUAAGAUGAUUUUAUUAGGCAAUUUUUAAUAGAAAUUGAUUUAUAGGACCUAAUUGUGAAAAGUUUGAAAUUAAAGUCUAGUGCUAAAAUUCUGAUUUCCAAAGUUUAUAAGGUAGUUUAAAUUGAUGGAAUAAUGUGUUAAUUGAGAAAAAUCAGCUCAAUUGAGAGGUUAAUUGAGCAAGGAUGAAAUUAUCAUUUAUUGGAAGUUUAGGGAAAAAUGGUAAUUAACCUCAUGCACUAAAACAGUUUGGACAGAAGCAGUAGUUUAACUUUGAAAAAUCACCAAAAAUUGUAGAAGUCGAAUUAGAGGAUGAAUAAAAUAUUAAAUUAAAGCUUAUCGAGUCUAGUUUCUCAUAGAAGAAACGGUUUAAUCAAUGAAAUUGUAAAUCAUGAGAUAUAAUAGAUUUUGUAGGACAAGGUCAGAAUGAAUUCGGGUUCCCCUGUUCUGACUUUGUAAAAUCAUUAAAAAUUGUAAAAAAAUGAUUAUGAGUUAUAAUUUAUAUGGUUAGAAGAAUUAAUGAGUCUAUUUUCAGAAGAAAUAAAGUAAAACAUCAUCCGAAUUCUGUACAAAGAGAUAAUUAAUUUUUAGUGAAGAGGGGUCGGAACUGUCAAAUAGUGAAACAGGGGAAACUUUAAAGAAUAAACUGUACUUAUUGGCUGAACCAAAAAUUCUAAAAAUUUUAUGGUAAGAAGAUAUGUGAGUCUAGUUUCAGGAAAAAUUAACAUAUCUUAAUUUGGAGUUUUUUAGCUCAAGAUAUAAAUAAUUUAGUGACAGUGACUCAGUGAGGCAGCUUUGAAUGCACUAUAAAUAAUAAGGAAAUUAUAGAGAAUGUUACACAUGAACAUGAAAUGUAUUAGAUUAAUGAUUAAAUUUAUUUAUUUAGAUCCAGAAAGUUCAAAUACGAAGCUAGAUCAAGGAAAAUAAAAAGUUCCGGAUUAGUAGAUUUUUGUUUACGAACAAUUAUCGAGGUAAGUUCGUGUAACUUGAAUUAUAUUCAUAAAUGCUUGAAAUGUUUGUUAUUGAUGUGAAUAUGAUUUGGAUGUUUAUUGUAUGAUAACUGAUGAAGUAUUGAUAUUCUGGAUGAAAAGAGGAAAUAAAUCCUUGUUGAAUGAAAGGAAAAUUCGAUGGAUAUCUGAAAAAGGAAUUGACGGUAAAAAGGAUCUAGCACGGACGGGUGAUCCUAUCCUGAUAUAGCCCUCCCGAAGAAUAUGUGGAAAAUGGAUUUAGCCCGGACGGGUAAUCCGAAUUAGGGUCUGAAUUUAGCCUGGACUGGUAAUUCAGAUCCAAGCUCAUUAGAGUAAUUAUCGUUGCAGGGGAUUUAGCCUGGACUGGUAAUCCCGACAAUACUCUAUGAGUUUAUAUUAUAGGGGAUUUAGCCUGGACUGGUAAUCCCACUGUAAGGAUGAGGUUCGCGGGAGUGUGCUCUCUGAAAUGGAAAUGUGCACACAUGAAUAUGAAUUGACGGACCCGGAUUUGUACACUUAGGUGUACCCCUGAAUAUCCAUCGAAAUUCCAAGUAGUUCAACAGGAUAAAUAUGGAAAAAUAACAAGGAAAUGGAAAUCAUGGAAUUGAUGAGCUCAUCAAUCAUUUAUCUUUGUAAUGAAUUUGUAUGAUGUUGAGUUUGUAUGUGAUAGGUAUAUGUUUAUGUGAAUUGGAUGUGUGCUUGUGUUAUUAAAUGAUGGAUGUAUAAGUAUGGUAAGUAUAAUUCCUGUUGCAUGAACUUACUAAGCACAAAGUGCUUACCCUGUUUCUUUUUCCCCUAUUUUGUAGUGUUAAGAGCUCAGAGGUCGGAUUUGGUCGGAGACGCAUCACACUAUCAACCUUAAGAUCUCGGUAUAUAAAGAAACUUUAUUUUGGAAAUCAAUGGCAUGUAUAAGCUAGUAAAGUAUAUGUUAAUGUGAAAUGAAUGUAUAGUUAGCCAUUGGUAUGGCUAACAAAUUUUAAUUUUGGUAAGUGAUGAGAUUAUCUUAUGAAUACGAUAAAUCUAUCUUGAAAAUAUAUUGAAAUGAAUUGGUUGUGUUGGAUUGGUCUCGGUUUUAAAAAAAAUUCGGUAAAAUCUGGUAAUGCCUCAUACUCUAUUUCGGCGACGAAUACGGGUAGGGGGAUUACACAAGGUCAGAAUGAAUUCGGGUUCCCCUGUUCUAACUUUGGAAAAUCAUUACAAAUUGUAAAAAAAUGAUUGAGUUAUAAUUUAUAUGGUUAGAAUAUGAGUCUAUUUUCAUAAGAAACAAACGGAAACAUCAUCCGAAUUCUGUACAAUGAGAUAAUUAAUUUUUAGUGAAGAGAGGUGGGAACUGUCAAACAAUGAAAUAGGGGAAAAUUUAAAGAAUAAACUGUACUUGUUGGAUAAACUAAAAAUUCUGAAAAUUUUAUGUUAAGAAGACAUGUGAGCCUAGUUUUAGGGAAAAUUAACGGAUCUUAAUUUGGAGUUUCGUAGCUCAAGAUAUAAAUAAUUUAGUGACUGUGACUCAGUGAGACAGCUUUGAAUGCACUAUAAAUAAUAAUGGAAUUAUAGAGAAUGUUACAUAUGAACAUGAAAUGUAUUAGAUUAAUGAUUAAAUUUAUUUAUUUAGAUCCAGAAAAUUCAAAUACGAAGCUAGAUCGAGGAAAAGAAAAAUUUCGGGAUUAGUAGAUUUUUGUUUACGAACAAGUGUUGAGGUAAGUUCGUGUAACUUGAAUUAUAUUCUUAAAUGCUUGAAAUAUAUUUUCUUGAUGUGAAUAUGAUUUGGAUGUUUAUUGUAUGAUAAUUUAUGAAGUAUUGAUAUUCUUGAUGAAAAGAGGAAAUAAAUCCCGGUUGAAUGAAAGGAAAAUUCGAUGGAUCUCUGAAAAGGAAUUGACAGUAAAAAGGAUCUAGCCCGGACGAUCCUAUUCUGAUAUAGCCCUCCCGAAGAAUAUGUGGAAAAUGGAUUUAACCCAGACGGGUAAUCCGAAUUAAGGUCUGAAUUUAGCCUGGACUGGUAAUUCAGAUCCAAGCUCAUUAGAGUAAUUGUCGUUUCAGGGGAUUUAGCCUGGACUGGUAAUCCCGACAAUACUCUAUGAGUUUAUAUUACACGGGAUUUAGCCUGGACUGGUAAUCUCGCUGUAAGGAUGAGGUUCGCUGGAGUGUGCUCUCUGAAAUGGAAAUGUGCUCACAUGAAUAUGAAUUGACGGACCCGGAUUUGUACACUAAAGUGUACCUCUGAAAAGCCAUCGAAAUUCCGAGAAAUUCAACGGGAUAAAUAUGGAAAAAUAACAAGGGAAUGGAAAUCAUGAUAUUGAUGAGCUCAUCAAUCAUGGUAUAAAUUAUUGACGCAUGAAAAUUAUUUGAUUAAUUUGAAUGUUGAGUUUGUGCAUGAUAGGGGAAUAAUGUGUUGAAUGGAUGUAUGAAUGUUUAUUGCAUUGUAUUGAAAAUAUUAGGUAAGUAUAAUUCUUGUUACAUGAGUUUACUAAGCACAAAGUGCUUACCCUGUUUCCUUUUCCCCUGUUUUGUAGUGUUAAGAGCUCAGAGGUCGGAUUUGGUCGGAGACGCAUCACACUAUCAACCUCAAGAUCUCGGUAUAUAAAGAAACUUUAUUUUGGAAAUCAAUGGCAUGUAUAAGCUAGUAAAGUAGAUGUUAAUGUGAAAUGAAUGUAUGGUUAGCCAUUGGUAUGGCUAACAAAUUUGGUUUUGGUAUGUGAUGAGAUUAUCUUAUGAAUACGAUAAAUCUAUCUUGAAAAUAAAUUGAAAUGGAUUGGUUGUGUUGGAUUGGUCCCGGUUUAAAAUUUGCAGGGAGGAUUAGAUUUUUAUAAAGGGGUUAUAUUGAGUUUUUAAAAAAUAUAUAUAUUUAUUCGGUAAAAUCUGGUAAUGCGUCAUACUCUAUUUCGGUGACGAAUACGGGUAAGGGGUAUUACAUUUCUAAUUCAACGUUUAUCGAUUAUAAUCGGGCAUAUGACCAAUUUAUACACAAGUCAUUAAUAUAUUUUCCUCCUCCUCCUCUCCAUUCCACAUCCUUAAUGUAUAUAACACGCUUAUAAGUAACAUUAUCUAUAAUUUCACUAUUUACUUAAAUGUAUAUUCAAAGUUGUCCAUCCGUGUCAUAGUCACUAAAUUAUUUUUAUCUUGAGCUACAGAACUCCAAACUAAGAUCCGCUAAAUUCCUCUGAAACUAGACUCACAUAUCUUCUUACCAUAAAAUUUUUAGAAUUUAUGGUUUAGCCAAUAAGUACAGUUUAUUCUUUAAAGUCAUCCCUGUUCUGCUAUCUGACAGUUUCAACCCUUCUUCACUAAAAAUUAAUUAUCUCCUCGUAUGGGAUUCGGAUGAUGUUCCCGUUUGUUUUUAUUGAAAAUAGACUUAUUAAGAAUUUAAACAUAUAAAUUUAAGCCCCUAAUUAUUUUCUCCAAAUUUUGAUGAUUUUCCAAAGUCAGAACAGGGGAACCCAAAAUCAUUCUGACAUUGUCUCACAAAAUUUAUUAUAUCUCAUAAUUUACAAUUCCAUUGCUUACACCGUUUCUUCUAUGAUAAACUAGACUCAAUAAGAUUUAAUUUCAUAUUUAUUCAUCUUAUAAUUCGAUUCCCAUAAUUUUUGGUGAUUUUUCAAAGUUAGACUACUGCUACUGCCCAAAACUGUUUCAGUGCAAAAUGUUGUUUACCAUUUUAACCCUAAACUUUUAAUAUAUGAUGAUUUCAUCCUUAGGCUCGAAAAAUGAAAUUCUUACAAUUUAAUCCUUGUUUCAAGACUAAUCAUUCUUAUACAUAUCAAUAACAACCCAUGAAUUCCAUGAAAUUUUAGAAUUUUUCCAUAAAUUCAGUAAUUUUCAAUUUUUAUCCCUGAAACAUGUUUUCAUCCAAAAUUCUCUAAUAAAACACCUUUAGACAUCCAUUAACAUCUCAAUUUCAUCAUCAAAUAGCAAAAAUUAUAUGAAAUUAUCAAUGGUAUCUUCUGAAACCUUCAACAAAAUCAAAAACUAAUAGAAUACUAAGUUGGACCUAGUUGUAAAAGUCCAAAAAUAUAAAAAUUUCAAGGAAAAAGCAAGAAUUAAACUUACUUGAAGCUAAAAUAUGAAACACCAGCUCUAAACUCUCUCCCAUGUCUAUUUUUCACUGAAAAUUAAAGAAGAAACGGUCUUGAAAUCCUUAAAAUAAAUUUUGGCCACAUAAACUUUAUUAUAAUUCCAAUUUUGUCCUUAAAUACAUAAAAAUCUUUGAUUUUUUUAACAGUAUGCCGCCUCAGCCACUUAAAUUGGUCCAUUUACUCUUUUAGUCCUUCCUUAUUUAAUUGUUAAGCUAUUUAACCACUUUAGCAAGUUUUGCAUCUUUUCAAUUUAGUCAUUUUUAAUUAACUGACUGCCAAAACGUUAAAAUUUUUUGACGAAACUUUAACACUAUCAUAUUGACACUCCGUAAAUAUUAUAAAUAUUUACGGCAUGGUUUAUAACAUCGAGUUCUCGAUACCUCUUUUCCUCAAUUUCUUGACUUAAUAAAUCUUUAUAAAACACAAAUUACUAAUUUAAAAAUCUCUUAAAAAUCAUAUUUGGCUCGUAAUUAUUAAAUAAUAAAAUUUAUGAGUUUAUUUUCUGAAUUUGGUGGCCUCGAACUACUGUUUUCGACAUUUCUAAAAAUCGGGCUAUUACAUAGCACAUGGCGUGUGGUCUGACUGUAUGUCCCCUGCAUCUUAAAAUUUAGAAACAGAAUGCCUAGGUUUUUGCACACAGCCUAGCACACGGGCGUGUGGCUUAGCCGUGUGACCCCUGCACCUUACACAUGGCCUAGCACACGGUGUGUGGCAUGGUCGUGUGACCCAAGUUAGAGAGUUACACGGGUAUGGGCAUGGGCUGAGACAUAGUCGUGUGCCUCACAUCGAAUGCCCACACGGCCUAAGACACAGGCGUGUCUCUAGCUCACACGGCCUGGCCACACGGGUGUGUAUCCCCUGCACCUAAGGAAAAUUUUGAAAUUUUGAGAAAAAUUCUUCGAGUUUUCGGUUUAGUCCCAAUAUACUUUUAAUGUGUAUUUUGAGCCUUGAGGACUUAUAUAAGGGACAAUAUGAGUGUUUUAUGAUUGGUUCAUGAUAUGUAUAUUAACUGUUAUGAAAUGUCUGCAUUUAAUCUGUAAAGUCUGGUAAUGCUCCAUAACCCUAUUCUGGCGACGAAUAAGGGUUAGCUGUGUUACACAGAGGCAUACCAUAGUGGUCGAUUUUCUAGAUGUCUCCCUCUCUUUCUUAUCCAUCCUCUCUCUAGUUAAAUGAUACAUGCAUGGAUGAGGUGAAAUUUAUUAAAGUAAAUUCAGUCAACCUGUCAAUUUUCAAGCUCAAAAGAUCAUUCAACUUGCAAUGAAUUUUGGAUAGGAUUCGGACAUUUAUGGGUUGAGAUGUCUACAUAGCACACGGGCGUGCGGGGCCAUUUCAAAAAGGUACACGGCCUGGCACACGGGCAUGUGGCUUGGCCGUGUGACCCAAGUCAGAGAGUUACACGGGCACAGACACGAGCUGGGACACAGCCGUGUGUCCCUACUUCGAAUGCCCACAUGGCCAAACACACGGGCUUGUGACUUGGCCGUGUGACAUGGCCAUAUGAACCCUGCAGUUAAAAUUUUUCUAACUUUUUCUUAAAAUUUCCAAAUGUUCCCGAUUUAGCCUCAAACCAUUUCUAAAGUAUUUUUAAACUUUCAAAGACUUUAAUAAAGGACUCUAUGCAUGUUAAUAAUGAAUCAUUAUAUUAUUUUUGAAAUGUCUGAAAUGAAUGAUUAGAUUACGAUUACUUGGUAAUACUCUGAAACCCUAUUCUGACGACGGAUAUGGGUUAGGGGUGUUACAUGACCAUUUUAGAUAGUUUUUCUUUCUGCUUAAUAUUCAUGUUCUUCUCUCUAGCCUCAACAUUUUCUUUUUCAUUAAGAUCAAAAUAAAAUCUAGUUUAAUUAAUAGAUGAUUCUACAUUCUGACAAGUCUUACAGCUUUGCACGUUAUGAAGGAAGAGUAUUGCAGGAAGACCAUGCAUAGGGGUUGCAUGUAGUUGAAAUGUUAGUAAAAUGUCUGUAAUGAGGAUUCUAGUGAAAAUCUUAUGAUUUUUUAAGUAGUUCCUGCUAUUAUGUUAGGAAAGACAAUCGAAAUAGAAACUCUAGGUCAAAGUAAAGGUAGGUCUUCAGUGAGCCUCUGAACCUGACUUUUGCUUGUCAUUUUAUGUUGAUUAUGCUAUGGUGUUUACCCUUAAACACCUAGAGAAGUAUUUUGAGUGUCAAGGGAUUAAUUGAGAGGAGAUCUGGUUGGCAAAUUGGUACAGGAGAAAGGGUGAACAUCUAGAAUGACUCGUGUAUUCCUGAACUUAGGAAUGAGAGAAUUAUACACCAGAAUAUUGAUGUUAGAUUUUUUACUGUUGCACGUUUGAUCAAUUCAGAUUCUUGUACUUGGAAUGAAGGAAGAGUUAGAUCCCUCUUUGAUGCUGAUCAAGCUGAGGAAGUUCGUACAAUUCCACUUUCCUAGACGAAGCCUUCGGAUACGAUUGUGCAAUUGUCUGAGCGGAUAGAGGAAUACUCCAUUAAGAGCAGUUACAAAUUGCUCAUAGAAGAAGAGCUACAGAAUAGAGAUUAUUACUCUAUGGAUAUGCCUAAACAAUUGCAAUAUUUUUUUUACAAAGAUGUGGGCGUUAUAAAUCCCAGCAAAAGUAAAAAUUUCUAUGCGGAAAUUCAUUAAUAAUUUUCUUCCUACUUUUGGGAAUCUUAUCAAGUGCAAGUUUCAAAUUGCUAAUGUGUGCCCUUUGUGCAACGAAGCUGAAGAAACAGUUGAUCACCUGUUGCAGUAUUAUUUUGUCUCUAAGAAAAUGUUGAAUUACCUGAAGGUUGCGGUGCUCCUUGUCUUACAAUACUCGGAUUACAGAAUGUGGUUAGUAAAGACUUCCAUAAAUGCAGAUAUCAGAUCUAAAAAGAUGAUGGUAAUUUCUUAUAGGGCUAUCUGGUACACACGAAACAAACUGAUUCACAAGGGUUUUAGAAUACAUUAAAGGAGUUGACAGGCUUUAUUAUGGGAUACUUGCUAGAAAUUGAGGCUAUUGAUCAGGAGCUAAGGCCAUCUACGUUCCUACGUAAAUAGGAAAUAAGGGUGCCACUAGAUCCGAGCUACAUAAAGAUAAAUUUUGAUGCAUCUUUUAAUGCUAUGUCAAAAACCUCUACUUCUGGGAUUCUAGCAACAGAUGCAUUUGGACAGAUUAUGGGAGCGUUUCUUGCCCACAUCAAGAUGUUGCUAAUACGUUUGUAGCAUAAGCAAGAAUAUGUGAGCAGGAUGUCAUUUUUAUGCAUGAACUAGGGUUUCGUCUGGUCCAGGUUGAACGGAAUUCACUUUCAAAGAUUAAGAAAUUAAACCCCUACACAGUGGAGUGCUAAGUCCGAUUAUUCAAGACAUUAAGGUAAAUAUUGGUUUUUUUUUAGCGAAUUAAUUUUCGUUUUGCUAGAAAGGAGGCAAACGCAAUGGCACAUGUUUUAACUAGUGAAGGACACCAGUUUCAGAGCCACGGUGUUGGAUGGAGGAAGCACCAGUAACAGUGGACCGGAUGGUGAUCGUAGAUUAGCACAGAUGGUUGUCUCAUACAUAACUGGGGCAACGUUUAGCUUUGGUGUUUGGAGAUUAUGCUAUAUGUACUCCAAAGAUGUUACCAAAGUGACUUUUCUCUCUGAAAUUAGUUAAUGGAUUUAGAUGCAAUAGGGUUGAUGAAAGAUUUUCAGGGAGGUCUUCAAUUGGCUUCAUCGGUCGUUUGGUAUGCAAGGGAAGAGGGUAAUGGGUUUUUAGCUUUCCUUGUUUACUUUUUGGUAUUUAGUUAUUUCUUUUAUUUUUCUUUGGUUUUCUCUAAAGUUUUUUUGUUGUUUUUGUUAGUGGGACGGUUUAAGUCCCUUGACUUUGUCUUCCCUAGGUAUUAAUGGAUGUAGUUGUUAUUAUUUAAAAAAGAAAAGAACACAAAAUUAUAUAUAUUUAAAUUUUGGACACAUUUAAUAAUAUAUGUGUUAUAUUUAUGUUUACACAACUAACAUUAAAGAUGUUAUAAAAAAACUAAACAUUAAAAAAUUUAUAAGAUAAAUAUACAUUUUGUCAAAUCAAGUUAUGAUUACUUUUAACUCAAGUUAACAAAAAAGUUUGCAACAUCUUUAGGUGGGUCGUGGAGGAAGUUCCAAUGAUUGAAGGCUCCCUUGCAACAUUUCUAUUACUCUAGUCAUUGACGGUCGAUCUAAUGAAUUGGUUUGAAUACACCAAAGACUCACUGCAAUCAAUUUUCUUGUUAUUUCUUCUUCCUCUUCUGUUAUUUCUUCAUUAAGAUUCAAGUUCAUAGGCUGAUCAAGAUGCUUAUAAAUCCAUGAAGGAAAAUAUAUUUCACUAGUUUGAGACACUUCAACAUCAAUAUUUUUUCUCCCUCCAACCAUUUCAAGGACCAUCAUUCCAUAACUAUAGAUAUCAGAUUUAUGAGAAACUCCUCCCAAAUUUCGAAAAAACACUUCUGGAGCAAUGUAUCCAGCAGUUCCUCUAGCACCUGUCAUUGAUACAACACUCUUCUUUCUUUCACAUAAUUUAGAUAAGCCAAAGUCAGAGAUCUUGGGACAAAAGUUCUCAUCUAAAAGGACAUUAUGAGGCUUUAUGUCAAAGUGCAAGAUCCUUGUAUUGCAACCUUGAUGCAAGUACUCCAGUCCUCUAGCAAUUCCAAGGGCAAUGUCAUACAAAGUUUUCCAUUCCAAUUGACGACUUUGAUUAUCCGUUCCUUGACUAUAAAUGAACUUAUCCAACGACCCUUUUGGCAUGAAUUCAUAAAUCAAAGCUCUCUUCGAUCUUUCAAAGCAAAAAGUCACUAUAUUAACAUGAGAAGUUCUGCUAAUACUAGCUACUUCAUUCAUAAAAUCCUCUCCAUUGCUCUUCGUUUCAUUUAGGGAUUUAACUGCCACAAGACGACCAUCAGGCAAUUUUCCUUUAUAUACACUUCCAAAACCUCCUUGACCUAAUUUAUCAUUAAAUUGAUUUGUCAUUUUCUUUAUUUCUCCAUAAGAGUAUCGCUUUGGAGAAAAGGAACCAAACUUUAUGAUGAAUGCCUCAAUCCUAGCAUUGUCAUUCAUCUUUAUUUGGUGGAGAUAAUUUGAUAAUAAUUUCCUUUUGAACCUCGGGACAAAGCAGCAAACGGCAAAAAUCAGUAGAAUUCCAACAAUAGCUGAUCCUGUUUAUGAAUUAUGAAUCAUUAAUCGAUUUUUGUUAACUCAUAAAGAAAGAUGAUAUAUAUAAUAUUUAAUUAAGUAAAAAUAUUGGUUAAACAAAAAUCUUAAAAGAAAGCAUAUAACUUCUGUUAGAAAGUAUCGCUGUCAAUUUAAAAGAAAAGCAUUAUAAGUUAGACAAAGUAUAUAUAUUUCUUCAAAACUAAUUAAAAUUAUACACUUUAAUUAUCGUAAAUCUUAAUUAAUAAAAUAUUACUUUGGAUGGGACAUGCUGAUUUUGAUUCCAACUUUAAAAAUUAAUUAUAGUAGCAAUAAAACCACAUAUUAUUACCCAAUAAACCUCAACCUAUAAGACAUUAUAGUAGUAGUUAUUAUCUACCAAAUUGUGUGUGUUUUGUGUGCGUAGUAGAUAUAUAGUUAAUGAACAAAAGAAGAAGAAGAUAUAUAGUUAAUUCAAACCACAUUAUUAUCCCAAAAAUUGUUUCGUACCUAUUAAUAUUGAAUAUGUCAACUUCAAAUUGGACCCACCUACAGGAAACAAUAUACCACGUAAAGCAACACAUUUGUUAUUGCACAAUUUUAAUGAUUACGAUUAAGUUUUUAUCAAUAGUAAUAAUUUAUACUAUUAUAAAGCUGGUAUUAUUGGGUUAAUUAAAAACCCUAUUACAAAUUAAAUAAUAGCAAUUUAUCAGGUUAUAUUAGUGGCUAGCAGUAGUAAUAAUUGAAAAUUUUGUCAGGUUGUAGAAGUGGAAAAGUACAUACCUGGGCGUGGGCUAUAUGUUGGGGCCAAUACUGGGCCUGGGAGGGGAGCUAAGCCGAGACAUUGUUUGAGCUCUGGCGAGUUGUAAAAUCCAGAGGGACAGUGGCAGAUUGUUCGAUUGUUGCUGUCGGAACCGCAGGUUCCACCGGAAGCAUUGCACUUGUGGCAACCUGUUUUAUUCUCCACUCUUUUCGCUGCACUUCCAUUAGUCCUGUUUUCAAUGUUUGUUCCAAAACCAAAAGCAAGCAAGGAUCAUUGAGAAAAUGUUUCCGGAUUCCAUCCUCCGUUGGAAUAAAACUUUAUAUUGAAAUUGGUAUGCAUUUAUUACCUGGUGGAAGGGGAUGGGCAGAAAGUGAUGUCAUAAUCAGCAGCAAAACAACUGAAGGUACUGUUUGCAUCAUCUUGGGGGUAGCUAUAAGCAUUAGGACACCGACUCUUGAAGAAUUGUUCGUAAGAAGUGGGCUUGCACGUAUUUGUAGUAUCACAGCAAUAUUGGGGGGGCCCAAAAGCAGUGCAGGCACUCUUACAUGCAACUGUCUCACUCCCAUUGACAACCUUAAGCUCCGAAGGACAGUCACCAUUCAAAUCCGCAACACAUCCAGUUGAGUUACAGUCAUCUCCAGUUCCACCAUGUGGGGAUAUCAUCAAUGGUAGAUUGAAUCCAUCAACAAGGCUAACAUCAUAGAAAUCGGAUCCCACAGAACUAUUGAAAUAAAACUCUGCAAGGGUGGCCUGGAUGGAACUAUUACCAGAACACUCUGGUCUAGAUGUGCCGCAGUCCCCGGUGAGGCAAGAGAAAUUGCCAGAAGAGUCAGUACCACAAUGAGUUCGACCCGAUAUCCGACCUGACCAAGAUGGUGGAACAGAAAUAGAUGUUGAUUCGCCUGGUUGAAGAAUGAAACCUGAAGGGGAAAUUUGUGUAGAUUGAGGAUAAGACACUACCGCUGGCCAAACUGUAUAGUUGCAAUUGUUUACAAUAGUAAACGUUGAUGAAUAAGCACCUGUAAAACCGGAAAAUGGAUUUAAAUCAACACCAAAAAAGAAGAAGCAACAAUCAACCUUUCUUUGUUAGUCUUGAAUAUUUAAAUAAUCAUUAAUACUUAAGCCUAUAUAACUGGAUCAAAGAGGUGGAUUGAAGCCGGAAAGAAUGGUUGGGAUGAUUGGCAACGGUUGACAUGGGGAAUAUGGAAAACAGAGAAAUUUCAAGUCAGAAACCAUAAUGCAGGCCAGAACUUUCACAAUAACUUACUGCAGCGGCUGAUGGCAUGGAAAAGCGGUAUCUGAACAGUGACAAGACAAGCAAAGGAUCCAAGCAAGCAGAAUUUCAAACAGGACCUUAGAGAGGCUUUUGUAACAGAUUGAAAUAGGAUAUAAUCAUUUGUGUUGCAAUAAACACCCAAAAUCAAGAGGAAGUUAUUAAACUUGCAGCUCAGGCAAUCAAGUGUUGUACGUUACGAGUAAAAAUAAAAUAAAAUCAGAUUGGGGAGGGGAGGGGAGGGGAGGGGAGGGGAAGCAAAAAGUCCAAUGAGAAGUACAUUCAUACAUACCUGAGACAUUAGUGCUUUGUGAGACGGUAAGUCCGAGCACGACGAGUAAUAUGGAAAACAAAGGUAGAUGUGAUGAUGAAUUCAUCUUCAGAGAACAAGGGAAAUGAUGAUUGAUGUGUAUAUUCGAUAAAAAGGAUUAGAUUGCCUCAGCUCAGCUCUAGGAAAUUAGGGGAGUGGUCGAAACAAUGACUUAGAAGACUUGGACUUUUGUUUUGUGGUUAGGUUUGACUAAAUCCAACGCUCACUGCGGCGAAAUUGGAUACUACAGCUACUCUACAGCGGCGUCUUUAAAAGUAUGUUCAAAUCCCACUAAAUGGAAACUAUGAACUCUCUAAUUUUGUGAAAAGUGUCGCUUUAUAUGACUGCCAUUUGUGCAUGAUUAAUUAAAUAUUGGUGCACCAUUCUAUUAUCUUCCUUAUGUUUGAGUUAAUUAAAUAUUUUAUUAUUAUUUUCAUUCCGUAACUAAUUUUAAGCCAACUAUUUAACUUUUUGUUACUUAUUAUAACUUAAUUGUUAUUCACCUCUCUUAAUUUAUAAAUUUCUAUAAUUAAAUCCUCUAUUAAUAGUUUAUUAUUUAUGUUUUGAUCCCUAUUAAUUUUCAAAUGUUAUAGCUUAAUAUGAUUAAUACCCUUAAAUCUAAAUUGAUUAUUUAAGGUAGCCUUCGGUGCGAUUGAAAAUGGUCACUUUCUUGAGAAUUUAAUCAGGUAAAAAGUGAUUCCAACAUUUAAUAUGUCCAAUUUUAUUUACUUUUCUUGAAAUUUUAUUUUCCCUUGUGAGUUAUUUUCUUAUAAAUAUGGAAAUGUGAUUCCCAUGAUAAAAUAUGGGAAAGUUACUACUUGAUUUUCUCUUACUUCAAUGGAGUUUUUGCAAAUGUUAUAUAUACAUUUUUUUUUAUUCCAAAACAAGUUUUAUAUAGACAUGAUUUUAUAUGCACAUUAUUAUAUUUUAAAAAAAUAUAUGAAGGAGAAAUUUGAAACAAUUUUGCUUUCAACUAACAUUAUAAAUUAAAAAUAUUUAAAAAUAUCAAUUACAAAUUAUUAUUAAAUAUAUAAUCCUAAUAUUUGUUAAAAAUAAAAUUUACUAAAAACUUUAAAUACAUGACUAUUAUAUUUUCUUUAAUAAUGGUAAAUACAAAAAGAAGAGGAGGGGAGAGAGAUGAGGCUUUGACAAAAUUGGUAUCAUUUGUUACUUUGAGGCCAUGAAUCCCUCAGUAAAUGGAAUAACAACCAUUUGGGUAAGGGCAGAUUUCCUUUCCUGUUUUGGUAGGAAAAACUAAGGACAUGUUUCUUAAAUAGCUUUUAGGGUUUAAACAGAAGAGCAAUGAGAAGUUGAUUUUGCGGGUAAAGUUGAAAGGUGGUUGCAAUUUCUGUUUAGAUUGAGAGUGGAGAACGGCAGAUUGUGAGCGAAAAUGGAGAUGGAAAGGCAGAGGUUAGUUUGGAAAUAAGAAAAAAGAAUUUAUACAGAACAGAAAAGCCAAAAGAGAAUAAUUACACAAUAAAUGGUUUGGUAAAUACUCUAAAAAUUUUUUUUUUGAGUGAAGUUGGCCUUCAUUAAAUAAAGAGGAACUAAUGCGUUCCAUCAAACCAUAUCAAAUCAUAAUAAAGAAACAAAUAACCCUAAUCAGUAAAGAAACCCCUUCCCCCUAACUAUAAGUAACAAAUGAAGCUAGAAUCUGAACAAUCUUCUUGUAGACACGACCCCAGCGAGGACCUGCAUGAAAAAUCAGAGAAGAAACGCAGGAAAAUCUUGCCUGGGGAACCUUUUGGAGUGAAAGAUACUGUGAUCUCCAAAAUCCAAAGCCAAAACCAUUGAAAACUACCCCCCGGAGCUUCGUGACGUCCAUUACUGUCAAUCCAGAGUCGUUGAGCGCUUUACCUCUAAAGGAGCUUCCUCAAUCCAAUAUUGUGGUGCUGGAAGGCGACACCCACUUCUUGCAAGAACAUGAGCUGUUGUAUUCGCCGAUCUGCCAACAAACCCGAAUGUAACACUAUCAAAACCUCUAACCUUCCCCUUAAUGUCUUGAAUAAUCAGACUAGUACUGAUCUGUCUGAAUCUAUGUUGUUUAAUUUUUUCAUGACUGUGAGUGAAUCUCCUUCCACAUGUAUCGAUCUAAACCCAAGCUCUUGAGCAAAGGUCAUUGUUUGUUCGCAUACAUGUGCUUCAGCUAUGAAAGCGUCUGCAACGCCAAAAUGCGGGUAAGUGCAAGCUGCCAGAAUUUCCCCAUUUUCAUUUCUAUCUAAAACACCCAAAAUAGGAAUAUUGGUAUUAGUAUUGAAAGAAGCAUCAUAGUUUAGCUUUAUGUUGUUUGUGUCUGGAGGAACCCAAAUCUCUUAUUUAGGAACGAAUGAGGAAGGUCUCAACCCCUCAAGGGCUUCUAUUUCUAUGAGAUAACCCUUAAUAAAUACCACUAGUUCCGGUAUAUUUGGCUUAAUACCAUCAUGAACCAACCUAUUCCAAGAAUGCCAGAUUACCCAGUAAGCAAUUACAAGAACCUCCUUUUCCUUAUCAGCCAGCUGAUUAAAACCCAUUGCUAACCACUGCUUAUAAUUUGAAUAUUGUGACAAAGGUAACAUCCUUGUUUUCAAAGAGGCUAGUGUUUGUUUUGAGACAAUACACGACCUCAAAAGGUGGUCCACAGAUUUUUCAGUUUCUUUACAUAGAGGGCAUAAUCUAUCAACAUGCAUCAUACGUUUAGAUAAAUUCUCGAAUGUAGGUAGAAAGUUAUGUGUAAGUCUUUAGAAUGUAAUUUUGAUUUACCUUGGAAGAUGUAAAGCCCAUAGUUUUGUAAAUAGCAUUGUAAUUAGAUUAGGUAAAUCCGUAGACUGGGAAGUCUUAAUUAGCAUGUAAUUCUUGGUCAAGCAACAACUUGUAACCACUAUUUGGAGAAUACUCACCCGACCCUUCAUAUCGCCAGACCAACAUAUCUAGACAGUCUGCUUGUGCUAGUGGAAUCAUCAGCACCUUCUCAGCUUGUUUGUACAAGUAUCAAAAUUAAUUAGUUGUGAGACAGUAUUUUGACACUGUAUUUUCCUAUUCCCUGGCCCAGGAAUCCAAGCAUCAUUCCAGAUGUUUACACUAUUACCCGUGCCAAUUCUCCAGCCAAUUCCCAUUUCAAUUAGGCCCCUUGCACUUAAAAUACUCCUCUAGGUAAAAGAAGCAUAAGAUCCUAACCUUGCCGACAUGAAAUUUGAUUAAGGAAAAUAUCUAACUUUUAAAACUUUUGCCAAUAAACAAUCACCAUGCGUAAUAAUAUGCCAACACUGCUUGGCCAAUAAUGCUAUGCUGAACUUGGAUAAAUCACAAAAACCCAACCCUUCUUUCGCUUUCAAUAAACAAAGUGGGUGCCAUGCAGACCAAUGUAUACCUCGAAGCGUAUUAUUAUUCCACCAUUAUUAAAAAUGUUAUCCAACUGGGUAUAAAGUGUCUUUGGAAAAAGAAAACAUUGCAUAGCAUAGACUGGUAGAACUUGCAAUACGGAUUUUAUGAAAACCUCUUUCCCACCUAUGGAUAGAAAUCUCAUACCCCAACCUUUCACCUUCUUACUAAAGCAAUCCAAAUAAUGCGCAAACGCUUGCUUUUUACUUCUACCAGCCAUGACUAACAAUCCCAAAUACUUCUUGGGGUUUUUCAAAAUCCGAAAGCCCAACAGCCUCCCCACAACAUUUUAGACAUUCAAAUCCACAUUAGCUCUAAAAUAAAGAAGAGACUUUUCAUAGUUGACCUUUUGUCUCGAAGCUUUUUCAUAUUUAGAAAUGAUUUGUUUUAUAUUUUGAGCUCCUUCCCUUAAAGCCUCACCAAAUAAAACACAGUCAUCCACAAAGAAGAGGUGAUUUAUUGCUAGUCUCUCCCUUCUUAUACACGCCUCAUUUAUUCGCCCUACUGCUUUUGCUUCAUUAAGAAUAGUCGAGAACCCCUCAACAAACAAUAAAAACAAGUAUGGACUAAGGGAUCACCUUAAUGCAAACCCCUCGAAAGGAAAAAAAAGAUUCACUAAUGCUGCCAUUAACCCCGACCAUAUAGGAAACAAAGGACACACAUCAUAAUUAGCCUCACCCAAUUUUCGUGAAAACCCAAGUGUACCAUUAUCCCUAUUAGAAAGUCCCAUUCAACUCUAUCGUACGUUUUGCUCAUAUCGAGCUUAAGCGCAAAAUUUCCUAGUUUACCCAAUCUCUUCACUUUGAGUCAGUGCAAUAUUUCAUAUACAACAAGGACAUUAUUUGAAAUUUGCUUGUUAGGAAUAAACUCUCAUUGAGCUUCAUCAACACACUCUCCCAACAGACCACUUAUUAUAUUCACUAUUACCUUGGUAAUGAUCUUAUACAACACAUUGCAUAAACUAAUAGGCCUAAGUUGUGUCUAGGGGAGAGCAUUCAAUCGAAUCGAAUCAAAAAUUUUUGAGUUAAUCGAGUUUUCGAAUCUCAUUUUAUCAUCCUAACUUUAUUUGAAGUUUUCUCAAAUCGAGUCAAGUGAGAUAGAAUUCGAAUCAAAUCAAAUCGAAUAUAUUUGUUCGAGUUAAAUUUUAAAAAAUAAUUUUGGGUCCUUGUAACCACUAUCACCCAUUGUAAUAAAAUUUGUCCACCUUAAUCAAUUUUUUUAUUAAAUUUCACCACCUCAUAAUUUAUUUAUUAAUUUUUUAUAUAUUGGUUAGCUUCUUUGCUUACUUAGUUGUUUCAAUUAUCUUCAGAUUCUUGUCACUAUGUAUUUUGGAAUUAAAAAAUAUAUAAAUGCAAAAAUAUGGUUUUUUAAUAAAAGUUAUUUUAAAAAUAAAAUGUGAAAUUGAUACCAAUAUAAAAUUUUAACACGAAUAUUUUAUGGCAUAAUUAAUAAUUCAAUUUUAAUAUAAAUAUUCAAUAUGACUACACACUUCAAUAAUAUAAAUAAUAUAAAAUGUGAAAUUUAAUUUAAUAAUAUAAAUAGUAGAUAUAAAUAAAAUUAUUACUAUUUAUGUUUAGUGAUUUUUUUUGGAUAAUUUUGAUUUUUUAUUUGAUAGUAAAGGUGAGAAGUAAAAGUUUAGGGGGGAAAUAAAAAGUUUUGGGGAAUAAAAGUUUGAGGAAAAGUAAAUAGGAGGGAGUAAAAUUUUGGAGGGAAAAUAUUAAAAAAAAAAUUGGAGGGGGAGGGUUUUGGGUAGAUGGGAGGUGGGAUGAGAAGGGAAUAAAAAUUUUAGGGGAAAAGUGGGAGGGAGUAAAAUUUUUGGGGGAAAAUAAAAGGUUUUGAGGGUUUUGAGAGUAAAAUUUUGAGAAAAAAUGAAUAGGAGAGUAAAGUUUUGGUGGGAAAUGAAUGUUGGGUAGAUUGUGGGGUUGGGAGGGGAGUAAAAAUUUUUGGAGGAAAGUGGGAAGGAGUAAAAGUUUUGAGGGAAAAGUAAAAAGGUUUGGGAGUUUGGGGUAAAAAUGUAAAAUAUUAUAGUUUGAUAUUCAAAUUACUCGAAUUAUUCGAGUUAUUCGAAUUCGAAAACUCAACUCGAUUCGAACUCGAAAUUUGAAAAAAAAUUCGAGUUGAUUCGAAUAACUCGAUUCGUUUAACUCAAAAUUUGAAUUUUUUUUGUUUUUUUCGAGUGAGUCGAGUCGAGUUUUGCUCACCCCUAGCUGUGUCAUAUUGCAAGGAUUAUUUACCUUCAAAAUCAAAACAAUAUGAGUCCUAUUGAGUUCGUUGAUAGUAAUCUCCCCACGAAGAAACUCAAAGUAAUAGUUCGUAACAUCAUUACUUAUGACAUGCCAAUAUUUUUGAUAAAAUAAAGUAGGGUACUUAUUAAUACCUGAUGUUUUAAGAGGCGACAUAGAUUUGACCGCAACCCAUACUUCUUCAGGUAGAAAAGGUUGCAGCAAAUCCACAUUCAUCUUUGGCGUCACCUUUCUCUAGACGUUAGCAUAAAUCCUAGAAGUAUCCUCUUCAUCCGAGGCCGUGAAAAGUUCUAUGAAAUACUUAGAGGCAAUCUUCAGAACCUCUUCCUCGUCAGUUACCCCUUCCCUUUUAAUGCCAACAAUCCCGUUUCGCUUCCCUCGACCACAAACUACCUUAUAAAGAAAGUGGUAUUCCUGUCCCUAGUCGAAAGUCAGUUAACUCAGGCUCUCUGUUCCCAAAAUAGUUCUUCCUUAUCAUCCUCCAAAUUUAGCCUAAUUUGGAUAUUCGUUAAUUCGGCAAGGAUAUCAUCAUCAAGCUUAUUAGUGUAAAGCUCAUUCAUCCUAAGUUCUAGCCUUUGUUUAUUGGCCACUCUGCUUCUUUUAACCUAAUGACUCCAAUUUCGCAAUGUUUUCCCCAAACCAUUUAAUUUAAUCAGUAAAGCAUCCGUAGAAAAUGACCAAAAAUUGUAAAUUUCUUUCUCACACGAAUCCUUCAAACACCAAUUUGCAUCAAAACGAAAUUGACCCUGACCUCUUCGUGGCCCACUUUGUCAACUGAUUGUGUUUAUCACAAUUGGAUAGUGAUCAGAUAAUGAGUGCGUCCAAUGCGUCAUAGAGUAAUCCAAAAAUAAACUCCACUGAGCCAGAUUUCCCACACAUCUAUCAAGUCUUUCUCGAAUAUUGGUUGUCGCAAAUCUACCCUUCUCCCAUAUGAACCCGCGCUUUAUGAACCCUAUAUCACUCGAAUAACAAUCUUGUAACAUAAUUCUGAAAGCCUCUAUAUUUCUUUCUAGACGUAAUCUACCACCUCCCUUUUCAAAAGAGUAAUCUAUCUUAUUAAAAUCACUAGCUACUAAUGACAGGAUAGACUGAUCUUGACCCAACUACGAAUUAGAUUCUACGAAAUACUUUUUAAUCGUUCUUCAGGAUUACCAUAAAAACCCGUGAAGCACCAUACCACCCUUUCCCGAUCAUCAUGAAUAUCAACAUCAAUAUGAUAUUGAGAAUAACUAUGUAGAUUAACCACACAAUUCUGUCUCUAUCCCAAUAACAAUCCUCCUUUAGUACUCACUGCUCCCACAUUAAUACCAUUCGUGUAACCAAAUUUCCUCUUAACAAUCUCUAUAUUUCAUGUACUGAUUUUUAUUUCCAUUAGAAAUAAAAUAUGGGGACAUAUUUCUCUCAGCUUAUUCUUGAGACGACAUACUGUCUGUGGCCUCCCUAAACCAUGAACGUUUUACCUUACGAUUUUCAUUGCAUCCGGUUGCUCUGCAUAGUAGAACUAGUCGGUCGAAUAUAACCAUAUUCUGAUACACCACCAUUGCCUUUAAUUUUACCGGUGGGAACCUGCCCCACCACUCUGUCAUUUAUUCCCUUUAACGUAUUGGAUAAGAUAUUUUUCCCUAUUUGAACCCAGCUCAAUAAGCCAAAGAUUAGUAGGUCUACCCCCUUUCAUGUCAGUAUCCAAGUGAGAUACACCUGCCCUAUCCCGAACCGGUUGGCAUAUGGUAGACCCCACUAAUUGUAGAUUAUGAUUGGGAUACAAAUUGGUAGCAUUAUCCCCCAAAAUUAUGCCUUAAUUGACUCAUUUCCUUAUCCACCCUUUGACUCAUGAAACUAUCUGGUUCCCGUAACCUUUGACUCACUGCCGAUGAGCCUCUUUUCAUUGGUUCUUGCAAAGAGAUAUCCCAUCCAAAUUGGAUUUUUUUUCGGAUCUAUUCGCACCCUCAAUGGGCGAAAUCUCUCCCUAUGCCCAAGCAUACCACAAAGAAAACAAAACAAAUUAAGUCUUUCAUAUUGAAACGAGCAUAAACUGUUCGACUAACGCCUAAUUAAAUCUUCUUACGCUUUAAUGGAAGGCAAACAUCCAACCAGACCUUAAUUUGCAUAAAUCUUUUUGCAGCCGACAAAGAAAUCUUUGUAUCAUAUUCAAGAAAACUACCUAGAAACACUUAGAACUAUCGUACCAUAGCCUUUGACAUUAGACCCUAAGGUAGAUCAUGAAAUUGCAUCUAAAACUCAACGAAAAAUAAUGGCAACAUGAUAGAGUCCUCCUCUGGUUGGAUCAUAUGCAGCAAAAACAAAUGAUUGUUAAAGAACUAUAGUGUUCCUUCCAAAACGCGUUGCAUAUCCAUUUCAUAAAAAAAUGAAAUAAAACUCGCUUUUCUCCUAGAUCUUUAAUAAAAACUCCACCAAUAAGGUGCCAUAAAUCAACCAAAGUAUUCCUUAGCGAAGGGAAAUGCACCACGCUAUCUACUAGGCAACACCCUACUAAACAGAACUUGAACUUCUCCUCUACCUCACUCUCCUCCCCUGAAACACUUCUUCCUCCUCAUCAACAAGCCUCAAAUUCGUUAACUCGUCUUCUAUAGCCCUCACCUAAAACCCUAAAGAAAUUAUGUUAAAAGACAGACUAAAAUCGGCGUAUUGGUAUAGAUUAAGCCAAUAUUUUAUAUUUGAGCUCCUCCAGAUCUAAUGGUAUAGAUUGAAUUACAUCAACGGUUAAAAUUAGUGCCUAUCUACAAUAUGAGAGUUCUAAGGGAUUUAAACUCUAUACAUCAUUAUUCCUUAAGAUUUACAAUAAUUACCUUGGCAACUUUAGUUUUAAUAGAGUGUUUCAUUAGGCCACCAAGGCUCCAAGUAGAUGAGUUUCUCCAUAUGUUCCAUGAAUCGAGCCAAUUGAAGUGGGUCAAAUGAGCCCCAUUUAAAUAGUUGACCUUCAUGGGACGCUUUAUGUGCAUUUGUCACAGGUUUUGAUCUGUAGCCUAUGACAUUCUCCCUAACUCAUUCUCGCAAUGCCCUCGUCGCGUCCUUGGAAUGACACUAGUUUGGCUCAUCUUAGAACUACCUCAAUGCCUCAGUUGAUGCCCAACUAGUCUCUCUAUCAGGUAGUUCCACUCUUCGAAACAUUUGCCUUGGUUUAUGUCUCCGCUGUCACCUAACUCGAAUUGUAUUUCUCUCUUGUACAUUUCAUUUGCAAGAGUCUACCGCUCUUACUUGUCCCCAUCAUGACUUGCCUCGAUCGGAUAGUAGGAGAGAAGUUAUGAAUAUAGUGGAUAUAUAUAAUGGUAGUUUACUAGAAGUUACACUUAUGUAACUCAUUUUAGCAAAGGGAAUGUUACAUACAAACUUAAAUGCAAGUGCACGGUUUGGUCAAUGAGAAGAGGGAAAGACAAAAAAACAGUUGCAUUCUAAUGAAAGGUUAAUAAGUAAAAUUAUUAAUAAUAUUCUUAUAUGAGAUUCUAAGCUAUGCUCUCUAAGACAUUCUAGUUAUGGGGCAAACCAAAGAAUCCUGCUAAUCUUUUCAAUAUAAAGUGAUCCUACAAUAAACAAUAUUUUCAGAUACUACUAUUAAUAGAAACAUUAAUAACAAAAAAUGAGUUUCCAUAUUUUACCUCUUGUAUGAGAGUUUUUAUUUUAUGUUUUUUAUGAAAAUGAAUUCUCAUGCAUAAAAAAAAAAUAUGGUGAGAAUGAUAUCGAAAAAAUUCAUCGAAUGGAAAAGAAAAACUAAAAGAAUAUCAAAGAUUACUAAUAAAUGCAACAUUUAAAAACAAUAAGCUAUUCAUCUAACCUACGUUACUUGGGCUCGAGUGUCUAUAUCGAUAGGGGCGAAGCUAGAAAUUUUUUUUAGGGAGGGUCGAAAUGAAAUUUUAAUUUUUAAUGGUCUAUAUCUUUAUAAUUUUUAAAGGAUUAAAUUAAAUUUUCAUAAUUUUAAGGGGGCAAAAUGUAAUUUUAUAUUUACUAAUUUAAAAUUUUCUAAAUGACCAAAACAAUAAUUUUCUAUUUUAGGGGAGACCGUGGUCCCUACCUACCCUUUGGGUUCGCCGAGAUAGAUAUGUUCAAAAUUUAUAAAUUUGUUUCCAUAUAUUGAAGAUUCUUGAAGAGUAUCUUAGAUAUGUGUCCAACACUAAAAGGAAGCUCUAUUAAAACUUAAACAACAAUGCUAAUUAAACUUUUAAUGAAACAUAUAAAAUUGACAAAUUUUAAAACAUGGCAGUCAUUACAAACAAACCCCAAGAUUUCACUGCCCACCGUCUUAUGUUACUUAUAUUUGGGUUUAAGUGUGAUAGACAAAUAUGUCUAUUAAAAAUUUUCUAAAUAAUUUAUUGUAUUUGGAGAAUUUUUAAAGAUUAUAUUUCGAUAUAUAUGUAUUUGAUAGUUGAUACUAGACCUAUCCAUGGCCGCCCGGCCCGACGGCCCCCCCCGAAAUAUGGGAGGGUUCGAGUAAAAAUAUAGGCCCGAAAUAUGGGCUUAAAAAACGAGGUCCGUUUAAAAAACGGGCUGGGCCUCGGGCACCACUUUUUUGGCCUGGGCCCGGCUCGGCCCGAAUAUAAUAAAUAUAUAUUUUUUAUUUUUAUUUUUUAAUUUUAAAAUACUUUUAAAAUAAAUUUUUUUUAUUUUUUUAUUUUUAAAACAAAUUUUUAAUAUUUAUUUUAAAAAUUGGCCGGGCCAGGCCGGGCUCGGGCUUAUGAUAUUUUUCUCAGGUCGGGCCUGGGCAAAAUUUCAGGCUCAUAUUUCGAGUCGGGCUGGGCCCGGGCCUAAGAGGCGGGCCAAAAAAUUUUUGGGCCUGGCCCGAACUCGGCCCGGCCCAUGGACAGUUCUAGUUGAUACUAGUGUAAAAUAUGAAUAUUAAACGGAAGCGUGAAACACGAGACUAUAAAAAGGAAUAUAACUGGACUGUCAAUAUUCGUUAUUGAUAUAAGAUCGAGAUAAACAUGGUCAAAGGGUUUGUUUCCUUAAAUAGCACUAAGUUGUAGCAAUCUUAAAUAAUGCAAUAAUGUGGCCAGGUUUUGACUCUCUCCGCUGCUAAUAUUCAUUAUCAAAUUUCCUGGAAUUUUACUAUCCAAAAAACCAAUCAUGCUGGGAGUAAUUACACUUCACAGUUAUUGCGUCUAUAAUCAUAAAUGCAAUUUAAAUCAUUCUUUAUUCAUGAGUUUAAAGAUUUGAUCAAAAUAAAAUACAUUUUAUGAUUAUUCGUUUUUUUUAAGAACACUCAUGAUAAGAGAAUUAUUUAUUGUUACAAGUAAUAUAAAGAAAAAAGUGCAAUUUUAAAUCCAUGAAAAAUGAGUGUUAAAAGAUGAUAAAAAGAUACAGAUACUUCAAUAAUAAGUGAGACCAACAGAAUUGAAAUUGGGUUGAAGCAAUGGCUGAUGUCUUCAUCUUCCUCCUGCAUUUUGGUACGGUCAAGUGUUAGUGUGGGGUACGUUACAUUUGAUGAGAACGCUUUGGAUAUGAUAAUAAAGGGAAUCUCCAACAUUAAUAAUAAAAAUGAUACACAGAAGAAAAGCAAGUUGUUUUGGGUUGAAACAUUGAAACCAGACCUCUGACGCCUGGCCCAAUAAGUCCGACCUUUUCGGACCAUGUUUUUGACUGAAAUCUCCGGUUGAAGUUUAAAACCGUCCAUUAAAUUUAGAGUAGAGUAGGGUUUAAUGGUGAGUUUGGAUGGGUGGUGGGGUGCGGUGUGGUAUGUUUAGUUUAUUUUUUGCCUCACGUUAUAAUAUCGUUAUUGUAUUUAAUCUCACCGCCACCUAUACUUUCUAUACUAACUGCAAGUAAACGCACCGUCUAUCUAAACUCACCCUAAGUCGUAUAUGAAAACGAAAAUCCUUUUUAACAUUGUUUUAUAAGACUCAAAUGGAGUUUUAUUACUUCAAACAAACCAAAUAUUAGUUGAAGGUUAGUUCAUUUUUUUAAUCUUCAACCGUUUGGUAUUUAGAAGUCAUAACAAUCUAAUUAAAUUUAAAGUUAAUUUAGGUCUUUAUCUUUAAAAUUCAAGAAUAAUGUAAAUUAUAAAUAUAAUAGUCAUAAAUAUUUUUCAAAUCGAAUUUGACAUUUUUAUAAAUUUCAGAUAUAUAUUUUAUUUAGUCUAAAUCAUGAAAAACAUAUUAUUUAUUUGAAUUUAUUAAAAUAAAAGUGAUCCAUGCAAAGCUUCCAUCAUUCUAGUGAAGUGACUAAAGAUCCAAAGAGAUACAUACACACAUGCCAUGUGCAUAUCAUUUGUCAAAGUCGCCGUCAGGCGACCCUUCCUAUACCCACGCUCACGCCCACGCCCACGCGCCUUCUUGCUUUUUCCUACCUCCUUUUAAUGGAUAAAAUCCCAUUUAGCUGUCAUUUCCCAUCUCUCAAAACAUUUAAAGAAACUUCGCUUCGUUACGGCAGCUCCCGUCUCAACGCGCCUCCCUUACCAUUCCACGCGCCACCUAUCUUCGUUUUCAUUUUCCUUCUCUUUCAUUUUCCUUCUAUCUUAAAUGAAAUGAGAAAGAUCUGAAGGAGAUUGGAAGUUGGUGAUUGAGAUUUGAGGUUUCUGAGGAGAGUGACUUAUUUUGGUAAUUUUAAUGAAGGAUGAACAACGUCUGGUGCUAAGAAGAAGAUGGGAGGAGUAACGUCUUCGAUUGCCGCGAAAUUUGCGUUCUUCCCGCCAAAUCCGCCGUCAUACAGAGUGCUAGAGGACGAGUUAUGCGCUGGUCAGCUUUACAUACCAGAGGUACCGAGGAGGGACGGUGUCGACGUCUUGAAGCUACGCACGCGCCGCGGGAACGACAUCGUCGCCGUCCAUAUAAAACACCCCAAGGCUUCCGCUACUCUCUUGUAUUCUCAUGGAAAUGCCGCUGAUUUAGGACAAAUGUUUGAGCUUUUCGUCGAGUUGUGUAAUCGCCUGCGGGUUAAUCUUAUGGGGUAUUUUUAUUUUCUUUCAUAAUUUUUGCAACAUAUAGAACAUGAUAUUUUAAGUCGGCUUCUUAGGCUUUUACUGUUUUAAUUGUAUUAGAUUUCUUUUAGCUUAGUAAAGUAGUUCGUUUGGGGUUUGGUCUGAUUUGCUUGUGAUUUUGGGGGAUUUAGGGUUCUAUAAGUGUUGGAAAAUUCUGGUGAAGUGGAACUUGCUUGCCUUAUGUUCAGCUGUAUUAUUGAGGUUGAAGCUAGUUAUGGGAAGAACAGAGAUUCUGGUUACCAGUAAGUGAAAGUUAUGCUGAUUAUGGUAUAUUGUAAGAUUGAGCUAAUGGUUUUACUUUAAUUGGCUUCAUUUGUGCAGUACUAGAGAGAGAGAAUAAAAAAAAUAUAGGAGAAAGAGAGACUUGGACAAAGAGUUACUGGUGAAGGCGAUGUUGUUGAUUUAAAGUUUCUUAGGGGUGACCGGUUAUUUGUUAUCCUUUCCUUCUAUUGUUUCUUCAAUGUGCGGACUUUUGCAAUAUUAUUGAGCAUGGAUACUGCUCAAACGUGAUUUAAAUACUUUGGGAUAUUUUUUUUUUCUGUUUACUGAUCGUGGACUGAAGGCAAUGUUGAAGAAGAUGGUUUAUGGCAGGGUCAUAUUAGUUACGGUUACUUGCUUGUUAUUGAGGAGCUUUAUGUUAUUGGUUAUACAUUUUUGCAAAUAGUGCUUCGAUGCUAAUGCCAAAGCCCUAAGGACAUUGGCAUGCAGGCAAUGUUGUUAAAGAAAAAAGAAAAACUGUAGGCACAUGAUUAGAAUGUGCGAGAAGUGUGUAGUCCUUUAACUGGAUGUUCUGUUUCUAUAGAAUAUAGGCCACACCUUCAUAAUAGCCCUAUGUUACUAUUGAGGCAUUAUGACUAACUGAAGAGACAUUUUUCAAGUUUUGAAUAUUCUAGCUUUUAUUUUAUGCUUCAGAAUACUAUUAGGGACGCUUAAUUUUACUGUGUCCUAUUGUAGACUGUGGAACAAUGCAAUCUUGACUUCCUUUGAUUAUUAGGUUCUAUUAUGUUGCUGCAUUAUUUUCCUAUAAAUUCCCAUGUUUAUGAAUUAUCUGCUUCUGUUCCUUCCUUCUCUGCCAUUACCACAUCCAGAACUUUUAUUCUAUAUUUACCAUCAAUCCUUGAAGUUGAUGGGAUCUUCUCAUUGUUGCUUAUCUAUGUUCAUUUGGAAAAGCUAGAUAUUUAGUAACUCGGACUGCAGUAUGAGUAUGAUGAGCAUAGUGUUUGUCAUGCCAGUGGACAAAAAUGUAAAUGGAGGUAGGUUUGUUUGUGUAAUUAUGUGGUCACAUGUAAGUUUUUAUUACGACUUAAAGAUAUACUACAGAAGUUAUUGAUGACAUAUAACUGGGAUAAAGUGCUAAAAGAGAAGGAAACAUUAUCUUUUUAAGGUCAAAUUUAGGAUCCCAUGCAACUAGCUCAAGCCAUACUGUCUGUACAGUUGAUUGGUCAGGGUGCAAAAUUGGGAUCAAGUGAAAGAAAAGAGAAGGAAACAUUCUCCUUUUUAAGGUCAAAUUUCUUGUUUGUAUAGUUGAUUGGUCAGAGUAUUACUCCUUGCUGUUUGGGCGGACUGCAAAGUUGUAGCGACUAAAUUAUUAUCACCUAACCUCCAAAGUGAUGACUGAUAAUUAUUGAUAAUGUUAUUUCAGUUAUGUUAGAUUAUGUUAUGCAAAUGUAGGAACAAUGCAAAUAAUAAUAUUUCCUAGCUUUUCUUACUGACUUAAUAAUCAACCACUUCUGUAGGGAAUUUCUUUUAGGCCCUGUUUCUACUUCUAGAAAAUGAUUUAUAAGAAGUUUUUCAGCGGUAGUUUAGUGUUUUAGGGCUGUAAUUGCUGUACUGUCAAGUUGGAUCUUUGUAUGUUGCCUUAUGGUAACUAUUAACUCUUUCAAAUUUCUUGUGACUUAUGCUGAUAUGCGUUCUCUUGUUCUUGUAAAUAACAAAUGUUGGCAGCUUGGAAAUGAUUGUCUUCUGUCUGUUGUCAAACUUCUGAUGUUUGUUGUAGGUGCUCUCCAUAACUAUGUAAACAGCCAGGAAGGUUUUAAAAAAUAAAAAGCAAGCUUAAUGCUUCCUUGUAGAUGAAAUUUUUCCAAGAGAAAACUAGAAAAGUUUGCUUUCAAAGUAGGCACUGACUUUGAAUUAUCUAUUGAACUUAAAUAACUGAGCACAUUAUUCUCCUGUGGAGACUUUUGUAGAAGAAACUGAUCAAGGGAGUCUUCAAUCCUUAGAUGUAUAGCGCAUUGCAAAGUUUUGUGAAUUAUAAUGCAAAAAGGAACUUUUAGAUAUAUCUUAUCCUAUAAAUUAUUCUUGGGAUAGUUUUUAGACAUGACAUGAUUGUACAGAUAAUUAGAGUUCCUGAAAAGAAAAUGUUUUAUCAUCUUUGUGCUUGAUAGGUCUAUUUUAGUCUAGCCAUUUAUCAUAUAUAUAUAUACAUUUGUUUUCUGUUCCUAAUGUCACUCAUUCUUUUCUAGGUAUGAUUAUUCUGGCUAUGGACAAUCAAUUGGAAAGGUAGGUCUCUUUGCUUCUCUUCUCUAGUUGCCAAUUUCGGGAGCAAAAGUUGCCUUUAUUCAUAUUAGCUGUAGCAAUUCAACUAUCAUAAUGGGCAUUUUAAAUAAUUACACAGUUAUCUUUUGGCCAAUCCUUUCCUCCUUUUCUGCUAAUAGAACAGUGUUCAUUUUACUGCAAUAGUUUUGCUGAGUGUAAUAAGCCUGUUGGGCAGCUUUUCUUUAUUAUAUAAUAUCUAAAUGUAUUGGUUGAUAGAAAUGUUUUCAGGUUUCUAUUUUUAACCCUUAAUUUUGAUAUCUUACACACUAGUUAAAUUCUUGCUAGUACUGUGGGGCUCUCUCAUUAAUUGGCUAUGUUCAAUGUGUAUCAAGAUUUGAGCAGCCAUGUCGUUCUGAUUUAUUGUACAUAAUGAACGAACAUCUUACUGCUUGCUAAAAACUUGUAUUCUAAUAGUCACCUUCUUUUAUUUGAAACAGCCAACAGAGUGUAAUACAUAUGCAGACAUAGAUGCAGCUUAUAAGUGCCUUAAGGAAGAGUAUGGAGUUAAAGAUGAACAGUUAAUAUUGUAUGGUCAGUCAGUUGGUAGUGGACCUACUGUUGAUCUUGCUUCUCGUUUGCCGAACUUGAGAGGCGUUGUUCUUCAUAGCCCAAUUUUGUCUGGCAUGAGAGUAUUGUACCCUGUCAAAAGGACAUACUGGUUUGACAUUUAUAAGGUAAGUCUGCAUUUUUCACUGUUUUUAUAUUUUCUUGUUUUGUCUUGUUGACCUUCAUUACCAGAUUUUUUCCCAUUCUAAUUUUCAGAAUAUUGACAAAAUUGGAGCAGUGAACUGUCAGGUUUUGGUAAUUCAUGUAAGUAUUACUUCCAUUGUUUCCUCUCCAUCUUGUUUCAUCACCAUUAUCUCCCUUCUCUUUCUCUAGCCUCUGUUUAUUUGACACGUUAAUAUUUGUUAUAUGGUUCUGGUAAUUAAUUAUUUCAGCCGUUUUUGGCAUUUUUUAAACAAAAGAACCUAUUUGGUUUCAAGAAAAUUCAAUCUUGACAAAAGCAUCCCGGGUCAUUUAUCAAUCAAAAUACUUGCUCUAAAUGAAUAUUCAUACACCUUCAAGUGCUUUAGCUUAAUCAGUCUAGAUUGUUAUAUUGUUCUGGCUAUAAAUAGAUUACUGAGAUUCUGAUGCUAAAUUAAUGAACUUAACAGCAUUUUCUGCUAGUACCAAUUUCAUUUUAGAGUUUCUAAUGAAUUAAUUUAUCUUUUAGCACUUCGUAUUGUGCCAUGCAUUUAGGUUUCAAGAAUUUAAGACUAUGAAGAAAGAGAGUGAAUGUGUGUGUGUGACUGGAGAGAAACAGAUAAAUUUGAGCCUUUUUGGGUCUUUGAACCCAGCACUAGAGCUGUUCGAUAUUGUUCUCGUUUUUCCUGUACAUUAUCAAUUUAGGGUGAGUAGUGACCAUGGUUAGCUUUGAGCCUUUGACAAGUUAGGUCAUCUACAUGUCAUGGUCCAGCAUACAGGUCGUGACAUCCAAGGAAAGCUUGUACGAGUUUCCUUUUUUUAUUUUUAAUUCAUUUUCUGUUGGCAGGGGACAGCUGAUGAAGUGGUUGAUUGUUCCCAUGGUAAACAGCUUUGGGAGCUUUGCAAGAAUAAGUACGACCCUUUAUGGGUAAACGGAGGAGGACAUUGCAAUCUGGAGCUCUACCCAGAAUUCAUUAGACAUUUGAAGAAAUUUGUACUGUCUCUACAUAAAUCAAAAGCAGCCACAAAUGGUUCUGAAAAAAUAGCGGUGAACUCUGACAAUCAGACAAAACCACCUGAUGGUGGAACUUCGGAUACUUUUAAACUGGAUGCUGACCUUCCAGAAGUUUCUAGAAACAGCUUAGAUAGUCGACUGGAGAAGUCUAAGAAGUCAAAUAAGCCUGAGAAGUCUCGAAUGAGCACAGACCGUGUUGAUAGGUUUAGACGAAAAAAGGGCUUAGUUUGGUGAUUACUUACACAAAGAACAUGUUAAAAAUAAAAAAAGCAUGCAGAUGUAUCGUGUUUGAGGUAAUUUACUUUCCUUUUUUAACCUUGAGCUUUUGUAAUGUUUUGAGAAUGAGUGUGUGAUGAUUCUCAUAAAAUGUUAUAAUUUUUCUGUAUGUAUCUUUCAGAUCAAACAAAGUGGAAUUCAAGUUUUAAAAAAUCUUCCAUUAUCAAUCCAUAUCUGUGAAAUCAAACAGUCCGAAUCUAAAUGAAAAUAUACUGGUUUUGGGCUAUGUAUUCGUGUGCUUCUUUUUCGUAUUGGCAGAACUUUACUGUGUUGAAAUUUUAGACACCAACAUGAUGAUCGUUGUGUGUAUUUUAUAUUAUCUUCUUUUCAUAAUUUGGACAUGGUAUGAGGUAUCGGUGGUUAUCGGUUGCACUGGAGCUUAAAUAGUUAGUGAAACCUUUUAGGUGCAGUCGCAUUGCUAUGUUUAAUGUUUGUGCGUGAGAAUUAAAGUUUUUAGAAUUGGAUUAAUGGUUGAAUCGGUUAGGUUAUCAAUUUGAUUGGUCUGAUUAAUUCGUAUAGUCUAAUUAAAAAAUUGUUUAAAAAAUAAAAAAAUCGAUUCAAUUGAUUUGUAUUAAUUCACAGUUCAAUCAAUCUUAUGCAUCUCUUUAGAUUGAUUCUCAAUUUCUGGUCAAACCAAUUGAUCUGAUCUAACAACCAUGAUGAGAAUAGAAAAAUAUAUACUCAAAAGGAUAAGAUGAAAUCCAAAGAAACCUUGGUAAAAUUAAUGUUAUGACUAAAUAAUAAUAAAAUAAAAUAGCCAAUUGUUGAAGGAUAACUCCACCUAAAAAAGUUUGAAAUGUUUUGUCUCUCGGAAGUCGACGAAUCCCUCAACGAAUUGAUAUUGUCCUUGGUAUAGGUUUUGUUUCUCGAUUUUUCUUAGAGCUCAAGUUCCUCAAGAGACGGUGGUGGAUUCAUAGAGUGAUAGUGCCUUGUUAGGUGUUUGAUAAUGCGCUUUUUUAUUUUUUUGUUGAGGGGAGAUCGAUUUUGUCGAAAGCAGUUUGCAAAGUGUAAUCUACCUAGCCCAAGUGGUAGUUUUUUUACCCAAUACUUUCUAUAUGUUAAUGCAUGUGCUUAAAUCUCACUAAACACAAAUAUGUUCCUUGAUGGGUAAUCAUGCAAACACACAUAGUUCGCUUUCUCAAGCAUCCGAUGAAGUGCUUACACUUCGUAGGCUUUUCUCGAACGAGUCACUACUAAGUAAAAGUGUUUAUGAAUUAGGUCAAGCCCAAACUUGAUUUCAUAAAUUUUCAAAGUUCAAGCUUGUCUUGAUCCGCCCAAAUGGCCUAUUCAUUCAUAAAAGAAAAAAGAAAAAAGAAAAACAAUAAAACAACAUUUGGGAAUGAUAGAUCAUACUUGUUUGAAGUUUGAAGGUAUAACAAGAGAGAUGAUUAAUACGAACAUUAAAAAAAUAUCAUAAUCAACCACAAACUAGAAUUUUUACUUUCAAAAUGAUCAUUUCAUUUAAAGUGACAUAGCGCAUGAUUGAUUAUACUUGUUUACGAAUAAAUAAUAGAUAAUGUAAGCUCAAAGCAAUCAUAUUUUAAUAUUGUAUCUGGUUAAAAGUAAUUAUUAAACCACUAAUCAAAGAAAAAGAGAGUGUUGGACAUCAGAUAUGAUCGUCUAAGGGUGAGUUUGGAUGGAUGAUUGGAUGCGGUGUGGUGCGGUGAGUUUAGCUUACUUUUUGUCUCACGCUACAAUAUUGCUACAGUAUCUAAUCUCACCGUCACCGCUGUUUUUACACUAACCGCAGAUAAACGCACCGCCCAUCCAAACUCACCCUAAUUCUAAGAAGUCCAAGUGAGUUCAUUAGUAGUGGUUUUUGUCCAUCUCCAGGUCAAGAUUGGAUCCUAGAUUUUAAGGUGUUUACUCAACUUUGCCACUGUUACUCUGUUUUAUGACUGCCCAUUUUCCAUCUCAUCCAGUCUUGGACACUUCCCUUGCAAGUAAUAGAAAAUAAUAUCAAAUCCAGAGUGAUGUUCAGCAAUUGUGAAUGUUCCCAUUCUUAAAAAUUCCUUGGAAAGACAUACCAAUCACGCCUUUGAUUUGAAAAGAGCCUUGGAAACAGGAUUCGUGGUGCAAUGGAAGGAGGAUUCAAAUGCAUGUGGGAACUGCAUUGCUUCCGGUGGAGCCCGCGGUUUCAUGGAACAGCAAACAUUCUGCUACUGCCCAUUUGGAUUUGAGAGUUGGUCGGAAGAUCCCAACCAAUGCCAUCGCGUUGGUACCGGAAACAAUAAUCUCUCAGGUAUGCAUAUACUACCCCUUUGACCAACUAAACAAGUUUCUCUAUUAUUUUUAUGCUUUAAUAUUUAAUACGUGUAUAAGUAUUAUGUGCUAUCAUUGAACUACAUUAAAUCUCCUCACAAUAAGUAAAAUAAUAAAAUAUUUGAGGACUUAUAAAUAAAUAUUGAUAAAUUUAUUGAAUUAUAAUUUUUAUUUUCUUAGCUUCUUUCCAUUGGUAAAAUUUUUCCAAAUUGGGUUUUGUUUUUUUGUGUUAUUAUUAUUAUUUGUAAUUAUUUCAUUGAUUUUUGAUCACUAAAUAAUUAUUGAGAGAUCUAAAUUUGUCAAUAAUGUUAAUGAAGAUAAAAGGUAAAGAAUUGACUAUGGAGAUAUAUUGUUAUCGAGAUCUAAAUAUCCAUGAAAGUAUUCAUCACCUAUGGAAGUAUUGUUGUCAACAAUAUCUUUUUAUUACGUAAUUGUUAAAUUUGUUGAGUUGUUAGUUCUCUAUGAUGAGUUGUUAGUAGAGGUGCUCAUGGGCCAGGCCGGGUCGGGUUCGGGCUGGGCCCAUAAAAACUUACGGCCUGAGUCCUAGGUCCGGGCCCGGCUCGGCCCGAAAUAUGGGCCUGAAAUUUUGCCCAAGCCUGGCCCAUGAAAAAAACCAUAAGCCUGGGCCUGGCCCAUUUUUUUAAUAAAUACCAAAAAAUUAUUUUAAAAAUUAAAAAAAGUAUUUUAAAAAUAUUUUAAAAUUAAAAAAAAUUUUAAAAAAAAAGUAUUUUAAAAAUAUUUUAAAAUUAAAAAAAGUAUUUUAAAAAUAUUUUAAAAUUAAAAAAUAAAUAUAUUUAUUAUAUCGGGCCGGGCCGUGCCUGGGCCAAAAAAGUUGUGCCCGAGGCUCGGCCCGUUUUCUAAACGGGCCUCGUUUUUUUGCCCAAGCCCAUAUUUCGGGCCUAUAUUUUUACUGAAACCCUCCCAUAUUUUGGGCGGGCCAUCGGGCCGGGCCGGGCCACCCGGUCCAUGAGCACCUCUAGUUGUUAGUACUCCCCCUCUCUCCCUUACAGUAAUCAUUAAAUUUAUACUGUUAAAUUUCAAAAUACUUAAUGGAGCAAAAAAGAUUGUCAAAAUAAUUCUAAAUCAAGCCAAGAAAAAUCCUAUACCUCAGUUUAUAUAUACGAGACGGAGAAGAGAAAAAAAUCAACAAAAUAAUUCUAUUUGUUAGAUGAAUAAAAAUCAAUGAAAUGUUAUAAAACAAUCAAAUAAAAGAACACUUAAAGUAAACAUAGAAUUUUCUCAUAUCUUCUUUUCAUUUAUAAAAGAACUAUAUAUAAGCUAUUGGCAUUCAAUGCAACAUAAAUGAAUGAAGCUUAUUUAAUUGCUUCAUUAACACGUACAUUAAGCAUCUUUAAUAAUGAAUGGGGGGUUUAACUCAUUACUUUUAUAAAUGUUUAAAGGUUAUAGACAUCCAUUUAAUGUAUUUACAAUACUUCCCCUUGGAUGUCUUUUAAAUAAAAAUGUGUCUCAUUAAAACAUUUAUUAGGAAAACCCUGUGGGGUAAAAGCCUAAUGAAGGAGAGUAUACAAUCUCCUAUUACAAGUUGCCUCGUUAAAAACCUUUACCAAGAAAAUCCAGUGAGACAAAAUCUUAGUUAAAGGAAAAGAGUACAAUGUGUUUUUUACUCUCCCUUAUUGCAAUAUCACAUUACAUCUUUCAGUUGACGCAUUCCAAUCUUGUGUAGUAUUCUUUCAAAUGUUGAAGUUGGCAAUGCCUUAGUAAAAAGAUCUGCUAAAUUAUCACUAGAACGAAGAUGUUGAACUUCUAUAUCACUUUUCUUCUCAAGAUUAUGAGUGAAGAAUAAUUUUGGUGAAAUAUGUUUCGUUCUGUCACCUUUGAUAUAACCACCCUUUAAUUGGGCUGUACAUGUUGUAUUAUCUUUGUAUAAGAUAGUUGACAUAUUUUCUUGUAAAGACAAAUUACAUAUCUUCUAGAUAUGUUAGGUUAAUAACCUUAGCCAAACACACUCUCGGCUUGCCUCAUGCAUUGCAAUUAUUUUAGCAUGAUUUGAAGAGGCUGUAGCUAAUGUCUACUUUGUCGAAUGCCAUGGUAUGGCAGUCCCUCUACAUGUAAAUAAAUAUCUCGUUUGAGAUCGACCUUUAUGCGGAUCCGAUAAAUAUCCAGCAUCAACAUAAACAACUAAUAGAGAUUUUUAAUCAUUUGAAUAAAACAACCCCAUAUCAAUGGCCUCUCUGAGAUAUCUAAAUACAUGUUUAAUUCCAUUCCAAUGUCUACGUGUUGGAGAAGAACUAAAUCUUGCUAAUAAGUUUACAGCAAAAGCUAUAUCAGGUCCUAUGUUGUUUGCAAGAUACAUCAAUGCUCCUUUGGCACUUAGAUAUGGUAUUUCAGGACCAAGAAACUCUUCAUCAUUCUCAUAAGGACGAAAUUGAUCUUUAUUCACUUCUAACGAUUGUACAACCAUCGCGGUACUCAAUAGAUGUGCUUUAUCCAUAUAAAAUUUCUUUAAGAUUUUUUUCGUAUAAGUUGACUGAUGGACAUGAAUUCCAUCUUUUAAAUGCUCGAUCUGCAGGCCAAGACAAAACUUUGUUUUUCUAAGAUCUUUCAUCUCAAAUUCUUUCUUUAAAUAAUUUACUGCAUUUUGAAGUUCUUCAGGAGUUCCAAUAAUAUUUAGAUCAUCAACAUAAAUAGUAAUUAUCACAAAGUUUGAUCCAUACAUUUUUAUAAAAACACAAGGGCAGGUUGAAUUGUUUUUAUAACCUUCUUUUAACAAAUAUUCACUAAGACGAUUGUACCACAUACAUCCAGAUUGUUUUAAUCCAUAUAAACUUUUCUUUAAUCUGAUUGAGCAAUUUUCCUAGGAAACUCUAUAUCCUUCAGGGAUUUUAAAUCCUUCUGGGAUUUUCAUAUAAAUUUCACUAUCAAGUGUACCAACAAAUAGGCCGUAACAACAUCCAUUAGAUGCAUGUCAAGUUUUUCACAUACUACUAGACUAAUAACGUAUCUAAAUGUAAUUGCAUCCACCACAGGAGAAUAUGUCUCUUCAUAAUUAAUGUCGGGCCUUUGCGAAAAUCCUUGUGCUACAAGUCGUGCUUUAUAUGUUACGAAUUCAUUUUCUCAUUUCGUUUUCGCACAAAUAUCCAUUUCCAUCCUAUUGGCUUUACAUAUUUAGGUGUUCGGACUAUAGGUCCAAAAACCUCAUGUUUAGAAAGUGAAUUUAAUUCUGCUUGAAUUGCGUCUUUCCAUUUUGGCUAAUAUUUUCUAUUUCUACAUUCCUUAAUAGAUUUAGGUUCAAGAUCCUCAUUUUCUUUUGCUAUUUCAAUAGCAAUAUUAUAAGCAAAAUUGUUGUCGACAACUACAUUUUUUCGGUUCUAUAUUUUUCCUGAAGUAAUAUAACUUAUUGAGAUUUCUUUGUUAUCACCAUUUUCAGGUACCUGAACCUCUUUUGGAGUUUUUUGAUUAGUUAUAUCUUUGGCCUCUUCUUGGGCACUUGCCUCCACAAUAUUACCAUAUUGAAUAAUUCCUCAUUUCUUUUUACGAGGAUUUUCAUCUUUGGAAUCGAUUGGCCUUCCACGCUUCACACAUGGAUUACUUUCUUUUGCACUAACAAUUUGCCCUAUUAGGAUAUCAAUUCGUAUUGGAGCAUUUUCAGCUGGUAUGUAAGAUUUUACAAUUCUCUUUAGGUUAGUAAAUGAAUCUGGCAGUUGAUUGGCAAUGUUUUGCAAAUGUAUGAUCCUUUAAACUUAAUGAUCACUAAACUAACUAUAAUUACGACAAAGACGAACACACCUAUCAAACAAUAGUAUAGCUAUGAGUAGGGAAUAUCGUAUCCACGAGGACUAAAAGUACUAGUAAUUACCAUUUUUCUAUUCUUCAUCCAAUAAAUUGAGAUGAUUGUUUUUAAUCUAAAAUUACUAAACUAAUUUAUCUAAGAACGCAAUAGAGAAUGAAAUAGGAAAAUAAUCGAAUAAUAGUCAAAGAGAUAGACAAUACCUAGGAAAAAAUCCACCUAGACUUCACAUAUUAUUAUGAAUCUAAAUUAAACAAUUUAUUCACUAGUGUCUUAAUCCGUAGAAAUCCCUAAAUUAUGUUAAUAUCUCUUUCGAGAGUAAGAACAACUGACUCUAGGUUGAUUAAUUCAAAUCUCUUUCUAAUUAAAACCAUUAUCGUCGCAUUAACUCGAUUUAUGGAUUCCCCUAUUAGAUUUGACUCUAAUCCGGUAGAUUUAUGUCGUCCUAUUUCUAAGAUUGCAUGCAACUCCACUCAAUUAUGCUAGAUCCACUAUUAAACAAUGACUUUUGCUUCACUGAAAUAGUCACAUUAAACAUGAAUUAAUAUCCCAAAAAUAUUAAAACAUGAAAUAAGCAUACAUAAUUGAGAACAAAAAUCAAGUAUUUAUCACGUAAAAAUAGAAAUUAAAUAAGAAGAUUCAUCAUAGGCUUCAUCCUCUCUAGAUAUCUAUGAAAUUUAGUUCAUAAUUCUGAAUAGAAAUAUCUCAAAGUUAGGAUAACCACAAGACUUAAAGAAACUCAAUAAAACUUUGAAAGAAAUUAAAUGGAGAUCUUCAAUCUUGAGUGAGAUCCGCUUCCGAGUUGAUUCUGAUGGCGUUCUUUGAGUCUUUUCUUCGAUCUUCUCUGAUUUCCCCAUUUUCUAUUCUUCUAAUUGGUAUUUAUAGUCUUUAGAAUGCUAAAAAAGCUUAAAAAUUGGGUUUUUCUACGUAUUUAAGAAGUAGAGUGCCAAAUCGACAUGAGCUGGCACAUGUGCAUGUGGCCAGCCCGUGUGAAAAUGCCCAGGCCAUGUGGAUCCUUAAAAUAGCUCUAUUUGUCUGAUUUUGGCUCAUUUUUUCUCUCAUUUCACUCCCAAAUGCUUUCCGAAGUAUAUAAAUAUGAAUUUAAAAUAUUAGGAGCAUCAAAUUCACUAAUUUGCAUAAUUAAUCAUCCAAAAAUGCAUUAAGAAUGAGAUUAAAAAAUGUUACUUUUAUAGCUUAUCAGAACUUCUUGUUCACAUUGACUUGUGCGAGGAUCUACUUGAGAUAACGAUGAUCAAUUCCAUGUAAUUUCUUUUACCAGUUGUAUUUUCUCUCCCCUUAAUGUUGGGAAUGUUGUUUCAUCAAAAUGACAAUCAAUAAAUCGUGCAGUAAAUAAAUCUUUAGUUAAUGGUUCAACAUAUUUAAUUAUAGAAGGAGAUUCAUAACCAACAUAUAUUCUUAACCUUCUUUGAGGACCCAUCUUUGUAUGCUGUGGUAGAGUAAUUGGAACAUAUAUUGCACAUCCAAAAAUUCUAAGAUGGGAAAUAUUUGGCUCUUGACCAAAAACGAAUUGUAAUGGGGAGUACUUAUUAUAACUUGUUGGCCUUAAUCGCACAAGUGCCACUGCAUGCAAAAUAGCAUAUCCUCAAGCUAUAAUAAGGAGUUUUAUUCUCAUAAGCAAUGGUCGAGCUAUUAGUUGGAGGUGUUUGAUAAAUGAUUUAGCUAAACUGUUUGGCGUGUGAACAUGAGCUACAGAAUGUUCAACUUUAUCCCAAUUGACGCAUAAUAAUCAUUAAAAGCUUGGGAUGUAAACUCACCAGCAUUAUCAAGACGAAUAGUUUUGAUUGCAUUAUCUGGAAAUUGUGCUCUUAAUCGAAUUAUUUGAGCAAGUAGUCUCGCAAAUACCAAGUUGCAAGUUGAUAAUAAACACACAUGUGACCACCUACUAGAUGCAUAUAUUAAUACCAUAAAAUAUAUAAGUGGUCCACAUGGUGGAUGAAUGGGCCCACAUAUAUCACCUUGAAUACGUUCUAGAAAUGCGGGAGAUUUAAUCCCAACUUUAGCUGGUGAUGGUCUAAUAAUCAAUUUUCCUUGAGAAUAAGCAACACAAGAUAGAUUCUUUAAUUCAAGAAUCUUUUGGUUUUUUGAUGGGUGCCCAAUUGAAUUCUCGAUGAUUCUUAGCAUCAUAAUAGAUCCGGGAUGACCUAAUUGGUCAUGCCAAAUAGUAAAAGAUGUGGUUCUACAAACUUCUGGCUUGUAGUAACAUGUGACUCAAUUGCACUAAUAUGUGUAUUGUCGAAACCUUUUUGGAAAUCAAAUUUUUAUUUUAAAACGAAGACGGAUUCACCACCAAUCCUUUUUAAUUAGGUGUGAUCGGAUCACCUUGAAACUUAAUCAUUUUAAUAAAAAAGUUAAAUUUACUAAAACAAUAAUUUUCGGUCUACAAAAUCCAAGAAGUGGGUUCGGGAGUCAGUUAUGUAUGAGAAAGGAUUAUCUCCCUCAUAACGCCCAAAAUUGGUACCUAGUUGAUUACUUGAUGUCUUAGCGUCGAAAAUUGAAAAUUUGAAGAGAAUUUAAAAUACGAUCCUCUGUUACAUGAUGUUAUUUGAUGGCAUUUAAAAUAUCACUAUCUAAAUUAAAUUUUAUGGAAAAGGCCUUCAUAUUUUGAGUUAAUUAGGAAGAAAAUCGUGCCUCAUAAGUUAGGGCACGAUGUUUCAAAUCCUAAAAAAUAAGAAUAAUCGCCAUUUAAUUAUUACCUAAGUCCUAUGUGCCUUGAAUUUUAAAAGAAUGUUCGAUUAUUUUGGUUCAAGGAGAAAGCCGUACCCCAUAAGUUAGGGUACGAUUUCUCGAAUCCCCUAAUUAAAGAACAUCAUCUCGGUUCUAAUUAUUUCUUAUGCGUCGGGUAAAAGCUAAUAUAACAUUUAAUGCAAUAUGUGAUUAAUUUAUUCGAGUCUAGGUACAAAAAUGAACGAGUAUUUAAACGUGUUGUAUAAUAUAGUAGUGGCAAAGAUAGAAUAAAAUAGCUUACGUGGGUAAAAAAUGAUAAUAAAAUCAUAAAAAAGUAGCAGUGGGAAUAAAUUUUAGUCGAUCAAUAAUACUACUUAAUAAUGGUAAUAAUAGUAAAAUAAUACGAGGAAGUAUGAUAAUGCUAUGAUCACGAUUGGGAUAAUAUUAGCAAUGACACAAUGUUAAAUAUAAAACAGUAAUUAGCAAUAAUAAUCAUUUAACAAUAAUAUCAACAUUUAAAAAUAAGAAAAAAACUAAAAUGAAAUGAUUAAGAAACUUGAGGAAUAAACCUUUAAAUUACGUAAUUUAAAGGGUAAAAAUAUAAAUAAGGAAAUUAAAAGUGCUGGAAAUUAAAUAAUAGAAAAUAAAGGGGUGGAAUUAAAUAAAUAAAAGACUAAAUUAAAAUUUAAACAAAAUUUAAACCAUGAAUUGCAAAAAAAAAAGAAAAAAGAAAAGGGGAAUAAAGGGCUAAAUUGAAAAUAUAACAAAAUUUAACACCUAAAUUAUAAGAAAAUAGAAUGUAAAGGAUUAAAUUAAAAUGGAAUAGAAAAGUUUAGGGACUCAAAGGGCAAUUAAUCCAACCAAGUACACGUGUCACUCCCUAAAGGGUCAACAGUCUGAAGACCAAACUGGAAACAAAUCAAAAUUAAAUGGUAUAAUUUUAAAAAGAAGAAAAAAAACGAAAUUAGGACCACAUCGAAAAAUGUCUAAAGGCCAAAGGACCUAGGAAGUAAUUUGACCCUUCUUUUGAAAACACGCGGAUCCAAGGGAUCCGGAUCGGGUCAUCGAGUUGAGCUUGAAACGACGUCGUUUUGGGUUUCUAAAGCUAAGCCCAAAACGACGCCGAUUUGAGAAGACUAUAUAAGUAAAAAAAAUGAUAAAAAAUUCAUUUUUGCAUCAGUUUUUUUAAAAAAACCACUUCCUUCCUUUCUUUUUUUUUUCCUCUCAAGCUCUUCUUGGUUUUUCUUUUUUUGUUUAGGUUUUGGGUUGGUGUAUUUGGGCUUUAGGGGUUUUUUUUAUUUGUUUGUUGUUUGGGCCGAACAAAAUUGGGCUGUUACAUGUAUAAUAUAAAUCUAAUAAAAAAGCAGGUAGCCUUUCCAAAACAUAUUUCUUUCCACAUUCAAUAUUUGUAAUAUAAAGAUAUUCAAUAUUUUUCUCAUUCAUAGUCUCAAUAUGAUAUCCCUUAAAACGAAUAUAUUUAAAACUCAAUAAAUUUCUUUGAGACUCAGUGGAAUAUAAAACAUCAUCAAUGACAAAUUUUGUACCUUUAGGAAAUAAUACAAUAGGUUUUCCAGAGCCUUCAAUAAGUUUUGAAUUACCUAAUAUUGUAUUCACAUGGGCAUUACUCAUUGUCAAAUGAGAAAAGUAUUUUUUUUUAUCUUUGAGUAUCGUAUUGUUGUAGCACUAUCUACAAGACACAUGUCUCCAUUGAUUUUGGGUCCACCGAAAUUUUGUUGAAUAUUCAUAUUCUUCAUAAAAACAAACAAAAAUAAUAUGAGAAACAUUACAAAUAUUUAUGAAAUAUAUAAAUUAUUCUUUAUGCAAGAAAAUAAAACAUACUUAAAACAACAUAAAAAUGUCAAAAUAACAUCAAUUUUUUCUAAUGAUUUUCAAAGAAAUCUGUCACAUCUAGGUGAGUUAUAUUAUUAAGGUCAUGAAAUUUAUCACCCUUGUAGGCAUGGUCAGUUUUAGUAUUAUAGUGAAUAUCUUCAUCUUUUUUCUCCAUUUCAUCAUUUUGGGAUAUAAAAUUUUUCUCUAUAUGCUUUCCCUUCUUUUUAAUGGAUGCUUGAUAAAGUUUCACUAAAUGCUUAGAUAUAUGACAAGUAUGUGACCAAUGCCCCUUCAUACCACAUUGGUAGCAUAUAUUCUAAACAAUCUUUAAAGGAUUAUUUUCACCACUUCUUUCUUGUCUUUCAUUGUUAUUAUUUUUCUGGUGGUUAGAAAUAUCAUUGUUAUGACCACCAUGAUAACGGUUACUAGUACGUCCUCGACCACGUCCCCCACUACGUCUACGACCACGACCACGACCUCUAUAUUUUCUAUUUUCAUAAUUUUGUGUAUUGUUACAUUCACUUUAGGGAAUGGUGCAGAACCAGUGGGACGAAUUCCAUUAUUUUUCAUCAACAGCUCAUUAUUUUCUUCAGCCACCACAAGGCAUGAAAUCAAGUCAGAAUACAUUUUAAAACCAUUUUCACGAUAUUGCUGCUGCAGGAGCACAUUAGUAACAUGAAAGGUUGAAAAUGUUUUCUCUAACAAGUCUUCAUCAGUUAUGUUUUCUCCACAUAAUUUUUUGUUGAGAACUAAUUUUGAAAAGUUCUGAAUUGUAUUCACUUACAGUCUUAAAAUCUUGCAACCGUAAGUGCAUCCAAUCAUAACGAGCUUUAGGGAGUAUCACCGUUUUCUGAUGGUCAAAUCGUUCUUUCAAAUUUUUCCACAACUCAAGAGGGUAUUUCACAGUGAGAUAUUACACUUUUAAUCCUUCAUGUAGAUGAUGACGGAUGAGAAUCAUUGCUUUUGCCUUGUCUUGAUUAGAUGCUUCUUUAUCUACUAAUAUAAUAUUUUCUAAACCUUUAGCAUCUAGGUGAAUUUUAGCAUCAAACACCCAUGACAAAUAAUUCUUGCCUGAGAUGUGUAAGGCCGCAAAUUCAAGUUUGGCAAGAUUUGACAUUAUAAUCACUUGAAUCAAAAAAAAAAAAUUAGUAAAAUAGUAAGCAUUCUCAAUAUAUAUACCAUAUUUGCUAAAUAAUAAUAUGUAUGUCAAAUAUUGGUAUAGAGAGGAAUAGUCAUAAUAAUAACUUAACACAAAUUAUAUUAAUUGAAAUUUCUUUUAAUAAAAAAAACUAUGUAUAGAUAAUUAUCAUUAUUAGAUUUGAGUUGUAAAAAUAAAUGUGCAAAUUUUAUCCAAAGCAAAUAUUUCAUCUAGAAAAUAAAAUAAAAUAAUUAUGAAAAUACAUAUACCAUAUAUAGUUUAACGAGAGUUAUACGGGCAAAUUAUAUAAAGUCGAAAUGACGUGAACUUUACUAUGAACUCGUAGAAGCUCGUGUUGAUAACGUCUUAUAAAACAAUCAAAUAAAAGAACACUUAAAAGUAAACAAAGAAUUUUCUCAUAUCUUCUUUUCAUUUAUAAAAGAGCUAUAUAUAACCCAUUGACAUUCAAUGCAACAUAAAUGAAUGAAGCUUAUUUAAUUGCUUCAUUAACAUGUACAUUAAGCAUCUUUAAUAAUGAAUGAGGGAUUUUAACUCAUUACUUUCAUAAAUGUUUAAAGAUUAUAGGCAUCCAUUUAAUGUAUUUACAGGAUGAAAUAAUUAUUUGAUAAUUAAAAAUUAAUGAAAGAAUUUUAAAUUGAACCCAAAAAAAUCUCAAAAGUCAAAACCUAAUUUAGGGAAGAAGUUUUGGUACUCAGAGAAAGAUUUGAAAUAGGUAAAACUUUUUGCAAAAGAAUUACAAAUAUAUAUAAUAAAAUAUUUGGUAAACUGCUAGUAGAAUUUUUAAACUCCAUAAAUAAGGUUAGGAGUUGAUAGUGUCCUAUAAAAAUAUAAUAAAUUAUUAAAAGGCAUAUAUAUUUUAAAAAAAGAAAUAUAUAUCAAUUUUUUAAUAAUUCUUGUGAAAUAAAAAAAUGCUAUUAAUGUAUCAAAACUCACCAUACUGUUAUAAAAUAAAGAGAGAUGGAGAGAAUAAAGAACAAAGAAAGUAUGAAAGCAAUAUAGAAUGUACUUUAUUGAUAAAAAAGGAUGAUUACAACGCUUCAUCAGAGUCUUUAUUUAUAGGUAUAAGAAGUAUAAAAGAAGUAGAGAUCUAAUUCUAAUAACUAUUAGAAUUUAAAGUACAUUAAAACUUUAUAUUGAUCAUGAUGAACAUCCACUUAAUAAGAUAUUCAUAACACUCCCCCCUUGGAUUUCCAUUGGUAGAUAAUGUGCCUCGUCAAAACCUUAUUAGAAAAAAACCUUAUGGGAUAAAAUCCUAAUGAAGGAAAAAGAGUAAAUAAUCUAUAAUACGCAUAAUAUGCUGCCUCAUUAAAAACCUUACUAGGAAAACCUAAUGGGACAAAACCUCGAUUAAUGGAAAAAGAGUGCAACGCAUAUGUACUCUCCUCAUGAAAACUGUAACACCCCUAACCCGUAUCCGUCGCCGAAUUAGGGUUAUGAGGCAUUAUUGGAAAUAACAAGAUAAAACAUAAUCAUGGAACACUCUUAAUCACUUAAUCAUGAAGUUACUUUUAUGACUUUGACAGACUUAACUAAUCACAAAUAGAUUCAAUUACAAAUCAUAAAUUACAAAUCAGCACUAUUAAAAUUUAUCAUUUAUUCGAUACUUAAUAGUCAACUUUAUUGACAUAUACUAAACCAUCAAAACAAUUAACGAUGCAAGUAUUAUCAUCACAAUCGAAUUCUAGUACUCAUGGCACAUUCGGACUUAUAUACCUUUCAUAUCAAUUUACAUUUCGGACUUAUAUACCUUUCAUAUCAAUUUACAUUUUAACUUAUUACCAAAUUCAUAUAUAGAUGUGCAAUUCAUUUGAGUCAAAUAAAUAAAUAAAUAAAAGCAAAACAUCCAGAUAUAAUAUGUUAUGUCAAAUAAACAUAUUUAUUCACAAAAUAAAUAAAAAAACUUAUCAAUUAACAACCACACCAUUACAUAUUCAUUCUAUUAUAACAAAUAAUUUGCCAUAACAUUUAAAUUUCUCAAAUAUAUGAGUCACAACCGAAUGCAUGUAGUAUUAAAACAAUAGAUAUGUCAUGCUUAAAUAGCCGACAAAUUUCAUGUAAUUUAUACACAUUUAAUCAAAAUCAUUUAACAUAUUCAAACCUAAUAUUUAUCAAUUCACGUAUAUAUAUUCAAAACAUUAUUUAACCAUUUAAUACAUAUCAUGUCCGAAAAUAUGAGUUCUUUACACGUAGACUUAUAACAACCUAUAAGGCCGAACAUACAUAGGUGUUUAAUCAUCCAUUAACUAAGAAAUAAUAUUCAAUUCAUGAACCUAUUUUUAAGCCAUAUAAGCUUAACCAAAGCAUCAUCUAAAUCCAAUAUGUCAAAAGCAAUAAUACUAAACUUUACCUAUCAAACAUAUUUGCCUUAGCCGAAUAUAUACAUUACCUAAACUUAAUUAACCAUGCACAUGAUAACAUAAGCAUAUACUCCAUAUUGCCCUUAAACUAUAUGCAUCAAAGCCAAAUUCAAACAAAAAGAGAUAAGCCAUUUUCACAUGGCUUUUAAUUAAACAUACACAUUGGUUCCAAAAUCAACAUUUUAACUAUGCUAUACAUGCCAUAUACUUGAAAAUAACUUAGCAAAGUACCCAAAGAAAAUGUCGAUAGUGUGAUAGGCUUGGCUGACGAUCCCCGAGUAGCGAUUUUAAAAUCUAUAAAACAAAGUAAACAAAUACAAACACACAAUAAGCUAAUUGGAACUUAGUAAGUCAUAAGCAUAAACACGUAUAAUAAUUAUGACUUGUAACAUUGAAUUAAUAAAGAUAAAAUUCACAUCAUUCACAGUAAAGAAUUAUCAUCUACUACUAUAUUAUACGUUGAUCACAUAUACAAAAUACAUGGCCGAAUAUGGUCUUUCAUAAACAUAUAUAAACUUUUACUCUUGUCAUCAUGCAUAAUGCUAUAAGCCAAAUCAAAUUUGUAUACAAUCAUGAUAUUUCACAGCUUAUAUUCACAUAUCUUAUAUAAUGUCAAGAAAUCAACUCACCUCGUUUUCAUAUAUAUAAUUAACUAACACAUACCUGAACAGGUAGUUCAAUUUCACAAUCAAUCUUUACUGAACAUUUCCCGUUGAACCGUUCGGAACUAAAAAGGAUACGCGGAUAUUGGAAAACUCGUACAACGCCAACGUCCCAGACGUGGUCUUACAUGUAAACAUAUAUCGAUGCCACUGUCCCAGAUAGGGUCUUACACGUAAACAAAAACUGAUGCCAACUCCCAGACGUGGUCUUUCACGAUAACACAUAUCAAAAAUCCUAUGUCAUGAAAUAUGUAUCCUAACUAUUUCCUAGGGUUCGUACGAGACUUCCGGAUACUAAAUCUCGAAUGAAUCGAACUUGGAAUUUAAUCUCCCAAUCAUAUAUGCAUUCGGCAAUACCAAAAAAAAAUCAUGAUAAUCUCAUUCAUAAUAUAGCAUAAAUAUAUAUCAUAAUUUAUCAACAUUUAUAUGCUUAUCGACUUACCUCGGAUGUUGUUAAUUAUUAAAUCAGCUACUCGACCACUUUUGUCUUUCCCCGAUCCAAAUUCGAUUUCUUUAAUUUUUGAUCUAAACAUAUUCAAAUUAAGCUUAUUUAAACACAAUUCUAUUCAAUUUAGCCUAAAAACACAUAAAUGGUCAAAUUACAAUUUUUCCCCUAACAUUUCACACUUUUUACAAUUUAGUCCUUUUUGCUCAAAACACAAAACACACAAAAUUUGACUACACUCCUUAAGGGCCGAAUAUUCCUAGUGUCCAUACAAGCCCACACAUUUCAUUUAUUUCACAUUUUAGCCCCUCAAAAAUUUAUUUUUAUAAUUUAACCCUAAUUACUCAAAUUCAUCAAAAAUUCAAAGACAAAACAUGUUAAUCUUUCACAUAUCUUUCAUAUUUCAUCAUCAACUAUCACAAAGCUCAAGCAUUCAUCAAUGACAUUUCUCAAAAUCAUCAACAAUUCACAAAAUUUAGACAUGGGUUUUGAAGUAUUCAAAACAACGAUCUCAAAAACGUAAAAAUUAUCAAAAACCGAACAAAAACUAACCUUAAAUUAAGCUUCAAAAUGGCCGAAUGUUUCAAGCUUUCAAACCUUGUUUUUCUUUUCUACAUUCGGUGAAGAAAGAUGAACAUAAAAUGGUGGUAUUUUUUAAUGUUUUGUUUUAUUAUAACAUAUAUUAUUAUAUUAUUAUUAUUUUAACUUUUAUUAUUAUUAUUAUUAUUAUAUAUAUAUAAAUCACAUAUCAUCAUUAUGCCAUCCAUUACCUAUUAUUAUUGGCUAAAUUACAACAUAAGACCUCAAACUUAUAAAGACAACAACAAUUAGGCACUUUCUUAAUUAACCAUCAAAUUUUUAUUUUACGAGAUUAAGCCUCUUUUUUUUCAAAUUAAGCACACAAACAAUAAAAUUAAUUCACGAAACUUUCACACAUGUAAAUUCACACAUAAUUAACACAGAAAAUAAUAUUAAAAUAUUUUUUCAACUCGGAUUUGUGGUCCCGAAACCACUGUUCUGAUUAGGGUUAAAAUCGGGCUGUUACAAAAACAUCACAUAUUUUCUCAUAUUCUACGUAUUCAAUCUUAAAUACUAGUUUUUCAAAUGACUAUUUUAAUGUAAUUGAUAAGUAUUUAUAUUACCAUUCUUUUAAAAGUCACGGGUUAGGGAAAUUUGGGGGAAAUAUAUUUUGAUCUAUUCAAGAGAUUCAACAAUAACCAUAACAAACUUUAAUAAUGAUUCUUUAAUAAAAAACACAAAUAGGUAUUUUGGAUCAUUUUAUGAUCCUCCUUCAACUACUAUUCACUAAGUCAAAUUUACCACAUAUGUUCAAAUUAUUUCAAUUCAGAUAAAUGAACAAUUUCUCGAGAAUUUCAAUAUACUUCUAGCAUCCUAAAUCCUUUAAAGAUUUUAAUAUAAACUUUACUAUCUAGUGAUUCAUAAAAGGUUGUAAUAAUAACCAUUAGGCGCAAGUUAAAUAUUUUAUGAAUUGUCAACUUAAUAAUAUAUCUAAAGGUUAUUGCAUCUACCACAAAAUAAUAUUAUAGAUUUUCAUAAUCAAUGCCAGGACUUAGUGAAAACUUCAUAUUUUUAUCCCACUUUUACAAAACUACUUCAAUUGCACCCUCAUUGGCUUUAUACCUUUAGAUAUUUGGACUACUGGUCCAAAAACUCCACGAAUUUAAUUGUACUUGAGUUGCGUCUUUCUAUUUUGAUUAAUUUAUUCCAUAUUUAUAUUUCUCAAUAGAUUUAUUUAAGAUAUUCUUUUUAUUUCAUUAUUUCAAUAAUAAUAUUGCAUGCAAAACCAUUGUCGUCCACUUUUAUUAUUUGGUUCCACAUUUUCUCGAAUUGACAUAACUUAUCGAGAUUUCUUAUUUUCAUUUUUUUAAAAUUCAGUUUUAGGCAUCUGAAUCUCUUUUGAAGUUUUACUUAUUAGUUAUGUUUUGGGUUUCUUCUUGAGCACUCGCCUCAACUAUAUAACCAUCUAGAAGAAUUUUUAUCUUUGAAACCAAUCAAUUUAUUAUUUAUUCUAAUUGAUUGUCCUAUUGGGACUUUGAUUCAAAUUAAAAUAUUAGAUGGUAUAUAACAUUUGGUUAUUCUCAUUAAGUUUGUAAAUACAUCUAACAGUUAACUUGUAAUGAGUUGUCCUUAUUGAACUUCUGGUUCAAAUUACUCUCCCCCUAACUCAUUACCAGUUAUUAUUUCUCUCCCCCUAAUAUCGGGAAAACUAUCGAAUCAAAAUUGUAAUCACAAAUCAUGUCAUAAUUGAAUCUGGAAUACAUUCAAACAUCUAAUAAUAUAAAUAAACUUAUAAUUAAUAUAUAUUUUCAACUUUCUUUGAGGAUUCGCUCAUCUUUGUGCAUUGUGGUGGAGCAAAUGGAACAUAUACGCACAUAAAAGAAAUUCAAAGGUGAGAAAUAUUUAGCUCUUGAUUAAAAACCAAUUGGAAUAGGGGGUAUUUAUAACUUAUUGACUUGAUGUGUACAACACAUAAAUCAACAUAAUCUCAUGUUGAAAUAGGAAGUUUAGUUCUCAUAGGUAAUGGUUUUGACAUUAAUCAGAGAUGUUCAAUCAAUAAUUUCUCUAAACCAUUAUGCGUAAACUUUUACAAAAAUUUUUCAAACUCAAUCAAUAAAAGAUUGAGAUAUAAACUCAUCAGUAUUAGCAAGAGGAAUUGCCUUAAUUGCAUGAUUUAAUAUUAAUUAUUUAAACAAGUAAUCUUGCAAAUGACAGGUUGCAAAUUGAUAACACAUAUGUGAUUAUUUUGUAGAUGCAUCUACCAAAAUCAUAUAAUAUCAAAACCAUCCACAUGGUGGAUGAAUGGGCCCAUAUUCGUUUCAGAAAUGCAAGACAUUAAAUCUCAACUUUAGCUAUUGAGUUUCUAAUAAUCAAUUUUCAUUGAGAACAAGCAACAUAUGAUAAUUCAUUGAGAACAAGCAACAUAUGAAUGGACCCAUAUUCGUUUCAGAAAUGCAAGAACCAGAAAAUUUUUUAAUGAAUGUCCACAUGAAUUCUUAAUUAAUUUUUGCAUCAUAUAUGAUCUAGGAUGGUAUAACCGGUCAUGCCAAGUAGUAAAUGCAUUUGUAUCAGUAAACUUCUGUUUUACUUUAACAUGUGUUUCAAUUGUACUAAAUUGUAACAAAUUAAUAAUUUUACUAUCAUUCCUUUUACUUUGUAUUCACAUAUAAGUGCUAUUGUGACGUUUACUAUUGGAAAUGUCUAAAUAAAUGUGAAUAUUAUAAUGUCACUAAUUCAACAAAAUAAAUAUAAUUUUCAAACAAUUAUAUGAAAUAUUCGCUUCAGAGAAUAUGCCAAAAUAUUCAUAUAUCUAUUUUUUUUUUUGCAACUUUAGGUACAUCCAACCAUAACGAGCUUUAGAUAGAAUUAUCGUAUUUUAUUGCUCAUAAAUAGAUCUUUCACAGUCAAAUAUUUUGCUUCCAACCCCUUAAUGGGGAUGAUGACAAAAGAAGAUCACAAAGAUUAUAAAAUAAAUAUAAAUUAAUAACCCAAUCCUCUCUUUUUCAUCCUUUUAUAGCAAUAGUGAUUCAUAUGAAAUAUAAUAUUUUCCUCAUUCACAACCUCAAUAUAAGAUCCAUUAUAAAUAUCUUUUAAAACCAAUGGACUAACCAUCACAAGAUAUUAAUAAAUUAGCUCUUCUAGAGCUUUCGACUAAUUUUGUACUAUCAAAUAUUAGAAUAAUAUCUAUUUGUUUUAGUACCAAAUAAGAUAAAUACUUCCUAUACUUUCUAUCUAUAGUGAUAGAAUUUAUUACUACAUUCACAUAUCCUUCCUCAAAAAAUAUUAACAGAAACAAAAUAUUUAGGCAUAUGCCACAUAUGUGGCCAAUAAUCUUUCAUAUCACAUUAAUAACAUAAGUUAUCUUUCUUGUUGAGAUAUAAACUCAUCAGUAUUAGCAAGAUGAAUUGUCUUAAUUGCAUGAUUUAAAAUUAAUUAUUUAAACAAGUAAUCUUGCAAAUGACAGGUUGCAAAUUGAUAACACAUAUAUGAUUAUUUUGUAGAUGCAUCUACCAAAAUCAUAUAAUAUCAAAACCAUCCACAUGGUGGAUGAAUGAGCCCAUAUUCGUUUAAAAAAUGCAAGACAUUAAAAUUUCAACUUUAGCUAUUGAGUUUCUAAUAAUCAAUUUUCAUUGGGAACAAGCAAUAUAUGAUAAUUCAUUGAGAACAAGCAACAUAUGAAUGGACCCAUAUUUAUUUCAGAAAUACAAGAACCAGAAAAUUUUUAAUGAAUGUCCACAUGAAUUCUUAAUUAAUUUUCGCAUCAUUUAUGAUCCAGGAUGGUCUAACUGGUCAUGCCAAGUAGUAAAUGCAUUUGUAUUAGUAAACUUCAGUUUUACUUUAACAUGUGUUUCAAUUGUACUAAAUUGUAAAAAAUUAAUAAUUUUACUAUAAUUCAUUUUACUUUGUAUCCACAUGUAAGUGCUAUUGUGACGUUUACUACUGGAAAUAUCUAAAUCAAUGUGAAUAUUAUAAUGUCACUAAUUCAACAAAAUAAAUAUAAUUUCUAAACAAUUACAUGUAGUAUUCGCUUCAAGGAAUAUGCCAAAAUCUUCAUAUAUCUAUUUUUUUUUUGCAACUUUAGGUACAACCAACCGUAACGAGCUUUAGAUAGAAUUAUCAUAUUUUAUUGCUCAUAAAUAGAUCUUUCACAGUCAAAUAUUUUGCUUCCAAUCCCUUAAUGGGGAUGAUGACAAAAGAAGAUCACAAAGAUUAUAAAAUAAAUAUAAAUUAAUAACCCAAUCCUCUCUAUUUCAUCCUUUUAUAGCAAUAGUGAUUCAUAUGAAAUAUAACAUUUUCCUCAUUCACAACCUUAAUAUAAGAUCCAUUAUAAAUAUCUUUUAAAACCAAUGGACUAACCAUCACAAGAUAUUAAUAAAUUAGCUCUUCUAGAGCUUUCGACUAAUUUUGUACUAUCAAAUAUUAGAAUAAUAUCUAUUUGUUUUAGUACCAAAUAAGAUAAAUACUUCCUAUACUUUCUAUCUAUAGUGAUAGAAUUUAUUACUACAUUCACAUAUCCUUCCUCAAAAAAUAUUAACAGAAACAAAAUAUUUAGGCAUAUGCCACAUAUGUGGCCAAUAAUCUUUCAUAUCACAUUAAUAACAUAAGUUAUCUUUCUUGUUGAGAUAUAAACUCAUCAGUAUUAGCAAGAUGAAUUGUCUUAAUUGCAUGAUUUAAAAUUAAUUAUUUAAACAAGUAAUCUUGCAAAUGACAGGUUGCAAAUUGAUAACACAUAUAUGAUUAUUUUGUAGAUGCAUCUACCAAAAUCAUAUAAUAUCAAAACCAUCCACAUGGUGGAUGAAUGAGCCCAUAUUCGUUUAAAAAAUGCAAGACAUUAAAAUUUCAACUUUAGCUAUUGAGUUUCUAAUAAUCAAUUUUCAUUGGGAACAAGCAAUAUAUGAUAAUUCAUUGAGAACAAGCAACAUAUGAAUGGACCCAUAUUUAUUUCAGAAAUACAAGAACCAGAAAAUUUUUAAUGAAUGUCCACAUGAAUUCUUAAUUAAUUUUCGCAUCAUUUAUGAUCCAGGAUGGUCUAACUGGUCAUGCCAAGUAGUAAAUGCAUUUGUAUUAGUAAACUUCUGUUUUACUUUAACAUGUGUUUCAAUUGUACUAAAUUGUAAAAAAUUAAUAAUUUUACUAUAAUUCAUUUUACUUUGUAUCCACAUGUAAGUGCUAUUGUGACGUUUACUACUGGAAAUAUCUAAAUCAAUGUGAAUAUUAUAAUGUCACUAAUUCAACAAAAUAAAUAUAAUUUCUAAACAAUUACAUGUAGUAUUCGCUUCAAGGAAUAUGCCAAAAUCUUCAUAUAUCUAUUUUUUUUUUUGCAACUUUAGGUACAACCAACCGUAACGAGCUUUAGAUAGAAUUAUCAUAUUUUAUUGCUCAUAAAUAGAUCUUUCACAGUCAAAUAUUUUGCUUCCAAUCCCUUAAUGGGGAUGAUGACAAAAGAAGAUCACAAAGAUUAUAAAAUAAAUAUAAAUUAAUAACCCAAUCCUCUCUUUUUCAUCCUUUUAUAGCAAUAGUGAUUCAUAUGAAAUAUAACAUUUUCCUCAUUCACAACCUUAAUAUAAGAUCCAUUAUAAAUAUAUUUUAAAACCAAUGGACUAACCAUCACAAGAUAUUAAUAAAUUAGCUCUUCUAGAGCUUUUGGCUAAUUUUGUACUAUCAAAUAUUAGAAUAAUAUCUGUUUGUUUUGGUACCAAAUAAGAUAAAUACUUUCUAUACUUUCUAUCUAUAGUGAUAGAAUUUAUUGCUACAUUCACAUAUUCUUCCUAAAAAAUUAUUAACAGAAACAAAAUAUUUAGGCAUAUGCCACAUAUGUGGCCAAUAAUCUUUCAUAUCACAUUAAUAACAUAAGUUAUCUUUCUUGUUGAGAUAUAAACUCAUCAGUAUUAGCAAGAUGAAUUGUCUUAAUUGCAUGAUUUAAAAUUAAUUAUUUAAACAAGUAAUCUUGCAAAUGAUAGGUUGCAAAUUGAUAACACAUAUGUGAUUAUUUUGUAGAUGCAUCUACCAAAAUCAUAUAAUAUCAAAACCAUCCACAUGGUGGAUGAAUGAGCCCAUAUUCAUUUCAAAAAUGCAAGACAUUAAAUUUCAAAUUUAGCUAUUGAGUUUCUAAUAAUCAAUUUUCAUUGGGAACAAGCAACAUAUGAUAAUUCAUUAAGAACAAGCAACAUAUGAAUGGACCCAUAUUCGUUUCAGAAAUACAAGAACCAGAAAAUUUUUAAUGAAUGUCCACAUGAAUUCUUAAUUAAUUUUCGCAUCAUUUAUAAUUCAGGAUGGUCUAACUGGUCACGCCAAGUAGUAAAUGCAUUUGUAUUAGUAAACUUCUGUUUUACUUUAACAUGUGUUUCAAUUGUACUAAAUUGUAACAAAUUAAUAAUUUUACUAUCAUUCCUUUUACUUUGUAUCCACAUGUAAGUGCUAUUAUGACGUUUACUACUGGAAAUAUCUAAAUCAAUGUGAAUAUUAUAAUGUCACUAAUUCAACAAAAUAAAUAUAAUUUCUAAACAAUUAUAUGUAGUAUUCGCUUCAAGGAAUAUGCAAAAAUCUUUAUAUAUCUAAUUUUUUUUUUGCAACUUUAGGUACAUUCAACCAUAACGAGCUUUAGAUAGAAUUAAAAUAUUUUAUUGCUCAUAAAUAGAUCUUUCACAGUCAAAUAUUUUGCUUCCAAUCCCUUAAUGGGGAUGAUGACAAAAAAAGAUCACAAAGAUUAUAAAAUAAAUAUAAAUUAAUAACCCAAUCCUCUCUUUUUCAUCCUUUUAUAGCAAUAGUGAUUCAUAUGAAAUAUAAUUUUUUUCUCAUUCACAAUCUCAAUAUAAGAUCCAUUAUAAAUAUCUUUUAAAACCAAUAGACUAACCAUCACAAGAUAUUAAUAUAUUAGCUCUUCUAGAGCUUUCGACUAAUUUUGUACUAUCAAAUAUUAGAAUAAUAUUUGUUUGUUCUAGUACCAAAUAAGAUAAAUACUUUCUAUAAUUUCUAUCUAUAAUGAUAGAAUUUAUUACUACAUUCUCAUAUCCUUCCUCAAAGAAUAUUAACAGAAACAAAAUAUUUAGGCAUAUGUCACAUAUGUGGCCAAUAAUCUUUCAUAUCACAUUAAUAAUGUCGAAACCAUUUUUUAUGGAUUUGAAAAAUGGGAAUCGACUUUUAAAAAUGAAAAUGGGAGUCGCCACUGAUCCUUUGUUGAGGUGUGAUCGGUCCACCUUAAAACGGUUUUGGCCUACGAGAUUUGAGAAAAUAGGUUCGGGAGCCGGUUAUGCACGAAGAAGGGUUAACACCCUCGUAACGCCCAAAAUUGGUACCGAAUCGAUUGUUUAAUGUCUUAAUGUUGAAAAGAUUUUAAAAUACGAUCCUUUGAAAAGAAAAUUUGAGUAAAAUGAAUUGGACGAUGAGACUCACCUAUUUCAAAGAAAUAAAUCGUCACACUCAGUAAGUUAGAGCGCAACAUUUUAAAUCCUCAAAAUUAAAUUUAUCUCUUGACUUUUGAAACCUAUACAUUUUGAGAAGGAUUUCCGAUUAUUUGGGUCAAAUCAGAAAAUCAAAACCCAGUAAGUUAGGGUUCAAUUUCACAAAAUCCCUAAAUAUCAAAUAUUGCCUUUAUUUUUAUUCAUUAUUUAGAAAAAAUCCUCAUCUCGAGAAAACCAUACGUCGUAUUCAAUGCGUUAAGAUACAACAUAUCGAAUUCCCGAUAAUGAGCUUUUUAUUUGUGUGUUUUGAUUAAAGAAUAAACUCGAUUAUUUAGAUUCGACGAGGAAAAUUGGAACCCAAUAUGUUAGGGCUCAAUUCUUUCGAAGAUCCUAAAUACCGAACUCUGCGUUAUCUUAAAAUUUUUUUUGAGUAAAUUGAUUUUGAUACUUAAAUGAUAUUAAACGUAAUCUUUUGAACGGAUAAAAACGAUUGAAUAAUAAUGUACCAUGCGAGAUGAGGAUUCAUAAACUAAAGCAUACACUAAUGAGUAACAAAGAUUUAAUAUAUACGAAUAAACAAUAUCAUAUACAUAAGAGCAACAAUUUUAUAUCCUACAUUAUGCAAAUACUAACAUCCAUAUUAGCAAGCAAAAUGAAUUAAAAAACUAAUAUUAAAAAAAUUAACAAGCGAAUUAAAUAAAAUGGAACAAGUUUUUAAAUAAAAAAAAAGCAACAUUAAAGAAGGGAAAUUAUAUAUUGAAAUAAGUUUAAAAUAAUAUAUAUACACAUGAAAGUUUGAAAUAAAUGAAAAAUAUAGUUAAAAACAAAUACUUCAUAAAAUAAUAGUAUCCCAAUAAAUUUAAAAAUAAAUAUUAUAAAACUAUAAAAAGUGUACAAAUUAUAUUUAGUUAUCAUAAAAUUAAGAUAAUAAGUAUUAAAUUUUAAUAAUAAUAUAUGAAAAAUUAAAAUAACACGCGAAAGAAAACUUUUAGAAAAAUGGUUCAAUUGAUUUAAAUAAUAUCAAUAAUGAAUUUAUACUAAUAAGUUUAAUUAUUAAAAUAACAUUAGAUUAAACUUAAAUAUAUUAAAGAAAACAGAACCAAAAUAUUUAAAUUAAUUAAAAUGAACAAAUUAAAAUAGAGAUUAAAAUGGAUUUAAUGCUUAAUCGAAAAAAGAAAAUAAAUAAAAAGAAAAAGAAAAGAAAAUUAAAAGGCAAAAUGAAGCUUGCGCAUUACAUGAGGGAUUAAAUGGGAAAUAUUCCCCGCCCUUCAAAACGCAUAGUGGCAGAAGGGACCAAAAUGAAACAACAAUGACAUAUCAGGCAGAAUCUAAAAAACUAAAAAGAUUGAUUUGGAUGCGCUUUAAAGGCGAGGGACUAAGCGCGAAAAUAAAGCACCAGAGGCCAAAAUGCGCGGAUCCAGCUGGUUCGGGUCGGGUUGGACGCGCGGGUAUGCAAAUACGACGCUGUUUUGGUGGUCACUGAUUCAGGCCCCAAACGACGCCGUUUCAACACCCCAAAGAACCAACUUUAAAACCCUAAACAAGGUUAUUCGACCACUAAAAAAAUAGCAUAAAAAACCUUUGCCUUUCCUCUCUCCUCUUGCACCAUUCUCAGGCUAAAACCAUCCCUAACCUCUCUGGUAUCCACGAAACCGAUGAGAACGAUGACGGGGUCACAGAGGCAUGUACUCCCUUUCCCUUUUAUUAUUUCUGUUCUUAACAAACAACUAAUGAACACAAAAUAAAAGAAAGAAAAAAACGGUAAAUAUAAAACAAAAGAAACUCAGAAAUCACCUCUUAGUAUUUCAAUUUUUUUCGUGUUCUAAAUUCGUGUCCCCUUUACAAUAUUCAAAUGGCCUUUUUAUGGCCAGAAUUACAGAAAAUAAAAUAAAAAGAAAUCCUCCCAAAUCCCCUCUGUUGCCCCUUUUCUAUCAUUUCUUUUUUACUGCCGUGUGUUCGUUGCAGGUUGUUUGUCCUUCUUGCAGGUACGGAGCAGUGGACGUGGAGGCAUGUGAAGGCAUCGCGCAUGUGUGAGGAGUGGCUCGAAGGUGUGGUGGCGUACGCACGAGAGGGGAGCAUGCUGGCUGCGGCGCUGGUGCUAGGGCUGAAUGCCUAGGGUUUUUGCUUGUGGUUAAGGCUAGUGGGGUUAGGUGAUUGGGCUCAUUGGGUUGGGGAUAUUGGGCUAGGCUAGUGUUUGGGUACUUAAUUUAACUGGGUUUGUAAUCUGGACAUUAUGUUUUUUUUGGACCAUUUUUUUAUUUUAUUUGGUUUAUUUUACUAACAGGCCAGGCAAAUUAGGCCUAUUACAGCUACCCCUCUUUUCUCGUUGUCAUGAAACGGGAACAAAGCAAAAACUAAAAAUGGCCGAUUUUUCCAGGUUGAUUUUGGACCUUGGUGCUCUUCUUCUUCGAGUUGCCUCAUUCCAUCCUACUGCAUCUUCAGAGGUAUAGGAAUUGGUGUUUCGAUCCACUCCACUGUAACAUCAGGGUGAUAGGAUUUGUAACUCGUAACCUUAAUAUGUUUAACUGUGAUGUCGAGGAAGCAAUAUUCGCUGUUGUAGCUUCAAUCUGUUCCACUACACUGCCUGGGAAGUAAGAUUCGCUGUUGUAGUUUUAAUCUUUCUAACUGCAAUAUCGGGGAAGCAAGAUUCGCCGUUGUGGCGUUAAUCUAUUCCACUGCACCACUUGAGAAGUAAGAUUCGUUGUUGUAGCUUUAAUCUUUUUAACUGCAAUGGCGGGGAAGCAAGGUUUGCCAUUGUGGCUUUAAUCUGUUCCACUACAUCGCUUGGGGAGUAGGAUUCGCCGCUGUGGCUUUAAUCUUUUUAACUGCAAUGUCGGGGAAGCAAGAUUCACCGAUGUGGCUUUAAUCUAUUCCACUGCACCGUCAGGGAAGUAGGAUUCGCCGCUGUGGCUUUAAUCUUUUUAACUGCAAUGUCGGGGAAGCAAGAUUCACCGAUGUGGCUUUAAUCUGUUCCACUGCAUCGCCUGGGAAUUAGGAUUCGCCGCUGUGGCUUUAAUCUUUUUUACUGCAAUGUCGGGGAAGCAAGAUUCACCGAUGUGGCUUUAAUCUGUUCCAUUGCAUCGCCUGGGAAGUAAAACUGGUAUUUUCGAUCUGCUUCGUUGUCGAUGCAGGAAGACAAGAUCCGCUAUCUUCACUGAUCUGUUGUCUGGGGAACAUGACCUGUAUAAUGAACCUAAUUAUGCCUAAUGAUUAAGAUGCCAUGAUCAAAAUGAAUCCAAUGCUCCUAACUAGACAUGUGAAUAAUACUUGCAUGAACGCAGAAUUUUAUUUUUUCCGAGAAUGAUCCCGUUUAGGUUGUCAUUACUCCAAGUUUAUUAAGGCUUUGUGACUGACGUGCUACAACGCCUUCUUGCUUGACUGGCUUUUCUGAAGAAACAUUUAGCCAGGUUGCCCCCCACUGUAAACCUCAAAGUUUAAACCAUUAGGGCGCAAAAUUUGUACCAUCAUUCUCCCACUGCAAUCCAAGGGUAGAAAUAUGUGGCUUUUACUCAAUCCUCUCUUGUCACAAUUCAAUGAUACAGGACCUAAAUCGUUCUAGUUCCUUACACCAUUCUCAGGGUGUCAUACCAAAGACUCAUGCGCAAAUGAAGGCUCUCUUCUCUGAGGUAACCUCUUCCUAUUGCCUGAUGAUCAUUGCUUGCUCAUUUAUUUAAGCUUUGUCAUUAACACAACAUCUUGUCAUUUUGUUCAAUCAAUGCAUUUGACCACAAAAUCCAAAGAGAUAGUCCAAAUUUAGACUCUUCCUUCUCAAAUUUCCAACCUUUAAAUUUGGUGUGUUCUAAACAAUAGUCCUGUUUCAGGUUCCUAUAUUAUUUAGAAACUUUUCAGAGUAAUAUGCAAAACUUCCCUUGUGAAAGUUUUAUUAGUCCAUUAAUCAUUAUUCCAAUGCAUAAGAAUAAAGUUAGUCCUGGCAUAGCUCAAAAUGAAUAAGUUAUCAAAAAUAGUAAAGAAGGAUAAUAAAGAAAUUGAUCGGGAAUGUAUAUCUUGGAAAAGAAAAAAGUAUUCCAAGAACAACAAAUUCAAUAUAAAUAAGUUUUCGCCUUGACCUCUCCUUUUCUUUUUCCUUCUCUCUUCUUUCAUUUUCAUUUUGACUUUGAUUUUGAUUUUUCUUUUUCUUCUUUUUUUGUUUUUGAUUUUGAUUUUUUUUAAUUUUUAAUUUUUAAUUUGUCUUUAUCCUUUCCUUUUUCUUUUUUUAUUGCUUUUUUUAUUUUUUUCUUCUUUUUAUUAUUUAUUUAUUUAUUGAAUAUGAACUCAUAGGGUUAGGCAAAUCCUUGUUAUCCUUUUCGAAGAAUCUUCUUUAAUAUCGAAUUUCCUUCAUAGAGACUUCUAGGGCGAACCUACGACAGAAAACUUUUGCUCUUCCUCUUCAAUCAGGAUAAAAUCCAACAACAUCUUGAAGGGAUGAAAACCCGACUUCAAAUGGGCAAAACUAUGCUGACUCAACGAGAAAGGCAUUUCCCCGGCAAAGAAUUACAUAAUUUAUACUGUAGAUUUCUGACAUCGUACUGUUGUGCAGAUUUCAUUAUCAGUGCUUAACCCGGGCAUAUCCUGGUAUGAUCAUACAAAGACAUUUUUGAACUCUAGAGGUAACUCAACAAGGUCUUGCUUCGUCUUUGCAGUCAGGUCAAUUCUAAUUUUCACCAAACUCACAAUUCCUAAUGAUUCCUUGUGGGGUAGGAUCUGUCUAUCCUCUUGUUCAACCAUCCUUAACAAGUCCAGCGAUAAGCUACAAUUUUUGUCAUUUUAAAAGUCAUGAGAUCCCUCUAAACACGUGCCCCGCUCAAAAGGAAAAUCUGGGUCUGUAGCAGAGUUAUUCACGUAAUUGAUAUCUGGGGACCCAUAAUAAGUACCGAAGAAUAUACAAAAGAAUGUAUAAAUUCAUGAAUAAUUAUUUGGACCAUAUGAUUAUGAAUGAAUGAAUAAUAAUUUGGAAGAAAAUCCAAAAGAAUGAAAAAAUCUGGGAUUGUUUGUAAAGAAUGAAAAUAUUGGCUCAGUAAUAAUUGAAAAGAUGUAUUUCAUUAAAAUAAUAAUGUUCAGACAUGAGCCUAUUUCACAAAGGAAAUUUCUAUCAUUUUUAGGCUAAAAACAACAAAAAUGUUCUAAACAUUACUCUAAAUAAGUUCUAAAAACUACAGGGCUUUUUUCCGCAGCCCAAUUGCUUAGAACACUCCCGAAUUUAUAAGGGCAGAUAUCUAACAAGGUCCCUUCUUCAGUUGCUUUUCGUUGAUGUGAACAUUUCCCACUCUUCUUCAUGCAUUGCAUUCACUCCAUUAUCAAUUAUGAUUAGGUAACGGAUUUUCUGCACUGAAGUCAUCAAACUUGACAACACCCAUGUUAAUGAGCCUUUCAACAAGCUUUUUAAAGAUGGUGAAAUUUUCUAUCGAAUGUCCCCCAAUUCUCCCAUGAUAAUCACACUGUGCAUUUGCAUCAUACCACUUGGGGUACGGAGGUUGCAAGGGCUUUGAGUAGAAAUGGGCAACAAUGUGCGCAUCGAAUAAGCGUUGAUACAGCUCCUUAUACGACAUCGGAAUUGGUGUGAACUGGAGUUUCUCAGAACUUGGUUUCACUCCAGAUUCUUGUCUCAGUGCACCUUAUUGACUAGCGACCACUUUAUCUGGAUGACUUACUGACCUUGAGUAACCUAUGUUACUCAUCUCAUCUUCUUUUCUCUUUGAAACUAACUUUUUGUUACUCUCUCCACCAUCUAUUCUUCCAUUUUUGAUGGCAUUUUCAAUCAUUUCGCCAUUCAUGAUUAUAUCUGAAAAACUCUUCGAAGCACUUCCCAACAUUUGAGUGAUGAACGGGGCCUUCAAUGUGUUGAUAAAGAGCAUUGUCGUCUCCUUCUCUAGGUGUGGCGGCUAAACUUGGACUGCAACCUCUCUCCACCUCUGUGCAUGUUGUAUAAAGCUUUCAUUUGAUUUCUUUUCCAAAUUUUGCAAGGUGAUUCUAUCGGGGGUCAUAUUUGUUACAUGCUCGUAUUGUUUCAUGAAUGCCUGUGCUAGGUCCCUCCAUGAACCAAUCUCGGUACAGCUCAACUGAUUGUACCAUUUCGACGCUGCUCCAAUGAGGCUAUCCUGAAAAUAAUGUAUUAAUAGCUGAUCAUUGUUAAUAUACCCAGUCAUUCUCCUACAGAACAUGGUGAUAUGGGCUUCAGGGCAAUUGGUCCCACUAUAUUUCUCAAAUUCAGGCAUCUUAAACUUGUGAGGGAGUACUAAGUCUGGAACCAAGCUCAGAUCUUUAGCAUCGAUUCCCUGGUGACUAUCGGUGCUUUCCAGGGCUUUGAAUUUUUCCUCCAACCAUUUACACUUAUCCUCCCAUUGUUUUGACAGUUUGACGUUUGCCUUCUCUUUUUCAGCCAUUUCAUUGAAAUCAGGAAUAACAAGAAUCACUGGGUUAUCUCUAGGAUUAGAACCUAAUCCAGCCUGAAAGUUCAUCGGCAUUGAAACAACAUCUUGAAACUACUGAGGCCUAAUUGAAACAAAGGAUCUACGCGGAUGCACCUCAGCUUGAGUUUGCACAUGCGGAGGCGUAAAGCCUGGAGGAUAUAGAGGUCCAUCCUUCUCUUCUUCUUCAUUUUUAACCAUAGGACCUUUCCCCUUAUUUACUCCAUUGGUCAAUAGUUGUGUUAGCUUGGUCAUCAUGUCGUUUUGAGACUCCCUCAUUUUUUCUGUCAUGUCAUGUUGAAUUUUUUCCAACUGCUCCUUCAUUUGUUUCUGUAGCUGAUCUUGCAUUUCUUUUUGUAUUUGCUCCAGUUUCUCUAUUCUUUGAUCCAUUUCCUUAGCUUUGCAACGAGUACCAUAAGGGUGUUUGGUUGGUUGGUUUUCCAGAUUAGCUAAAAUAAAUUUACUCUAUUAGGCACUUCCAAUGGAUUUUAAUGCAUGUAAUGCAAAUGCAUGAAAUGAAUGCCUCAAGAGACGUUGAUUCUGAUUCAAUUACACUUAGAAAACUUUACUAGAAGCAAAUUCCUUUACAUAAAGCAGAUGCAUGUACGACCUCACCCUUAUAUUCCAAGAGACAACAUCGAUCCCUUCCUUCAUCCGUAUGUAAAUCUCGCAAAUUUCCAAGGGAUGCCACUGCUAGCUCUUUUUCUUGAUCUUGGUCACGAUCCAUCAUCUGCCCAUCUUCAUAAGGCUCUUCAGCUUCUUCAAGGGAGUUGGAACGUCGAAGGCUCUGUAACACCCCUUACCCAUGUUCCUUGCCGAAAUAGAGUAUGAGGUAUUAUUAGAACUUAACACUUAUAAUUUUUUUUUAUAAAAAUUUCGGCAGCAUUUCUGCUUGUUUUUACAUAAAAUCCCCUGCAACUUUCCAAAAAUAAUUUCAAACAACUUCAAUAUUUCCAACCAAUUACAGAUAUAUGUUCAGACAUAAUUUUUCCAUUAAUAAUCACCAACAUAUUAAACCGAACAACACUAUAUAUAUAUUUGUACCACUUCACAUAAAGUCAUCUAUACAUGCCAUAUUUCAAAAUAUUAAUUACAAAAUACCCAAAAAGUUGAUGAUAGUGUGGAUGAUUUCCUGACUUCGUCCAAAUUCAAAACUGGCUGAUGUCACUACAAUCAAGGGAAAAUAAAAACGAGUAAGCAUAUAGCUUAGUAAGUAAACAUAUGACAAAUAAAUAAAUUUCUCACAUGAUUUCAUAGCAACAUAAUUUUAAUCACAUAAAUUUCAGGGUUCGUUUAAUUUCCAGCAAACUAUCAUUCUGCGUCACUGACGCUAAUUUAUUUUUAUCUGAAGCUACAGAACUCAAAAUUAAGUUUCGUAAAUUUUUCCUGAAACUAGACUCAUAUAGCUUUCUACCAUAAAAUUUUCAGAAUUUUUUACUUAGCCAAUUAGUACAGUUUAUUCUUUAAAUAUUCCCCUAUUCCACUGCCCAACGGUUCUGACCUCCCUUUACUAAAAUUUACUUAACUCUCUGUAAAAAAUUCAAAAAAUGAUCUCGUUUGUUUCUAUUAAAAAUAGACUCAAUAAGUAAUCCAGGAAUAUAAAUUUCAGGCCAUAAUUAUUUUUGUACAAUUUUCGGUGAUUUUCCAAAGUUGGAACAGGGGAUUCUGAAAUCAAUCCAACCCUGUCUCAAUAAAAUUCAAAUAUCCCCAAAUAUACAACUCUUUUGCUUGCUCUAUUUCUUUCAUAUGAAAUAGACUCAUCCAGCUUCAAUUUCAUAUAUUAUUAAACCUCCAAUUAAUUUCCCACCAUUUAUGGUGAUUUUUCAAAGUUGCCCAACUGGUGUUGUUCAACACAGUUUUGUAUUUAAAUUGUUUCUUUUGCAUUUUUGAUAUUUCCUCCCAUCUUAUACAUGGGUCAAUUAAGUAUCAAACCCAAUAUUCCUCCCAUAAACUUUUCCAUCACAUAUAAAUAUUCACCUUCCUAAUUUACUCGUUGAACACUCGGAAUGUUAACCGUUAUCGGUGGAUUCAGCACUUAGCAACCACCAAUGAGUCGGGGAAUCAGCACUUAGCAACCCCUUUCACAUUUAAGAUACGGUGGGUUCAGCACUUAGCAACCACCAAUGAUUCGAGGAAUCAGCACUUAGCAACCCCUCGGGGGAAUCAGCACUUAGCAACCCCCUUCACAUUUAAGAUACGGUGGAAUCAGCACUUAGCAACCACCAAUGAGUCAGGGAAUCAGCACUUAGCAACCCCCUUCAAAUUUAAAAUACGGUGGAAUCAGCACUUAGCAACCACCAAUGAGUCGGGGAAUCAGCACUUAGCAACCCCUUGGGGGAAUCAGCACUUAGCAAUCCCCUUUUUAUUCAAUGUAAUCCGGCCUAUUCUGAGUGUUCAACCGGAAACCGUAUUUUUCAACACUUUACCACCUUUCCCUACUUAGCCACAUUUUUUUAGAAUCUUUGCCAAAUAUUUAUUCUAUAUUCAAAUAAAUCUCAACACAUAUCAAAUAAUAUCAAAAUAAUGCAUUAUUUCACAUGUUUACUUACCUCGGUGCAAAAUAUCGUAAUUUUGCAAUUUACUUCACUACUUUCUCCUUUCCCCGUUUGAGGUAUUCUUCUCGUCUUUCUUGAUCUAUAAUAACAAAUUUAACUCAUUUAAUGUUCACAUUUAUUAAAAUAAUCCUCCAUCCAACUUUUUGAAAAAUUACAAUUUUGCCCCCAAACUUUUGCAUAAUUACACUUUUGUCCCCAAGCUCGGAAAUUAAACUUCAUCACUUAUUAUUAUGUUUUAUGACAUGCUGAACAUUUUUCCCUUCUAUGGCAACAUCAAAUUCUCACUCUAGCAGAUACUUUUGAACAUUAACAAUUUUUACCGAUUAUGUCAAUUUACCCGUUUUCGUUUAAAAUCGCUUAGCAAAAGUUGUUUAACAUAAUUUCUAGCUUCAUAUUCCACCAUAAAACAACAAAAUAAACACUUUUCAGCUACGGGUAUUUUUCCAAAUAUAAACCCUAACAUGAAUUAUUGAUAAAAUAAGCUAAACCGAGCUACGAGGAUUUCAAAAAUGCAAAGAACAUUAAAAACGGGGCUAAGAUGCACUUACUAUGAGCUUGAGAAAGCAAAGAAACCCUAGCUAUGGUGUCUUCCAAAAUUUGGCAGCAACUAUGGAGAAGAUGACACCAUUUCUCCAUCUUUUUCCCAUUUUAUUUCUUUUUAUUACCAAAUGACUAAAAUGCCCCCAUUUAAAAAAAAAUCUAUUUCACCCAUUUCUUAUGUCUAUUUUUGUCCAUCAAUUUACUAAUGGUCUAAUUACCACAUAAGGACCCCCAACUUAUAAUCUCAUAACAAUUAGACACUUCUAACAUGUAGAACUCAACUUUGGCACUUUUUACAAUUUAGUCCUUUUUACUAAAUUGAGUGCCCAAACGUCAAAAUUUUCGAACGAAAUUUUUUUACGAAAUUUUUCCGUAAAAUUGUAGACCAUAAAAAUAUAAUAAUAAUCAUAUUUUCCCUUGUCGGAUUUGUGGUCCCGAAAUCACUGUUCCGACUAGGCCCAGAAUCGGGCUGUUACAGCCUCUUAGACAAUCGCCUUGAAUCCUCAGGCCACGAAGCAAGGGUCACGAACUCUUUCAUCACCCUUAUUGUGUUUCUUAGAAUAUAUUCAGGCAUUCGUAUUGUUUUCCACUUUAUCAAGGAAUUCGUAUUCCAUGACAAGCUUUCUAAUUUAGUAAUCGAACUUGAAUCGAUAUCUCUUUCCUAAGAUGCAAAUACAAUGCAACCAUAAUCAAAACACAACAAGAGGGGUUAGUACAAAAUAGAAGCAAGUAAGGAAAACAAAAGUACCUAGUCGGGUAGCCACUAGGGAUUUGGAGUGGCUCUAUCUAGGUUAAGUUCCUAAGUCCACUAUAUGAGGUUUGGUUCUAAAGAUAAGGUACCCAAACCAGUCGAUUCCUCGAUCUUCACCCAUUAUAGGCUCAUAUAGACCGAGUUCAGUUCAGGGGAAUACAUUUCCCUAUGGCUGCACGGAGAUGAAAAUCUCACGAAGACAUAGGUACAGAUGUAUCCCGAAAGUGAUCCAUUAUCCUGCACGGAGGUGAAAACCUCACGAAGGAGUAGCUUCUCACUCCCACUUAAAAGGGUAAGACUAAAUAGUCUUUAUGCAAUAUGAUGCCAAAAUAUAGAGCUCAAUUUACAGUAAUCAUGUAAACAAAUGCAAAGAGAAGAUCGUAAUUUUUCAAAUCAACUUUUUAAUUUUCAACGAUAAGACAAAAAACAAUCAAUUUUACGGCUUGACUCUCUAAAUCUCCCCAGUGGAGUCGCUAAGCCGUCGAAACCAUUUUUUAUGGAUUUGAAAAAUGGGAAUCGACUUUUAAAAAUGAAAAUGGGAGUCGCCACCGAUCCUUUGUUGAGGUGUGAUCGGUACACCUUAAAACGAUUUUGGCCCACAAGAUUUGAGAAAAUAGGUUCGGGAGCUAGUUACGCACGAGGAAGGAUUAACACCCUCGUAACGCCCAAAAUUGGUACCGAAUCGAUUGUUUAAUGUCUUAAUGUUGAAAAGAUUUUAAAAUACGAUCCAUUGAAAAGAAAAUUUGAGUAAAAUGAAUUGGACGAUGAGACUCACUUAUUUCAAAGAAAUAAAUCGUCACACUCAGUAAGUUGGAGCGCAACAUUUUAAAUCCUCAAAAUUAAAUUUAUCUCUUGACUUUUGAAACCUAUACAUUUUGAGAAGGAUUUCCGAUUAUUUGGGUCAAAUGAGAAAAUCAAAACCCAGUAAGUUAGGGUUCAAUCUCACAAAAUCCCUAAAUAUCGAAUAUUGCCUUUAUUUUUAUUCAUUAUUUAGAAAAAAUCCUCAUCUCGAGAAAACCCUAUGUCGUAUUCAAUGCGUUAGGAUACAACAUAUCUAAUUCCCGAGAAUGAGCUUUUUAUUUGUGUGUUUUAAUUAAAGAAUAAACUCGAUUAUUUAGAUUCGACGAGGAAAAUUGGAACCUAAUACGUUAGGGCUCAAUUCUUUCGAAGAUCCUAAAUACCGAACUUUGCGUUAUCUUAAAAAUUUUUUUGAAUAAAUUGGUUUUGAUACUUAAAUGAUAUUAAACGUAAUCUUUUGAACGGAUAAAAACGAUUGAAUAAUAAUGUACCAUGCGAGAUGAGGAUUCAUAAACUAAAGCAUACACUAAUGAGUAACAAAGAUUUAAUAUAUACGAAUAAACAAUAUCAUAUAUAUAAGAGCAACAAUUUUAUAUCCUACAUUAUGCAAAUACUAACAUCCAUAUUAGCAAGCAAAAUGAAUUAAAAAACUAAUAUUAAAAAAGUAACAAGCGAAUUAAAUAAAAUGUAACAAGUUUUUAAAUAAAAAAAAAGCAACAUGAAAGAAGGGAAAUUAUAUAUUGAAAUAAGUUUAAAAUAAUAUAUAUACACAUGAAAGUUUGAAAUAAAUGAAAAAUAUAGUUAAAAACAAAUACUUCAUAAAAUAAUAGUAUCCCAAUAAAUUUAAAAAUAAAUAUUAUAAAACUAUAAAAAGUGUACAAAUUAUAUUUAGUUAUCAUAAAAUUAAGAUAAUAAGUAUUAAAUUUUAAUAAUAAUAUAUGAAAACUUAAAAUAACACGCGAAAGAAAACUUUUAGAAAAAUGGUUCAAUAGAUUUAAAUAAUAUCAAUAAUGAAUUUAUACUAAUAAGUUUAAUUAUUAAAAUAACAUUAGAUUAAACUGAAAUAUAUUAAAGAAAACAGAACCAAAAUAUUUAAAUUAAUUAAAAUGAACAAAUUAAAAUAGAGAUUAAAAUGGAUUUAAUGCUUAAUCGAAAAAAGAAAAUAAAUAAAAAGAAAAAGAAAAGAAAAUUAAAAGGCAAAAUGAAGCUUGCGCAUUACAUGAGGGAUUAAAUGGGAAACAUUCCCCGCCCUUCAAAACGCAUAGUGGCAGAAGGGACCAAAAUGAAACAACAAUGACAUAUCAGGCAGAAUCCAAAAAAAUAAAAAGAUUGAUUUGGAUGCGCUUUAAAGGCGAGGGACUAAGCGCGAAAAUAUCCCACUAGAGGCCAAAACGGGCGGAUCCGGCUGGUUCGGGUCAGGUUGGACGCGUGGGUAUGCAAAUACAACGCCGUUUUGGUGGCCACUGAUUCAGGCCCCAAACGACGCCGUUUCAACACCCCAAAAGAACCAAUUUUAAAACCCUAAACAAGGUUAUUCGGCCACUAAAAAAAUAGCAGAAAAAAACUUUGCCUUUCCUCUCUCCUCUUGCGCCGUUUUCAGGCUAAAACCAUCCCUAGCCUCUCUGGUAUCCACGAAACCAAUGAGAACGACGACGGGGUCACAGAGGCAUGUACUCCCUUUCCCUUUUAUUAUUUCUGUUCUUAACAAACAACUGAUGAACACAAAAUAAAAGAAAGAAAAAAACGGUAAAUAGAAAACAAAAGAAACUCAGAAAUCACCUCUUAGUAUUUCAAUUUUUUUCGUGUUCUCAAUUCGUGUCCCCUUUACAAUAUUCAAAUGGCCUUUUUAUGGCCAGAAUUACAGAAAAAAAUAAAAAGAAAAUAAAAUAAAAAGAAAUCCUCCCAAAUCCCCUCUGUUGCCCCUUUUCUAUCAUUUCUUUUUUACUGCCGUGUGUUCGUUGCAGGUUGUUUGUCCUUCUUGCAGGUACAGAGCAGUGGACGUGGAGGCGUGUGAAGGCAUCGCGCAUGUGUGAGGAGUGGCUCGAAGGUGUGGUGGCACACGUACGAGAGGGGAGCAUGCUGGCUGCGGCGCUGGUGCUAGGGCUGAAUGCCUAGGGUUUUUGCUUGUGGUUAAGGCUAGUGGGGUUGGGUGAUUGGGCUGAUUGGGUUGGGGAUAUUGGGCUAGGCUAGUGUUUGGGUACUUAAUUUAACUGGGUUUGUAAUCUAGACAUUAUGUUUUUUUGGACCAUUGUUUUAUUUUAUUUGGUUUAUUUUACUAACGGGCCGGGCAAAUUGGGCCUAUUACAAAUAACAUAAGUUAUCUUUACCCUUUGAAGAGUUAUCUUGAGAACUCUCAUUGUUCUCUUAUUUAUUACUGUGUUCCCACUUUUAAUGGUUCGUGAUUAUAUCUUUUAUUUUGUCAUAUUAUUAAUAUUAAAUGUCAAAUCUAUAUUCCAUAAAUGUCCUUUAUUCAUUAAGUGUGUGGGAGGGAUACAAUGGAUUAUAACUUAUUCAAAGUGUGGAUAUUGCAUUUAGAGGGUACAAAUUCAAGUCGAAGCUAAAUCUAGUAUUCAUAGGUAUGAAACAAUUUGAUAGAAAUUUGAUUUUUAAUAUAUACUCAUAACACAAGUAUACAAAUCAAAAGUAGUAGGUUAUGAGUAAUUAGAGAGAGCAAAUUUUGAGUCACUCUACGGAUUUUAUAUCAAUGCGCUUAUUUAACGAAAUUUGUCAAAAGAAAAGGUGGAUGGGCGUUGGGGGUGAGAUAAUUGUCAUAAAUGCUUACUCUGUCCACGCCAAUUGAAAUUUAAAUAUAUUGUUUUACCUUUACUCAUAUUCUUACAUUUCUUCUUUUAUAUUUUUAGUAUAUACUAAUAAUAUAUAUGUUUAUAUAUAUUACAAAAGAAUUAUGUAAGUCGAAAUUAUAUUAUGAAUAAAUUAUAAAUAUAUAAUACUGUGAUAUUACAUUGAGACAUCAUUAGUAAAGGAAAUGGGUGAAGCAAGUAGGUAUGAAGUGGGUUGUGAAAUUCUCUUUGAAGUUCGCGACAUCGAGUUUCUAUUUCUGCAUUCCUGAUUCUUUCUUGUUGAGAUUUUUACAUUGGAAUUUUCCUAUCCUCAAAAUUGCGACCUACUGUUGAAGUUAUAACGUCAAUUUCCUGACUUCAAAGUUGUGACAUCAUGUUUUCGCCCUCAGUAUUGUAACAUGAAUCCUUCUUUGUCGCGAUAUUGUCCCUGUAUUUUGUAAUUCUUAUGUUUUAGUCUCUAAUUUAUUACAGGUGUUUUCUAAGAGUUUUCGUAAACCCGCUUAUAAUUCGGAUCUGAAUAAAUAAUGUGUUUUAUUAACUAUCAAAACUAAAUUGCUUGUAUGCUUCGUCUACUAAAUAUUGAAAUAGAAUCAUAAUUGCCUCAUAAACGAAUAAAACAUCUCAUUAUCUUAGAUCCGACAAUCAAGUCGAGCAUGGAAUAUUACUAUUUUAGUGAAACCUGUGGUGUCAGCAUCAACUAUCUAACAUUCCUCUGCUACUAGCCACUUGGGAGUUGCACUUGGCUAGAGCUGGAACAUCCUAAAGAAUGCCACUACGGUCCUUUCCUACCACCCCCAACCUCAGGCAUGUACUAUCCCUUUUUAUUAUGAUUAGCUUAAUAAUAAAUCCUUAGAAUAGGUCAAACUUUUUAUAAAAAAAAUUGCAAUAUAUUAAUUAUUAAGAGAAAAAUAUUUGAUACACUAUCGAUGUAUAAGUCUUAUGCACCAUCAUGACAAUAAAAUAAAAAAUAGUGGGGACUUAUAAAUAAAUAAACAAUAACUUUAUUUAAAUAUAAUUAAUAAUUAACUAUAAAUAAAUGCUAAAACCUUAAACUCAAGAUCCUAGACCUAAGCCAUUAAACCUAAUGCCUUAAAUCUGAGAGUUAUUAAUAUUUGUUUAUAAUUGUUAUGAUUAUUUAAUUAUAUUUAAAUAAAAUUAUUUGUAUUUAUUUAUAAGCCUUCGACUAUUUUUUUAUUGUUUUCAAUGAUAAGAUGUAAUGUUAUUACUUAUCGAUGGUGCAUGAGAAUUAUGCACUGAUGUUGCAACAAAUAUUAUUCCAUUGUUUAUUUGGUUAACCUAAUUAAUACUCCAUGAGCUGGACUGGCAGUUGCUAUAACUAUUGCCAUAUGCUUCGUUGUCAUGUGGUUCAAAGGAAAUUCAUUAUCAAAUCAUAUAUGUCAAGGAAAGAAGAAAGAGGAUACUAUAGGAUUGAGGCAUUCGUCAAAUUUCUCUUACCCCAAGGGGAUAGUCUUACGGAGAAAUAAAGAAAAUGACAAAUAAAUUUAACAAUAAAUUAGGCUAAUGGAUAUGGUAAUGUAUACAAAGGGAAAUUAUCUGAAAAUCAUCUCGUAGCGAUCAAAGUCUUAAGUGAAUCAAAAGAAAAUGGAGAGGAAUUCAUGAAUAAAGUGGCUAGCAUUAGUAGAACAUCUCAUGUUAAUAUUGUGAGUCUACUUGGUUUUUUGCCUAGAGAAAUCAAAGAGAGAUUUGGUUUAUGAAUUCAUGCUCCAUGUAUCAUUGGAGAUGUUCAUUUAUGAUAAAAGAUCGCACCAUCAAAAUCAUCGAUUGGAGUGGAAAGCUUUGUAUGACAUUGCACACGGCAUUGCUAAAGGACUCAAAUUUUUGCAUCAAGGUUGCAACACAAGGGUCUUGUACUUCAACAUAAAACCUCACAAUAUCCUUUUAGAUGGGAACUUCUAUCCCAAGAUCUCCGAUUUCGGUUUAUCUAAAUUAUUCAAAACAAAAGAGAGUAUUAUUUCCAUGUAUUGUGCUAGAGGAAUAAUUGGAUAUAUUGCUCUAGAAUUGGUUUGUCGAAACUUUGACAGAGAUUCCUAUAAAUCUGACAUCUAUAGCUAGGGAAUGAUGGUCUUCGAAAUUGUAGGAGGAAGGAAAAAUAUUGAUGUUGGAGUGUCUCAAACUAGUGAAGUAUAUUUUCCGUAUGGAUUUACAAGCAUCUUGGUCAAUCUAUGAACUUGAAUCUUAAUGGAGUAGUUGAAGAAUAAGAAAUAAUAAGAAAGUUGAUUAUAGUGAGCCUCUGAUGUAUUCAACAUGAUCCGACUGAUCGUCCAUCAAUGACUAAAGUGCUGGAAAUAUUACAAGGAAGUCUUCAAUCAUUGAUAAUUCCACCUAGAACAUUUCUAUAUUCUCCUAUACACUUGCUUGAACUUUUGUAAGAUCAUCUAAGAUUUAGUCUUAAAUUGGUUUGAUGCUGCAAGUUUAAUCCAAAAUCUAUAUAACUAUAUAUGAUAGGAAGGUUCAAAAUGGUAUAUUUCAAUUUUGAUCCCUUUAAUAUGUCUAAAUUUGAGAUUUAAUCUUUAUACUUUAAUUUUUAACAUAAUUUGAUCCCUAUAUUUUUAUAAUGUUAUUACUAGUCAAAUAGUUAAUAUUGCUAACUUUUCAAUUAAAAUGUUACAUGGUCAUACAUAAUUUAAAAUCAGAUUUUUAAAUCUAAAAAUUAGAGGGAUUAAAUUCUUAAAAAUAAAAGUAGGAAGACUAAAUUCCAAAUGUACGAAGAGUAGAGACUUAGAGCCAUGGUUAUUUGAACCGGACUGGACCGACCGAGGUAUCAGUCCAGAGAGAGGCAUUAGAUUGGUUCACUCGUGAGCUAGUCUUAAAGACUGACACAUGGUUUCUUAUUUCUUCUAUGUUUGCUCAGUCUUACCUUUUCCUUUUGCAAUUUUAUAAAAAUGAUUAAAUUUUAAUUUUGGUCCUUCUAUUAUGCCUAAAUUUUAGAUUUAACAGCUACACUUUAAUUUCCAAAGUAAUUUGGUCACUAUAUUUUUAUACUAUUAUUAAUUAGUCCAAGUAGUUAAUAUUAUUAAUUUUUCAAUUAAAAUAUUACAUGAUUUUAUAUAAUUUAAAUGUCCUAAGGGUCUUAGAGAUGGAUACAUAGCUUUCUAUUUCUUUUAGGCUUUCUUUUUUCUUUUUCUUUUUCUUUUUUGUACAUUAUAAGACAACAAUCAAAUGCCACUUUGUGUCUUAUAUUAUGUUCAAACUUGAGAUUUGAUCUUUAUACUACUUUAUUUUUUUAUAUAACUUGAUUUUUUUUUUACUUUUAUAAUGUUAUUAGUUAUUUUAAAUAUUUAAUAUUGUUAACUAAUUCAAUCAAAAUGUUGAUGUCAAUUUUUCUUAGGAACAAUAUUCCAACAAAAAAAAUUAUUUUCUCAUUACGAGUUUGAAUGAAUGUUUUUAAGAAAAAAAUCUAUAUAAAUAUUUUCAAUAUUGUUUUUAUUGUUACGUGAUUAACAAUUAAUUUUUUUUAAUUUCAAAAUAUCACAUCAGCGAAUUUAAUAGAAGAAGUUUAACCUUGGUAACAAUUGGACCUAAAAUUUUAAAUCCAAAAAGUAGAUGGUUUAAAUUUCUAAAACUGAAAGUAGGACUAGAGAAUAUUUUAAUCUUCAAAUUUGUACUUCAUAGUUUGACACAAACAAAUAAUCAAUCCAACAUGAAGCGAGGGAAUCAUACUAGUUCUAAUAAUAAUAAGGGUAAGAUACACCAUUAGUCACUUAGCUAUUAGCAUGUUUUUGUUUUGGUCAUCAAACUAUAAAAACAUUGAAUUCCAUGACUAACAUUUCCAAUCGAUUAUGUUUUGGUCACUUUUAGAUUGUUAACAAAAUUGAUGAUGCGGUCUUUUUUUAAUUGGUGUAAUAACACCCAUUUAAUCUUUAAUACUUAGACAUUAAUAGAAUUUGUAAAUCUGAAGGGUUAAAUUUAUUGAAUUAUUAAGAAUUGGGAGCAAACUGAUAGAAUUCAUAAAUGUGGAGGGUUAAAUUUGUUGAAUUAUUUAGAAUUAGAACCAAUUUGAUAGACUAUGUAUGUGUUGAGGACUAAAUGUAUUAUUAUACCAAUUAAAAAAAGGUCACACUAUCACUUUCAUUAUUGAUUUAAUAAAGAGUGAUCAAAACAAAAUCGAUAGAAAACAUUAGUGAUGAAAUUAAAAGAAAAAAUUAUAGCUUAAUAAGCAAAAUAAAAACACAUUAAUAAUUGAAUGAGUAACGGUCCAAUUUACUCCAUUAUUAUGUUUGGAUAUCACAAUUAUGAUGAAAAACAAUGAAUUUUAUGGUUAAAAAAGCUGCAACAAUUCAAAAUAUGUUAAAUCACAUUUUCAUAAGAUAAAAUUUGGAAAGGUUAGUCACAUCAAAUAGUUUAAUUUAAAGGCAUAAUGAUAAAUUUAACAUUCAACGUUUAUAAAUUUUGUUAACUUUUUUUAAGUUAACUUUGGUCAUUAACUUUUCAAAAAAUAGUCGAAUUGUUUUUUAACAAAAAUGUUGACUAAAACAUUAAUUUUUAAUAUUAUUGGCGUGACAACUCGCAUGACAGUUAAUGUGCACGUCAUAUUGUCAUAGUACCAUUUGUCUUAUAUGUCACGUCAAUAAAUAAUUAAAAAUUUUAAAAGUAAAAAAAUAAUUAAAAUCAAAAUAUAAAAAAAUGCUCAUAAAAGUUCAAAAAAAAAAACAUGAAAUACAUACUGAUUGUCAUACAAACUGUUGUGAUUAAAAAUUUAACAUUUUAGUUAAUAUUUUCAUUAAAAAAUAUUAUUUCAACUUUAAAAAAUAUGAAUGAUUAAAUUUGACUUUUUUUAAAAAAAAAUUAAGGAUUAAAUUUAGCUAAAAAUAAAAUAAAAAUUAAAUUAAGAAAUAAUAUAAAUAGUAAAGAUUAAAAUUUCCAUUAUGCAUAACUUAAAAUAUGAUUUGAAAAGAGGGUGAGUUAUAAGUUGGAAUGAUUUCUUUGUAUAACUUUGAGAAAUAUUAAAGUAUGAUUUGGAAACAGGAUUUGAGCCCUGAUUUAUGUCUCAUUAACAUAUCAAUAGGAAAAAUAUGUGCAAAAAAUGGAUAAAUUUGAAAGAACAAAAAAAUUAAAGUAAGGAAGAAAUUUCCUAAGAGCUUCGGAGACUUGACUGAUAAAAAUGUCUUAUCAAAAUGGAGUCACAUUCCAAGUAGAUAAUGAAGCAUACGGUCCAGUUGAUUGGUCUUGGGUUCAAAGACUUUUCUUUGUAACUACAUACGGCAUGCAUACUAUAUGAUACAAUAUGACGAAAAGAAAAAGAAAGAAAAUGAUACCAUUAUAUAAUACAAAUUAUUUACGUUUCAAAUUUAUUAUUAUAAAAAAAAACAUCACAUGUCAAGAAUCUUGAUUAGUUGAUGAUAUUUUUUUAAUGGAGAUAACGGUAGGAGUCAUAAUGGUUCGACUAAAAAAAGCGACAUAGUUUGAAGGCUGCUUAUUAAAUUCAGCCUGAUUAUUAUUUUGAUAUAAAUAUCAAAAUUAUAUAUAAAUUUUGAUUCAAUGUGCAAUAUCAUACAUAAACUUUGAUUUUAUGUAAUUUUAUACAUGAAAUUUUGAUUUGAUUCAAUUUUUAUAAAUUACUAACAAUAUUUUCAAAUUAACACGUUGAUAUAUUGCAAUCUAAUAUGAGAAUAAAUGUAUGUAUUCAUUUUUAUAAAUAUAUACAAUUGAAUCAAAAUCAAAAUUAAAAUUUUAUGUAUGCAUAUAAAUUUGAUAUUUAUCCAAGUUAAAUUGGGGUAGAGGUAAUAUGUAUGGAUGAGUGUUUAAUAACUAUUUUAUGCAUUUAAAAUAUGUUGUUAGCCUUUGUAUUUGUAUAGAAUUUGAGAUUUGGUCCUUGUAAUUUAAAUGCUAAGCAUUUAAUUCUCUACUUUUUCAGCUUAAAAAUCCUAAUCGGAUCAUUUUCGUUGUUGGUAGUUUUUAUCAAAAUUUAUCUAUUUAUAAAUGUUUAUUUUCUAUCAAUCCUAUGACAUGUCAUAUAAGGACAACAUAAUCAAAAUUCCAAGUUGAUAAAUUUUGACAAAAUAUACUUAGGGUUUUAAUGAAUGAACUAAGAUCUUUAAAUCGAAAAAGUAGAAUGAUUUUUUUUGAACUUUUUAAGUACAUAGACUAAACUUCAAAUUUUGUCAAAGUUUAAGGGCUAACAACAUAUUUUAAUAAAAAAUUUGGGACACCACACCUACAAGAAAAUAAUAAAAAAUAAAAAAUUUAUGACAUAGUAAUAUUUUAUUAGUGACUAAAAACUUAGUGUCUCCGUUAUAUAAAUUAUUCUCAAUUAAUAAUUGUAUUACAACUUUGCUUUGAAUUAAUUGUUAAAUAAGUUUUCUACAUAUUGUGAUUUUGUAAAAAAUUAAUAUAUAGUUUGUCUCUUAAAUUUGUCCAAAAAGUACAUAAUUAGUAUUUGAAUUUUUUUGGAUCUAGUUGGUACUUUAACUUGUAUUCUGUCACCUUAACUGGUACCUUUGCACUAACAUAAUUAGUUUGUGCUAACAUGACAUUGAUAACCAAUUUAGUGGUGACAUAUGGUAGCAUCACAGUAUGCCACGUGGUGAGAAUAAAUUAAAAUUUUAAAAAUAUUUAAAAUAUAUAAAUUAAUAAAAAAUGUGUUUUUUUCACACUCUAGACAAUCAUUUGUUUAGAUUCAUUUUAUAUGUAUUUUUAGUAAGUUAAUAUAAUUUUUUUAUAAAAUAUCAGCUUUUAGGUUAUUACUAUUAUAUAUAUAAUAUAAAUUUAGAAAAAAAAUAUAUGCAAUUAAAAUAUAUAAAAUAUUGAAAUAUUUGAAGCUAUUACAAUGUAUCAAGGGAAAUGCCCACUUCCUUCAUUUCUACGACAUUGCCAUGUUUAGAAUAUUGGAAAUUUAUUGAAGCAAAUCUUUGGGUUGUGCUAAUAUCCUAGAAUAAUUCAAACCUAUCAAUGAGAAUCAAUUCACUUGGAGAAAUUUAUCUAGAAGGUUAAAUUAAAUCUAAUCGGAUCGUGUGUAUCAAAUCUCUUGGAUUGAGGAAGUUGGAUUGAAUCAAAACUCUGAAGACUUAUUUGCCAACAACCUAUUUUACCUUGAUUGUUAGUAUUAUAUUAAAUGUAGCUAUUUUAAAUGUUGUUUAGAAGGGAUUGUGAUUGAUCUUCACUAUUUUAGCAAGUCUUGAAAACUCUAUAUGAUUUAAAGACUUGUAUAAGUUGAUGUACUGAUUGUUAAGAGUACUUAUCUAUUCAAGUGAGGAACAUUAUUUGUGAAAGUGCAUUUGUGAUUGUUAAACCUUUGUAUUGUGGUCUUACAGAUUAAAUUCUCAAGGGGAGAAUUUAGUGACGGGAGAUCUAGUCUUUGAAAUAUAAGAGUGAGGAUUCUUUACUAGAGUGUGUUAAAAUUAGAACACUAUCUAUAUUUGAUGCAAUGAUACGUAGAGAAACUAAACUGUAAACAAUUUUACUCUCCCCUAUUUACAUUGUGCAUGUUGCAAUUUUUGCAAAAGUGCCCAUAUCUGCAGUCACUUCUGCUCAUACUUUGUUACUUGUAGAUUUAGCAACUGUUCCAAGUCAAUAUAAAUAACUUAUAAUAUUUUUAAAAUAUAUAAAAAUUUAUGAUAUAUAAUAUAUAAAUAUAUAAAAAGAACUAAAAUUUUAUAAUAUAUAUAAGAUCUAAAAAACACAUCUACAAUGAAUCUGGACAAAUGGAUCUUUGGAUGCAUUUUAAUCCAAACAAGACAACCAUCUAUCUAGUUUUAUUCUUGAUGUAAAUUUUUUUAAUGUUUUUUUUUAUUAAUUUAUACAUUCUAAUUUUUAAAAUUUUUAUAUAUUUUAAAUUUCAAAAUAAUAAUAUAAAUAACUUGAUAUUUUAUAAAAAAAUAUAAACUUAUUAAAAAUACAUCAAUCCAGGCAUAUGGUUGUCCAGACUUAAAUAUAUCUAGACAACCAUUUGUCCAGGUUCAUUCUUGAUGUGACAUGAAUCUAGACAUUAAGAUGUCUAGUUUCAAAUGUUUCUAGACAACCAUUUGUCUAAGUUCGUUCUUGAUGUAAAAAAUCAUAUGUUUUUUAUUAAUUUAUAUAUUUUUAAAGAUUUGUUAAAUUUUAAAUUUAUGCCCACCACGUGUUACCAUUGGAUUAACUAUUAGUGCCACGUCAGCAUAAACUAACAAUGUUAGUACUUUGUGAUAGGAUACAAAUUCAAAUACCAACUAGGCCUUAAAAAGGUUCAAAUUCCAAUUACAUACUUUUGGGCAAGCUCGGUGUUUCAUAAUUCACGAAUUGUAAUACUUUCAGAGAUCCGUGAGUGAAAUUAUUUUUACUAGUAAGUACUUGAAAUGAAUAAAUAUUACUGUAACUCCCCAAACCCAGCCUAGACAUUAUGGUCGUAUCUGGCAAUGUCAUACAAUAGUGUUUUUGAAACCUCGUUGUUACAAUGAUAACAUUUCGUGUUAUUAUCUUUAGUAAACCUUUGUUAGAACUUAGGAAGUUGUCUUUAUUCAUUUAAAACAUUUGUUUUAAAACAUCCCUUAUUGUGGAAGCUUUAAUAAAAUAGUCUAAGUGAUCAUGCAUUUAGAAAAUACCUUAACUUUUUGAAAAUCGAAUUUCUUACGACCAGCAGGUAUAAAUCCAUAAAGUAAAAUAAAUAAAUAAAAACUCAAAAUUUAAAACCAAAGUCCCAGAGGGUCCAUAAAUUACAACCCAAAUAAUCAAUAAUAAUCAAAUCAUAAAUCGUAAAUUGAAAAUCAUGAAGUCCAAAUAUUAUUGUGGUCACCGCUGAGUCCUCCGUCGCACCGAUCUGUCUAAGUCUGGGGAUUACCUAUGCACAUUAAAUAAAUCAGUGACAGUUUGGGCCUAGCUCAUCUCAGUACAGUGUAAAAAAUACAGUAGGGCCUUAGCCCAUCAUAGUAUCAGUAGUAGCAACAGCUAUGAAAUUGCAAAAUCCUACCCAACCAACCUCUACACACCAUCUCUGUCCAACCCUACACUCCAUGUGGGGAUAUAAUCAACCCACCCAUCCCUACACUCCAAGUAGUACCGAAUGUGGCACAAAACAGUAGUUUGCAGCUGAGCUGCCAGUAAAUUAGGCUUAAAGCCUUUCAAUACACUUCCUCCGGAUAACAACCCCAACCCAAUGCAAUGCAACAUACCAUGGAUGAUAUGCUAUUAUGCAAUUUCAGUACAAAUAUUCAAUUCAGAUAUUAACAUGCUCAGUACAAAUAUCAUUCAGUCAAUUUCACACAUUUAGGGUUCUAAGUAGCGCUUACCGACCUUAUAGUAGGUUUACAGUUGACUUGGGCGACCCGUGCAAUCUUAGAACCAGUUCGGUAAAAAUGGGCCCACACGGCCCACUCGACCCAAAUUGGCCUUAGCCGUGUGAUCCAUUUUUUAAUGUAACCCAUGCUAGCUAAAUAUUCAUAUAUGUUUUCACUAUUUACUUUUAUGAUCAUUCAGAGUUGUCUACUUGAGUCAUUGUCACUAAAUUAUUUAGAUCUUAAGCUAUAGAAUUCCAAAUUAAUAUCCAACACAACUACUCAGAAUUUUGCCCCAACACAACUCUUAGCCAAAAUUGGAGCAAAAAUACUAUCUCCACACCAUCACAGAGAAUUGAACCCAAGACCUCCUUCACACUAACACUCCACUUAUCCACUAGACCAGCAAGCCUAUUCUGUUAAUUUUUUGCCCUCUUUUACUUAAAAGACUACUGACCAAAGAUAGGGCCAAAAUUUGCCCAAGUCCUAGCUUGAACUUGGGAACUUUCACACACCCAGAACACUUAACCACUGAAGCAGAUACACAGUUGAGUCACACUUUCACAAGAACAAAAAAAAAAUUUGGGGCGUUACAAUUACCAUCAAUAUCAUACCUAAUAAAAAAGGAAAAAUAAUUUUUAAAAAGGGUUUUUUUGUAAAAGAAAUAUAAGUUUAUUUAUUAAUAAGUAGUUAAAAUAUGUCAUAAGUCUCUAUGCUCUUUGUAAAUUUAGAAUUUAGUCUUUGUACUUUUAUUUUUAGAAAUUUAAUCCUUCCACUCUUAGAUUUUAAAAUUCAAAUUCAACUGUUAAAAAUAUUAAUAUUAUUUUUUAAAAUUCAAGUUCAUUCUAACGUCAUAUUUUUAGUUACAUGACUGCAAUAGAAAUUCUAGUCUGCAUAUCCUCAAUUAGGGCCGAAUCAUGUUGCCUCACCAUGUUACUAUCCAUAUUUAAAUCCAGGAUUCCACUGGGUUGAACUUCCAAAGCAACAGCUCGUUGCUCCAUGUGGACAAAAAUUGGGCUAUUAGCAGCCAAAUCCUCCUUUUCAAUUGUCCCAAAACCCGUUCCAUGUCCCAGCAUGUUUGGUUGAUUAAGGCCUAUUCCAGAUGAGCCCACCUCUUUUCCUAUAUGUCCAAAAGAAUUCCCUUUAUAGAAUCUAUUUGAAUUAACCCUAGCCCAUUGUCUCUCGCUCGAUAUAAUUCCAUCAUAAUCACCUAAAAUAGUGGUGUUCUUGCUUGUUAAAUUCAGAGCAUCAAAUAUUGUCCCAACUGAUCCAAAAUCCACCUUUUUAGACGGUAAACUCGUUCUUUCCCUGGGAUUUCGCUGAUUCUUUCUCUCAACUAUCAUCUAUGGCCUGUAGGCCACCACCUUUUCCAUCAUAGCUUGGUCAGUCCUUGUUGGAGCCUCCGUCGACAACUUCCCCUCCCUUGAGCCAGAUCUAUAACACUGUUUGGACACACAUCCUUCAAGUGGUCGUAACGCCCGCAGCCAAAGAAUAUCACCGUCAGCGAUUCAAACUCAACCUAUUGAAGAGUGUCGUUUAUCAAUACUUGAGAAGUCAGUGGCUCAUCAAGGUUAACGUAUACUUUCAUUCUCGCGAACUUUCCUCUCAUUCUACUAUCUGUGUUGAAAUCAAUUUUUGAGACUUUACCAACCAUCCCUCCAAUUUCUUCAAGAAUUUUCCGUUUGUAUAGAAACCCCAGAAGCCCUGGAAGUCUAAUUCGGGCCUUGAAAACAUUCGAAUUAAAACACCCCCUACCUAUAUUCAUCACUGGAAUAGGGUACGAGGCAUUACCGAAGUUUUCUGAAUUAAUUUUUCCAUUAUUAAGAAUUAAAUACUAUUCUUUUAUUAAAGCAUAUUAUGAUGUCCCUUAGAUGGGCCUCUGAAACCCAAAACAUACACCGAUAUCAAACCAAAUCAACCAAUUCAAUUCAACAUAUUUUCAAGAUAGAUUUACACAUAUCUAUAAGAUAACCUCAUCACAUACCAAAACCAGGAUUUGAUAGCCAUACCAAUGGCUAACUUUACAUUAAUUUCAUAUUAACAUUUACUUUAUCAACUUAAACACGCUAUUGAUUUCCAAAAUAAAGUUUCUUAAUAUACCAAAAUGUUGAAGUUGAUAGUGUGAUGUGUCUUCGACCGAAUCCAACCUCCAAGCUCUUAAUACUACAAAUCAAUGAAAAAGGAAAUAGGGUAAGCAAGUUGUGCUUAGUAAGCUCAUGUAACAAGAAUUAUACUUACCUAAUAUUUUCAAUACAAUACAAUAAAUAUUCAUACAUCCAUUCAAUCUACCAUUUACCUAUCACACACAAACUCAACCAAAACAUUAAUCAAAUAGCAUCAUAUGAGUUCGAUACAAAGAUUAAUGAUUGUUAAGUUCAUCAAUUCCAUGUUUUCUAUGACCCUUAUUAUUUCUCAUAUUUAUCACGUUGAAUUUCUCAAAAUUUCGAUGGAUUUUCAAAGGUACACUUCUAGCAUACUAUUCUGGGUCCGUCAAUUCAUAUUCAUGUGCGCACAUUUCCAUUUCAGAAAGCACACUCCUGCGAACCUCAUCCUUACAACGAGAUUACCAGUCCAGGCUAAAUCCCCUGCAACGACAAUUUACUCUAAUACGCUUAGAUUUGAAUUACCAGUUCAGGCUAAAUUCAGACCCUAAUUCGGAUUACCUAUCCGGGCUAAAUCCAAUUUUCACAUAUUCUUUGAGAGGGCAAUAUCAGGAUAGGAUCACCUGUCUGGGCUAGAUUUUUUUACCGUAAAUUCCUUUUUAAAGAUCCAUCGAAUUUUCCUUUCAUUCAACCGAGAUUUCUUCCCCUUUUUAUCAAAUAUAUCAAUGUUUCAUCAAUUUUUAUACAAUGAAAAUUUAAAUCAUAUUCACAUCAAUAACAUACAUUUCAAGCAUUUAAGAAUACAAUUCAAGUUACACGAACUUACCUCGAUACUUGUUCGUAUUCAAAAAUCUACUAAUCCCGAACGUUUUCCUUUCCUCGAUCUAGCUUCAUAUUUGAAUUUUCUGGAUCUAAAUAAAUAAAUUUAAUCAUCAAUUUAAUAAAUUUCAUGUUCAUAUGUAACAUUCUCUAUCCACUAUUAUUUAUAGUUCAUCCAAAGUUGUCUACUUGAGUUAUAGUCACUAAAUUAUUUAUAUCUCAAGCUACAGAAUCCAAAAUUAAAAACCACUUGGUGUUUAUGAAACUAGACUCAAAUACCUUUCUACCAUAAAAUUUUCACAAUUUUUGGUUCAUCAAAUAAGUUCAGUAAAAUCUUCAAACUUACCCAUGUUCUGCUGUCUGAUAGCUUCGACCUUUAUUUGCUAAAAAUUAAUUAUCUCUUAGUACAAAUUUGGAUGAUGUUUCUAUUUGUUUUUAUUGAAAAUAGACUCAUUAAUAAUUUAAACAUGUAAAUUUUAACUCCUAAUUAUUUUUCUCCAAUUUUUGAUUAUUUUCCAAAUUCAGAACAGGGGAACCCAAAUUCAUUCUGACCUUAUCUCACAAAAUUUAUCAUAUCUCAUGAUUUACAAUUCCAUUACUUACACUGUUUCUUCUAUGAGAAACUAUACUUAAUAAGAUUUAAUUUCAUAUUUUUUUCAUCCUCUAAUUCAAGUUCCACAAUUUAUGGUGAUUUUUAAAAGUUAGUCUACUGCUGUUGUCCAAAACUGUUUUAGUGCAAGAUAUUUAUUACCAUUUUUCCCCUAAGCUUUUAAUAAAUGAUAAUUUCAUCUACGAUCAAUUAACCUCUCAAUUGAGCUGAUUUUUCUCAAUUAACAUUUUAUUCUAUCACUUUAAACUACUUUAUAACCUUUGGGAAUCAAAAUUUCAGCACUAGACUUUAAUUCCAACCUUUUCACAAUUAGGUCCUAAAAAUCAAUUUCUAUUGAAAUUACCUAAUAAAAUCAUCUCGUAAAUGAAUUAAAGCUUCAAUUUCAUGUUAUUUCAUCGUAAACUUACAGCACUCAACCAUGGUGACUUUCAAUUUCAUCCAUGAAAUCAAAAACUAAUGAAUUUUAUAGUAGAACCUAGUUGUAAAAGUCUUAAAAACACAAAAAUUACAAGAUAAAGGCAAGGAUUAACUCACUUGGUGCAAAAAUUAUGAAAUACCAGCUUAAAGACCCCCUCCUAUGGCGUUUUGGCUGAUGAUAAUGAAGAGAAAUCACAAGAAAUCUAGAUAUUUCCACAUUAGUCCUAAUUUUAUUUAGUUAAUUAUGCAAUAUUCCAAUUUUGCCCUUAAAUCAUCCAUUUUCUUGCUGAUUUCAUGCCCUUGCCGUCCAGCCCAAAUAAAUUUUGGGUCUAAUUUCCUUUUAAAUCUUUCCUCAUUAGACACUUAAGCUAUUUAAUCAUCUCAACCACUUUUACACCUUUUCCAAUUUAAUCAUUUUCAUUUAAUUGACUACCCAACAUUAAAAUUUUCUAAUGAAAUUUUAAUACAACAUUACUAACACUCCAUGAAUAUUUAUAAAAAUAUUUUUGGCUCGGGUUUACGAGAUCGAGGUCUCGAUACCUUAUUUUUACCCAAUUUCUUCAAUAAUUUCUUUUUCUAACUAACCACUAAAUCGAUAAAAUUUUUCUAUCAAUAUUUUCAUACGAUUUUCCUAUCAUAUCAAUAUUCAUGCAAAAAUAUUAAAAUAAAUUUCUCUUUAAAUCGAAUUUGUGGUUACGAAACCACUGUUCUGAUAACCUUAAAUUUAGACCAUUACACGAAUAAGGUUGCAUCAAAUUGAAAUCCAUAGUCCAAGGUUGCACGAUAUGUACUUUUUCAUAAUCCUCUGUUUCAAAAUUUUCACUAAAACAUAAUCGUUCUCUAUGUCCAUUAAGUGGAAUGACAAUGUUGGCUUCCAUAGACUACUAACUCUAUUUUGUAAGACCUUAUAUCCAAUAGACCAUCCCAAAAGCUUAAUAACCACCAUUGUUGCCAUGUCUUUGAUCAAUAAAUGAUUAAUUCUUUUAGAGAAACUGAUUGCAGGGAUGCCAUUGAUCAAGGAUCUUGUAAUAUCGACAUCCAAAAGUUCAAAAUCGUCAUAUUCAACAAGUCGAGACUAGGCAUCUGAUGCCUUAGAUCCAUCAGACCUACCACCCAAAAGUCUAUCUUUCUAGGAAAGCGUCGACUUAGGUUCUGAAUCAACCGCCAUAUUAGAGCCCUCAUCCGUAUAUGAGUCCUUGAAUAUUACUUUUUUGGUUGAAGGAUUUUCAGAGAAACCAAAAAUAUUACUUUCAUUCGCCAUUUUGAUUGAAGGAUUCACAAUUUUAAAUCCAUUUCUCUGCUUCAUCAUCUCUUCAAUUUUAAAUUAAUUAAUUUAGCUCAACAUAGUUAACAUCGAUUGUUUGGAUAGAGUGCCUAAUUAAUUCUAGAGUGAUUCUUUACUUUUAGUUCUUAAAAUUUGUCUCUUAGGUUUCGAUGUUGAAACUAUUUCUAACUCGAAUUUACCUUCAUUGUAAUUAUUAUCUAAUAUGUACACUUGUGUUACACAUUCCACCCUUGUGGUUGAGACAAUCAAUCCUUUCUAUUUGUUAUCAUUACUAAUACUACUACGAUUGAAAUUAGUGAAGUAGAAUCCUCAAAUUUUAAGGAUUGCGAUGGAGUGACUUGCUUUUGUCGCUCUCAAGUUAAAAUCACAAUUUCCAACAUAAAUUCUCAAUAAAAAAACAUAUGGGUGGAUAAAAUAUAAUAAAAAAAUUAAAACAAUAUUUAAGGCGUGAAUCACUUUCUUUAAGGACCGACAUUUAAAGCAUGCAUUGAUAUAUGUUCCUAUUGUAUUAUUACUAAGCUAGCCUAAUUAUCAACGUUGUAAAAAAAUGUUAUUUAAAUGGGAUAUAUAUAAAAUUAUACAUGAAUCUAAAGGAUUGCGAUGGAGUGACUUGCUUUUGUCCCUCUCAAGUUAAAAUCACAAUUUCCAACAUAAAUUCUCAAUAAAAAAACAUAUGGGUGGAUAAAAUAUAAAAAAAAAUUAAAACAAUAUUUAAGGCAUGAAUCACUUUCUUUAAGGACCGGCAUUUAAAGCAUGCCUUGAUAUAUGUUCCUAUUGUAUUAUUACUAAGCUAGCCUAAUUAUCAAAGUUGUAAAAAAUUGUUAUUUAAAUGGGAUAUUUAUAAAAUUAUACAUGAAUUUUCAUUCAAUGUGCAUUUUGAUGUUUAAAGUUUGAUUCAAUAUCAUUAUACACAUGAAAUUUUAAUUACAGUUCAAGUAUAUAAAUGAAACUUUGAUUUUGAUUCAACUAUACAUAUUUGAAUAAAUAAAAACAUCAAUUUAUUUUUAUAUCAAACAAACAUAAUUAUUUGUGUAUGAAGUAUGUUAACGUACAAUGAUGUUUUUGAUAAAUGUGUUAGAAUUUUUGAAAAUUGAAUCAAUUUAACAUUUAAUAUAUAAGAUUGCACAAAACUGAAAUUCACGUAUAGAAUUGCAUACUGGACCAAAGUUCAUGUGUAGUGUUGGACAUUAUCCCUAUUAAAUUCUCUAUACUAUGUAUUUCUUGAGAAUAUGAUAUUGCUACCAUCGCAAAAUAAUAACAAUCCAACAAUGAAGCUAUUAAAAGCUAGAAAGGUUAGAUUUGAUAUUCUACAUUUACAAUUAUUUGAGUAUUACUCAUCUGUUGUGAUUUGUGAUUGACGGGAAUUCUGUUAAGAAUAAUUCAAAUAACAAGUUCUUAACAGAAUUCCAGUCAAUCACAGAAUUCCUCUCAAGUUCGUCAUUUAAAGUUAUAUUUGAGUGUGUUGUGGCUUGUGUAAAAUAACUAAAGUAGUGAAAUGUUGGAUAAUUGGGGAUGUGGUGUCAUUGAUGGCACAUUGGUUAGGUACCUAGGUUGGUUGUUUAACUUGAUUUGAGUAGUUGAGAAUGCAUUCCAAAGUCUUGUGAACAUGUGUGUAAGUGUAUAAUUAGGUACUUAAGCAUUUGUUUGUGAAAUGAGCAUGUUUUGAGACAUUUAAAAGCACAAAAGGCUUGGGACAUAGGUUGUCACCCGAUCGUGUGCCUCUAGCAUGUUAUGGUACAGGUUGAUCCACACAGGCAUAGAGAGUUACACGGCCUGGCGACACGGCUCUGUGACCUUAUAUUACACGGGCAUAGUGAGUUACACGGUCUGCGCACACGAGCUUGUGGUUUGUCACACGACCAUGUUUAGAACCACACAGUCUGGGUUCUGCCACACGGCCAUAUGACCCUUAUUUUGAAAUUUUUUAGUUUUUUUUUGAAACUUUCUGAUUUACUUUGAAUUGGUCCCUGAUUGUUCCUAAACUAUUUUUAAGGCCACAUAAACUUGAUUUAAGGCCCAUAAAUGUAUGUAUUACUCCAAUCUGAAUUAUUUAUGAAAUUCUAUUAAUUAAUUUUGCAAACUUGAUGCUAUUUGUUAUUGAUUGUUCUAGUUUGUAUGGUAAUAUGUCAUAACCCUAAUCCGACGACGAGUACAGGUUAUGGGUGUUAGAUUUAGUGGUAUCAAAGUUAUAGUUUAUUUGAUUCUUGGACUGAACAUAACAUGUUUGAAGUUUAGAGAAUUACAUGCCAUAUAAACCUAUAAUAGUGUGAUAUGAUUGAUCUGAUCUAACCUCUAUUUUUCUUACAGAUUUAUAAAUGUUAAUAGAAUUUGAUUUUGAUCAUACUGACCUUGAUGAGGUAAAUGGCCCCACAACCGAUUUUGCAAAUGUUUGAUAGUAAAAUCAAAAUGUCCUUUUGAUUUAAUGAGUUAGUGGUUCACAAAAGUAGUGCGAGCCAAUUUAGUGGUAAAACAGUCGAUGACUCAACUAGGGUUAGGUACUGGAUUGAAAAUUUCUAGGAAUAUUUUUGAUGAUAUGGGUUGUUUAUUUGAUUAUUAUCUUAGAUGUGACAUGUCCUUAACAACAGGUAAGAUUUUAACUAGUAUUCAACAUUAACGGUGGUUGUAUCGAAAGACUAGAUUAACUAGAAUUUCUUUAGAUUUGAGUUUAGAAAGAAAAAUGUCAUCAAAUGUAGUAUGGAUAGGAAUUUGUACAACUCAGUAAAUAUAAUCGAGAAAUUGUACCUAUAGAUUGUGUUAAACAGUUGUCUACGCCUCAGAAAGGCAAACACAUUGGUCAGAGAUAUAACAUUGGAAUUAAAUAUAAUGGAACCGAAGACACAAUUGUUAGAUCUGAAGCUACCGCAUCUGAUAUUAUUUCUGGUACGUUCUAUCUCUUUGGUAUUAUUUAUUGUAUAUGCAUUGGGUGAUACUGGAUUAACUUACUUAUAUAUUUGCACUACAUUAGUAACGAAUAAGGAUAUAUUUCUUAAGUCAGUUGAGUUUGAUUUCUAGUCAUAAUCCAUUGGGUAGAGUGUAAUAGUUAACUUGGUAUAUCGAAAUUGUCUGUUGAGAAUCUAUGGUUGUGAUUUUCCUAUUGAUUUGAUAUUAUUACCAUUUCAUGAAUUUGAUAUUAAUUUGGGAAUAGAAUGGCUAAGCUUAUACGAUGUUGUAGUGAACUAUAGACUGAAAUAAAUUGAUCUAUAUUGUCAUAAUUGUGAAAGGAUUAUGGUUGAGUUUGAUUAAUUUAGAUAAUACUACUAGAUUUAUUUCAGUUAUCUCUGUACAUAAAUUGACUUGUAAGCAUUAUAUAUAUGUUUACUUGACACUCAAGAAAUGGGAUCAAAGAUUUAUCAUGUAUCUAUUGUCAGCGAAUUUCUUGAAUUGUUUCUUGAAAAAUUUUCGGGAUUUUUGCUUAAACGUGAAAGUUGAACAAAUUCAGGAUAAAGAAUAAAUAUAUUUUAUCUCGUUAGACGACCUGUUUGAUUAGUUAAAAGACGUAAUAGUGUUCUCGAAGAUAAAUAUAGAUUUGGAUGUUAUUAGUUGCUAGUAAAGAUUGUGACAUAUUGGAAAUUGUUUUUGAGCUCAAUGUGGCCAAUAUGAAUUUUGGUAAUGUUCCCUAGAUUAAUUAAUGUCUUUAUGAAUUUACGAAUUUGAUAAAUCGGUUUUUCAACUUCAUCUGAACAUAUAUUUUCUCGUUAUGUGAAAGUUAGUAAAUGUGGGUUUGACUCAACGAGAUUGGUUUUCUUUAUUAUGUAAAUUUGGUAGAUGAGAUUCGUAUAGAUCCGAGUAAAUUCUCUUCUAUUAUUAUUUGGAAAAUCUGAAAAAUGUUUAUAAAAGUUAUGACCAGCUCAAAGACUUACUGAUAGAAGUUUUGUAUUGACCCAACUUGAAUCCGGAAAGGAGUAUGUUGAUUAUAGUAAUGGUUUUGUAUUAGUUGAAUUGAAAAUUUGGGGAUUUCAAGAUGAUGACCUAAAAGUGAAUAGCUAAGUGAAAGCAAAUCCAGAGUGAGUUGCCUACAAGAUUUAUAGUGGAUACUGAUGGUAUGAUGUAAUUUAACAACAAAUUGUGUGUUUCGAAUAAACUAAAGUUAAAACGAGACAUUUUAUUUGAGGCUCGUAGCAGCACAUAUUCUAUUCUUUUAGAUAAAAACUGAAUAUCAAGUAUCAUCAGAAUUAUUACAGCUUGUCAUGAUUAAGGGUGAGCAAAACUCGAUUCUACUCGAAAAUUUCGAGUUUGAAUCGAGUUGAGUUUUCGAAUUCGAAUGUGAUAGCCCGAAAUAGGGCCUAAUCGGAAUAGUGGUUUUGUAACCACAAAUCUGAAGUGAAAUAUUUUAAUUUUAUAAAUUUUUAUUAGUUACUGAUUGAUUGAAAUAUUGUGUGAAAAUAUGGAUAGGAAAUUUUAAUGAUUUAGUGUCUAAUUGAAUUUUUAGGACUAAAUUGAAAAAAAUGCAAAGUGUGUCUAAUUAGUGAUUAAAUGACUUAAUUGAAUUAUUGCAUGAAAUUGGAAGUGUUUAUGUGGCAAUUAGACCAUAAAUUAGUGAUAUGGACACAAAAGGGUAAUUCUAGAAAAAUAUCUAAGUAAUGAGUUAAGGGCAUUUUUGUCCAAAUUGAGUAAAAGACAAAAUAAAGAGAAAAUAAGUGUCCAUCUUCUUAAAAAUCAGAUGGUUGCUCUCAAAAAAAUUCAUGUCACCAUAGCUAGGAUUCUUGAUUUUCUAAGCUCAAUUGUAAGUGAUUUCUUGCCCCGUUUUUAAUUAUUUUCGUAUUUUUAUGCUUAUUGAAGCUUGAAUUUCAUGUUUCUACCAUUUAAUUUAAAUGAAUUUAUAGUUUAAAAAUUGACCCAUUCAUGAUAUAAUUGUAAAUUGAUUAGUGAUGUUAGAUAAUGAAUAUUUGGAGUGUUAAUUUCAAGUUUUACUAGAUGAAUUUCAAUGAAAAUGUUGAAAAAGGGCUAAAUUGUGAAAGAUGGUAAAGUGUGCAUAAAGUUGUGAUUUUGUGAAAUUGAGGGCUGUUAUGAGCAUGAAAUAUGAUUUAGUAAAGUUUUAAAUUUAGGAAUUUAGUGAAUUUUAUUUUUACGAGCUUAGGGACAAAAGUGGAAUUUUUGAAAAGUUAUGGGGAAAAAUGUAAAUUUUCCAAAAUGUUGUGUAUGAAUUGUAUUUGAAUGAAAUGUUGAUAAAAUGUAUUAAAUUGUGUUAAUAUAGAUCAAGAAAGAAGAAAUAGUGGAAGUGAUCGGGGAAAAGAGAAAGUUAUCAACUAAAUUACAAAAAUAGUCAUUUUGCAUCCGAGGUAAGUUAUGUGUAAAUAAUAGUUAUAUUUUUAUAAAUUGUGAAUUAUAUUUGAUAUGUGAAUUAAUAUUGAAUGUGAAAGGAAAAUUAUUUAUGAAUUAUUCAAGUGAUAAAUUGUUUAAAAUAAAGUGUUAAGUGUAAAUUCCCGGUUGAACUUAGGAAUAGAAGUGGAUACAAGUGACAUGUCACUAGAGAUCAGUGUUACAGUGUUACAGUGAGUUCCGGGUGCUGGGUGAUCUAGCAUGUGUUGCAGACACCUGACAGCUUGUGUGAGCAGGCCCGUGGACAUUUCCAGUGUUAUUGAUCAGUGGUAGCUUCUGCUACGUUUUAGUGGUAGCUUCGGCUACAUUUCAGUGGUAGCUACGGCUACAUAUCAGUGUGGCACUUAUGUGCUAAUUCUCUACGUAUCCAUGUAUAUUCCAAGUGUUCAACGGGAUUAAUAAUGAGUUAAAGUGAAUAUGAAAUGAAGUGUGUAUGCAGGUACAAUUGAAAGAAUGAGCAUAUGUGAUAAAUGUUAAGUGUGAAAAAGUAUAUGAAAGUGAAUUGGUAAGAUUGUGCAUGUGUAAGUGAUUGAAAUUGCUAAGAAAUGUUUUGAUUAGUUAUAUGUUAAAAGUGUUAAUUAUUAAAUGAGUACCUAUUAUUUACAUGUAACUUACUAAGCUAUUUGUAGCUUACACAUUUUCUCAUUUCCUUUCUUUUAUAGUGAUUUGAGCUUGUUCGAAUUGGGGAUCGUCGGAGCUCGUAUCACACUAUCAUAACCAUCUCGGUAUUAUGUGUUUUCAAAAUGUUUAAACUAUGGCAUGUAUAGAGUCUUAAUCAUUUUGAGUAUGUCCAUAUGAUAUGACUAAGAUUAGUUAUUGAAAUGGUUGAUAAAGAUUAUGUUUUGAUAUUAUGUAUGUGUAAAUGGUAGCUAAUACAAAGAAGCAGUUUCUUUGAUAGCAGCAGUGAUGUGAAUGUGAAAAAUCACCAUAAAUAGUAUAAAUGGAAUUAGGGAGUGAAUUAUAUAUAGAAUUAAAUCUUAUCAAGUCUAUUUUUACAUGAAAGAAACGGUGUAGGCAAAAGAAUUUUAUAUUUUGAGAUAUUUGAAUUUUAGUGAGACAGGGUCAGAAUGGUUUUUGAAGUCCCUUGUUCUGACUUUAGAAAAUCAUUAUAAAUUGUACAGAAAUAAUUAUAGGUCAUAAUUUAUAUGUAUAGAUUCCUUAGUGAGUCUAUUUUCAAAAGAAAUAAAUGGUAACCUUAUAUAAAUUCUGUACAAUGAGAUAAUUGAUUUUUAGUGCCAAGAUGUCAGAACUAUCAAGUAGUGAAACAGGGGAGACUUCAAUGAAUAAACUGUAUUAGUUGGCUAAACCAAAAAUUUUAAAAAUUUUAUGGUAAGAAGGUAUAUGAGUCUAGUUUCAGAGAAAAUUUAUAUAUUUAAAUUUCGAAUUUCGUAACUCGAGAUAUAAUUAAAUUAGUGACAGUCACUCAGGUGGACAUUUUUAUUGUGAACAGUGAAUUUAAUUUUGAAAGCAAUUUUUUUUAUGCUCCAAAUUGGUAAGCUAAAUUGAAUAACAUCUCGUACUCAAUUCCGGCGACGGUCUCGGGUAAGGGGUGUUACAUCGAAUAACUCGAAUAAUUUGAAUAUCAAACUAUAAUAUUUUACAUUUUUACCCCAAACUCCCAAACCUUUUUAUUUUUCCCUCAAAACUUUUACUCCUUCCCACUUUCCCCCCAAAACUUUUACUCCCCUCCCAACCCCCCAAUCUACCCAAAAUCCAUUCCCACCAAAAUUUUCCUCUCCCAUUUACUUUUUCUCAAAAUUUUAUUACCAAAAACCCUUAAAACCUUUUAUUUUCGCCCAAAAUUUUUACUCCCUCCCACUUUUCCCCUAAAACUUUUAUUCCAUUCCCAUCUCACCUCCCAUCUACCCCAAACCCUCCCCCUCCAAUUUUUUUUAAUAUUUUCCCUCCAAAAUUUUUCUCCCCCCUAUUUACUUUCUCUCAAACUUUAUUCCCCAAAACUUUUUAUUUUCCCCUAAACUUUUACUUCUCACCCUUACUCUCAAAUAAAAAAUCAAAAUUAUCCAAAAAAAAUCACUAAACAUAAAUAGUAAUAAUUUUAUUUAUAUCUACUAUUUAUAUUAUUAAAUUAAAUUUCACAUUUUAUAUUAUUUAUAUUAUUGAAUUGUUUAGUCAUAUUGAAUAUUUAUAUUAAAAUUGAAUUAUUAAUUAUGCCAUAAAAUAUUCGUGUUAAAAUUUUAUAUUAGUAUCAAUUUCACAUUUUAUUUUUAAAAUAAAUUUUAUUAAAAAUUAUAUUUUUACAUUUAAUAUAUUUUUUAAUUCCAAAAUACAUAGUGACAAGAAUCUGAAGAUAAUUGAAACAACUAAGCAAGCAAAGAAGCUAACCAGUAUAUAAAAAAUUAAUAAAUAAAUUAUGAGGUGAUGAAAGUUAAUAAAAAAUUUGAUUAAGGUGGACAAAUUUUAUUACGAUGGGUGACAGUGGUUACAAGGACCCAAAAUUAUUUUUUAAAAUUUAACUCAAACAAAUAUAUUCAAUUCGAUUCGAUUCGAAUUCCAUCUCACUCGACUCGAUUUGAGAAAAUUUCAAAUCAAAUUAGGAAGAUAAAAUAUGAUUCGUCAACUCGAUUAACUUGAAAUUUUUUUAUUUGAUUCGAUUCGAUUGAACGCUCACCCCUAGUCAUGAUUCCUGAGUGGAAAGGGGCCAAUGUACAAUGGAUUUUGCAUAUGGAUUUCUUGUAUCACCAGGGAAGAAAUUUUUGAUCUGGGUUAUGGUUGAUAGAUCUCAUUUAUUCCAGUCAGAACUGAUUACUUGCUUGAGAAGUAGCUGAGUCAUAUGUGUCAGAAAUUGUUAGAUCGUAUGGAGUGACAUUGUUUAUUAUUUCUAAUACCGAUUUGAGAUUCACUUCUAGAUUUCGUGUUAAAAAUUUCAAGGACAAACUUUCCUAAGGGGGAGUUGUAACAGCUUGUUUUUCAGAGGUGUCGAAAAUAAUAGUUUUGGGACCACAAAUUCGAUGAGUAAGUUCGUAUAAUUAGUAUUUAAAUUAUAUGAGUCAAUAAUAAUUUUAUAUUAAAUUUUGAUGUGAUGAAUUUUAACUAAUUGAAUUAAUGGUUAGUAUGAGUGGUUGUUCCGGAAGUCAAGUGGUUUUAAAAAAUAAGGUAUCAGGACCCCGUUUCUGUAAGCCAAGCUCGUGAAUAUUUUUAUUAAAUAUUUACAGAGUCAUAUUAUAGGUGAAUUGAAGUUUGGUCUGGUAAUUUUAACAAUUGGUUGCUUAAUUAAGGUAAAAGUAUUAAAUUAUAAAAGAGGUAAAAGUUAAUCGCUAUAGAUUUAAGAUAGUAAAGGGAUCAAAAUGGUGAUUAAACCAUGGUCAAAAAGUCCAAGCGGUGGUGGAUGUAAUUAAAUUACUAGCUUUUGGGCUAUUUACUCAUUUAGUCCUAACUAGUUUAAGGCUAAAUUGAAAUAAAGUUUAAUUAACUAAUAAUUUAAUAUAAUUGAAGGACCAAUUGUGCAAUUAAACCCUCCUUAGAUGGUAAUUAAACCAUAUACUUAUAUUAUAGACAUAUAUGGACAUGAUUUAGUAAUUUUAUAAGUUGUAAUAAAAGGGUAAUUUAGUAAAUAGUUAAAGUAUAAGUUAAAAUUAAACAAAUUAAAUGAUAAUAUGAACAUUUUCUUUUCUUCUUUGUGGAAGAAAACCUGGAUAGCCAUUGUUAGGGUUGGGAAAGCUUCGUUCAAGCUUUAAUAUCUUAUUGGUAAGUGAAAUUUCGCCCGUUUUUAGUAAUUUUUAUGUUCUUGAGCUUGUAUUAGCUUGAUUUAGCUAACCCGAGGACUAAUUUAUAAAACUGUUAAACGUUGUGGAUUAUGUCAUUAAUGAUUUUAGCGUGUUCUUGAAGUUUAAUGGUAGAUUAUUAAACUUGAUUGCUAAAUAUGAUUACUUUAUAAAGUAGUUUUUGUUAAUUUUGAUGUUUAAGGACUAAAAUGAGAAAUAGCAAAAUUACAUGUACCUGUUGUGUAAUAAAAAUAAACAUGGACUGUAUUAGGGUCCCAAAAAAUUUAGCUAAGCUUGAAUUUGGUUGAAAAUUGGUUAAAUUGCAAGUUUGAGCUAAGGGACUAAAUCGUAAAAAAUGAAAUAUUAGGGUAAUUUUGUAAAAAUGCAAAAAGACUUAAUUGCAUAAAUUGAGUUGAUUUUUCUAUUAGAAUUAGCGAAUUGAAUAAAAUUAUUAUUCUAUAUCAAGAAUGGGUUGAAAUCGAGGCAUAUAGAAGUUGUAAAAUAGUCCUUGUGCUUUGACGUUGCUGCACUUUAGUCUGGUAAGUUUGUUUGGUUAAUUUUUAAUACAUUUUUAAAUGCAUAAUAGAUGAAAUUCAAUUUUUGAAUGUUUAUUACUACCAAUGAUACUUUGUAAGUGAGAACUAAUAUAUUGACACGACAACACUGUUUUUCUUUUGAUUGAGAUAUUAUGAGUCGAUGAACGUAGGAUAGAGUACGACUGGCAUGCCAAUAGGUUAUUUGCGCAUGGUACGAGCUUGGAAUGGGAUGUGAUGAGGAUUUCGACACACCUCCUGUUCACUGAAAUACCGAAGUCUUGCAUUUGUUACGGACUAUCAUGUUAUAUAUCAGUGUUUUUUUGGCACGUUAUCGAGGGUAAACAUUAGCCUACAGGCUAGACACUUGGCGCCGAGGCGUGUUAUCGGUUGGAUUAGCUCAUAUGAGCGUUUGGCAUGUUCUCAAAUGGUUAACUGUAUACUCGUAUCCAUAUAUCAUUCAUCGGGCAUGGUUUUACUAAUCACUGAAUAUUAUUGAAACGUGGAAAAUUAAUUUCUACUAUUAUUUGAGCAUUACUCACCUGUUGUGAUCUAUGAUUGGAAAGAAUUCUAUUAAGAUCCUUGUUGACAAGAACUCGGUUUAUUAAUCUUGUUAUUUGAAUUAUUAUGUUUAAUUUGAUAAGCCUUAUCAUUUAAUUGAUGAACUUAGUAAGCUUUAUAAAAACUUACUCAUGAUUUGUUGUGCUUUCUUGUAGAUAACAUUUUGUGGGUAAUCGGGCGAUUGGAUCAACUCAAAGAAAUCACACUAUCUUAGGUUCUUUGGUAAAUUAUGAAUUCGAUUUAGCUUAUAUGGAAUUCAAAAUGGAACCAUUGAUCAUGUUCCAUAAUGUUUCAUAAAUACAUGUAAUGUGUCCGAGUUGUGCAUUUUGAUGCUGUGGUAUGAGUAGUUAAUGUGAUAUAUGUUUAAAUCCAUGUAUAAGCAUAAGUGAACAAGCAUGAAAUGUUAAGUGUGGUAUAAAGGAAUUAAAGGUAAGUUAUAUUUGAGUGUGUUGUGGCUUGUGUAAUGUAACUAAAGUAGUGAAAUGUUGGGUGAUUGGGGAUGUGGUGUCAUUGAUGGCACAUUGGUUAGGCACCUAGAUUGGUUGUUUAACUUGAUUUGAGUAGUUGAAGAUGCAUUCCAAAGUCUUGUGAACAUGUGUGUAAGUGUAUAGUUAGGUACUUAAGCAUUUGUUUGUGAAAUGAGAAUGUUUUGAGACAUUUAUGAACACACAGCUUGGGACACAGGUUGCCACACGGCUGUGUGUCAUGCACGAGCAACCCACACGGGCGUGUGCCUUUAACAUGUUAUGGUACAAGAUGAUCCACACGGAUACAGAGAGAUACACGACCUAGCGAGACUGUCAUGUGACCUUAUGUUACACAGGCACAGUGAGCUACAUGAUUUGCGCACACGGGCGUGUGGUUUGUCACAUGACCAUGUCUGAAACCGCAUGGUCUGAGUUCUGUCACACGGCCUGGACACAUGGCUGUGUGACCCUUAUUUUGAAAUUUUUUAUUUUUUUCCUGAACUUUUUUUAUUUGCUUCGAAUUGGUCCCUAAUUGUUCCUAAACUAUUUUUAAAGCCCAUAAAUGUAUGUAUUACUCAAAUCUGAAUUAUUUAUGAAAUUCUGUUAAUUAAUUUGGUAAACUUGAUGCUAUUUGUUAUUGAUUGUUCUGGAUUGUACGGUAAUAUGCUGUAACCCUAAUUCAAUUACGGGUACUAGUUAUGGGUGUUACAUAUAUACAAUGGAUGGAGGUAGUAAAGUGUGCAUAAUAAAAUUAGAAUAUAUAAAAUUUCAAAAUAACGUUUAGUUGAGUGGUAAAAUAAAAUUUUUACUAAUACAAUUGGCAAGAGUUCAAAUCCUACUAAAUAUAUAAUUUUUUAAAAGUAAAAAGACUAAAAUAGCCUCAAAUAAUAUAAGUUAUUUUAAUAACAGAAUGGUAUCUCCAUAAUUUUCUAACUGAGUUGGUGCUCAGUUGAUUCAGGACACUAACUCAAUCAAAAGUUUAAAUAAUAGUAUAAAUUUAUUAAAAUUCUGGUUAAAAUAAUAAAAUUAAAGCAAUUUAAAAUUCAAAUUGUUUUUUUAAGAUAUUAUAAAAAUAUAAAACUACAAACGUACUCACUUUUUUAUAUUUAUUACUUUAUAAAAGGAAUAAAUAUAAAAAGAUAAAUCACUAGAAUGAAGAAAUAAGGCAAAAAAAUUUAUCCACAGAAUAUUAUUAUUUAUAUUAACUAUUUAAAAUGUACAUAAUAAAUUAAAUUAAUUUAUACUUUAUGUAUCAUUAUAUUAAAUUAUGUAAAUAUAAUUUAUUAUUAUAUUUAAGUUUUUAGAAUAUUUAAAAUAUAUUAUUAAUUUUACAAAUAAUUUAUCUUAAUUACUUAAAACCUAUUUAAAAUUCAUACUUUAUGUAUUAUUAUAUUAAAAUUUUUAAAUAUUAUAUAACUUAAUUAAUUUUUAACUUUUCGUUUAAAGAUUUCAUUUUAACUUUCAAACAUAAUUUUUUAGUCACUUAUCCGGAGGAAUUAUUCAACAGUAAUAUGAAUAAAGAAGUAGGCUUAUGUGACACAGCAAUUUCCAAGUGAUGAGAAAGUUGAGGGCAAGGAGCGAAAGCGUGUUAAAGUGUCUCCAUCUCUUGCUUCUAUUUUGAACUUUUGCAUUUCCAUUUACUCACUGCUACACCCACACCCACACGACACGACACGACUUAUGGAUGCUCAAAGUCUUUGCAAGUCAACUCUCCUACUCUAUAUUCCAAGUCUUUCUUUCAGCUUGGUUUUAAUUGUAUUUCAUUAGAGCUGAGGCAGGCAAUCAACCCUUUCUUCCUCCAUCUCUCUGCCCUCAAAAUGAUUUCUCCUUCUUUCUCAUCAUCUCUGCCUCUGCCUCUUCCUCUUCCUCUUCCUCUGUUUUGUUUAUUAUUUAUCAUGCUUGGGACCCCUGUUUCACUAACCACUGCCUGGUUUGAGCCUGAGUUCGAGAACUGCCGUGAUAGCAAGUUCAAAUGUGGGAAUAUCACUGCUGGAUUUCCUUUCCAUGGAGGUGAUCGAGAAAAAGAAUGCGGACAUCCAGAUUUAGAGCUUGAGUGUGGCGGUGACAUUACCACGAUGAAAAUUCGCGAUGUACGGUAUCGCGUGCUUGAGAUCCUACCUGAUCGUCAAAUCCUAAGAAUUUUGAGUGAGAAGGUGAUCAACAAAGGCAUUUGUCCGCCUCGAUUUCCAGAUGAAGAUUGGAUCCAAGAUUCUCCGGUGUUUACUCCUGGUCCCGGCUUUGCCAGUGUUACACUGUUUUAUGACUGCCUCUCUCGCAUCUCACCAGAUCUUCUAUUCUUUACUUGCAAUAAAAAUUAUGGUCAUAGUAAUGUUUCGGUAGCAAUAGCAAAUAAUACUAGUAUCCAUCCAGAGGCAUGCUUAUAUCGUGCCAAUGUUAUGAUUCCUGAAACUUCCUUGGAAAGCCUCCGCAAUCAUUCCCCGGAUUGGAAAGGAGCCUUGGAAACAGGAUUCGAGGUGCAAUGGAGGAAGAACUAUGCAGAAGAAUGCUGGAAAUGCACUUCUUCCGGUGGAGCCUGCGGUUUCGGCAUCCACGAUCAAGCCAACUGCUACUGCCCACCUGGAAAAUGGAGUGGGCCGGAAGGCAAAGAAUGUCGGCCCCAUACAGGUAAGUACUAUCCCUUUUUACAACUAAACAAAGCUUUCUAUUAUUAGUAGUAGUAUGAUUUCCCAGUGGAUUAAACUUCAAUACAUAAUUAAAAUAACUGAAGUUGAGGAUUUGAUAGUUGUAGACUUGCAUUGCAGUAAAACCCAGACACCAAAACAAAUACAUAGAAAUGAGGUGACUAACAAACUGGGAUAGGGGUUAUGAAUUAUGAGAUUGAAGAAAUGGAGGUUGGGAAACUCUCUUGUUUUGAGUUAAUAGAAAAUAGGUUAAUUUGAUGUAUAGAAGCUACAAGCAUGAGUAUCAUGUUAUCUUUUUUAGGUAAGAAUUGGAUAACAGCAUCACUCUAAUACUCUCAUCUUUAUUUAUUUAUUUAUUUAUUAAGAGUAGGAUUCAUUUUAUGCAUAACUUUUAUUAUCUAAAUAAAACAAAUUCACAAUAUUGAUUUACGGCUUUAAAUAAAAUAUUUGUGCUCCAAUUUAGUUUUAUUAUUGUUCACUCAACCCAAACCACAAAUAAUUAAUUUCAAACAUAAAUUUAAGCAGUUGGUAAAAGAGUUUAAUUCAUAAUAUUCUUUAUAAUAUCUCUAUCGUUAUGGUUGACAAUUUUUAAGUUAAAAAUUUUAAACUUUGAGAUCAAUUAUUUUAAAUAUUUAAAUUCUUUAAAUUUAUAAAAAAAUAUAUUUUAAAAAAAAAUAUUUCAUUGAAACUUUUUUAUAGUAUAUCUUUUUUAAAAUUUUAUCUAUAUUAAAUUUUAGAGAAUAAUACUCAAAUUUUUUCACUAAAAGUCAAAAUUAUAAAUUUAGUCACUUUGUAUAGUUUAAAUUACAUUUUGGUCACUAAAUUUUUAAAAAAUAUGAUAUGGUCACUAAUGUUAUCAAUAUGUUAUAUUUUGAUUACUGAGCUGUUAAUUAGUGUUGAUGUUGUAAUGGUAAUUGAUAUGGCAUAUUAUAUCAUCAAUUUAGACAAAAAAAAUUAAAAUAUAAUAUUAAUAAAAACGAAUUUCAAUCAAUUUAAAUAUUUUUAAGUAUUAUUUAAAUAUUUAUAAAUUUAGUCAAGGACAAAUCCAACUGAUGAACUAGGAACAACAUUAAUUUUGUUUUAUUCUAUGUACUGAUAGACAUAGUCAAAAUUGUCGGUCUGAUUUAUUGAAUAAUGUCAGUCCCCUCUUUUCAUCAUUGGUUUGCAUAAUCUGAACAGAUCUGAACUCAUCUGACAAAGAAAGCAUUCAUGUUCCACAUGAUAUUUCCUUUUUCAUUUCCCAGAAAUUACCAAACUCCAGGAAAUUUCCUACAAUGAACAGGAAAUUCGGGGAGACUCUUGCUGCCAAACUCAUACACACGCGAUCAGCAUGUCUUCAUCAACAUAUCCUGGUUGCAAACAUAAAAGUGCUAUUGUGAUUAGUUGCAGUGAAUAUCGAUAGCGGAGAGAGUCGAAUCCAUAAAAUAAUCACCCUAACAUCGUUUCCCGAUCGGUUCUUAAUCCUGUUAAUACAAAACAAAGAUUUUUUAGUUGUGUGUGUAGGUUGAUAACUUGAUAUAUAGAAGUCAAGUUCCAUUUCAUUGCUUUGAUCUUCAUUUAGUCUAUCAGGUCAAUUAAUCCAACACAAAGAAGAUUCUUAAUAGAAGUGGGGACUUGGCACCCAAUUUCCAAAUUAUUUUGGUUUAAGUCUCCACUUCAGUUCUUCGAUUUGGAAUUAGGGUGUUUUUAGUGUUGUCAACUUAUGUUAUGUCCAAAGCAUUUCCUGCCAGUUUCCUUCAAAUUCUGCCAUCGAAGCUUUGGUCUUCUUCCCCGUAAUAGAUGCCCCCAUAGACUUCUGCAGCACUCUAGAACCAAUUUUCCAACUCCUGACGUAAUUUCCAGAUUAGAAAAGGAUUAAACGUGUAUACUAAUAUUGUAGAAUUCAACAUUGACCAUUCCAUAAUUCAUAAAUAUAUUCAACCCAUCACCCUUGUAACAUCAACAAGAUGUCUUCGCUUUCUCUUCCGAUAUCUUCCCUUCUGGCCCUCUUCUUUCUCGUUUUCUUAACCAGAGUUCCGACGAUUUUAUCCGCUGACGAUCCGCGGGCCUGCAGGGAAACGCUAACAUGCGGAAGCGUAUCAAGUAUCGGUUACCCAUUCUGGGGAAUGAACCGUCUGAGUUAUUGUGGCCAACCAGGAUUUGAACUGAGGUGCGAGAAUAAUGUAACGGAAAUCCUGAUGAAUGAAAACACCUUACGAGUUCUUGACAUAGACCCUGAACGACAGAUUCUUAAGGUAGCUAGGGAGGAUUACUGGAAUGGUUAUUGUUCCACGAAAUUUAUCAACACCUCAAUCGACUUCGAUCACUUCAAUUACGGCUCAAACAUUAGGAACCUCACCCUAUUCUACGGAUGCAACCCGCUGCCAACCUCGACAUUUCUUCCUAACUGCUCCAUGAAUAGUACACUUAUUGAUGUGUCAUAUGCUGUUAGAAACAUGUUGGGUGACCCUCGCUAUGGCAUAUGCCGUGAAAUUGUCGUAGUUCCGGUUUAUGAAGCUGCAGCAAAGGACCUGGAGGUGAACCCUAUGAUUAUGCAAGCUGCUUUAAGAGGAGGUUUCGAAUUGCAAUGGGAAGCGGAUAAUGAUCAGUGCAGAAGAUGCAGAGAUUCAGAUGGGAUUUGUGGAUAUAAUCAAACUUCAAAUAGUUUCACUUGCUUUUGCAGCGAUAAACCUAAUUUAACCACAUGUUUUCCAACAACUGAAGGUACGUUAUAGCUCUUCUUCCGUAUAUGUUUGCUCAGCUGUUUGUUGUUGCAGAACUUGCUGUUUCAUUGAAUAUCUCGAGUCUUAACUCUUAAGUAACCUUCACGGUUUGACUCAUUCUGAUGUUCAAUCUUCAUUAGCAGUAGCAGCAAAUUGGCCUUUGUUACUUCAGAUCGAAUCCUAAUCUCCCCAAGAAGCCAAUGACUUCAUUAACUCUGACCAUUUUGAUUGGUUAAUACCAGUUCAUCUUCAAAUUCCAUGGUCGCUUGUUCUCUUUCCCAUCACAACUGCAUCAGCUAGCAGAUAAAACGUAGGGUCUUACCAGUUGCUUAUAGAUUCGACCUAGAAAUACUUUCAGCCAAAGUAGUACUAUUAUUGAUUUAUUCAAUCAUUAAAAUCAGAUGAUAUUUUCCAGUUACAGCUUUCUUCAAGUUUUCAACAAACUCGAACUGAGUUUAUACCUUUAUGAGUUCCGAGUCCUGAGACUAUUAUGUUGAACUGGGUUAUUCAGACUUAAUAAUAUAUUAUUGCCAUGGUAGGCUACCUAAAUUUCCAUAGACUGGCGCUUAAUGGUGGCAUACAACAGAAGUUUCCGUACUCCUAAUUAUAAAAAGGUUAUUUUUACAAUUUUAAAUGUGAAAAUUUCUUUUUAUGUUAUAAAAAUAAGAAAUUUAUUGGGUUUCAAUAAUUACUAUUUUUUUUAAAUUUUUGCAUGCACCUAUAAUUAUUGAUUCAUAUUUUAAUUAACAUUUCGUGAUUUUUUACUAUUACAGAGAAAAAGGAUGGAAAGUCUCUCCAACUUGGACUAGGUAUUAUUCGGUACCCUUAUUAACUUAUGUUUAAAUUUUAUUCCAGUCCAAUUAGUUUGAUUUUUUGGUUUUAGUUUAAAUUGUACCAACUCUUAAAUAGUUUUACCUGAAAUUAUUUGAUUCUAACAUUAAUUCAAUAAAAAUAAUACAUAAAAAACCAAAUAAAACAAAUAAAAAAUCGUUAUGAGAAUAUUUUGGUUUUUUAAUUUUUUAAAUAAAAUUUUAUCUAAUUAUUUGUUUAUUAACUUUUUUUUCUAGAUUUCUAACAAACUGUGCAUGUUGUUAUUAUUUCAGUUCUUUCCACUGCUCUAUUUUCUUUUCUCCAUCUUAAUUGUUUCACUUACUUUCUCUAUAUAUUAUAUAACUAAUUCAUUGUUUUCAUACUGCAGGAGCAGGAUCGGCGGUAGCUAUAACCAUUCUCAUAUGCUUCCUUGUCUUGUGCUUCAAAUUAGGAAAGUCAUUACCUAUUAAUCACGGAAAGAAGGAAGAGGAUGCUAGGAUUGAGGCAUUCAUCAAAAAGUUUGGUUCUCUUGCACCAAGGCGAUAUUCUUAUGCAGAAAUCAGAAAAUUGACAAAUAAGUUUAAUGAUAAAUUAGGUCAAGGAGGAUAUGGUAGUGUAUACAAAGGGAAAUUGUCUGACUGUCGUCUCGUGGCAGUCAAAGUCUUAAGUGAAUCAAAAGGAAAUGGAGAGGAUUUCAUGAAUGAAGUGGCUAGCAUUAGUAGAACUGCUCAUGUUAACAUCGUGAGUCUACUUGGUUUUUGUUUUGAGAAAUCAAAGAGAGCUUUAAUUUAUGAAUUCAUGCCCCAUGGAUCCUUGGAUGGGUUUAUUUAUGAUAGAGGAUUGCAUCAUCGAAGUUGUCGAUUGGAGUGGACAACUUUGUAUGACAUUGCACUUGGCAUUGCUAGAGGACUCGAAUACUUGCAUCAAGGUUGCAACACAAGGAUCUUACAUUUCGAUAUAAAACCUCACAACAUCCUUUUAGAUGAGAACUUCUGUCCCAAAAUCUCUGAUUUCGGUUUGUCUAAAUUAUGUGAAAGAAAGGAGAGUAUUAUUUCCAUGGCUUGUGCUAGGGGAACAAUAGGUUAUAUUGCUCCAGAAGUGUUUUGUCGAAACUUUGGUGGAGUUUCUUAUAAAUCUGACGUCUAUAGCUAUGGAAUGAUGGUCCUUGAAAUGGUGGGAGGAAGAAAAAAUAUUGAUGUUGGAGUGUCUCAAACUAGUGAAGUAUAUUUUCCGUCUUGGAUUUAUAAGCAUCUUGAUCAGUCUAUGAACUUGAAUCUUAAUGGAGGAAUAGUUGAAGAAGAAGAAGAAGAAAUGACAAGGAAGUUGAUUAUUGUGAGCCUUUGGUGCAUUCAAUCUGAUCCAUCUGAUCGACCAUCGAUGACUAAAGUGAUAGAAAUGUUACAAGCAAGUCUUCAAUCAUUGAUCAUUCCACCUAGACCUUUUGUAUCUUCUCCUGUACGAUCUCCUAAAACUUUAGAACUUCAAAAAUAAUUUAAGCUUUGAUUUGUUUGAUGUUGCAAGUUUAACUCAAACUUCUAAUAAAAAUUAUGAUUGAAUAUUACAAUUAUGAUGAAAAAAACUAUGGUUUUUAACGUAAAAAAAAAAGUCACAACAAUUCCGAAUAUGCUAAAGCACGUAAUCGCAUGAGAAAAUUUGGACAAUUUCAGAUGAUGAAAUAGUUUUCUCUCUCUCGUCAUCGUAUGAAUUAGAUUGAUUUCAUACAAUAUUAUACAUUUUGUUUCAUAUAAAAUUACAUAAGGCAUUGUGAUGGGUUAUCAGUUGGAAUAAUGAUUAUUGGUAAAGAAAUAAUAACAGUGAAUCUGAAGAAUUUUCUUGUAUUAAUUUGAUAAGGAUUAAGCAAUCAGCGAUGUACUUAAUAGAGUGAAAAAAAAAAGCGAAAAGAUAAAUAGAGAAUAAUAAAAAAAUUAAAAAAAUUAAAUUGAUUUGAUAGAAGGAUAAAACAGAAAGUCAAAUUAGAAUAAAAAGGGGGAGAAAUGACAAGGUAAAAGGUUAAGUGUAAAUUUUACAAAAUUUUGCAAUUUUUAAAAAAAAAAUUAUUAUUUCUGUUAUUUUUUCAACUUUAAAAAAUUAUAUAUUUAUGUAUUAGUGUUUCCUGCGGAGCUAAUAUAGGAAAGAAAUAUGCAAAAUGUCAUAAAGUGUGACGAUUAUGCGUCGAAUAUGUGCAUUAUGGUCGGAUUUCUAAGUUGGUUCAUGUCUUUGAAAGUUUAUUAGAAGUGACCACAAUAGCAUGUUUUGGAGACAUGAAUUUCAAAAAUAAAAAUUCAGAAAAAUAUAGUUUUUAGCUGAAGUCAGGUAUUUCCCAAAAUGUGUCUUCUGCUUAGAGAGACUCAAAAUGAAUGUUAGUUAUCAGACAUGAGUAUGCUUACUUUUUCUAUUUUCUUUUCAUGUAUUUGAAGUACACCACACCUGCAUGCAUAACAAGUAACAACUCCAGUACCUUGCUCCAUCCCACAUUUUAUUAAUUAUUUUUAAUUUAGUCUUGUAAGAAAAAAUAUAUACAUUAUAAUUUAUUCAUGUACAUAUUUUUAAUACAUAUAACCUGCAUAUAUGUCUAAAAUUACAUACAAAACAUAUAAAAUAUUUAUCACACUACAACGUAAAAUCACUUGCAAUUAGAAGAUAGGUAUGUUGUUACUAAAAUUCGGUUUGAAUCGAGUUUUGGAUAAAAUCAUUUUGCAAAUUGGAUAAACAAUAAUUCAAAAUGAUUAUUUUAAUAAUAAAAUAUUCCUAUUUAAAUGUAAUAAUAAAUUUUAAUAUAAAAAUUAUUAGUAUUUUAUUAAUUUUAAAAUAAGAACAUGAGUUUUUCGCAUCACGAUGGACUUAAACAUCAAAAAAUCUGGAGAGUGAAUCUUGUCAAGAAAAAAAGAAAGAUUCUGGACAGUGACCAAACCCUGGCCUAACCAGGCCCACGGACACGCAUAAUUGGACCACGUUACUUGUCCAACAAAAAUUUUAUAUAAUAACAAAUAAAAAUUUAAAUUAUUACAAUUUCAUUAACCAAAAAAUAAAAUAUAUGUUACUUUUGUUUUAAAUAAAAAAUUAAUUAAUUAUAUAAUAUCUUUAUAUUUCAUACAUAAAGUUUUAUAAGUAACACAUUUAUAUAAUCUAAUCUAAUCUAAUAUAUUAUAAUUAUAUUAAUAUAAUAUUUCUAUAUUAUUGAUGCUUUCUAUCUGUGUAAAUCUUUCUAAACAACAAGGCAUGCUUUGUAUCUCUCCACAUUGUAUUUUGAACACUUCUUGAUGUUAAGUAUACAUUUGCAACUAAUGCGUUUUUAUCUUCAGUCAAUGAAAUAAGAUCACAUACAUCAUUAUCUUUCAUGAACUUAAUCUUUUCGUCCAUGGAAUAUAUCCAUAUUUGAAAGCUAGAACUUUUGUUGGUUGGACAAAAGUUGAUUAGAUCAUCUUACAUCACUCCAAUGUCAACUUCAUACUUCAGAGAAAUAUAAUACAAUCAUAUGAUAUUGCAUUCUUUUUUUCUUUUUAUAGUGGAUAUUUUUAAUGGCAUUAGCUAUUGAGAUUGUAGAGUUUGUUUUUUUGGAAUAAAUUCUUGUUCUUGAUUACUAGAUUCAAUGGCAUUGUUUUGAUCUAGAGUUACUGCUUUAACAAAUUCAGGUAUAGUAGAUUAUUCCUUCUCAUUGUCAAUAGCAAUUAAAGUAAUGUGUUGAGAACUAUCAACAUAUUUUUCUUAAAAAAUAAUGUCCCUAAUUGUCUCCUCCUUACAAACUCAAUAUCCUCAAAGAACUGUGUAUUAAACAUAUCAAAACUUGCGUUAGUAAUGGGAUCACAAAAUUUAUAACCUCUAGACCUUUCAAAGUAACCUAUGAAAUAGCAACUAACAGUUAUUAAGUUCAAUUUCCUUUCAUUUGGCCUAUGAGGCCAAACCUGAAUUGGACAUCCCAAAGUGUGCAAAUGCUUUAAGUUAAACUUUAUUUCUAUCCAAAGUUCAUAAUGGACCUUUUCUUCUGCCUUAGUCGAAACUUUGUUGAAUAUAUAUGUUGUGAUCUUUAAUGCUUCUCGAAAGUGAUUUAAAUUAAGUAGAAUGAUUAAUCAUACACCUUAUUAUGCCCUUAAGGGUAAUGUUUCAUCUUUUAGCAACACCAUUCAUAGUGGGUAACUUAACAUAGUGUACUGUGGGAUAAUACAACUUUCCUCUAAGAAUCAAAUAUGUUGAUAACCUAAACCAUUAUAAUUGCAUUAGUAUUCACGAUCAGAUCUAACACGUUUAAUUCUUUUGUCAACUUGGUUUUCAAUUUCAACCUUAUAAUACAUUAGCAUAUCUAGUGUUUGCAAUUUCUCUUGAAUGAGAUAAAUGUAGUCACAUAAAAAAUUGUUUAUUAACGUUAUGAAAUAUUGUUGACCAUUCCAAAAAACUAUAGGGAACAAUCCACUAAUAUUCGUGUAUAUCAGUUUUAAAGCGUCUAAAUUCCUAUUGGCAUCAAAUCUACUAACAUAUGUUUAUUUCCCCUUAAUGCAAUUUGUACACACAUCAAGAUCUAAAAAAAUCAAAUGGAUUCAGAAUAUCGUCAGAUGCAAGUCUCUAAAUUCUCCUUUUGGAGAUAUAACUUAAUUUUUUUGUAGCACAAUGAACCAAAUUCUCAAUGGUUAAUUUAUGUUUUUUAUCUAUUAUGGUAGUGUGCAAAGAUUCAUUAAAUGAAGCAAUAGUAUCAAGUAAAUAUAGAUUAUCAUAAUCAGAUAGUGAACUAGAACCAACCAAAUUUGAAUUUUGAAAAGAUAUUAAAUUUUCCAUUUCCAAAUAAACAACAAUAAGCAAAUUAGCCCAAUGCUGAAAUGAUAAUCAAAUUCCCCUUGAAAGAGUCUCAUUCAAAUCCAAAUAAAAUCUAAUUCUUAAUAGUAACCUAAAAUUUCCUAUUACCUUAAUUUCUAUCAAAAUAUUGUCGCUUACAUAAUUGUAUAUUUCAACAUUAUUUAACUUUCAGUGGGUUUGCUAGUCUUGCAUAAACACGUUAAUGUGGGUUUGUAACACCCCUAACCCGUAUCCGUCGCCGUAUUAGGGUUACGAGGCAUUACCAAACAAACACAAUCAUUUUUAAAACCAAACUGAUCACAAAACAUGGAAAUUAAAUCAUUUUCGCAUAGCUAUUUAUAAUUUACAAUCAAAAUCUAACCAACAUCAUACUCAAACCUAUACAUGCCAUAAGAUCGAGUUCAAAUAUUUAACAAAAUACCAAAAGAAGUCGAUAGUGUGAUAGACUAUGCUGAUGAUCCCCCAGCUCGUAACGCGUCACCAAAAUCUAUAAAACAAAUGGACAAAAACAAUCAAAGUAAGCUUUUAUAGCUUAGUAAGUUUAUAACAUAUUUAAAAUACAUAUAAACAAACGUAUGUAUAAUCAUUAUAUGCUUAAAAUCAAGUUACAUACAUAAUCACUAAUUGCAUAUGAAAUUUCCAAAUAUACUUAUCAUUUGCAUUUCAUUGAAUGCAUGUCUAUUAUCUUUUAAAUACAUAUGUCGAAAGCUUAUAUUUUUACUUAUCAACUACAUGAAUCAAAUGCACAUUUAUACUUCUAAUUCACAUGUGCCGAUUUCAUACAUGUAUAUUGAACAAUUUAAACCGAAUGUAUAUACACGUUUACGUAAAUAUUCGAUUGCAUAUAUAUAAUCAUAUGUUUAAUAAUUUUUAGAAUCGAAUGUGUAUGCAUUUUUAUUUCCUGCAUACAUCCGAAUGCACAUAUAUACCAAUCACAUUAUAUAAUCAUUUGUAUAUAUAUAUAUAUUGAACAACCGUAUAUCACCAUAUGUAAUUAUAAAUUCAACAAUCGCAUAUUACCUAAUAUACAUAUGCUUUUAUUAAUUGUAUAUAUCGAAAGCAUACAAUUAUAUUUAACCAAUGCAAAACCCGAAUGUAGGUAUACACUUACCUAGUAUAUAAAAACUGAAUGUUUAUGUAUUCAUCAAUUUCAUAUAAUCAAAAUCAUAGAUAUAUCAAUUGCAUAUUCUCACAUAAUUUGAACAGAUUCACCGGCACUUAGCCUGCUAGGUUUUAAAACCUGAUUCAGUACACCAGCUCUUAGCUUGCUGGACCUAUAGUCCGAAAUGUAUCACCGGCAUUAAGCCUGCUAGACGUAAGGUCUGAAUUAUUUCACCGGCAUUAAGCCUGCUAGGCACAUAGCCUGAAUAACUGAGAUGCAAAGUUAAUCUUUCAUAUAAAUCUUUAUAACACACAUAGAUCUUUCUCAAAAACUAUAUCUCGAUAAGAAUUGUUUUAUAUUCAACUCUUUAUAGCAACCUCACAUUCGAACCACAUAUACAUAAUUCACAACAUUAAGUUCAACUCAAGAAACUCAAAUCCUAUUUUCGAUUCACAUGUACAAUUAUAUAUAAUUAUUAACAUUAAAUUCAACUCAAAGAAACUUGUAUCUUACAUUCUAACCUCUUUUAUAUAUAUAUAUAUAUAUAUUUCAAAUCAUUUCAUUCAAUUCAAAACAUUGCAUCAUUUAUUCGAACCACAUAUAUACAUACAAUUUAUAUCAUUAAAUUCAACUUAAAGAAUUUGUAUUACACAUUCGAACAAUAUCAUAUAUUUAUUUAAUAUAUGCUAUUAACUUCAUCUUAUUAAACUCAAGCAUGCAUGAUAUAACAUAUUCAAUAUUUGUAAAAUAAAAUUUCAACAUUCCAAUUUCUACUUGUAUAUCCGACUAACAAUUUAUAUAAUUCAUAAAAUCAAAUUUAGCUUAUAGAACAUAAAAUUCAGCUUAUAGAACAUAAAAUUCAGCUUAUAGAACAUAUAUAUAUUCUAAUUUAAUGACAUACAUUUGCUAUUAGACUUACCUCGGACGAUAGAAAAUCGAAGUCAGACGAUUAUUCGACUAAUUUGGCUUUUCCCCGAUCUAACUCCGAUUUCUUUGGUUCUCGAUCUAAAUAUUUUCAAAAUAAGAUAAUUUAUUUAUUAACACAUUCAAUUUAAUCCAAAAACACAUAAUUUGGCAAAUUACUAUUUUGCCCCUAAUAUUUACACUUUUUGCAAUUUACUCCCUAUUGCAUAAAACACAAUUUAUAAAAAAUUUGCCCAUACCACACAAGGCCGAAUAUUCAUGGUUCUCAUACAAGUCCACACAUUGCAUUUAUUUCACAUUUUAGUCCCCCAAAAAUUUAAUUUCACAAUUUAGCCCUAUUUACUCAAUUUCACUAAAAAUUCCAAUACAAAACAUAUUAAUCUAUCACAUGUCUUUCAUUUUUCAUCAUCAACUAUCACAAAGUCCAAGCAUUCAUCAAUGGCACAUUUCAAAAUCAUCAACAAUUCACAAAAUUAAAACAUGGGUUUUGAAGAACACAAAGCAACGAUCUCAAAAACGUAAAAAUUAUCGAAAACCGAACAAAACGAACCUUGAAUUUAAGCUUGAAUAUGGCCGAAACUUAACUAGGUUUUAACGGCUUUCUUCCUUCUUGGUUUCAGCUAAGAAAGAUGAUAAUCAUCUAAUGUUUAUUUUAUGUUUUUAACAAUCAUAUAUUAUAAUAUUUGUAAUUUACUAAUUUAGCCUUAUUUAAAUAAAUAUAACUUAUAUAUAUAAUAAGGUUAGUUUUGUCCUUAGCCAUCCACUAACUAUUUAAUGGUCUAAUUGCAUGUUUAAACCUUCCAAAUAAAAAGGCAACAACAAAUAGAUACUUUUAGCUUUAACCCCUAAAUUUUUAUUUUACGCGAUUUAAUCCUUUUUAUUUAAUCAGACACUCAAACGGCAAAAUUAAAGCACGAAAUUUUCACACUAAUAAAUUCACACAUAAUGAACACAGAAAAUAAUAUAAAAAUAUUUUUCUAAAUCGGAUUUGUGGUCCCGAAACCACUAUUCCGAUUAGGGUCAAAACCGGGUUGUUACAGGGUUACUGCAUUGGAAUUUAUCCACCAAGUGUAUCUAGGUCCUAAAGUUAAAUUGACCUCAAAAUAAAUAAAAAUAAGAAGUGUACCUUUCUUUGCGGUACAAUAUUUGCAUCGUAGUUAUUUUUCUUUGUAUACUUUAUUAAAGUUAGACUUAUGCAUACUAAUUUCAACCUUUUUAUUCUUGACAAAUCUCUUUCCAAUGUCGAUCAUGAAAUUUUUGGCCAUGGUAAUCUUAUCAAACGUAGUGCCCCUGAAUGUUUUUGGAAUGACCAUCAUAAUCAUCAUACACAUAUGGUUUGAUCUCUCACACCUUUUCAUCUACCUCUUUCUAUUAAAGGCACUCUCAUACAUAAACGAUGGAGGAGAAUUAACCCUUAAUACAAGAUCGAGAACUAUCAUAAGACUCUCUUAUCAUGUUUUGAAGUUCAUGCCAUUUAAAAAAAAAAAAAGGGAUUGCAUUCAUACUUACAAUUAUGCCAAAGGAUGUAAUAAUAAGUUAAUCAAAUAAAAAAGCUCACAUAAGACCUAAAAUAGAAAAAAUAAUAAUAAUUUUGAGUAAUGGUAAACACCAUCAAAAUAUCAGACACUCCAUUAAUAUUUCAUCUUUGAAUAAAUAUUAACUUUUAAGUGAUAUCUUAGUGUAGCAAUCAAACACCAACAAUAAGAGCAUGUCUAUAACACCCCUCGCCCAGUCCGAUUGCCAAACUCAAGCUACGCGAUGCUACCACUAUUAUCAGAGCAAACCACUACAAUUUAUAGUAAUUAAUCAUCUAAACACCAAUUCAUGCCAUAAUUCCAUGUAUAAUAUGAAAUACUAUCAAAACCGAGUCUUAAACGAGCUUACAAAAGCUUUUAGAUUGACCUGAGCACGAAUAAGGACCAAUCUAAAAAAAUUCCAAAACAAAAAUGGAAAUAGGUAUCGAUACCCACUUCAAGUACCGAUACCAUUUUCACUUUUGAUGUUACAAAAUUAAGAUGAAAAUGUACAAGUAUCGAUACCUGGGAUUUAGUAUUGAUACCUUUGUUACAAAGUAUCGAUACUUAUCCCAGUAUCGAUACCGUUUUUAGGCUCGAUAUUUGAAAAACUCAUGGAAAUUUGUAAAGUACCAAUACCUUUGUCUAGGGUAUACAUUUUGCCAAAAUGCCGAAAAUCACACAUUUUGGUCAUUUUUACAUGCUCAUAGGCGUGUGCAAAAUUCGGGUAAAACCAAAAAAAUUCGGUUAACUGACCGAAUUUGGUUAAUUGGUCGGUUAACUGAAGUUUUUCGGUCGGGGUUCGGUUAAUUAUUUUUUAAUUUUUUAGUUAACAGUUAAUUCGGUUCGAAACCGGUCGAUUAACAGAAUUUUUUUGGUUUAACCGAAAAAAUUAAUAAAUAAAAUUAUAAUAUAUAAAUAGGCCCACUAUUCACCUAAACCCAAUCCAAAUCCAAGUAUCCAACCCAACCCAAAUACCCAACCCAACCCAAUCAUAAAAAUUACAAAUAAUUUAAUAAAUAAAAAUAAAAUUUCAAUUAUGUGUUAAUUUCAAGACUUAUGUAAUGUUAGUGAUUCAAAUACUUAUGUAAUGUUUUUAAUUAUGUAGUGAUUCAAUUUGGUUAAUUCAGGUAAUUCGGUUAAUAAUUUUCGUUAAUUCGGUUAAUCGACCGAAUUAACCGAAAAAAUUUCGGUUCGGUUAAUUUUUUUGAAAAAAUUCCGGUUCGGUUAACGGUUAAAAAUUUUGAAAGAUCGGUUAAUUCGGUUAAUGUUAUUUCGGGUCGGUUAACCGACUUAACACCCCAACAUGCUCAAUCAAACUCAAACUCAAAUGGUGCUUGUAGACACAUUUUGACCUGCAUAUAAUCCACUCAAAACAUACCAAUAUACUACAUUUCAUCCAUUCCAAAAUGUCUCAAAUGGAAUCCAAAACACAACACUUCUAAUUGAACAAUUCAUACUCAAUUUACCAUUCAAUUUAUCAUUUAAUACCAUCGUGUUAUCAUGCCUAAUCAUACUCACAAGUACCAUUAUGUAUCAUUCAAAACAUACUAAUUUCAUACCAAAACUCACAAUUAAACAUAUUUCAAACAUCUAAACAAAUAUGUCACAUUUGACACCAAAUUUACAACAACCUACUUAUAUCAUUUCAUGCCAUUCAACCAUUCAUUUCAUCUAGUUAUUUCAGGUUCAACUAUGCAAUUAUGGAUGCCAACCACAUAGAACACAACAUAACACCAAAUUUAUGAACAUAAACAAUUUUCCAUUACAACAAAAGUUCAUUUUCAACUAAUGCUUCAAAUCAAGCUUAACAUUUUAAGAUAACAUAACCACUCCUAAGAACAUGCCACAUAUAACCGAAUUCAAAUGCUCAAAAGUCUACCGAAUCAGGAGAUGGAUAGUGUGAGUUCUGAGGCAAUCCGAUCAACGUAUUCUACGAACUGAAAAUCUAUAAAGAAGGAAAAACAACUAGGUAAGCAUUUCAAAUGCUUAGUAAGCUCAUACAUAUACAAACAAUUAACUUACCUCAUAUGACAAGUAUUUAUGUUAAUCUAAUGUGUAUAACCAAAUUUACCUAACAUAUCAAAAACACAAGCACAACUAGGUGAGCUUAAUUCAUAUUCUAUCAUGUAACAUAUCAAGUACAAGCAUAACAUUUAAUAUAUUCUAAAUCCAAUUUAACCACAACUCAAUCAUAUGUAUACACUCAACUUAUCAUUAACUCUUCCACUUUGCUAGCUUUGAUCAUUAAACACAUUAUAUUAAUUCUACGUUUCACAUCUUGUAAACUACCCGAUGAAACACCGUAAAAGAACUAAACCUUUUAUGCUUAACUAACCACAUCUGAUGCUCGUCUGAGCUAAACAUAUAUGUUUGUAUCAGGUUACUCGUCCGGGCUAAACCUAUAAAAGGACAUUAGGUUACUUAUCCAAGCUAAACAUGUAUCACAUGUAUCUUCAAGUCUACAACAAAUGAUGGAACUCAGAAUCAUUGGAAAUCAACCUAUAACCAUGUGUACAAUACAUUUACAAAGUUCCAUCAGGGUAAUUUCCAUCAUGUAAGUUCAUAUAUUUAUUCCUUUUCAAUUUUAUCCCAAUCUCACCCUUUAGUACUAAAUUGAGAUUACUUUGAAGUUCAACAAAGCAUACAUAAAUUCACAAUAUAAUGUACAUAGAGAUUUAAGAACAUUUAUCCCAUAUGAACUUUCCUAGAUAAAAUAGCAAUCGAUAAGGUGUCGAGGACUAAUCUACAAUUUUCUCUUUUUCGUGAUUAUCUUUCGAUUGGUUUAAAUCUCAAUCUAUACCAUAAUUCAAUUAAAUUAUCAAUUCCAAACAUCAUUUAACAGCCUACUAUAGUUAUGUAUCAAUUCAAUUUCAUCUAUCGAAUAUGUUCUCAAGUUUUGUAUUUUAUUCAAUUUAGUCCCUAAAAUCGAAAUUGCCAUAACUUUCAAAUUUGAGUUUUGAUUUUGAAACUGAUCUCAAUUUCAUCCUUCUAGACCCCUCCAAUAUUAAAAUUUACAUAAAUUUUGUACCAAAUUUGAAAUUGUUGCAUUUUAGUCCCUAUGUUCAAAACUAACAAUUAAACUUUACAAACAAGUCAUAUUUCAUUUAUAAGCUUAAAAACUAACAUUUUAACACCAAAACUUCAAGCAUUCAUCAAUGAUAAUAUUUUAAAAUUUUAACAAUUUUGAGAAAUAAAGUAAAAAUUAACUAAAUUGAGCUGUCACUAUCUCAAAAACAUAAAAAUUACAAGAAAAGAACUUAAAAAACAUACCAAAAUGAUAGGCCGAAUGUUGAAAUGUUUGUUUAUGUUUUAUAUUAUAAUUAUAAGUUAACAAACUAUAAUUAAUUGGCUAAUUAAUUAAAGCUUAAUUACUUAAAAUUAAACAUGUUUAGCAAAGUUGGUGGGAUACAUUUGUCAUCCACCACCGUUUAAAUCUUUCAGAGUGGUCAAUUUGCCUAAUUGGUCUUCUAAUUAUUACACUUUUAUAGCGAUUAAUUUUUACUACUUUUACAAUUUAGUUCUUAUACCUUAAUUAGUCACUAAAGCGGCAAAAUUACCUAUUCAAAAUUCAAUUUACUUAUACGAUAACUCUGUAAAUAUUUAAUAAAAAUAUUUACGAGCUUGAUUUAUGAAAACGAGAUCCCGAUACCUCAUUUUCCGACACCACUAACUUUAAGGUCAUUACACUUGUACUUUAAUUAACUAUCAAAUUAAUAAAUUUAAAUAUCCAAACUCGAACUAAACUUCACAUUGAUCUCAUAAAUAUUAAAUAUUAAUAUUUACGGACUCAAUCAUCGAAAAUGGGAUUCCAAAACUACACCACUGAAAAAUGAAUUGUUACAUUAAUAUUAAACAAUAAAUCUUCGUUUGAGUCAAUUUAUUACUCAUACGUAAAAUCGAAAUCAUCAUAUAUAUUUAUUAUCACAAUUGAACAUAUAAUUAUGUUAAAUAUUUGUAUUUAUUUGAACCUUUCAUUAUGAUAAUGCAUUACCAUCAGUCUUUUAAAUAAUGGGUGAUCAAAAGGUAUCUUUCUUAUAAUUAUAAUAAUACAACGGUUUUUUGGGGGUUCAAAAUAAGAGUACAACGUUUAUUGCAGCAUUAAUGAUCGGCAUUGAUAAGAUCAUCCAAUUUACGAUUGAAUGUUCGACUUUAAACAAGAAUGUUGACUAUUAAAUAAUCAUCCAAUUACAAUUGUGCAUUAAGUUUAUAUUUAUCAACUCUUAAAACUUUAAUGUAAAUCUGAAAAUUCAUCAUCAAAUUUUAAGAAAAAAUCAUUUAAAAUUAAUAAUUUAUUCUCGAUUAUUUAACAUGAUAAAGCUUGAAUGUCACUUAUUAAAACCAUAGUAAAUUUGAUGUAAAAAGUAAUAAAUUAGACUUUUCAUGUUAGAUUAUCAAGAACAAAUACUAGUUGUAGAAGCAGUUCUUUGAUAUGUUGAAGUCUUUUAAUCUUAUCGUUUUUUAUCUUCUAAACUAUCACGUCAUUCUUUAGAAAAAGUGAAACUCUUUUCAAAAGAUCGGUUGCUAGAAAAUUUAUCUUAUGUGUAAUUUGGAGAUCAUAACUCUAAUAUGUAACUUUAAAACCUUAAUCUUAUUGUUUUUAAUUAGCUCAUCAUUAAUUACAAUUUAGUUAGUUGAGUACAAACACAUAUUUGGCUCAUUCUUCUUUUUUUAAUAAUUGAAUCCCAAUUAACCUUAACUAUAUUAGGUCACUUUUAAUUUGGGCUAACAUUUUAUGAUGUUAAAUUAACAUUUAAUUAUUCUUGUUCCAAAAUAAAAAAUUACAAUGCAUGGUUGCUGAAAAUAAAAUAUUCAGUUUGUGAUAUAUGAAUAUUAUAAUAUAUACCUCAUCAUCAAUUAAAAUGAUCUUUCGUUCUUUUCUACUGCCAUUACCAUUUGAAUAUAAUCAGCAUUUUUUUUAAAAAAAAUAUUACUUUAAUUUUUUAAAUACUUCUAGACUUCUAGUUUAUCAAUGUUAAUAAUCCCCAUUCUUUUUCUCAAUGAUUUUCUUUAAAUAUUGAUAGGAAAUGCUUAAGUGUUGAAAGCUCUUUAUAGCAGUAAAUCUUUAACUUUGAUUGUUAUAUAACUAUAACAUUAAUUGGAAAUUAAUCUAAAUAAUAUCUAUUAUUAAUAUAUUACAUCCAACUUUUAACUCAAACGAUUUUAUUGAUUGUUAAUAAUUAAUUAAUAUUAUUUUUAAAAAAAAUUAAUUAAUGUUACUUAUUCUUAAUACUUUAAAUCACAAAAUGAACAAAAAUGUUAUUAUAUAAAAAAGUUGAUUUCAUAUAAUUAUAAAUUAUAGAUUAUAGAUAUAAAUAUUGUAGAUUAAAGAAGUAGUUUUGAAAAGUGAGAUUUGGAUUGGGUUUGACCAAAUUAAUUGAAUAAAUGAAACCAUCUUUAUCAAGACACGUAUAUAUUCAUAUUCAUAUGUUUAGUUUAAGACAGACAUUUACUCUCUCCAUACUGCAUAUAGGCAUGCAAGGAUAUUUCUAAGUUUGUGUAAAUUAGUAAAGUCCACAAAUCUUUGGUGACACGCAAUAACACCAGUUUUUUAUGGACACUCACUUGACUUAGACUUGAAAAGAAAGAAGAGAAAAUCCAUGACUAAAUUACAAAGAUUUAUACAUAUUUGCAAUAACAAGAUAGCAGAACUACACUCCCAUUCACAUUUCUACAAACCUCUACCUAUUCCUUCUCUUACUCUUAAAUUACUACCCUUUAGACUUGUAUUCUUUUUUAAUUCAACAAUUACCUUGAACAAAGCCUAGGUGAGUGACUUCUUUGAACUAUCAAAAUAGCAUGAAGACUUAUUUACAUAAGGUAUAAUAGUUUAAGGGUUUUUUUUAAUGUACUAGCUUAAAAUUAUUGUUUUAUUUAAAUUUAAAUAUUAUGUGAAAUUUUUUUUUAAUAUUCUAUUAUCUUUUGAAUAGUAAAAAUAAACUUUUCAAAUCAAACCAGGCUAGUUCAAAUGACUUUGGACAAUUUGAAACAAGUUUGAAAAGGAUCAUUGUUUUCAAAAAGAUCAGUUUAAAACAAGUUCGAAAGACAUGUAAUAACACUUAACAUCUCAAUUACAACCAAUUCAACAAUAUACCAAUUGUGUUCAAGUCGAAAUAUGCCAAAAUGAUAUUUCAAAAUAACAUUAAGUAACCAAGUUCUAACUUCGACCAUUUACGGUACAAAACUAGCUUAAACCCUAGGUGAAUGUGUAACACUCCUAACCUGAGUUCGUCGUCGAAACAGGGUUACAAAGUAUUAUUAGAGUUUACAAAUCAAAUCAACAUACAUUUCAUAUCAUUUAACAUUCUUGUCAGAAACCAGUCGAAAUCAAACAUAUUGUCUCUUAUGCGAGCUCUCGAGGCCCAAAAUACACAUUAGAAACAAGUCGGGACUAAAUCGGGUACUCAAAGAAUUUUUCAGAAAACAUUAAAAUUUUUCAAAGUUACAGGGGACACACGGCUGUGUGACUCACACGGCCAGGAGACACGCCCGUGUCUCAGGCCGUGUGGGCAUUUGAAAUGGGGGCAUACAGCCGUGUCCCAACCCAUGUCCAUGAUCAUGUAACUUCCUGAUUUGGGCCACACGGCCGUGUCACUUGGCCGUGUGUCACACACGGUUGAGACACACGCCUGUGUCUCUGCCCGUGUGGACAAAAAUAGGCCAUUUCCAAGCCACAUUUCUCACCCAAUUUGGUACCAAUCUAAGCACAAUAAUUUGCACAUCAACAAGCCAUAACAUGGCAUUCAAAUCAAGUUAAAAUCAAGUCUUAAACAUGAAAUAUAACCAUAUACAACCAAUGUGCCAUUAGGCACCUUAGUUAACAAUUUAAAGACAUGCCAACCAAGUAUCUCAAUCUACCUAUUUGACUAAGUUCAUAUAUGCAUAUUCAAACCACAUUUUAUUUUCUUUCAUUCUACCAUAUCAAACACACAUCAAAUAUGAUAAGGCCACUUAUAUACACAUCAAGAUAUACCAAACACAAACCAUUCAAGUGGCUAGUCUCAAUAAAACAUUUAUAUGCCAGCAUUGGCCAAAAUAACUUAUACAUGUCAUUAUACCCGAAAUUAAUUUACUGAAAGUACCAAAAAGGAUUGAUGGAUAGUGUGAAAUAACUCCGACCAGCUUCCAACCCGAACGAGCUUCUGAAUUACUAUAAAACAUGGAAAAUAUAUAACACAAAGUAAGCAUUUAAGCUUAGUAAGUUCGUAUAAUACAAAAUUUAGCUUACUAUAUUUCCAUAAAAUAGGUAAGUAACAUAGCAUAUCUCAAUCAAUUUGGCCAAAAGCCUAAACACAUGAUCACAACAUAUUAGCCAUUAAAUCACAUAUAAAAUCCAACACAUAUGGUUGAAUUCAUCAAACAAUCAUAUUUCAUGUAUUUCAUGCAUAUACCGGUAAUAGAUCAUAUCAAAAUAAUAUGAUUUCAUAACAGAACUAUGCCCGUCGAACCAUUUAAAAUAUCAUUGGAUACAUGGGUAGUACACAAGAGGUGUACUAAACUGUAAUCCAUCAAUUCAUGUACAUGAAUGCUCAUACGAGCUAUAAACGGAAAGCUCAUCCUGGCUGAAUAGUGGGAAGCUCAUGUAAGCUGUAUAAUAGGAAACUCAUGCAAGCUAUAUAACAGGAAGCUCAAGAGAGUUGAAUAUUAGGAAGCUCAUACGAGCUGUGGUGUGUCCGCAACACAUGCAAGACCCCAACCAAAUCGGUAACCCUAAUGACAUGUCAUUUGUAUCCUACGAAUUUCAUAAGGUUCAAACGGGACUCAAUAAUUAUUGAAUAUACAGCCGGUAUUUAUUCAUGGAAAUUGUACAAUUCACAAACAAUAAUUCAAUUUAACUCAUAUAAAUGUAUAAUUUAAUUACACGAAUUUACCUCGACAAAUGUACAUAGAUACGAAGGCGACUAAUCAGAUAUUUUUCCUUUGCCUCAAUCUAACUCUGUACUAGGUCUAACAGGAUCUAUACGAAUGAAUUUAACUCAAUUCAAUAUAAUUCAUAUUCAAUUUAGUCCAGCACAUAUUUUUGGUAAAAUUACUUUUUUCCCUUAUACUUUUAAUUCUUUGCAAUUUAGUCCCUAGGCUCGAAAAAUAACUUUCAUGCAAUUUAAUCCUUACUCAAGCCGAGUUAAUUUUUAUACAUAUUAAUAGUGUCCCACAUAAUUCACAAUUUUACCAUAAAUUUAUCAUCUUUUUCAAUUUAAUCCCUAAUUGAUAAUUUCAUCAAAAUUCUCUUUACAAAAGUUGUUUAUCUAACAACAACCUUUCAUUUUAUAUCAUAAAAAUUCAAAAUUCAAACAUGCUCAUCAAUGGAAAAACCCUAAUACUUUAACAAUUUUACAACUUAAUUCCCGAGAUAGCUAGAUUAAGCCACUACGAUCUCGAAAACAUAGAAAUCAUCAAAAACGGGACAAGGAUACAUACCUAAUUGAGCAAAAUAAGCUUUCUAAUGUCUCAAGCUUCCAGGGCUAGAGUUUUUUCUUUUUCUUUUUUGUUUGGUAGUAGAUGAUGAUAAUAGAUUUUUUAUUUUAUUUAAUAUCAUUUUAACCACUAAUUUCCAAAAUUACCAUUAAUAAUUUAUUAAAUUUCCAAUGAUAACUACUAUUCAUGCUUAUCCAUUAAGCAUUUUAAUGGUCUAUUUAAUAAAUAAGGACCUCCAAUUUCAAAUUCUAUAGCUAUUUAAUACCAAUAGCUAUUAGAACUCAACUUUUGCACUUAAUGCAAUUUAGUCCUUUUCAUCAAAUUAGGUAUGUAAACGGAAAAUUUUCUUAACGAAAUUUUUAUACUGUAUUUCUAUCAUGUAGUAGACCAUAAAAUAAUAAUAAAAUAAAUAUUUUUUUCUGACUUCAGAUUUGUGGUCCCGAAACUAUUGUUCUGAUUUCACUAAAAACGGGUUGUUACAAAAUGCCAUAUACAAUUAAAAGAGUACUUUACAAACUUUUGUUGAGUUAGUGAAUCACUUCUUGGAUGCUAAAACUACUUCUCGAAAUCUCAAGGAUCAUCUAUGCUUGCGCACAGAGAAAACAAACUAUACGCUGAACAAUAGGGCCCAGUGGUACAUUUAUGAUUCAAGAUAUAAAUAACAAGAGCAUUAAAAAUAUGGUUCAAUAUAAAGAAAAUUUGUGCAUAUAUGCAUCUAAUAUCCAACCAAUUCAUGUCCUAGUUGUUAACCUUUCCAUCAUCAAUCAAAAUACAUAAGCAUGUUUAUAUCAAAUACUAAAACAACCUAUCCAAAUUACAAUAUGUAUGACCAACUCCAACUUACUUAUCAAUAGCCAACUAUUCAAUACAAACCAAUUCAAUAUUAGCCACAAACCAUUAAAAUUAUACCAUGCAUGUACUGUGACACAUAAUUUAUUUACUUUGAUAUCAUAUUAUUCUAACUUGUUUACGGAGUCUACCAACUCAUUUACAUUCGUUUUGCCUCCCAAUAAUCAAUUUCAUUUGAUUUGCAUACUUAACUAUACAUUUUUAAUAUUCUCCUCAUAUUGAUACAUAAUUUAAUCUAAGGGCAUCGAUUGAUAUCGUAUUCAUAUCAUUUACCAAGCUUACAUUUUGCAACCCCUAUUAACCUGACUCAGAUUCGGACGGAUACUUGAAUCGUCCAACCAACACACCAAGCUGGUGUUGCAAAAAUCAUGUUCGAAAAUAGUUUUCUUACACAGCGAAAAAUUAAAAUUCUAAAAAUCGAGCCGACUUUUUAUAUUUUUAGUAAUAAACCCUUUACCAAAAUCACACAUAUAUUUUCGGCUAGAUGAAUCCUUAUCAUUUCUGACUUUCAACUAAACGACCUUCUAUGUUAUUCUCGUACCAUGAACUACUUCGAGUGUGAGCUCAAACAAAUUUGAAUCAAACACAAAACCAGAAAUUCUUUACUUUACUUUUAGUAGGAAAACAAGCCUCUCUUUAAUAGAAACUGAUAGAAUUGUUAUUUCAGAAAAUAGAAUUUAUACUAAGAAAAUAAAUUCUCACUAUUUUCGGGCAAAAUAAAAAUAUCUGAAAGUUGUGUAUUUAGCCCUAUCAGUGCCAUCUAUUUAUAGGAACAAGAGGUGAAACCCUUAUUGAAUUAGUAGAAGUCUAUUUCAAUAGAAAAACUAAAUCCUAGUGUAACUAGGAUUAGGGGGUGGCAACCCUAGUUAAUUAUACUAGGGUUUUUCAUCCCUAGUAUUAACAUGAGGGGCUUUUGGGCCACUCCCGUAUCGGGUCCAAUUAUAAAUACUUCUUUAAUUUUUAACCCAGUACUUUAUAAUUCAAUCCAACCCAAAACUUAUUCUUUUUAUUUCCCAAAAUAAACAUAUUAAAUUAAUUAAAUAAUUUCCCAAUUAAAUAAUUUUCUUAACCCAAUUUUAAUUCCAUUAAAAUCAUGACUAAUUUAUCAUAAAAGACUACAUUCAACGAAUUUACUAUGACUAAUUAAUUUAUUUCUAUUUUCAAACUUCAAAUAAAUAAAUAAAUAAUCAAUAAUUCAAAAAACCAUAAAUUAAUUUUUAAGUCAUUUCCAUUUAGAGAAAAUCCUAUUCAUUUCUAAAUGUUUCCCAUUUCUAUCCAUUUCUGUUCAUUUGGUUCAACAUACAAUUCAUUUCCGAUUUUAACGAGCUAGUGGAGGGACUGACUGAACAUAUGUGAUUAGGGCAGAAAUGAUUUAUAAUUAAGUUCUAGCUUUCCGCCUAUUAAUUAUAAACUCAUUUAGUCACAAAGUCAUUUCACUAUUAUCGUGAUUGAGCUCUCCCUAAUGACAUACCAUUACGAAAGCAACUCGAUCAAUGCUCGUCUAAUGACUUUGUUAUAAGUGUGUUACCCUCAUAAGAUAUCUUUAAUCUCUUUGGGAUAAAUUCGCCCUCCCAAUAUGAUCAUAUUUUGUCUCAUGGUAACCAUUACAUCUUCCUUCAUGAAUAAGUCAAUUACUAUUAAAUAGUAAUCAAGUCAUUCAUCAUAAAGGCGAACGACUCAUGACCAUGUUUACUUUUCAUCUAUCAUGUAAUGUCAAUGAAAGGAUAUUAUUUACCCAUAUCUCAUGCUAUGAAUUCUACUGUUGUGAAUGGCGCUACAUACUACAUAAGUUGUAUACCCAACGUACCAGCUUUUAGUUCCAUAUUUAUUUGAACCUAAGUUUUACUUACAUCAAAGCAUACAAGUCACGUAUACAUAGUCCGUCCUCCACUCAGGAUUAAGGUAUGUCACAUUUUGAACGUCACAAGUGAUUAAAUCCAUGAAUGGAUUCAGGAUCUAUUCUUCUUGGAUUCAGUCCGAUGUACUGUUAGUCCAGUUAGUCACAUUUAUGUCUAUAUCUUUUAGGAGUCACCCGCUCCUAUGCCCAAGAUAAAACAUCUCUCCAAUUAAACUUGAUAGAUGACAUAUUAGUCUUUCAAUCAGUUUGCUCAUUUCUUAUUAAACUAAUGACAUGUUUAGGUCCGUCUACUAAUAUAACUUGUCUUUCCGUAUUAUGAUCCGAUCAUGUAAUACCACUUAGUAUUAGUUAAAAUUUAGAAAACCAAUGAACUAAUAUUUGAUUCUAUUUUGCUUUACAUGCAAAAACCACGUGAGGAAAAUAUACAACGGGUAUUAAUAUAAUUCAUGAACAAUUUAAUUAACAAAUCUGUUUGAAAAAAUUACAAGUGUACAUAGACGAAAAUACUAUACAUAGGGCACUAGAUCCAACAACUAAUAUCGAAGUGCAUAAUCAAAUAAGCCGAAGUAGGGUAACUAGCACGUAACGUGCAUAUUGACGUACAAAAUGCAUCCUGGUGCACAAAGCAUAUCCUUGGCGCACGAAGUGCAUAUCUAGCACACGAGGUGCGUCUUGGCACAUAAGUGUAUAAUCUCAUACACAAACCAAUUCUAUGACAUGCUAAAUCUAUCUGACACAACCUGAACAAUUAAUAGAACACCAAUAUUCAAUUUAUUUACAAGUUAGAACGAGCACAGUUGGUAAAAAUUUUUAACUCUACAAACGAGAUUAAAAAGUUGACAAGUGUCUUUCAACCUCUAGUAUGAAGUUAAAAAAUUCCAACCUCAACACAUAUCAUAAACUAUUUCCUAUUAUUUUUAAUAAAUUACACAAUUUUAUAAUAUGAAUGGCAAUUCUGUUGCUUAAAUUAACUAAUUAUAUUUUUAGCCAAAAAACUACUAAUUUUUUAAGUGUAUAAUUAUAAUUUCAUUUACAAAACACAAAUAGCUCAACGCUCAAAAAAUUUAAUCAAUAUAAAGCUUUUAAAUGCAAUUAACAUAACACCAUAUUCAUGUUUAAAAUUUCAAACAUUUAAAUAAAAAAUAUUUAUUUUAUCUUUAUUUUUGUGUGUAAAAUUAAUAAAUUAUUCAUAUUUAUUUUACGAUAUAGGAAUUUUUGUUGGAUGAAGUGCUCAAGUACAUUGUUAACAAUAGACUAAAACGGCAUGCAAUUUAUCGUACUAUCUGACUCCAAAAAACUUAAGAAAACUAUAACUACCGAAAUAAAACGAAAUUAUUCAUUGAGUAGCUAAAUAAAUAACCUUGUUUUGUACCCUACAAUCAACUCUAUUAGACACACACAUAUUGCUCAUGUCCUUUAAGCGCCUGCUGUCCAAUGAAUUUUCAAAGCAAUAUCUUCAAGUAUUCUGCCAAUGCUUUUGUCUUUACUUUUAAUUAAGCACGCAUACAUGCCUUUCGCCCAGAUAGCUGACACUAAUUCAUGAAACAAAUUGAAAUUCUUCUACUAUACCUGAAAAGAGUAAUAAUCAUUUGCAUCCCUCAACAAUGAAAGCAAAACCAUCAGCAUUGGAACCUGAUUUACGCCACGCCAGAUGGAUUUCAAAAGGUCUUCCUGUUUCAAUCACUACUUCCAAUAUUGCUGCUGCUAGUGCUUGGUUUUCUCAUUAUGCUUCUUCAUUACUCUUUUCUCUGUUAUCUUUUUUCCAGGAAAACUUUUUCCGCCGCUUGAAUAACUUCCUUCACCAGCAACUGGGUUCAAUUUAUUUUAUUCCCCCAUUAAAUCUCACUUUAUUCCUGAUAACCAACCCAGAUACCCCAUAAAAAAAAAAGAUGAUUAUAAUCCUCAAUACACAUCUGCAGAGCACACACAAGUCAUCAACUCCACCAAUUCUUUUCUUGAUUUCUGAAAUCCUAGGAAGGCAGUCCGUAAAAAUUUUCCAAGGGAAACAUUAGCGAUGGAGGAAGUGCCCAAAGCUUAGCCCAGAAAAAAUUUAUUGUAAUUCAAUAUUAAUUCAAAAACAAAAGGAAAAAUUUUAAAUCAAAAUUAAAGUUAACAAUAAAAAAAAAGAAGCCAAAAAUUCACUUAACAAAAUAGCUACAAAUUUUUUUUACAUAUUUUUAAUUCAUAAUUAUCAAAAUUGAAAUAUAUGACAACUAAUUUACUCUGGAAUAGUAAGCAGCAUCGGUCGCCAAGCUCUCCUUAAUAACCUGUACCGAAACGACGUCGUUACUGGCGUCAAAGUACCAGAUCUCCGAUCUGAAAACCUUUCACUGGAACUACUGGUAACCGGUAAUAAAUCUUCCGUUACUUCUUCGCAGAUUUUAUCAUCACUCUCUCUUUCUUCAAACGGCGGCGAUGCCACGAAGAGUUCCUUCAAUUUUCGCCGGCUUUUUUUACCAUUGGAGUUCUUCUUGCUGUCGGCGUUGGAGGUGUUUGGCUGUGGCGGAGGUGAAGGAGGAGGAUCCAAGUUAUCAGUCUGGCGGCGAUGAAAACGUCGACGGUCAGUGGCAGAAGAGCGGUUAAGAAGCAUGCGGAGCGUUUUGCGACGGCGGAGGUGAACGACGGGGCUGGUGGUGGGACUGCGACCUGGGCUUCCGGCGACGGCACACUGAGUUGCGAGAAGCUUGAAUUUGUGCAGAGUGGCCAUUUCUGUUUGAAGCGCGGUUUCUGUCUCAAGUAAGCAGAGGAUUUAGAGAGAGAAGGGAAAGAGAACGAGAUCUCAAAGAGAAAGGUAACAGUGAGCAUAAUUUAAAAUAAAAUAAAAUAAAUAUUAAUUUAUUAAAAGAAAUUGGAAGAAUAAAAAGGGUAAAGGGAGAAGCUUUUUGUUUGGAUCGUGGGAUGGUCCUUAUCUAUCUCAAUCUGUUUGGCCUUUUUUGUAAAUUUAUAUUGGUAGUACACGUGGAAUGCAAUAAUUAAUUUUUUCACAUUUAUUCUAAUAUCUGUAAAAAUAAAAAUAAACCAUCUACUAAUACUGAUAACUCAAAAUUACAAUCGAACUCACGUAAAAUCAAACUAUACCAGAAGAAGCAAACAGCACUUGUAUUAGGUCUCCAUUGUUUAGGAGAGCGAGAAUAUGUUUAGUAUUAUUUUUAGUAUAAGUUAUUUUUUUAAAGAAUAAAUGUUUUUUCAAAUAAAAAAUUGGUUCAAAAAUAUUUUUUUGAGAAGUUAAAAAGUUAGCUUCUUUUUAAAAGUAGUUUUUUCUCAAAAAUAUUUUUAAAAAGUAUUGCUAAAUUAAGUCAAAUCACCUCGAAAAUCCCCUUUUCAAGUUCUUGUUCUAGUGACGAUGAACAUUGCACAACGAACUUGAAAACAACAUGUAUGCAAUUGUUAGAAAAUAAAACAAUCAAAAUAUAUGAUAGAAGACUCGAGAAACCUGAACACAAAAGUUUUGGAAAAACAAGAGUCUAGCUUGAGAGAACCUCCUCAAAGGAGGAUCCAAAGGAAAGCUUUAUUGUUAAUCUAAGAUUUAAAAAAGCACAUGAUUUUUUAAUAGUAAUUAAAUUUUUUAAAACUAAAAAUACUGAAAAUUACAGUUUUCAACGAUAUUAUUUUAAUUAAAUAAACCACCUACAUAGUUUGAUUUUUGUAUUAUAAUUUUAUGGACUUUAUAAGUGUAUGUAAGUAAUUGAUGUCAUCAUGUUAAUUUAUAUAUUUUCUGAAAAAGAAAAGGAGAGUAGAGUGAAGUAAUUGGAGAAGAGUGAUGAAAAGUCCAAGGUUUGGAGGGAAUAAGAGCGUGGAUUUUACUUCAACCACCCAAUGGAGGCUAUCUACAAAAUUACAAAUCAAAACGUUAUUUUCUAAAGCCGUUAACUACCCCCAUUUAAUAUUCUUUUCUUUUCUUUCUUUUUUCUAUUUACUUUCUCUGCAAAUUAUUUGCAUCAUCUUUCAUCAUUUUUUCGUGAUAUUAUAUUAUUUACUUAAAAUACUUUAUUCAAUUAAUUUCAUGAAUCAAUUCAAUAUUAAUAUUAUUAGAAUUGAAUUAACUGAUUAAACCGAUCAGAUUAAGCAUCGAUCAUUAUGUUGGUCUGGACAAAAAGAUUAAAUCAAAAACUGUUAGAAACUAGUAAAAAAUCAAAAAUAAAGACAAAAAAUUAAUAGUUGAACUAAUAUUAUAAUUUUUUAAUUUUAUUUAUUGAUUUAAUUAUUAUUGGACUAAUAGUUGAACUAAGUAAAUCGAAAAUUCAUAGUUUAAUCAAUUUGAUCAUCGAUCCGAUAAUUGAAAUAUUAAAAAAAAUGACUAAAAAUUUUUAUUUAGAAAAUAACAACUAUUAUUAUGAGAAUAUUUUUUGUUUUUAUUUUAUAUAUUUUUUUCAAUAAAUCUAUAAAUAUCGAGAUUUAAACUUCACUUAUACUAGAUCACGUACCAAACCAUGCAUUGGGAAAUAUAAAGUUUUAAACAUAAUAUAUGUGUUAAUGUAAUGAAAUGAUUAAAUGAAUUUAGAGUUAAAAUUAAAUUAUUAUUUUUAUAAUAAUAAUUACAAUACACAUGACAUUAAAAUAAUAUAAAAUGACACAAAUCAUUAAGUGAAUAUAUCAUAAAAAUGUUAGUACAUAAAUUCCAGUGAGGAAAAUCUCAAACACACGAACAAAACUUAAACAGAAAAAGAAGAAAUAGGACAAGGCUCCAAGGCUUGUAUCAAACCACUAUUUUUAAGGUUAUAUUCGCCCCCACCUAUAUAUCUUCGGUGUGCAAAAGAGUUUCAAGGAUACAAUUAAGCCAAUGACUAUUUGUGUUUUGCAUUAACGAGAAUAGCCCACUAAACGCUGAGCAAUGUAUAACAAGAAACUCAAUUUCUACGAACGAUUUGUACAGUAAUACUUUAUAGAAUAAUCUAAUAAUAUUAGAAAAUGAAGGAAGGAAAGAAAGAAUUUUAAAAUUUGUUGGUGUAAUUUCCAAAUGAAAUUUUAUUCCUAUUUAUAGGAAUUUUCAUAUCUCUUCAUAGAGACAUCUUUCUGAAUAAUAAUGUCUUUAAAAAAACAUAAGUAUUCAUUUAAUAUUAUAACUAUUCAAAUAAUAUUGUUUGAAUAGUUAUAAUUCUUUUUUAAAAAUCAAAUGAUAUAACUUUUGACCAAUGACCAAAAGAUGUAUCUUUUGAUUAAUUACACACAUUCAUUUAUAGUUAUUGUAAUACUAUAAAUAUUUGAAAAUGUUCCAACAAAAUAUAUACAUGUAUCAAAAUCUACAUAAAAUAAACAAAUAAUAAUUUAGACACAUAAAUAUAAUAUGAAUACAAUACAAACAUAUAUUUUCUUAAUUAAAUCACUAUGAUAAAUAAUGCAAAAUAUGAGAUUGUAAGACAUAACAUAAAUACAACACAAAAAACACGAAUUGUUCCUUCAAUUGAACAGUUAUGACAAACUAUGCAGAACAUUAUCUGAUGAAAAAACACAUGGAAUCUAUUGAAUUAAAAGUCUCUCUUUCGACACUCACUUUGCCUUGGUUCCUUCGUUUCAACUUUGUUUUUAACCACUUUCAUUGUGGUUGUCAUGGGGCCAAGCUCAUCGGCACCACCAUUGAGAGCUUGUUAAUAAAUAAAGUCCACUCUGCUUCUUAUGGAAGCCCUGGUGGUAAGUCUCUAGUUUUUCUACUUUAGUUUCUUUUUGUUUACUUUGCUUUUUAGUGUUGUUUCUGAUAGUGUUGUCCCUGUUGAAAAAGUCUUAUCUUUUGUUGGAAUAGAAGUUGGGAUAAAAUUAGAGAGCUUACAUAACAAGUUUAAAACGUAAGUGAAUUAAAGGGAUAAGUAAAGAGAGAAUCAAUGCAUGAUAUUUGUUAACACGGUUCGAAUCCUACUCCACAAUGCCUCACUCGGAAAAUAAUUUUAUACAACAAUUCAUCCAAUACAAUUAUUUGCUAAAACCCAAUCUACCCUAUCUCCCUAAUAGUUACAAAUCACUCUUCCCAAAUACAUCACAUUAUAUACGAUCUCUCUCCAUAAUGUAAUACACCAAAAUUUUAGUCUUUGAGAAAGGAUAAGCAUUUUAAAGGUGAAUUAAAUAUUUGGAGAAAAGUAUAAAUAAUGAAAUUUAGUAAGGAUUAAGUUGUACGUUUUUGAAAGUUGAAGGACUAAAAGUGCAAAUUGAUCAUUUUUAGAAAGGUGAAAUUGAAUAAAUAUUUUUUUUAUGAAUGUGAUAAGGAUAUGUAUUGAUAUGUGGAUUUGGAAAAUUGGGAUAGAGAUUAAGUUGAAUAAAGUGAAAAAGAUAUAGGGGCUAAAGUGCAAUUUUUAUUUAUGGAGGAGGGACCUAAAUAUAAUUUUUUAGCUUUAAUUGAUAUUUAGAGACAUAACGAUGGGAUUAAAAUCCUAUAGCUGAUGAAGUGGAAAGUUUGUGGAAUUUAUAGAAAUUAAGGUUGAAAAGUGUUGAAAUUUGAUUGGAUGAUGGAAUAGAUGGACUAAAUUGAAAAGAAAAAAGUGUAAAAUUUUCUACACAAUUAGAAGGCUGAAUGAAAACAAAAAUAAAUAGGAAAGAAAGGGGAAAAAAUAAAGGGAGAAAAAGAAGAAAAAAGGGGAAAAAAAAGAGGAAAAAUCUCCCAUGCAUUUUUCUUGAGAUUUUCCUUAAAACCAUAGCUUAAUUUCCUAUCCUAGAGUGCUACCGAAAUAUUUUCAAUCAUGGAAACAACUUAGAUGAAGAUGAAAGUAAAAAAGAAAGCUUGUGAAAGUGAAAAGAAAGGAUAAUUUCAAGUGGAGAAAUAGGUAAGUACUCAAUCAAAAUCAAGCUCAUUUAUUUUAUUUUGAAUAUUUGAAUAUUUAAAAUUUUCAUAUGAAAAAAAUAAAUAAGAUAUGAUUAUGAAUAUUGAAUUUAGUAGUGAAUAUGUAAAUAAAGGCAUGUUAUUAAUGUAAAAAUAAUAAUAAAGUGAUAAUUUAGUGAUCAGUGAACUUCACGAAACUAAUGAUUAAAUUAUAAAGAGUGAAAUUUUAUUUAUUUGUCAUAAAUUGAUAAGUGAAUAGAUGUAUAGUUAAAUUACGAUAAAGAAGACUAAAUUGUAAUGUGUAUAAAAGAUAUUAUGUGAAAUCAAUAUUGUGAUUAAAGACUUAAAUGAAGUAUUAUGUGAUAGUAAUGAAGUGUAAAGUGAUAUAGUAAUUAUUGAAUUUUCACGAAUUUAAGGAUUAAAUUGUAAAAUGUUUAAAAGUUACUAUGUGUGCUAAAAUGCCUAAAAUGCACUCUUUCAUUAACAUCAAAACCUACUCAAAACAUACACAUUAACAUGUCAAAAAUACAACUUAAAAUGCCUAACCAAUAUGCCACAUUUCAACCAAAACCAAACCAAUCUAAUACCUACUUAUCAUGCACACUAUUCAUUAUUUAAGCAUCAUCAUACCAAUACAAUAUCAAAGCCUAAUAAUACUUCAAUUUAAGUCUACUCAUUAUCAUAAGCAUAUAAGGAUAUGCAUGAACCAAACCUACUAAAAUAACAUCACAACAUCACUUUUACUCAUUACACUUGUAACAUAACAACAUAAGCAAGUUCCUAAGUUACAACUUCAAAACAUAUAUAUAUACCUUAACACCUAUUAAAUGCCACUUAUAAUUGAGCCAAAAUGAAUUAAAAAGGCUACCAAAAGAGACGUUGGAUGGUGUGAGCCUUAAAAAUAAUCUGAUAGCCACAUUCGCCAAAAGUCAACUACAAAAGUCAUGAAAGAUGAAAUGGGGUAAGCAUUGACAUGCUUAAUAGGUUCAUAUAUAUUUAAACAAUAGUCUUACCUUAAAUCACAAUUGUGUAAACAAAAUACUAAAUAUUUUAUAUCAACAAGGUGAGCAUUUUAUAAACCAAAUCAUAUAACUUUUCAAUCCAUUCAAUACAAUACAUAUCACUAAGAUUCAAUUAGAACUAUUGAACAAGUGAAUCAUGUUAAAAAAUUGAUCAUAUCCAUUUACAUUCACAUUCUUUUCAAAUCACCACAUACACAAUCAAAUCCCUUUUUCUUUUAAACAAUUAGCUCAAUGAACUCAAAUAAUAAGAUAUAGAUACGCGAGUAACUACACCACACCAAGUUGCUCAAUUAAGCGAUAACUACACCACACCAAGGCACCAUAGUGCAAAGCUUGUUCUAUUGCUGUCAUGUAGACCUUUGAUUUUGUGUCCGUGCCUCACUGAUUGUUCUAGUCUGUUUCCUUUUCUUUCGUACUGAUCGUUGUGUGGUGAAUAUUCCUCCGACAGAUUGAGGUUGUCAUCAACUUUGUUACUAAGGGUAAGCUGAAUGUCUAGUUAGGGUUUGAUUUCUGUUAGGCUGAAUGUCAUAUUGUUAGAUUGAAUGCCUUAAUUCUUAUAGCCAAGUAAUUUAAUUCGAGUAAGGGUGCCAAAUAAGUGUUUUUGUUUUGAUGUGUUGUUUUCAAUUGGCUUGCCCUGGAUGUUGUAUGUAGGAUUUGGGAGUGUGUUGUAGUGUUGUUAAUAAAAAAAUCACCAGGUGUGUGACUCUAUACUCAUAAACUCGUAAAACUGUGCAAAAACCAAAAUAGACAACACCACAUGGCUGUAUGCCUAGCAGUGUGUUAGGUCGUGUGAGCCAUAGGGGCAUAUGCUUGACCGUGUUCCAAGUCGUGUAAGCCCAUUUUGCUUAAUUUUAAUUAGGGUUGUGUGGGCCGAUUUUUUUUUACCUAAUAUACAAAAAUAAUGUUAUAAAAAUUUAGAAACAUUACAAAAACUAUAAAAAGUUGUUGUAUAUUAUAAAAUAUUAUUAAUAUAUUAUGAAAAGAUUAUAAAAAUUAUAAAAAAGAAUAAAAUAUAAAUAUAAAUAUGACUAAUAUAUUAUGAAAAAUGAAAGGACUAUAAAAACAUUAUAAAAUUUUUAAAAUUAAAUAAAAAUUAUUAAAAAUUAUAAAAGUUAUAUAAAAUUAUUAAAACUAGGAUUAAUACCCGAUUAAGGUUGGCGUUUUCAAUUUUUAUGUAAUCUAUUAUUGAACUAAUCAUUUAUUAAAAUUUUAAAUUUUAUAAAUUAAAAUUAUGAUGAUCGAUUAGAAUUAAAUAAACUUUAAAUUAAUUCAUGAGUUAAUAUGUAAAUUAAUAAAGUUAAAUGCAUUAUUUAGAAAUUAAAAAAUUCAAACAAUUUAGAUUAAAAAAAAACUAAAAAUUUAAUCUCCCUAGCAUAAAAAAGAAAAAAGAGUAAAGAUUGGCAGUUAACCAAGAAAAAUGGUUUGGGGGAUUUUUGACUAAAAAUAGGGAAAGUAUAAGUUCAAAAAUGAAGAUCAUAUAUUAGAUAACUACAAUUUACAGAGUAAUGUUUAUUCUACCACAGCUCAUAGUCAUAGGUAAAAUCCUAUUACUUGAGCAACUCUUUAAUGCAUAAACACCAUUUAGAGUUUUGCUACAAUACAAUAAAUUCUCAACUCAGAAUUGAAAAUCCAUUUUCAUCUGCCUCUUCCAUCAUUUGCAGAAUACUCGGGAUUACAUCGAUUUUAUCUGUACCUGCAAAUAAGGUUGGACACAUACCUUGUUUGAAUAUGGUUGGGCAUAUAUACUUCCAGAAAAAAUAGAAAAUCAGAGUAAAAUAAGCAUACAUAUCAUUAACUACUACUAUAAUAUGUGAGAUGAAUUUUGACUCAAUAAAUACUCCAACCAGGCAUUUAAAUACUCAAACUUCACUCUCCCUUUUUUUAAAAACCAAACUCUAAUAGUUUAGGAGUACAAAUACUUCGACUAAUAUUUUAGGAGUAUAAUUUUGGUAAUUUUUUUCAAUUUUUUUUCUAAUUUUUUUAUAUUAAUCAUUGAACUUAAUUAUUUUUUUUAAGUUUGGUCCUUAUAAUGAUGUAGCAUUAUGAAAUUAUGUUAUGUCAUCGCCUAAUUUUGUAUGUGUCGAUGUGGUACAAUAUUAAAGUAUCACAUCAUCACAUAGACCAAAAUUUAGAAGAAUUGCUAAAUUAAUAUGAGAAAACUUGUUAAAUUCUUUCUAAAACUAAUGUGGACAAAAGAAUUAUAGACUAAAUUUAUAAAACUAUCAAAUUCAUGAAAACUUUAUCCAACAUUUUAAACAAAAACAAAAUAUCCAAGCAACAUAUGACCAAAACCAGAAGAAACUAGGUGGUAGUAAUAGUAGAGAAGCUAACCCAUUUCUCUGUCGCAGAAUCCGGGGAAAAUGCAGGAGGAAUGCUCUUCAGUAGUCCAACAUCGUCCGAUUUAAUAUCCACCACUUCAGUUCCCGAUCUAAUAUCCACCACAUCAGAUCCCGAUCUUACACCCUUAAUCUCUUCCAAUGCCUCCAACACUCCUUCCAUUGAAGGUCUCAUAUCCCUCUCCUGUUGCAAACACCGAAACGCCAAUCCUGCAACCGCCGUUACAGUGUUUUUCACCACAAAAUCAUUCUCGAACCCGAGAGAUGGAUCCACCAGUUCAUGCAAUGCUUGAUUCUGGAUUCUGCUGAUUGCCAUGUUAGCCAAAUUUAUGUCGUGUCGGUGCCUGCUGAUGUCCACUGCUUUUUUCGCCGAAAUUAGCUCGACCAACACGACCCCGAAGCUGUAAACAUCACUUUUCUCAGUGAGGUGGUAGCAUUGGUGGUACUCCGGGUCGACAUAACCCGGGGUGCCUUGCGGAGCAGUCGAGACAUGCGUGACAUCAUUAGGAAAAAGUCGUGAGAGUCCAAAAUCAGCCACUUUUACAUGGAAAUUCUUGUCCAGGAGAAUGUUGUUGGAUUUAACAUCGCGGUGUAUGAUUUCCUUUCUAUGUAGGUAAGCCAAUGCGGUCGCUGUCUCGAUGGCGAUUCUCAACCGAACAUGCCAGGUAAGCAAACCAGAGUUGGAUCGCUUUCCAUGCAAAUGAUCAGCCACGGUUCCAUUAGGAAUGUACUCAUAAACAAGGAGAAGCUCUCGACUACGUCUCGAGGUACAUCCAUAGAGCUUCACGAGGUAUGGAUGAAGGAUGAGAGUGAGGAUUUCGAUCUCGUUCAUGUACUGAUCGACACGCUUCAAAUUGUUCUCGUAUAAGCGCUUCACCGCUACCACACGCCCAUCCCUGAGUACACCUGAUCGUGCAAAUCAAAGAUAAACAUGGUGGGAUAAGGUUAAUAACAGGGGACUAAAGUAAAAAGUUGCAAAUAAGUUUGUCUUACCAUAAUAAACAGUGCCGAAUCCUCCUUCUCCAAGUUGUUUAGAAGGAUUGAAAUUGUCAGUGGCUUCCUCAAGUUCUUCAUAAUUAAAAACAUGGGCUCCAAAGUAAGUGCUUCCCCUUUCAAUGUCAUAUUUUGAAGUGGAAUAGGAUGAAUUGCUUUGAGAGUAAUUAGUUGUGGAAGUUGUUGGCCCUUUGCUUGAUGGAGACGUUGGAAGGUCUCUGCUAAUAAGCUGGGCUACAAUUUUCUUUCGCCGAUGUUGCCGGACACAUAAAGCUCCGAUUCCAACAAGUAUAAUGACACCGGCUGCUCCGAGGCCUGGAGGUUAAGGAAGAGAUUGCUUAAACCCGGUUACUGCAAUGCUAAAAGUUUUUAGAAACAAUGUAAUAUGUUAAUAAUGAGUACCAAAUAAUACCUAGGGCAAGUUUGAGAGCCUUUCCAUCCUUUUUCUCUGUAAUAGUAAAAAUAUCACGAAAUGUUAAUUAAAAUAUGAAUCAAUAAUUAUAGUUGCACGCAAAAAAUAUAUAUAUAUAUAUAGUAAUUAUUGAAACCAAAUAAAUUUCUUAUUUUCAUAAUAUAAAAAGAAAUUAUCACAUUUAAAAUUAUAAAAAUAACUUUUUUUAUAAUUAGGAGAAAGGAAUGAGAUAUAUUCUUAUAAAAUAUCAUUUUAAAUAAAAAGAAACUACCCUAAACUGAUGAAAUAAAAAUAUAUAUGAACUAUAUUUUAUUUUAAACUGAUCUAAAUUAUUAUCAAUGUAAUCAAAAUUCAAUGUAUUUUACGUGACAUAAAUUUAUUAAUGCACAAAAACGAUUAUGUUUUAAAGUUUCAAAUUUGAAUUCCACUUAUAUGAUUCUUUCUAUUUGAAAUGCAAUUAAAUUCUAGAUUAACUAUGUUACUAAGAUUUUGCUAUCAAUGUUAAAAUAUGAAAGAGAUAUGAUCAAAAAAGAAUGUGAAAUUUCAAAGUCUUUCUCUCUCCUCUCUCUUCUCUUUUUAAGUUGAAGCAGAAAAGAGAAAACCAUAAUCACCCUUCCCCUACCAGCUCCUUUCCUUAUCCCCAUAGAUUGUGCCUCCUCUCUUUUCGUUUCCCUUAUCUUUAGCCUUUCUCCUUUUCCACCAAAUUCUGCCUCCUCUCCCUUUUGUUUUUCCUCUAAAGGAUUUUUAAAAAUCACUGACUUUGUCGAAUUGUGUAUUUGGGUACAGUGUCCAACACGGAUUGGUUUGUUUCGAGAGUCGGAGUGGCAGUGUCCAGGUGGUAUUUUUGGAGUAGGUCAGGCUGAAAGGUGAGUGGGCCAUAGUUAGGUGGAGAUGGGCCAGCGAUGAAGGGUUAGCUGAAGUUUCUUACUGAGCCGCGUGGAAAAACAAAUGGGGAAUGUUGAAAUUUUUAGCUUAGGCCUAGCAAAUGGGUCAACUUUAAUGGCAUCAAAUUCCCAAGUUUUCAUGCUGCUAUAAUAGUAUGAAACGAAAGCAGCUAAAUUUACAGCGGAAGAAAUUUAACACAGUCUGAAGUUAGUCAAAAUAUAGAAUAAAAACUGUAAUGGGAUUUGCGUUUGGGAAAAGCAAAUAAAUGAGUUUCAAUAAUCCUAUUCUGGAAUGGCCCAAUGUCCUUGUUUCCUACCAUGACAGCCCCCCCGGACUAUUUAAUAAUAAUAAUAAUAUUAUUAUUAUUAUUAUUAGAGGGUCAAGACCAAACUACAUCCACCUAACCCUGAACUACUGUUUGGUCGGAACAAAGAUCGACGACAUCUUGUUCCAUCAGUUUCCGGCUUCGGGUUUCCCCAAAACACUGGGUUCUUGGAACCGAAAUCGUACGACUUAAAUCCCACUACAAGAGAUAUUUGAACAGGUACAGCAAACAACGAAGAUUGUACCUGGGGAACAAACGUCGCCAUCUGAGCAGUAACAUUCAAAUCCACCUGAGACGAGGUUACGCCCGCACUGCCCACCUUUGUUUACACAAUUAUUACAACGGGUAUCAUCUGCAGACCACCACAGCUGAAACCCAAUUUUAGCCGCUUCUUCCAAAUCAUCUGGAUCCCGGCCUUCCUCCAGUGACGGAACUUGGGAAUUCGGGACUGGAAUAAUCACACUGUUACUGCAAGAUCUCAGGAAAUUGCCGGUGACAGUUCCCGCGAAUUCCCUUGUCACAUAAUAACCUACGAUAUUUGUAUUGUUUAUUGUGCAGUCGAAUUGAUUGGAAAUCCCGAGAAUUGAUGUGAGAUUUUGUGGAGCUGUGAGAGGCUGACAACCAUAAUACAGCCUUAUAUCCUGACUAUCCCCGUUUUGUCGAAAAGGACUGGUUUCACUUUCAAAAGUGGAGUUGAUGAGAUGAGUGGGACAAAGAUUCUCACUGUAAUCGGUUCUAGAGACAUGAAGUGUUUGUGAUUCCUUGUUUAUUGCAAGAACUCGGUAUGUUGCAGAGCUGAUUGUGAUUUCUAGCUCACUUUCACUGCAGCUGAGCUUGAAUCCAGGAUAUCCACAACUUUCCGGCCGAUCCAAUCCCCAGAAAGGGUAACCGAUAUCCGAAAUAUUUCCGCAACUAGAUCGGACACUGCAGCUCAAAUAAUUAUUCGAAAACACUGGUUUUGGAGAAAGAAUCAGGACCAAGCUUAUGAUGAUGAUGGUGAACGAAAACUUGGAUGGCAUUGUCGGAGAGGAUGGAGAGCAUGAGGGAAAGAAACUGACAGUAGUUGGAUAUAAAAUGAGCGUCUGAAAGUGAAUUGGUGUCGAUCUUCAUGAUCAAAUAGUUGGUAUUUGACUAAUUCAAAGUUGAAAAUUUUCUAAAGGAAACUUCUGUUAUAUGCCACCAUUAAGUGCCAGUCUAUGGAAAUUUAGGUAGCCUACCAUGGCAAUAAUAUAUUAUUAAGUGUGAAUAACCCAGUUCAUUAUAAUAGUGCUCUCAGGACUCGGAACUCAUAAAGGUAUAAACUCAGUUCGAGUUUGUUGAAAACUUGAAGAAAGCUGUAACUGGAAAAUAUCAUCUGAUUUUAAUGAUUGAAUAAACCAAUAAUAGUACUACUUUGGCUGAAAGUAUUUCUAGGUCGAAUCUAUAAACAACUGGUAAGACCCUACGUUUUAUCUGCUAGCUGAUGCAGUUGUGAUGGGAAAGAGAACAAGCGGCCAUGGAAUUUGAAGAUGAACUGGUAUUAACCAAUCAAAAUGGUUAGAGUUAAUGAAGUCAUUGGCUUCUUGGGGAGAUUUAGAUUAGGAUUCGAUCUGAAGUAACAAAGGCCAAUUUGCUGCUACUACUUAUGAAGAUUGGACAUCAGAAUGAGUCAAACCGUGAAGGUUACUUGAGAGUUAAGGCUCAAGAUAUUCAAUGAAACGGUAAGUUCUGCAACAACAAACAGCUGAGCAAACUUAUACGGAAGAAGAGCUAUAACGUACCUUCAGUUGUUGGAAAACAUGUGAAACUAUUUGAACUAUGAUUAUAUCCACAAAUCCCAUCUGAAUCUCUGCAUCUUCUGCACUGAUCAUUAUCCGCUUCCCAUUGCAAUUCGAAACCUCCUCUUAAAGCAGCUUGCAUAAUCAUAGGGUUCACCUCCAGGUCCUUUGCUGCAGCUUCAUAAACCGGAACUACGACAAUUUCACGGCAUAUGCCAUAGCGAGGGUCACCCAACAUGUUUCUAACAGCAUAUGACACAUCAAUAAGUGUACUAUUCAUGGAGCAGUUAGGAAGAAAUGUCGAGGUUGGCAGCGGGUUGCAUCCGUAGAAUAGGGUGAGGUUCCUAAUGUUUGAGCCGUAAUUGAAGUGAUCGAAGUCGAUUGAGGUGUUGAUAAAUUUCGUGGAACAAUAACCAUUCCAGUAAUCCUCCCUAGCUACCUUAAGAAUCUGUCGUUCAGGGUCUAUGUCAAGAACUCGUAAGGUGUUUUCAUUCAUCAGGAUUUCCGUUACAUUAUUCUCGCACCUCAGUUCAAAUCCUGGUUGGCCACAAUAACUCGGACGGUUCAUUCCCCAGAAUGGGUAACCGAUACUUGAUACGCUUCCGCAUGUUAGCGUUUCCCUGCAGGCCCGCGGAUCGUCAGCGGAUAAAAUCGUCGGAACUCUGGUUAAGAAAACGAGAAAGAAGAGGGCCAGAAGGGAAGAUAUCGGAAGAGAAAGCGAAGACAUCUUGUUGAUGUUACAAGGGUGAUGGGUUGAAUAUAUUUAUGAAUUAUGGAAUGGUCAAUGUUGAAUUCUACAAUAUUAGUAUACACGUUUAAUCCUUUUCUAAUCUGGAAAUUACGUCAGGAGUUGGAAAAUUGGUUCUAGAGUGCUGCAGAAGUCUAUGGGGGCAUCUAUUACGGGGAAGAAGACCAAAGCUUCGAUGGCAGAAUUUGAAGGAAACUGGCAGGAAAUGCUUUGGACAUAACAUAAGUUGACAACACUAAAAACACCCUAAUUCCAAAUCGAAGAACUGAAGUGGAGACUUAAACCAAAAUAAUUUGGAAAUUGGGUGCCAAGUCCCCACUUCUAUUAAGAAUCUUCUUUGUGUUGGAUUAAUUGACCUGAUAGACUAAAUGAAGAUCAAAGCAAUGAAAUGGAACUUGACUUCUAUAUAUCAAGUUAUCAACCUACACACACAACUAAAAAAUCUUUGUUUUGUAUUAACAGGAUUAAGAACCGAUCGGGAAACGAUGUUAGGGUGAUUAUUUUAUGGAUUCGACUCUCUCCGCUAUCGAUAUUCACUGCAACUAAUCACAAUAGCACUUUUAUGUUUGCAACCAGGAUAUGUUGAUGAAGACAUGCUGAUCGCGUGUGUAUGAGUUUGGCAGCAAGAGUCUCCCCGAAUUUCCUGUUCAUUGUAGGAAAUUUCCUGGAGUUUGGUAAUUUCUGGGAAAUGAAAAAGGAAAUAUCAUGUGGAACAUGAAUGCUUUCUUUGUCAGAUGAGUUCAGAUCUGUUCAGAUUAUGCAAACCAAUGAUGAAAAGAGGGGACUGACAUUAUUCAAUAAAUCAGACCGACAAUUUUGACUAUGUCUAUCAGUACAUAGAAUAAAACAAAAUUAAUGUUGUUCCUAGUUCAUCAGUUGGAUUUGUCCUUGACUAAAUUUAUAAAUAUUUAAAUAAUACUUAAAAAUAUUUAAAUUGAUUGAAAUUCGUUUUUAUUAAUAUUAUAUUUUAAUUUUUUUUGUCUAAAUUGAUGAUAUAAUAUGCCAUAUCAAUUACCAUUACAACAUCAACACUAAUUAACAGCUCAGUAAUCAAAAUAUAACAUAUUGAUAACAUUAGUGACCAUAUCAUAUUUUUUAAAAAUUUAGUGACCAAAAUGUAAUUUAAACUAUACAAAGUGACUAAAUUUAUAAUUUUGACUUUUAGUGAAAAAAUUUGAGUAUUAUUCUCUAAAAUUUAAUAUAGAUAAAAUUUUAAAAAAGAUAUACUAUAAAAAAGUUUCAAUGAAAUAUUUUUUUUUAAAAUAUAUUUUUUUAUAAAUUUAAAGAAUUUAAAUAUUUAAAAUAAUUGAUCUCAAAGUUUAAAAUUUUUAACUUAAAAAUUGUCAACCAUAACGAUAGAGAUAUUAUAAAGAAUAUUAUGAAUUAAACUCUUUUACCAACUGCUUAAAUUUAUGUUUGAAAUUAAUUAUUUGUGGUUUGGGUUGAGUGAACAAUAAUAAAACUAAAUUGGAGCACAAAUAUUUUAUUUAAAGCCGUAAAUCAAUAUUGUGAAUUUGUUUUAUUUAGAUAAUAAAAGUUAUGCAUAAAAUGAAUCCUACUCUUAAUAAAUAAAUAAAUAAAUAAAGAUGAGAGUAUUAGAGUGAUGCUGUUAUCCAAUUCUUACCUAAAAAAGAUAACAUGAUACUCAUGCUUGUAGCUUCUAUACAUCAAAUUAACCUAUUUUCUAUUAACUCAAAACAAGAGAGUUUCCCAACCUCCAUUUCUUCAAUCUCAUAAUUCAUAACCCCUAUCCCAGUUUGUUAGUCACCUCAUUUCUAUGUAUUUGUUUUGGUGUCUGGGUUUUACUGCAAUGCAAGUCUACAACUAUCAAAUCCUCAACUUCAGUUAUUUUAAUUAUGUAUUGAAGUUUAAUCCACUGGGAAAUCAUACUACUACUAAUAAUAGAAAGCUUUGUUUAGUUGUAAAAAGGGAUAGUACUUACCUGUAUGGGGCCGACAUUCUUUGCCUUCCGGCCCACUCCAUUUUCCAGGUGGGCAGUAGCAGUUGGCUUGAUCGUGGAUGCCGAAACCGCAGGCUCCACCGGAAGAAGUGCAUUUCCAGCAUUCUUCUGCAUAGUUCUUCCUCCAUUGCACCUCGAAUCCUGUUUCCAAGGCUCCUUUCCAAUCCGGGGAAUGAUUGCGGAGGCUUUCCAAGGAAGUUUCAGGAAUCAUAACAUUGGCACGAUAUAAGCAUGCCUCUGGAUGGAUACUAGUAUUAUUUGCUAUUGCUACCGAAACAUUACUAUGACCAUAAUUUUUAUUGCAAGUAAAGAAUAGAAGAUCUGGUGAGAUGCGAGAGAGGCAGUCAUAAAACAGUGUAACACUGGCAAAGCCGGGACCAGGAGUAAACACCGGAGAAUCUUGGAUCCAAUCUUCAUCUGGAAAUCGAGGCGGACAAAUGCCUUUGUUGAUCACCUUCUCACUCAAAAUUCUUAGGAUUUGACGAUCAGGUAGGAUCUCAAGCACGCGAUACCGUACAUCGCGAAUUUUCAUCGUGGUAAUGUCACCGCCACACUCAAGCUCUAAAUCUGGAUGUCCGCAUUCUUUUUCUCGAUCACCUCCAUGGAAAGGAAAUCCAGCAGUGAUAUUCCCACAUUUGAACUUGCUAUCACGGCAGUUCUCGAACUCAGGCUCAAACCAGGCAGUGGUUAGUGAAAC
rnacentral:lncRNA from 1 species